UUUUUUUUUUUUUUUUUUUUUUUUUUUUUGUAUUUAUAGUUAGAUGUUUUAAAUUUAAAUUUUGUAAAUAACGAGUUCAAUAAUAAUUUAUUUCACUGCCUCAUGAGGUUGAGUUUUGGGAGGUUGUGGAGGCCGAAUCAUGGCCAUUUCUCUCCACAGCUUGCAAAGGCACAUUUCAAACUAACUACUAACUUAUCUUGCAGCACACAAAGCAGCAAGAAUGUGCCAUCUUCUCGUAAAGCUGUGCGAGGGAGCGGACCUAGAAAUUCAGGGCCCUUCCAUCCAUUUCCUUGAUCACAAUUUGUUAUAAAGAAACCAGGCUUAUUAACUUAACCAGAUUCGAACGUAAAUAAAACUCUUAAGUAGAAAAUAGUUGAAAAUGACUUAAAUAUAUGAAGCAAAGUACGUUAAACUACAGAUCUACUACAUAUAAAUAUAAACAAACGAAACUUGGGCAAGGUACAACUUCUUGCAGCCACUUCUCUUUUGAGCUUACAAAGAUUUAUAUGUGGUGUGGGAUGAAAAGUAAAUAGGUUUUACAUGAGGAAAUCAAUACUACAAUACUAAGGGAAGGUAGCAGAGCUAACAUCAUUCUCCCAGCAGCCGACCCCAAAGAGGCAGGCAGCAGCAGAAUUACAACAACAACAACAACAAAGCCUUUUCCUACUAAGUGGGGUCGGCUAUAUGAAUCCUAGAACGCCAUUGCGCUCGGUUUUGUGUCAUGUCCUCCGUUCGAUCCAAGUACUCUAAGUCUUUUCUUAGAGUCUCUUCUAAAGUUUUCCUAGGUCUUCCUCUACCCCUUCGGCCCUGAACCUCUGUCCCGUAGUCACAUCUUCGAACCGGAGCGUCAGUCGGCCUUCUUUGCCCAUGUCCAAAUCACCGGAACCGAUUUUCUCUCAUCUUUCCUUCAAUUUCGGCUACUCCUACUUUACCUCGGAUAUCCUCAUGCCCAAUCUUAUCCUUUCUCGUGUGCCCACACAUCCCACGAAGCAUCCUCAUCUCCGCUACACCCAUUUUGUGUACGUGUUGAUGCUUCACCGUCCACAUGCUUCACCGUCCAACAUUCUGUGCCAUACAACAUCGUUGGCCUUAUUGUCGUCCUAUAAAAAUUUUCCCUUGAGCUUCAGUGGCCUACGACGGUCACAUAACACGCCGGAUGCACUCUUACACUUCAUCCGUCCAGGUCGUAUUCUAUGGUUGAGAUCUCCAUCUAAUUCUCCGUUCUCUUGCAAGAUAGAUCCUAGGCAGCAAAAACGGUCGCUUUUUUGUGAUCUUCGCUAGAUUGCUCCGGUCAUUAGUGUGGAUAAGUAUAUAAAUGAAUAGAGAUAGGAAAGCAAACACAAGAUGUACGUGGUUCACCCAGAUUGGCUACGUCCACGGAAUAGAAGAGUUCUCAUUAAUUGUGAAGGGUUUACACAAGUACAUAGGUUCAAGCUCUCCUUUAGUGAGUACAAGUGAAUGAUUUAGUACAAAUGACAUUAGGAGAUAUUGUGAGAGAAUGAUCUCGUAAUCACGAAACUUCUAAGUAUCGGAGUGUGGUAUCGUCUUGACUUGCCUUAUCUGUCUCAUAGGUAGAUGUGGCAUCUUCUCUGGAAGUACUCUUCCUCCAUCCAGGGGUGGUAUCUUUAACUGGUAGAGAUGCACAAGGUAAUGUAUCAAUUUCACUUGAAGCUUACUUGUAGUUUCAAGCUUGGUCAAGCGCGAUACAAACCAUGUAGUAGGAGUCUCCCAAGUCGCCGAGCUAGGGGAUCUGCUGAAAGAGGUGACAGACAAGGUAAGCAAUCAGAGCUCCGGCUGAUUGUUCACCUUCUCCCCAUCUUGCAGCAGCAUGAAGGAUAAAGAGAAGAAAGAUGAGAAGAGAUGAUAUGGGAUACUUUUGCUUUUGAAGAAGUAACUUUCCACAGGCUUAUUCUUGAACUGAGCUGGAGGGUUUUCUGGUUUCCUCCAGAGCCGACUGAAGAAUUUGAGGGUCAAAAACAAGUCCAUCAAAUCUAGAGUACGUUCGACCCUGCUGAUAUGGGAUACUUUUGCUUUUUGACAGAGUAAUGGAUGUAUCGGCACGUGUGCUGUUACGCUUGUCUCCACAUGCUUCCUUGUAUCCUUCGCACUUGCCCUAUCUGUUCCUCAAGCAGAUGCGGUAUCUUCCCUGGAAACAUAAGAUGUUGAAGAUGAGUACUCGAGAGCAAUGCCAGGUAAGUAAUCAGGUAAGGGGUUCCAGGCAGUCAGUUCCUGGCUGGAAGCUUGAUUCCAAGUGCUGACUGAUUGCUCUCUUUCUCCUUGUCUUGCAGGGAACAACAAGGCCAAAGGAAAAGACAGGGAAAAAGCAUGAUAUGGGAUACUCUUGCUUUUAACCCUGAUGAUAUGAGAUAUUCUUGCUCUAGUAUAGCUUGUUUGCAAAGGUAUUAUCGGGGGGAAAGAAAGCUGAAUAUUUCGAAAGGGUUCGUUGGGAGUGCCCUCUCAAAUAUGAGGAAGGGUUGAACAUUUUUGCAGGUCUGCCUGUCCGUUGGGGAUGGAGGUCGACAUAUAUAGGAGUCUCCCUAACAACAAGUAGUAAUGCUAUUCCUUUACCCUGCUUGGUCAUAGCACAGUAGUGGGAGCUGCCAGCUUCACAUGUUUUAACUCUGUCAGAGCACUUUGAAAAAGUGGUAUGUGCUCUCGAGAAGUCUUCGACAGAAUGCCCAUAAUUUCCGCAAAGCUGAGUGUGCGUGUGACAGGUGCUGACAAGGCUGGAAAAGUAGGUGCCUCUUCGAUUUCUGAGAUCGGCCCUCGUGGUCUCUGAGGAGCCCAACUUUUGAGAAAGCGAGCGCCUCUUCGAUUUCUGAGAUCGGCCUUCGUGGUCUUUGAGCAGCCUAAUUUUUGAGAAAGCAAACGCCUCUUCGAUUUCUGAGAUCAACCCUCGUGGUCUCUAAGCAGCCCAGCUUUUGAGAAAGCAAACGCCUCUUCGAUUUCUGAGCAGGCGCCUCUUCGAUUUCUGAAGAUCCGUCGAGUGCAGAUUUUUAUAGGGGCUGGCAUUAAGUUCCAAAGCACACUUGAAUCUCCACCAGUAGAAGCUCCAUUCUUGCACUUCUAAGAUCUUGAUUUGUCCAACCUCUUCUCUCUUCAACACCUUUGAAAAUGUCUGGCCCCUCCGACCGUCGUUUUGACUUGAACCUUGUUGAAGAGGCAGCCCCGCCUUCUCCAGACAACAUAUGGCGCCCAUCCUUCGUCUCCCCUACUGGUCCUCUUACCGUUGGGGAUUCCGUGAUGAAGAAUGAUAUGACUGCUGCGGUGGUGGCCAGGAACCUUCUCACUCCCAAAGAUAACAGACUACUUUCCAAACGGUCUGAUGAGUUAGCUGUUAAGGAUUCGCUGGCUCUCAGUGUUCAGUGUGCAGGUUCUGUGUCUAAUAUGGCCCAACGCCUAUUUGCUCGAACCCGCCAAGUUGAAUCAUUGGCGGCUGAGGUGAUGAGUCUCAAACAGGAGAUUAGAGGGCUCAAGCAUGAGAAUAAACAGUUGCACCGGCUCGCACAUGACUAUGCUACAAACAUGAAGAGGAAGCUUGACCAGAUGAAGGAAACUGAUGGUCAGGUUUUACUUGAUCAUCAGAGAUUUGUGGGUUUGUUCCAAAGGCAUUUAUUGCCUUCGUCUUCUGGGGCUGUACCGCGUAAUGAAGCUCCAAAUAAUCAACCUCUGAUGCCUCCUCCUUCUAGGGUUCUGUCCAGUACUGAGGUUCCGAAUGAUCCCCCUCCGGUGCCUUCUCUUUCUGGGGCUCUACCGACUGCUGAGACUUCUCCUAAGCAACCCUUGUGAAGGCUCCCUCUUGUUUGUUUAUUUUGACUCAUGUAUAUGUACACAUUUGUAGCUUAUCGGGGAUAUCAAUAAAUAAGUUUUCCUUCAUUUCAACGUAUUGUGUUAAAUACACCAAAACCUUCUUCGCUAAGUUCUUUGAAUUUUCUUUUGUUGAAGCUUGUAUGUUGAAGCUUUCUGAGUGGAGCAUGUAGGUUGGGGUAGUGUUCCCUUAAUUUCCCGAGUGAGGAAAACUUCUCGAUUGGAGACUUGGAAAAUCCAAGUCACUGAGUGGGAUCGGCUAUAUGAAUCUUAGAACGCCAUUGUGCUCGGUCCUGUGUCAUGUCCUUCGUUAGAUCCAAGUACUCUAAGUCUUUUCUUAGAGUCUCUUCCAAAGUUUUCCUAGGUCUUCCUCUACCCCUUCGGCCCUGAACCUCUGUCCCAUAGUCGCAUCUUCUAAUCGGAGCGUCAGUAGGCCUUCGUUGCACAUGUCCAAACCACCGUAACCGAUUUUCUCUCAUCUUGCCUUCAAUUUCGGCUACUCCUACUUUACCCCGGAUAUCCUCAUUCUUAAUCUUAUCCUUUCUCGUGUGCCCACACAUCCAACGAAGCAUCCUCAUCUCCGCUACACCCAUUUUGUGUAUGUGUUGAUGCUUCACCGCCCAACAUUCUGUGCCAUACACAGCAUCGCUGGCCUUAUUGCCGUCCUAUAAAAUUUUCCCUUGAGCUUCAGUGGCACACGGCGGUCACACAACACGCCGGAUGCACUCUUCCACUUCAUCCAUCCAGCUUGUAUUCUAUGGUUGAGAUCUCCAUCUAAUUCUCCGUUCUUUUGCAAGAUAGAUCCUAGGUAACGAAAACGGUCGCUCUUUGGUAUUUCUUGAUCUCCGAUCCUCACCCCUAACUCGUUUUGGCCUCCAUUUGCACUGAACUUGCACUCCAUAUAUUCUGUCUUUGAUCGGCUUAGGCGAAGACCUUUAGAUUCCAACACUUCUCUCCAAAGGUUAAGCUUUGCAUUUUACCCCUUCCUGAGUUUCAUCUAUCAACACUAUAUCGUCUGCGAAAAGCAUACACCAAGGAAUAUCAUCUUGAAUAUGUCCUGUUAACUCAUCCAUUACCAACGCAAAAAGGUAAGGACUUAAGGAUGAGCCUUGAUGUAAUCCUACAAUUAUGGGAAAGCUUUCGGUUUGUCCUUCAUGAGUUCUUACGGCAGUCUUUGCUCCUUCAUACAUAUCCUUUAUAGCUUGGAUAUAUGCUACUCGUACUCCUUUCUUCUCUAAAAUCCUCCAAAGAAUGUCUCUUGGGACCCUAUCAUACGCUUUUUCCAAAUCUAUAAAGACCAUGUGUAAAUCCUUUUUCCCAUCUCUAUAUCUUUCCAUCAAUCUUCAUAAGAGAUAGAUUGCCUCCAUGGUUGAGCGCCCUGGCAUGAACCCGAAUUGGUUGUCCGAAACCCGUGUCUCUUGCCUCAAUCUAUGCUCAAUGACUCUCUCCCAGAGCUUCAUUGUAUGACUCAUUAGCUUAAUACCCCUAUAGUUCAUGCAAUUUUGUACGUCACCCUUAUUCUUGUAGAUAGGCACCAAAGUGCUCGUUCGCCACUCAUUUGGCAUCUUCUUCGUUUUCAAAAUCCUAUUGAAAAGGUCAGUGAGCCAUGUUAUACCUGUCUCUCCCAAAACUUUCCACACUUCGAUUGGUAUAUCGUCUGGGCCUACUGCUUUUCUAUGCUUCAUCUUCUUCAAAGCUACAACCACUUCUUCCUUCCGGAUUCUACGAUAAAAAGAGUAGUUUCUACACUCUUCUGAGUUACUCAACUCCCCUAAAGAAGCACUCCUUUCAUGUCCUUCAUUGAAAAGAUUAUGAAAAUAACCUUUCCAUCUGUCUUACAAAGAUAAAAUUCAUUGGGAUUUCGGCAAGGGAAAUCAACAUCACAAAAAAAUACGCUUCAUCUCAUGCGUGGUCUAUUGUGUAUGUAAGGCGAAAAAAUGAACAUCCAAAGGAUUAUUUGGCUCAACAAUUACAACAUGAAUGGGAGAAGCAAAUGCAGCAAGAUACCGACGGCUAAAAGCUUAUACAGGAGCAACAGCUGAACCGCUCGUAAGUGGUUCACUUAUUUCGAGGAGUUCGUUACACAGCCCUGUGAAAACAACCGAAUCUGUUUCGAUGGGCUUGAACUUGACAAGAGCCGAGGGCAUCAAAUCCUCAUCAGCUAGUGUUGCGGCUUUCUCUCCUGCUGCUGGAAAAUGAGGGAUCACCCGCCGUUUGAUAGCUACAGGAUUUAACAGCUCGAAUUCCAAACUAGGCUCCUUCAAUGCUGAGCUCACAUACUGGUUCAUCAAGACCAAAAAAAAAGAAAAUUAAAAAACGUUGAACUCUUAACUUGAAACAAAUGCACAAGGAACAAAUACACUCGAACACAAAUUGUGUAUAUGUAUCACGGUUUAGAUUCGUUUUCAUUUCCCUCAUUUGGGCUGGCUACAUAAUAAUUUUCCAAGCAAAACUUGUUUUAGACAUCAAAGACUACAUCUUUAUUCAAACUUAAAAAACGAAACAUACUAUGCAGGAUGAUACACGAAAUACUAAAAAGUUGGAGAAAAUGCAGAUUUCUAUAGUUGUUUGCUUGGAAAAUUAGUAUGAGAGCUGAAAAAUGAAGCAGAAACUUGUUCCAACAUAUCUAUACAUAUUACAUAUACGUGCACACUCCUUAGUGAAUAUUUAUCACACCCUGUUAUACCACAUGAAACUGGCUAAACUAGACUCUAGAAUGACAAUUGAUUAAAGGAUUAGGAGGAUGGUAAAAGACUAACCUCGUAUAAUGAGCUAGUUGGCUCCAAAGGAGAAAAAACGCCCUGGAGCACCACUCCAUCGGGAAACUGGAUCCGGAUAACAGUUUUUCUGUAUCUCCUUUUAGCAGCUUUCGCCUGCUUUUCCCUGAACGACUUUGGGAUCAACAUCUGUGAAUCUUCAAUCUUUUUCUUUCUCAUUUCAGCUUCUCUUUUCAGCUCCGUAGCUGUGAGGUUGUAGAAAGAUGCUGGUACUUCAAUUCUUGCUGCCAUACUUUCAGAGACCGAAAAGAAGACCCUCGUCUGCACAAGAAACAAAUUUCAGUAAACCACAAGUAGUUAAUUGAAAGAAAAUGAAUGAGACAUAAAUCUGAAACAGGAAGCACUAUUUACAAAACGAAGGAAUCCCACAAUAACAAAUACGGGUAUGUGUUUAACUUUAAUAGUACCAAAAAAACAAUGGUAAACAAAAUGAAGGAAGCACUCAGAUUAUUAGAUAGAAUACACUUAAAAUAAGCACUGAUCUGUAACCAGCUUGAUCAUUUCAAUGGUUGCCAGAAAUCCAGAACAUUUUAUCUGAUUUCCAACUACUUAAACGUCAAGAUGAACCUUAAUAUUGCAAAUUUUCUCUAUAAUUCACAUCAUUUUCACUGGAAUUUUGGGCUGCAGUGCUUUUACCAUCAUUUAACUGGAUUCUACUAAUAAACUUUUGGUUUAAAAUUUAACAUACAAUGCAACAUCGAAUUCUUCAAGAGUGUGUACCUGAUUUUCUUGUGAAUAAAUGGAAUGGGACAAACUAUAUUAUCAUACAAUAAGAAGUCACUUCUUUAUAUUCUGCCUAACAGCCUACUUUGAAACCAGCCUAGUUGACCAAUAUCAAUGCCCAUUUAAAGAGUUCGUUGAAAACCAAUGCAAGUCUCAAGACGAGCAAUUAACUCAGGGAUCCCAUGUCAAUUUAGAAGUAGCUACCGAAGUUUUUGGUCACUUUCGAGUUAUAGUAUUGCUUUCCAAUCAUCGACACUGAAAUUCUAUAAUCCUAUCAUAACAUACAUUUAUAACUUUCGGGAAGGAUAUUCCAAGAUAUAAUAAGUUAAUGAUCAAUGAUUAUUAGCAUGCUACGACUGCCAUAAAAGAUGAAACAAGAAUGAACAAGCAACCAACCACAGACUGACACUUAAUACGCUAAACAGCAUAAAGAGUUAACAUACCUGCCGGUCGACCUUCUUUGGUUCAACUGGUUCAUCCACGUUCAGUGAAGCAAUGGAUGGCAAAAUGUCUACUUCUUGUACCUUCGGCGGUUCCAGUAAUGCUAUUGCCUUUUUCAUUAAACUAAUUUGUUCCUCCUUAGGAACCCCCAUCAAUGCCCACAUCUCCCCAUCCUCCUCUUUCAAUUCAAACCCCACAAACUCCAGCAACUCAAUGCCUCCCACAACCUCACCAAUGGCCUCCCGUAUCUUCGGAUUGCUCAUCCGAAUCUUUCUAAACUUCACGUUCUCCGGUUCCUUAACUAUAUUCCUCAACAGCCUAAGAACAACCUCAACCGACCCUGCAGCUGGAUUUCCCGAAGCAAAGGUACCAAUGCAAGCUUCCAAAUCACUCCUCGACGAAUCAGACCCGUUAUCCGGCGACCCCGAAACGCCAACACCCUCUACACUUUUGUGUUCCACAGGAGCAUUAACACAGCUGUCUACAUGCACGGAUACCUCGUCUUCCGACCUAAACGAUUGCCCGCAAAUCGGACAUUCGAAUACAUUUAGCGUAAACCCGUUUUGGGAUCUCUUCCCCGGCGUGAUCAGAGAGUCAAACGGAUCAAACCCAGAAUCCGUUUUCCGAUCAGGCUUCGAAUUGCCCGACGGCUCCGCCUUGCUCUGGUCAGGAAUUUGCGUUUUCUUCUGAUCAAGAAUCUGCGCUUUCUGAGGCGAAGGCCUGGGAUUUGGGGAGGCGACCGAAGAAUUCGAAUUCGAAUUGGGAAGGGGUUUGGGAUUGGAUUGGGGAGUCUGCUUAGGGCGAGUGAGGACCGAAUCGGCGGUGCCGGAGGAAGAAGACGAUCCCAAGACUCGGCCUUGGCCCUUGAAUUUAGCGGAGGAGGAAGACGAGAAGGUGGUCUUCAUGAAGCCCUUGAACUUGUCUUUCAUGUCGUCCAUGUCGGUUAAUGAAAGAAGAAGAGGAGCUCAAUCAAGUCAACGAUUGAUGCGAAGCGGAAUCGGGAGAGGAAAUUAGGGUUAGAAAGGGGGAUUCUUGAUCAAGAGAAUGGGGGAGUGGAUUAAGGAAAAGCGUGGCGGUUUGGAUUGGAUUGGACUGGAACUGGUUGACUUUCGCUCGCUUGGCCCGGGGUUCGUUGGAUAAUUUUCCCCGCCAAAGGAUAGCUUUCCCCGCCAAAUGGCCCUGCGACCUUGUUGACAGGAGGGUUUCUUUCCCUGUCAAUUUAUUUAAUACUUCUUCCUUUUAUGGAAUUUAUUUACAAAGUAAACUAUCGAUUUGCCCCUGAACUGUCACCCAACUUUCGAUUUCCUCUCUGAACUUUUUAAUUGGAAAAUUAAGAACUUAAACUAAUUUUUUUCGCUGAUUCGCCCCCUGCUGUUAAAUUUUCAUUCAUUCCAUCCAAAUUUCUGUUAAAUGGAAGCAUGUGCACAACAUGUGUGGGUAGUUCGGUUGCUUCAUUCUUUAAAAUAAUUGAAAACCUUAGAUUUCUAUAAUAUAAACCUAUGCAAAUAUGUGUGAUUCUAUAGAUUUUGUGUCUGAAUGUCUAGUGAAGUAACGCUUUUGUCCACAAAUGAGAGUUAUGUGGUUUGCACAUGAUAAGAGUUAACGUUAAUUUGGAUGAAAUCUAUGAAAAACUAACGGUAGGGGGGAAAUCGGCCAAAAAAAUUAGUUUAAGUCCUUAAUUUUCCAAUUAAAAAGUUCAAGGGGAAAAUCGAAAGUUGGGUGAUAGUUCAUGGGGCAAAUCGGCAGUUUACUCUUUAUUUAUACUUAUAUUUGAGUUAAGUCUUCUUCACCGCAAAUACUCUAUUAUAUAUUUUAGUUAGUCUCCUUCACCGAAAAUACUCCCAACAGGAUUAUCUCCGGAUUCUUUGGUGAGGAUUCUAAGGAUCCGUAAAUUGUAUCCUUCAUCAUAUAUCGUGCAAUCAGUUUUUAUCAAGUACUAUUUGUGCUUAAUUUUAAAUAAAAAUGUUUAAAAUAAUUAUUAACCGCACAAUAUAUGAUGGCCAGACAAACAGAAAAGAUUGACGAAUCUCCAAUUGUAUUUGUAAAUUUUUAUUUUAUUUUUUAUGAUAGUAGUCUAUAAUGGCGUAUUGACGUGCAUAUCAAUGGCAUAUGUAUGAUGGCGUAUUGAAAUCAAUGGCAUGUUUAAAAUAAUUAUUAACCGCACGAUAUAUGAUGCAACACAAAUUUCUUCUCUGUAAACUUGUUCAUGUCCAAUAAACCACUGCCCCAAAUCCAGAAGAUAAAAGAUUAAAUCAAUGUAAGCAUGAGGUGCAGCCACACUAAUUCGAAUCGUCACAAAAUAACUCGGUGACGUUUUUUUCUUAUAGGUUGGGUUCACAUAGCAUCCCCAUACCAGGUCAGAAGCUAAGUUGAGCUUGAGAAGAUACUUCUUCCUCCUCUAGACAAUUUCUUUCCGUUCAACACCAAAAUCGACGGCAACGGCCUUAUGCGCAUUGUUUGUUCUUCUGGCAUUGAACACCUGGAACCGUAGCGUUUUCGUGUAGUAGUGUUCCAAGUGUCCAUCUCAGGCCAUUCCGGCAAUGAAUUCCUCUGCUAAUGUCAAGGCCAAUGGAACAUACUUCUUCGGCCAACGUAUUUAUCCAUGCAUCUUCCCACAGAUUAUCACGAGCAAUCGUUCAGACAAGCACGACGAUAAGCCUGACGUAAAUUGGAACGCAAUGAUCCUGUUGUGAAAGCUCGUAAUGCGUAUCUUUGCAAUAACUACUCCUGACAGGCAAGCGAAUAUCCUCCUACUAUAGGUACUAAUUAUAACUUAUAACAAGAACAAGGAUUAGAUUACAAAUCCACAAUCUUACAUAGACUUCCUAUGAACUCAUGGCCAACUCCGGGCCCUGUUUGCUAAGAACAGAACCCCCCCCCCCCCCCCAAAACCAACAACCUCCAACCCGAUACCUAUGAGUAAGAAAGCAACUGAAUUCCAAUGUUCUUCUGAAAGAAAAUGGCUUUCCACUAUUCAGACAAGCAGAAGCCAGUUCUUACAAAUGGAGAGGGUCAUGACUGAUACAUGCCGUGUGGGGGACAACUCGGUCCGGUAGCUUGCCUCGAAGCUAGGUUUACUAGAACACUACAAAUGCAGACAACGGCAAUGUGUGAUCGACACAACCAACCCCUGUCCUAGACUGCGAACAACCCUUUUCUUUUCUCCUAAGCAGCCAGCAAGAUUAGAUGGUUGGCUCUUUGCUUAGCAGUAGGCCAAGUUCCAGUUUUGUGGCCUCCUAGAUCCAUACCACCAAGCCUUGUAUGGUUAUCAUACAACUCUAAUAGAACAUACUAUGUGUUCCUUCCGUCAGCAAUAAAUUAACGAGUGAAGGGAAACUAAGUUGAGGCUAAGAACAAAAGGAAGAGACACAGAGAGAGUGACAUAGCCAAUCCCCAAUAAUGAAAAAGGCAUAGUAAGUCGUUACACAAGCCUACCGGAAAAUUGUAACAGGCUACACGAAUCGCGCUUAUUGUUAUUCUAUGGCACCUUAAUCUCUAGUCCAUCUAGAUCAACAAUUGAACAGAAAACGGACAGUCCAAGUUUGUUCACGAUCGACGCCUAAAUGGGGUGUUUACAUCCAUAAUCACUCAUUCAACCUCACAAAUCUAAAUGCAUAUUAAUCUAAAGUUGUAAAUAAUCAAUACCUACAUUACAAGUUAUCUCCAAGUAAUCUAAACCCAGUCUCCAAAAACACAAACAAACAAAAAAUAUAUGUAGAUGAAGAAGAUCAAAUAUUGAUAUCACAUAAUCGCAGUAGUAACAUUCCCAGAAAUUCAGACGGAUUAGUAACAUCCAUGUGCCAGAUUAAAACAAAACCCUAAUUGCUAAUGCCACGAUAUUAUAGCAUCACAUAACACAGAAAUUCCAAAAUCCGAUAUAAACGAAGUGCAAUUAACCCAAUAAUCUCUCCGUCGAAACACAAAAUAAAGCUAAAAGCUUGGAAAUCGAUAUGCAAACCGAGUGGAAUCAGUCGCGAUUCUUCAAGCGCUCCACGCGCUGGUUCAGCUGCUCGAUGCGGACGACGAGGUGGGUGACGGUGUAGAGGAGCCAGUAGAAGAUCAAGGCGGCGGCGAUCAAGAGCGCAUUGCGCUGGCUCUUCAUGAUUGACUUCUGGUGGCGGAGGUGCUCCGAGGGAGUGCAGGAGUCUCCAUGGCAGCUCGGGCGAGUCUCGUACUUCCAGUAGAUGUCCAUGAGCAAGAAGAGGCAGAACGGCACCACCGACAGAAACGGUUUGAGGAGGUUGCGGGUGACGGUGACGAGGCCCUUGCGGAGGCCGUCGAGGCCGGGGAUCGUGAGAAGGAGCACCAUGAUCGCCUCCGCGGCGGCGGCGUAGCCGAGGACAACCCACUCCAAUGCCAUCGGAUCUCUGUGCUGCUCGCUUUCCGGUUCUGGUUUUUGGGGAGAUUUCAGAAAUAUGCUUUGCUUCGCGAGUAAGGACUUCUCUCGAUUUCCCUCAGCGCCUUAAACUGGACCGACGAAAUUGGAAGCUGGAGGAAAUCCGACACGUGGCAGCUUGUUGCUUGAACCGGUGGACGUUCGUCAUACGGUUGGAAACGAUUUGCAUUUGGGCCCCAAUUUUUGUUUUCUUUACUUUUUGAGUCAAUUCGACCCAGCCCAAGUUUAUAUGGUCAGUUAGGCCCGACCCAAGUUUUGGGUUAGUUGGAUACAUGGGCCUAGUUUAGCAUACCGCAUUAGUCAUCGGAUUAGGCCCUUUAUACAAAGAGAUUCCCUUUUUUUUUAAUGGGGAUUAGGUGUGGGGUUCACUUCAUAUCGAAUUUCAAUUAUCCGAACCGUUUAUUUUGUUAGUCUCGAUUCAUAGAUCAUCUUGGUAAAAAUUCAAUUCAAUCCGAAACUAUUUGCCUAUUUAAUUAUCAAGAUCAAAUUUCAUUGUUUCUUAUAUAACAAAGUAUUCGUUCAUUUCUUUGAACCCAAUUAGAUGACUUAAAUAUUUCCGAUUUGGCUAAUAUUUUGUAAGGAUGAUCUAUGAGAUACAACUUGAAAAAUAGAAGUUUCGGAUUGUUAAAAUUUAAUGUGGUGUGGACCCCACAACUAAUCCUUAUUUUAUAAAAGAAACGAAUAGGAAUCUCUUCCUUUAAAGACUUCCGUCAUCAGAUACUGCUAUGUAAUACGAAUCUAGUGUUUGGUGUUGUCUGUAUUACAUAAGAACCGGACAAAUUACAGGCUCACCUGUUUUAUACGACUGUUACCCACAAACUUAUACACCCCAAAAUCUAUGUAUAAUGAGUCGGUCGAUAACAAAAACACGCUCGUUGCUUUCUCGAUCCCUCUAUUGCGAAUCUUCUUCCCUUUGCUUGCGUUUGCCAUGGUCUACCCCAACAAUCUCUCAUCUUCUUCUUCUCUAUCUUAUUUUAUUUAGGGGUGUGAUAUCCACACACCCGAUUUUACUUCUCACACACCUUUUUAAUUUUUUGCUGUCGGAUCGGCUGAAUUGAAAAAGAUUAACGGACAAAAAUUAUCAAGGGGUAUGUGAGAAGUGUUAGAAAUUAUAUAUUAUAAUAUGAAAUAUUGUAUUAUAUAAUUUUAAUAAUUGAAUGAAAAAUAGUGUUAAUCAAUUUCUUAGAAAGGUUAUGUUGUUAAGGUGAUUUUCCCUUGAUAAGUGAUGUAUACUUAUAGAUGAAAAGUUACAUCUCUUUAAUAAGUAGAAGUUGGAUUCUAUAUAAACACAUGAAACCAUUGGUAUUAGAUAUAGAAAAUUAGAGUUAAUUUUUACUCUUGAGAAAUAGGGUUUUCCCACUUGUUUCUCAAAUGAUUCGUAUGUCAAAUUCCAAGGCCUGUUUUGAGAGUAUGGAAUAUAUAAAGUUCGCUUGAGUCCGAAGAUUGAAGUGCUUUGACUUCGGAUUAUAGAUUGUUGAAUCCUAGGAGAUGGACGCCUACCGAACUACAAGCACAAGAGUAGGGGUGAAAUUCUAUCUUUAGGACACUGCAUUUAUGCAAGCCUCAAUUUUUAAGUUUGUUAGGUUUUCUAACUUUAUCUCUAGUUGUUUAUAUUAAUCUCAUAUAUAAUCUAAAGAUAGAAAUUUCUUUAUGCAAUAAUUAGAAAAAUAUGGAUUUAAGAAAUAAUUAUAUUGAGAAAGUAGGAAAGAAUGAUUUGAAUAUAUGUUAUUGAAACUGCCAUUUAAAAUUUAGACUUUGAAAUGGAUGCAUAUUGCUGUGAAGAUAUUGUUCUUGAAUUUCAUUAAGAACGAAAUGGGCAGUUUGUUAAAGGAUUGUUUAUUUAAUGCUUUUGCCAUUUAACGUUAUUGUUGUUAGUUCAAUACUCUAAAAAUUAGACAUUGAGAAUGGCGAUCAGUUCUUGUGUAUUGUGAUUGGUUUUGCCAAUUAAUUCUAAAUCUCGCCAACCAUUGUGCCUGUUAAAUGGUUUCUCAACGAUGUUGUUAUGGAGUGAUUCCUCUAAGAGAAUCAAAUUGAUAUGCAGUAUUACGAAUCCCAUUAUUUAACAUGGAAGAUGGUGGCUUCAUGAUCCAAACAAAUCUUGUCUUGAUAGGGAAGAUGCAAACCACUGCAUAUGUUUUAACGAAGCCAUAUAUGGGCUUGGUAUAUCAGGCUGAUGCUUGGUUGGUGCUUAAACUUAUCAAACGAAAAUUUCUUGAAAAAGGCAUUCGGUGCUUUUAACCAACACAAUCAGUUAUGAUAGGUGAGGUUCGUGGUGGGCUGAAACCAGACAUGAUUUUCUAUUUGAAUGGAUUUAUCUGUUCAAAUAACAAACAGAUGCCAAACAAGAUGCGAAGGUCUCCAAGUUUUCUCAAACGAUACGAACACAAGGAUAAGGAAACGAAUUAGUGAACCAUUCGGUCACUGGUUACGGAUAGAGAUGAUGUGGUCACUAGUUUGGUACUUUUCAGCCUAUAACCAUAUCGAUUAUAGUGUUAGUGCCGUUUGGGAUAUAGAAAAGCUGGAGAUUCUGGUUACGUGAAAGAAACGGUGAUAACGAUCAUCUUGUGGUUAAUUGCUGCAAUUAAUAUGAGAUCCGUUUAAAGGUCAUGUUCAGUAUAUGUCUCCUUUAUGAGAAGAAAGGCGUCGGUUAAGGCCAAGCGAACGCCAAAGUGGUGUACUGGAUUCAUACCAAUUUAUGAAAUGGAUCUUUUUCCUACAAAGGCGAUCAAUAUUUGAUUGGGCACGAGGAUGAUUAGUAGGUUUUUGUUGAGAAAACCCUUAUAUUCAUAAAGAUGUCAGCGAAAGCUCUUGAUGAAGAGUGAAUACCCAAAUAAAAUGGGGUUGUUUUAAAUUUGUAUUGAAACAGUUGGAAAACUCCCGUACAAGAUAUGAACCCAACUUCCAUGGUAUCAUGGAAUAUAAGAUGAGUGCAAACUACUCAUAUGUAAGUGUCUAUUCAUGGAAAGAAUGGAAUACGUAUGAAGAAAAUUGAACAAUUACUCAGGCAUAUGUGUGCAUAUGCAAAAUUGGGUCUAGCGUUCAGUCAUGAUGAGAACCCAGAAAGUGGAUGAUUUUGGCUUUGAAAAGCAACAAAAAUAAAACUGAUAAACUGAACUCAUUUUAGAUGAGUUAUCUAUCAACAUCGAAAGAUGCUUAUUUAAUUAUGGGGUCAAGGUCCAAGACUUAUAUUGAACCAUGUGGAGGUUAAGUUGCAGAAAGAUGCAACUAUUUAACAAAUGGAUGGUUUUGUAAUGUGGUGGAAUUGAAAAUUGAAAUCUGCCAUGAAAUUCAAAGGAAAAGCAUGCCAUUUGAAGUGUUGCUUUUGAUAGUGAAAGGGUAUGACCUUUCCAACUAGUCAUUGACAUAUUCAAAUGUGUUCAUGGGCUGGUAUGUAAACUUCUACAUACCAACUGGAUGUAUUAUCAUAUAGUGAUAAUAAUGUUGCAAAAUCAUUUAUGCUUUCUUCGAAGUGAUAUAUUUAUAAAUUACAAGAGGCCCAGGAUGAUACUGGUGUCAUUUAAAGUGAUAUUAAUAUAAAGAAAUAAUCAUGAAAGUGUGGGGGUCUUUCAAAAAAGGACAAGACCAUACUGGAAAUGUAAAAGACAUUUCACAUAUUGAAUUCGACAUAAUGAUGCUUAUUAAGUAAGCAUAUGAUUGGACAUGGCCAUUGAGUCAUGCAUGUUAGUCAUAGUAAGGAAAGAAUGAAAGCCAAGAAGUGAUUUUCUCAUAAUUUCUAGUGAGGCAUGAAGGCCUAAAAAGAUGGAUAAAGUCUAUCUUAAUUGUUCAUUACUUCUUAAAGUGGAAAAUGUGAUUGAUUUAAUGAUAGCAUUACAAGAAACUACAAUUAUGAGAGAAUUGUGGAGGUUGGUUAAAAGUAAUUUGCUAAUUGAACGACAUUUAAGAUGUCAUCUCCUGUAAUGAGUAAUUGUUUAAGGUAUGACAAGGUUAGAGACCUUCUUACAACUACCUUAAAUGUGGGGGAGUAUGCCCAAGUAUUAGCAAAUUACUAACUAAAGUCCCAACAUGUACGGUUGAGGACUUGACGUUUUAAGUCAACUACUCUCGUAUGAAAUAUAAUUUCAUAAGAUGGAUUGUGCACACCAUUAAAGAUAUAGUCAACCUAGUAGUGGAUCCAAUUAUUAAAGGUUUGACUAGAGAGUAAGUUGAUCAUCGAGAGGAAUGAGGCUAAAGCCAACAUAACUAAUGAAUCAGCCGAGCGGAAACCUAACUUAGUUGAUUGGAGAUCCAAUGGUCUAAGUUCAAUAGGCAAACUGGUUGGGCAUGAUUCAAAGAAGUUAACACACUAUAUACCUCAUUCCUAUGAUGGAAGAAGUGUGUUGUUUGCAUACGUUUUAGGUUGUAUAUUUAUACUUAAUGAUAGUGAUAUCUUAUAAAUACGAGGAAUAGAGCAGACUAUUCUUAAUCAGUGGUCACCUAUGUGAAAGUAGAAGUGGGUCGCUUCUAUGAGAAUGAGAUGGCUAAAUUCUCUAAAGCUCUCAUGAAUCCGGGAUUUGUUCAGGACCAAAAUGAACACAACCGUAUGAACCGUAAUAUAUUAGGAUUAGUGAUGUGUGUUGCUUAUUGUCUCGGUUUACUACUGCGGUGAACAGUUCAAGAUUUUAUAUUCACUGCGUCACCAAGUAAAUCCGAUAAGUAUUCACUAGGGUAGGUUCAAGUCCAAAAGACACUUCUCCCGAUACAUCUCUUGUUCGUCUGUACUCUCAAAUUCUUCCUGAUUUUUCAUUCAUGUGGGGGAUUGUUAAAUUAUAUAUUAUAAUAUGAAAUAUUGUAAUAUAUAAUUUUAAUAAUUGAAUGAAAAAUAGUGUUAACCAAUUUCUUAGAAAGGUUAUGUUGUUUAGGUGAUUUUCCCUGAUAAGUGAUGUAUACUUAUAAAUGAAAAGUUACAUCUCUUUAAUAAGUAGAAGUUGGAUUCUAUAUAACCCAGGAAACCAUUGGUAUUAGAUAUAGAAAAUUAGAGUUAAUUUUUACUCUUGAGAAAUAGGGUUUCCCCACUUUGUUUCUCAAAUGAUUCGUAUGUCAAAUUCCAAGGCGUGUCUUGAGAGUAUGGAAUAUAUAAAGUUCGCCUGAGUCCGAAGAUUGAAGUGCUUUGACUUCGGAUUAUAAAUUGUUGAAUCCUAGGAGAUUGACGCCUACCGAACUACAAGCACAACAGUAGGGGCGAAAUUAUAUCUUUAGGACACUACAUUUAUGCAAGCCUCAAUCUUUAAGUUUGUCAGGUUUUCUAACUUUAUUUCUAGUUGUUUAUAUUAAUCUCAUAUAUAAUUAAUGUUGUGAAUUUCUUUAUAAUUAUUAUCAUUGGAAUUAUAUUGUUAUUUUUUAUAUUUUCUAAUAUUGCUCGAACAAAAAAUAAAAUAAGAUGUGUGAAUAGCACAUCCCUUUAUUUAUCAUCGUGUGGGCAGCUUCUUUGUCAUUUUCAUAUCUUGGACAUCCACUUAAAACAGUGGGCAGUUGCGUAGUACCCUUUUGUCCCUUCCAUGACACGUCACUUUGAUUUUGCACAUAAUAUUAGUCUAAACCUUUUGAUCACACAACUAAACUCUUCUAACUUAAUGAUUAGUCUAAAGUUUACUUUUACUGAUCUUCUAACUUAAUGAUUAGUCUAAAGUUUACUUUUACUGAUAUUGGAUUAAUUAAAUCUUAAUCCACCGCUUAAUCUUAUCAAUCAAAAUAAUUAUAAUCUGCCACCUUAAUUUGUCACCACUAUUGUCCCCUCCGUGAUCCCCUUUAUUUGUUAAGCAGACGUAGGACACAGUUUCAAAUAUUUGACUUUUCUUUUGUCAAUAAAUACAUUUAAAACGUGUAAAUCACGCGUAGCAUGCCGUGAUUCAACGUGCUUGCAUGAAGGCUAGUAGUUUAUUAAAUGUAUUGGAAUUUCUCUUACAUAUUAUUAUAAAGAACGAAAAAACAGUUUAUUCAUCUUGUUAGUAUGUGAAGUUAUGGUUUUGAAUAUCGUGAAUAAUAAGUUCGAUACUUAAUUAUUUUUUCAUUUUAUUUUUUAAUAGAAUUAUAGUAUUAAUGGGUUAAAUAGUUAGUAAUUAUUUCUCCACCUUUUAAUUAUAUAAUACCAUUGUAUAAAAAAUAUCUAAAUAAAUAAACACCGGAAAACAAGACUGAUCAGAGAAUCAAAUUUGCAUCACUCAGUCAUUUACCUGGAAUCCACUUGCUACUUAAUUAUAUAUUAAACAUCAUUGAGCAUGUGAGGGAGACUUUGAUUUGUUUUGGUGUUCGUCCCUUAUCUCCAAAAGUUGCUCACCACCACUGAUUUUGUUUGCCCAUUGAAUUUUCUAGGGAAGAAAAGGGCACUGGAGGGAGACUUGAGGUGACUGCUUUAGUGGAGAACGCCAUAGCUAAGGACAUCCCGCGAUAGAUCCAAAGGAAAAGACAAAUUAAAACUAAGUGAUGGUGAUACUUAUCAUUCUAUUUAUUAUUUUUAGAUGAGUUCAAAUUUUAAGAUAUGUGUAGUAUACAAAUACAAAUGUCCAAAUUUAAAUACAUUCAAAAUAAUAAAUAAGAUGGUGAGCAUUACCAACCUUUAGUAGUGACGAGAAAAAUGCACUCAAUAAAUUGGGUUGGGUAAUUGACUUACAUGCAUAUUCAUGUUAUCGUCAACUCACAGAGACUAAAAGAAGGAGUUAAAGUUAUAAGGUAUAUACACGCAUACAUUCAUAUAUACAUGGAUUAAUUAGAUUGGACAUUUCGAUGGCAAUUGUUGAGAUAAAGAUCAUAGGAAGCUUCAUAAAAUUCUGUCAAAGUAGAUUAGGACAGAAAAGAAAAUUCCUAUAGCCAAUUAGGGGCUAAAAGCAACAUCAGAAGGACAAACCAUGUAAUUUGUCCAAAAAAAAGGACAAACCAUGUGAGAGAGAGAGAGAGAGAGAGAGAGAGAGAGAGGCUAAAAGCAACAUCAGAAGGACACAAACCAUGUAAGAGAGAGAGAGAUAGAGAGAAGGUUCUGCACGGUUGAAGAACAUAUAUUCUACUUAGUCUAGUGGCAUCCUAAUCUUACUCUUAAUUUCUUAAUUAUUGGCCAAUUGAAUUUGAAUCCACGCCUAAUUGUGCUUUUAAAAUAUUAGUUGGUCGUUUGUACUGAAAGCAUUUUAUAUCAGACAACUUUGAGUUAAUCAUUGUUGCUUUGGAUCAUCAUUAAAUAUUUCUUAUAUCCAAUAUUAAUUUUAUUGGGUAAGUUUUUUAGCGUAAUUGCAUGACACUCUAUCGGUAUCACUAAUUCAAUCAUGUUAUAACACAUAUAUUAAUAUGUUAAUAUUAUACAACUUAAGUUCAAGACAUAUCAAACUUGUCUAUGUACUCAUAUUAUGAUAUGUGGAUGAGUAGUAACACCGAGUCAUGAUCUCACCUUCACGGUAAACAAUUUCCUCAUUUUCUUGACCAAUUCUUUGUCCUUGAAUGUUAGGCAGAGCAACGCAGAAUCAAAUAUGAGUUGAAAUAUGAGAAGUUGCCCACUGUAUAAAAAGUCACCAAAAGUCCCAUAACGCCCAACAAAAGUAAUAAAGAAAAGCAUCACAAAAGAACACUUUUCCCGUAAGUUUACUUUGUUUAACGAACUUUGACGCAAUAAAAAUAUUACUCAUUUAUAAUAGAAAUGUUACGUGUUCGAAUUGUGAAAAUAACUUUUUUACAAAGCAAGAUUAAGACUAUAUACAAUCGACAUCCUCCUUCAGACGAUCCUCGUACAGUCGACAGCUUUAUUAGCUCAAGAUUGCCCUUUUAAGAGUAGUCAAGUGGGAUUAGUAGAGGAAUCUUCGUGCCUUUUUUUAUUCUUAUUGAUCAAAGUUUGCAUUUCACUUGUUUCAAGGUUGCCCUUUAUACAUCUUUCUUCCUUUCUAUCUACCCUCACUGUUCUUUUGCAAAAGGCAUUAUGCCAUAAACUAUUACAUCAAAGAGAGAGAGCAAUGGAGGGAGAGAGAAGAAGUUGAAUUUUGAAGCAAAAAAAAAAAAAAAAAAAAAAAAAACGAGACACCAAAAGACAACUAAAUUACCAGGCUUAGCUAGGAACACUUGCUCUGCUUUCAUCCAGAACUAUCCACAAUCUGCAUUUUAUUUAUUUACAACCUGCACAGUUUGUAAAAGAGUUUAAUAAGAAUUAUGAUCUUGUAUCGUAUUAUCUGGGAAAGGCUUACAUAAAUUUCUCUGGAUGUCACCAUGAUUUUUCAAACUUAAUAUUUAAUGUCACAUACAGAGCUAAAAUAAAUAACAUUGUAUUAUUGAUCUGAAACAUCGUAGUGCAUGUAAGUCUCUUUCAUAUACCCAGGCUUAGGGCAAAGUGGGGUCAGAUAGCAGAGAAAGAGCUUUGAUUUGUACCUUUUUCAUCGCGGUCCAAUUUUUUCCAGAAGUGGUGAAUAAAUACGGUGAGCAGUGCAGCGGCUGCUACGAUUCCGAUGAGUAUUGCAAGUGUCUUGUCAAGAUCGUCAUUGUUAUCGUCAUCAUCAUGAUCUAAAGCAGAACAAAAAUAAAAAAAAAGCAAAUAAGAACAUCAAACACUAUAUAAACAGUUCACCUUUAUGCACGUACGGCAAACAGAUUAAAGUACCAAUCAUGCAAUAAAAUCAAUGAUUAAUAUGGUGAUUUGAUGCAAUUAAGCUUGGUUGGAUGAGAUAUACGUGUGUUGGUGGACUCUACCUUUAUAAAAAAAAAUGAUACAAAUAUAGUAUAAAAGAUGUAGUUAAAGUAACAUUACUCGGAUUUGUUUCAAGUAAUCUGAAUAUCACUACUUUCAUGCUAAAGUAGUAAAAUGGGUCUCAUUUAUCCCAUUGACAUGCAAAUUAAAAAGGAAACUAUGAGCUUUUUGAAACACGAGAAAGUCCUAUUAUUUACUAUAUAACAUAAUCUUAGGCAUCUUUACGUUUUGUGUUUUUUUACAAAGUUCAUUUAGCGAGAAAUGCUAUUGACAUUAAAUGCUGCCCAACAAAUAAUCCUCAUGCACUCAUCUUCUAUGUAAAAAAAAAAAAAAAAAAACAUGACAAUUAAGAAUGUCGAUAACAAUUUCCCCAUCCAACAUCCCAUCAUGAAAAGAAAAGAAGAACAUAUUCAUGCGUAAUGUUUAUGCAAUAAGAGCCAAAGUGUCAAUACUUGGUCUUCUAACUGCAAAUCCAUCAUCAAUCAAACUGAACGUAACAACCACUCUGAAAAACAAAGUACUUGGAUAUUCCUAAUCACCACCAAACACCUCCCUUAGCAACACAUACACAACACGAAACCAAACCUACUCACUAAUUAAAUACACUAAUACAUAAAAACGAAAAAAAGGAGAGAACAAUCAGAAGAAAAGUGAAUUUACCAAAACAACCAUUUAAAGAGUAAAUAACCAAAAACCAGAAAGAGGAAACCACCAUCCAGGGUGGCGAACCAUCUUACCAUGACCGUCGUUCGAGUUAUAUCCCCCUUCCAAGUAGCGCGCGUAGCACUUAGCCAAGAAUAUGUCGCCCCACGAGCUGGUCCCGCACCCGGACCUGAGCUGUCCGACGGCUCCCGACAGACAAUCCUGGCAUUCGCUCGGACUCAAAUCCCCGACACACUGCGCCACGCCCCGAACAUUCCCUGAGCCGCUAACCCUGUAUGGCUUGUAGGUCCCAUCUCCGGUCCCCAGAUUCGCCAGCACGGCUUCCAGGUCGGUCAACGCAUCCGAGUCAAACCCAUUCGACGGCCCACAUUUCUUAACCACCAGUGUCUUGUCCUCCACCCCUAAGAACUUCGAGUUGUCGUACUUCACCAAGCAGCCCUCGAGCUGCAACGCGCCGCCACAGGAGUUGACGCAUAGGGUGCCGAGUUGACUCGCCGCGCGAGCGACGCACUGGGAGCAGUCAUUGCUGCUGAGGUCGCCGCGGCAUUGGAAGAGGCCGUAAAGGGUGUCCUGGGAGCCGGCGGAGCUGCUGCCGGGGAAGGUGAAGUUGUUGUAGGUGGAGAACAUGGCUGAGUUGCCCAGGGAAGUGAGGACCGAGUUGACUUUCGACUCGUAGGGUGAACCCGGGAGGUAUUUUUGCUGAGAACAGCCGCCGAAGACGAAGGAGGUGGUUGCGGAGGAUGAUGGAGUUGCGAGGAAGGAAACAGUAAGUAGGAAAACAAAUACAGAAGACAUCAUGAUUUGAGUUGUGAGGUGGUGGCUGCAGCAAGUUAGAAGAGAGAGAGAGAAGUGGGAAGAAAUAUAGGGUUUUUUAAUUAUGAAGUGUGAAGAUUCAAGGGAUUGUCAAUGGAGUGCCUUCAAGUAACAAAUAUGAAUAUUUGAAAAGGCAUAAACUGCAGGACCUCUUUUAGUGUGUGUGUGUGUGUGUGUGUGUGUGUGUGUGUGAGAGAGAGAGAGAGAGAGAGAGGAUGUAGGUGUGUGUGAGAUAGAUAGAGGAAGAGAGAAAGAGGGGUAAGGUUGCUUUGGGGGGAAUUUACGUAAGGGAGUGAGAAACUCGAUGGUUUGGUGCAUAUAUGAAUAAUGAUGGAUUAUUUUGAAGCCAAAAUGCUAUGGUUUGGAUGAGCGUGACUCACUAACGAGUAAUCUUUUCCAAUGUAACAAUCCAGCGUUCUCUUUACGUUAUGUUACUCAUUCAUACAUCAUACAUAUUAUUUAUUAAUACAAAAAAUUAUUUAUGUACAUUUAUUUUCUCUUUAUGUAAUCCUCCAGUUGUUUGUUCAUUGAUUUUUUUUUUUACAAGUUUAAAAAUGACCAUAUAAAGAAAAAAUUGUGGUGCAAAAAUUAUUUUCCUUAUUGAUAUUAUACUAUAGCAAUUUAGGAUUCGUUUAAAAAUGCUUUUAAAAUGAUUGAAACUGCUUUGGUCAUAUUGAUUUUAGAUUCCAAAAGCAUUUAAAGUGCUUUUUAGAAUAAGUGACAGACAUGUACUUCUUGCAUGAAGCAUCAAGUGCUUUUUAAAGAUCAACUUAUAUUUUUACUAAGGAUUAAUUUCAAUAACAUUUUCUUCAAAAGAACUUUCAAUCAUCUUAAAAACACUUCUACACUAACUCUUAAAUUAAUCUUUUAAGACUUGAAUAGCACCAUAUAUGACUAUGAUCGUCACUAAAAAAUUCUUUUCAAUCAAACUCGUACGAAAGUAUAGUAAUUGAUGGUUAUGAAGCAUGUGGGUGUUAGUUAAAAGCUUAGUUGGCUUCAAAUUAGUGAGUUUAAAAGUCAAUUAUAGUUGAGGAGACUGGUUACGGUUGACCACGUCAUCAUAAAAAAGUAGUCUGCAGGAUGACUUUGACAACUUCUACCGGUUGGCAGUUGGUCCUCUUUGAAUAACACGCAACUUAAUUGAUUUGUUUAUACGAAUCAUCGAGAGAUUUUUCAGUGUAAUAGUCACACGAGAUAAUAUAUUACGUGUUCUUAUAUAAAUGUUGGGUUAUGUGUGUUAAAAGAUUAAUAACUUAAAAAUAAAAAAAUUUCAUCACUUACAUAAAAACACGUGAUGUAUCAUCCGUAUUUUCGUCACAACUAAAAAUUUCUUCAAAUCAUCAGCUAAUGAUACUUUUAAAGUUUAAAUAAUUUCAAAGAAGGAUGCUUUUAACAUUAAAAUUAUUAUUAAAUUAUGAGUGUGAGUGAAAAUGGAAGCUUUUAGGAACAUUAACAUAACGUGAGUAAAUAUUUUGUGGUUUGAAAAGUAGCUAAUUAAGUUAGUCCAUACUCCAAGGGAACCAGAUCCUCCCCUGAGCAUGGGGACCGGAGCGUGCUGAGCAGUCCAUCUGAACUUUUGAAAUUUGAUCUAAUGACUGUAAUUAUUAUAACUUUUGGAAGGACUCCCUGUUUAUAGCUGUUAAAUCAAAUUUCAAGCGCCCAGAUGGACUGCUCAGCUGGCUUUGGUCCCUGUGGUCAGGAGGGGAUCCGGUUCCUACUCCAGGGUCCACAAUAAUUCAACUGAUUUUUUACUUAAAGCUAGCUAAGGCUUAAUUAAUGUGACUUCCAUGGCCUCCUAAGUUAGGUGUAGCUUUGAAUUUACAUCUACGCAGACAUCUCAUCUUAUUCGUAAUAAGAUAACAAUCAAUCCUAAACGAGUUCAAUUGAAAUAGAUCACAAAGAGGCCAAAUUAGGAACUCCGCCUACAAGUGAUAAGUCAUUAACUACAUAUACACAUCCGGUCAUAUAUGUAUUACAAAUUACAAUAACGAAUACAUAAAGAGGAGAACUUUAACGAAAAGCUCCCGGUACUAUUCAUUUUAACGAAAAAUCACAUUUUUACACUAAAAAGUCAAUAUUGAUACUAUUCACUUUACCCUUUAUUUUGUCCUUACCGUUAAAACUCAAACUUUUCAAGCCAUUUUCAUUAGUUUUCAUUUUUUAAAAAUGCUAGAUCUAAAAACAUCUCUCCCUGGCACUGGUAGUAAGUACUCUAUGGUUCAGAUCUUUAGCAGGUUUAUUGAUAGAGAUCAAUCGUUUUUUUCCGGAUGCGUUGAUAUUCUCCAUUUUUUCCUUCUAACUAUUGAUAUGGGGAGGGGAAGAAGACUAGAGAUACAAUCAAAUAUCUGUAACUAAUCCCUACCCCUCCCUUCUUUUUUUCUUUUUUUACUUCUUUUUCUGAAGAAAAAAAUAGAGUUUUAAUUGCAGAAGAUUUGAUGUCAAAAAAAAAAAAAUCGUUUGGCAAACAAAACUGCAGAAAGAAAAUUUGAAUUCAUUGCAAGGGGCGGCCACACUUUCCUGUCCAAUCGAACUAAGUGAAAAUCAGCAAAUUAAUUACGGAAAAAUGAAUCUUACGAGGAGGAGAAGAAACGUAUUAUUUGUUCAACGUCUAGCGUGACAAGUUUAUUAGUCAGUGAUUACAUAAUUAACUAAGAGGUGAUUAAUCCGUCACAAGAAUUAGAUUCAAUUUUUUUAGUCAGUAAGAUGCAAAAAGAAGGAUCAUGGAUAAAGAAACGAGCAUUAAACAAACCGUAGGUAGCGUAUAUACUUUAUUAGUUUACACCAUAUGAUCUUAUCCUUAUAUUCAGGCUCUUGCACGUCUCUUUUACACAAAAUUAUAAUUAAAAAGAUAUAAUUAUUGAUAUGAUAGAAAAUGAAGUUUAUGUACAUUUUUCAAUAUUUUUAAUGAUAGAAACAUAAGACCUACACAUUUCUAAAAUUGAAAUUCAACUAUCUACUUCAUGUUCAUGAUGAGUUGCAUUUGCACCACACGAAACAAAAACAUUUUUUUUUUUUUUUUUUUUUAUUUUGUUUUUUUUUGAAUUUGUACCAAAAUGUUUUUUCCAUCACAAUAAUUUUUUAUUUUCAUGAUAAGUAAUUUCAAUAUAUUAGGUUAUAUCUGAUAUCACACAUUUGAUAUAUUUUUUGCACUUUAUAUUAUUUUUAUGUUUCAAUGAUUUAAUUUUUUUAUAAUUCAUUCAUAUAUCAUUACUUGUAUAGAGUUAACUAAUUAUUAAAAUAUUUUGUUAUUACACACAUUUUUGAUAUUUUCCAUUUUUGUACAUUUUUUUCAUUUUCUAUUUUGUAAUGUAUUUUAACGAUUUAAACGAACAUCUAUUGAUAUAUUUAGUACAUCAUUCAUAUAUAAUAUCAUUACUUUAUACAAAAGACAAUUUAAUUUAAAUUGUCUUUGAGAGUACAAAACUUAAAAUUUAUUAAAUUAUUUACGUAUUAAUCAUUUGAAUGUUUAAAUUUAAAAGAAAUAUGAGGAUAAUGGUUGAUUUAUUUUGAUAAAAGAAAUUACUUAAAUCUAAUUAUGAAUACCAUAAAGAGUUAUAUAAUCCAUUCAAUAUUCGAAAUGAUAUGAAAGACAUACACAAUGACAUAUUUUUUUAAAUAAAUUUGCAUUUCACCAUACAAAAGACUAAUGUGUUAAAAACAAGUGGCAAAUUUGGAAGAAAGGUUCAAAUUAAUCAAGAAGGAGCAUGGUAAAUACUUCAUGUUCAUGCAAAAGUUUGCACACAAGUUUCAUUAUGAAACAAAAAAUUUUAAUGUUUAUUUACCUUCUAUGUUCAAGGGGAGUAAGCCAACACCCAAAAUUUGUGAUGGUCCUGGUAAUAUUUUUAAAUCAUUUUAAUUUGUUCAAAUAACAAAAUAAAACAGAGUCAUACAACUGUAUAUUUAAAAUUUCCAAAUCCUAAUCAUGGUAAGGCUCAAUGUUUUAAUUUUUUAAUAUUUAUUUAUUGGUAAUAUUCCACUCAAAUUUGUGUUUUUUGCAAGGUACUUUUUUUUAAAAAAGGGAACGAACCAUCUAAUAUUUUUAAUUCAAUUAGGUUCCUUUACAAAGUAGGUAUGUUAAUCAAAAACUCCCAUGGCCUAAAAUAUUGAUGUUGAGAUUUGUUCUUUUGUACAAAGAAAAAAUAAAUCUUAAUAAAUCAUCCAUGCUUACCGCUAUUACCAAAAAAUGUGAGUAUAAAAAUCAAAAUGUGAAUGGAGAUUUCCAAUUGUGUAAAGAAAAGAAAAGGUAAAAGAUAGAACUUUUGGACAUCUCAAAUUCCAUCUUUCGAAAGGUAUAAUUGCAGUGCGGAUUGUCCUUGCAAAUUUAGGAAAUUUGGGGACAAUGUUUGGAUUCAAUGUCAAAUAAAAAUGUAAAUAGUGAUGUUUCGUAUUAUAAAUGCAAGUGAUGGACUUUUGAAAUUGGGUUUGAUUAAUAAGCAAUAAGUCGGUCUCUUUACUAGUCAAAAAUUGUUAAAGUCUGCGGUUUUGUAGCCAAUAGGAUUCCUAUGAGUGAAUCUCUUUAUAAAAAACAAAAAAAAUUUAUCCUUGGUGCAAUAUUCUCAAGAGCUUUGCAACCUUUAACUCAGAAUCGACUAGCCACCCCUUAUCCUAAACUUUUGUUAUCCAAAAAAAAAAGUGAGGGGUUUUGUCUUCCAUCGAUGCUUUUGAAUUUUGAUGUGGCCACAAUACAUAAGAUUAUUAAAUUGUCUCCAUGGAUUGUAGGCCUCCAUGCACCAACGCUUGCAUAAUUUUGAAUUAAACAAAUUAUCAGUAAAAGUGGGUGUAGGAUGUUUGCUUCCAGAAUUUGAUUUUUAACACUCAAAUCUUUUAUAUUCUUUGUUUUCUUCGACUGGUAAAAGAGCUAGACUUUUUUGGUACACAUAACGGAAUUGAAUCCUAAACUCAUCGUACUCGUGAUUCGUUUCCCGUCAUUCACGCCACUUGGGCAACCCCCAAGGCUGAAAUUUGUUACUUACAUGAGUUAGAUUGCUUGAGUUUGUACCAUUCAUUACAUAAGAGCAAGUACAUCCGUUUUAGAGAGCAAGCGCAAGCAAGAGUACUAACUCACUCAAAGGGUACCAUGUAAGUUCUAUUUGAGAGCAAACACUUUGUGAUUUGUACAAAGUCUUUUGGGACGAUAAGGAGAUUAACUUUAUCACAUGUAUGCGCAGACUUAUAAGGAGUUGUAUUACUUAGGUAUUUAGGUAGUACAGUCAGAAACAUUCUUAGAUAAACUAGAACUCUUUCUAGCUGAUUUAUGCACAAGUAAUACGGUGAUAAAGUUCAUCUUUGAUAGGGUUUACUUAAUGGAGGACUCCUAAUCAAAGACUCACCUAUAGUAUAUAACUGAGGUCCCUUGCUCUCACAAAAUACCUGCAAGUAUACAGAAAUCCUCAAGCCCCAUUGAGUGAGCCUUGCUUCCGGACAGUGCAGAGACACAGAAGAGCCUCAGUUCUUUACCCUAUUUCUGAGACGAUGUCUUCCUCAGGUUAGUGGUUAAAUUGGUAUAUGAGUCAGUCGUUAUAUAUGUAUAUAACUUAAAAGAAUUAACUUACAUUUGGUAUCAGAGCCCUCACAUAUCAUCUGACCCUAUGUGAAAGGUAUCAAGAAAUUUCAUUCUGUUUUGCAGGUUAUGGAACUGGAAUUGUAUCAUCAAGGAAAAAAUAUAUAACAACACGUUCAAGGAUGACUAAAGUUAUCCUUGAUCAUAAGGAUAUUAUGUUUUUUUCAAUCGAUACAUGUACCAGUGAUGGUGCUUAAAAUUCAAGACAUGAUUAUUGAUCAUCUAAAGAUGAUUUUUCUUUCAUGCUUCGAAUUUGAGCAGCAUAUCAUUUUAUAUAUAUAUUUGAAUCAAAUUAAUAUUGUCAAACCACAAAGGCUUGUGAUUUUAAUUACAGAAAUUCGAAUGUUGACUAUAAAAGUGAUAUGAUUAAAGAAAGUUUUCACAUAUUCAUCAAUCUAAAGAUGUUGAAGAUGUGAUUUAUGGUUUGGGGUUAAAGAUUAAUACUCUUUACAUCAUGAACGUUUCCUUUUCAGUGAAUCCCGGCUCUUUGAAUCUCAAUACAGUUGAGAGCCUCUUACUGGUGUCAAACUACAGAAAAGUGGAAACAAGAUCUCGAAAUCGUUUUGGGAGUUAUGGACUGGGAUUUGGCACUGAGAACUGAAGAACCUCCGGCACUCACUGAUGACAGCACUGCAAAUCAGAAAUGCAAGUAUGAAAAAUGGCACAAAUCCAACAGAAUUGCCCUAUUGAUCAUCAAAAGGAGCAUGACAGAUGUGGUGAGAGGUGGCUUUCCUGAUGAAGCAAAUGCAAAAGAUUUUUUGAAGUCCAUUGAGGCAAAGUAUAGGGAAUCACCAAAAACUGAGACAGGUAAUCUCAUGAAUGCUCUCACUACCAUGAGAUAUGAUGGGGUUCAAAGUGUGCGAGAAUACAUAUUGAAAAUGGUGGACGUUGCUGGAAAACUCAAUGCACUCGAGGUACCAAUUUCUGAUACUUUUCUGGUACAUGUCAUUAUGAAUUCUCUGCCUGAAAGUUAUACACAACUCAAAGUUUAUUAUAAUGGUCUACGUGAGAAAUGGGAUGUGAAUGAAUUGAUAGCUAUUUGUGUGAGUGAAGAAGAAAGGAUGAAGAAAGAAAGGUUUGAGAAAGAGAGAAUUGAGUCUGUGAACCUUGUCCAAAGUGUCACUAGGGCCACUAAAUCUCAUGUUCCCGAUACUGCCAAAAAGGAUUCUACCAAGUCAGUUCCCUCUCCUAAAAGAAACUUCAAGCUUAAUAAACUUUCAGUUUUCAAGUGCUAUUUUUGCAAAAAGGCAGGCCACAUGAAGAAAAACUGUCCCAAAUAUAAGGCUUGGCUUGCCAAACAAGAAGCAAAGAAAGGUAAAAAUGUUUUUGCUUGUUUUGAAUCAAAUUUAAUUAACAUACCUAGCACUGAAUGGUGGCUUGACUCGGGCUCUUCUAUACAUGUUACAACUUCAUUACAGGACUUCACAACAAGGAGAACACCAAAUAAGGAUGAAGUCAAAGUUUCGGUUGGCAAUGGAAGAAGAGUUGAAGUCAAAGCCCUAGGAAGUGUUAGACUAAAGCUAGAAUUUGGUUUUUAUUUAGAGUUAGAUAACAUUGUUUAUGUGCCUUCCAUGAAAAGGAAGUUGAUUUCUAUUUCAAAGCUAGUGUUAUUGGGUUUUUAUUUUACUAUUAAUAAAAGGGGCUUUAACGUUUUUUAUGAAUCUUCUCAAGUAGGACAUGGUUUCAUGAGUGAUGGUAUGUUUCAACUUAAAUUGAAUCAAACUGAAUAUGUUUUCAACGUACAAGAUGAUAAAAUCAAAACUCAACAGUCUUCAAUAUUAUGGCAUAAGAGACUCGGCCAUAUUUCUAAACAAAGAAUGGAGCUGCUUGUCAAAAACGAAAUUUCUACCUCCAUUAAACUUCAAUGACUUUGAAUUUUGUGUGGAUUGCAUUAAAGGGAAAAUGACAAAACACUAGAAAGGAAGGCUCAACUAGGAGUAAGCAACCCUUAGAGAUCAUUCACACGGACAUUUGUGGUCCUUUUCCCACACAAAACCUUAGAAGGAAACAAAUAUUUCAUUACUUAUAUUGAUGAUUUCUCAAGAUUUUGCUUCAUUUAUUUGAUUUCAGAAAAGUCUAAAGCACUUGAAACUUUUAAAAUUUAUAAAAGUGAAGUCGAAAAUCAAUUGGAAAGGAACAUUAAGGUUGUAAGAUGUGAUAGGGGAGGGGAGUACUAUGGUAGAUAUACUGAAAUUGGUAGAAAUCCUGGACCUUUUGCGUUAUUUCUGCAAGAACAUGGAAUUGUAGCCCAAUAUACCACACCAGGUACUCCGGAGCAAAACGGAGUAGCCGAGAGGAGGAAUAGAACUCUCAUGGACAUGGUAAGGAGCAUGAUUUGUAGAACUAAUCUGCCAAGUUGUUUGUGGGGAGAAGCAGUGAAAACUGCAAAUUAUAUAUUAAAUAGGGUACCUUCUAAAUCUGUGGAAGGGACACCUUUCGAACUAUGGACAGGCAGAAAACCGAGUUUAAACCACUUGCAUGUAUGGGGCUGUAGAGCAGAGGCAAAGAUAUAUAAUCCAGGUUACAAGAAACUUGAUUCAAAGACUGUCAGUUGUCAUUUUAUUGGAUAUGCUGAAAGGUCGAAGGGUUUUAGAUUUUAUUGCCCUAACCAAAAUACAAGAAUUGUCGAAACUGGAAAAGCAGUUUUCAUGGAGUCUGAUGCAAGCGUCGAUUCUGGGACAAGGGUUGAAGGGUUUGUAUUUGAAGAAGAAAUAAACAAUCAAGAAGCAGCAGUUGAAGACGUUGAUCGUAACACAGCGAUUAUGGCACCAAUAGUUGUAGUAACCGAGAUAAUGGGAAGCAAUGAUUCUGAUGAACCAAGUCACGAGAUAGAGGUUGCACAUGACAUCGAACUGCACGAUAACACUGUUGUACAAGACGUGUUUGAAGAGGUUGUGAUAGAAAAUCAACAACAACAACACCAUGCACAUGAAGACAACAUCACGGCUGCGGGUGCUGCAAAUAUAAGAAAGUCAUCUAGGGUUAGAAAACCUACAACCCUAAAUGAUUUCGUAUAUUUGACACAGGUUGACACUGAUCUUUCAGAGUUUAAUGAUCCGAUGAGUUACAAAGAAGCAAUUGCAGGACCAGAUGCUGAUAAAUGGAUAGAAGCCAUGAAGAGUGAACUGAGUUCGAUGGCAAACAAUCAAGUGUGGGAUCUAGUGGAACAGGCAGAAGGAUCAAAACCCAUAGGAUGCAAAUGGGUUUUCAAAACAAAAAAGGAUUCAAACGGAAACAUAGAAAGGCACAAAGCCAGGCUUGUUGCGAAAGGCUUCACGCAAAAGGAGGGUGUGGACUACAAAGAAACAUUCAGCCCCGUGUCGACAAAGGAUGCGUUUAGGGUUAUCAUGUCUAUGGUGGCUCAUUUUGAUUUGAUUUUACAUCAAAUGGAUGUAAAAACGGCGUUCUUGAAUGGGGACCUGGAAGAAUGCAUUUACAUGCGUCAACCAGAAGGUUUCAAGGAGGGAGAAGGAAGAAACCUAGUGUGCAAACUCAACAAAUCCAUAUAUGGAUUGAAGCAAGCAUCACAGCAGUGGUACUUGAAAUUUCAUAGAAUUGUGAAAGAACAUGGCUUCACCGAGAAUCCUUCAGACAAUUGCAUUUAUCUGAAGUUCAGUGGGAGCAACUUUAUCAUCCUAGUUCUCUAUGUGGAUGAUAUAUUACUUGCCACGAAUUCUCACAGUUUGUUGGAUGAUACAAAAACUUUUUUGCAGAAGCAUUUUGAAAUGAAAGACAUGGGAGAAGCGACAUAUGUUUUGGGCAUUGAGAUCAAAAGGGAUAGAAGGAGAGGUUUGCUAGGCUUGUCACAGAAAGCAUACAUAGAGAAAAUGUUAAGAAGGUUUAAUAUGUCUUCGUGUGGAACUACUGAGAUGCCUAUAUCGAAGGGUGAUAAAUUAAGUAAGCAGCAGUGUCCACAAACAGACUUAGAGAGGAAGGCUAUGGACGACAAACCAUACGCCUCCCUGGUGGGAAGUUUAAUGUAUGCACAGGUGUGCACAAGGCCUGACUUGGCUUUCACCAUUUCCGUGCUUGGGAGGUUUCAAUCCAAUGCAGGUGAAGCUCACUGGAAUGCUGCCAAAAGAGUUUUUGAGAUACCUUCAGAGAACCAAGGACCAUAUGUUGGUGUAUAAAAGAACCGAGAGUUUGGUUUUGGAAGGGUAUAGUGAUUCUGAUUUUGCCGGUUGUCCAGAUGAUAUGAAGUCAACUACAGGUUAUGUUUUUUCUUAAUGGCAUGUGGUGCGGUAUCUUGGAAGUCUGUCAAACAAGGAACUGUGGCAGCGUCAACAAUGGUUGCAGAGUAUUUAUCAGUCUGUGAAACAGUGAAUCAAGCUGUUUGGUUUAAGAAUUUCAUAGUUGGGCUUCAAGUAGUGGACUCUAUAUCGAGACCUAUACAGAUUUUCUGUGAUAAUAAUGCAGCCAUAUUCUUUACUAAGAAUAAUAAGAGAUCUAAUGCAACAAGGAAUUUGGAUAUAAAAUAUCUCAUUGCUCGAGAGAAGGUGAUGGCCGGUUUAGUUAAGGUUGAUUAUUUGGAGACUGGAUCCAUGAUCGCUGAUCCGUUAAAUAAAGCAGUUCCCACCAUCGUUUUCAAGAAGCAUGUCACUAGCAUGGGAGUCUUGGCUGGUUUUGAUGCAGCGAAUUAGUGGGAGCUAUGCAACAGGUUUCAACUUUUAUGCUAGUUUUCAUUCAAUAGCAAUUUAUGUUAUGGAGGAUAAGUUUGAGUAUUAACAAUGAAGUUUUCUUAGCUAAUAAAGAAUAAAGCUGAAAGGUUGUUCAAGUUUCCUUAAAGGGUUCAGUUUUUAGCUAUGAUAAUGCAUGAAUAUUUUGCAUGCUGUUUAUGAUUUUUAUUCAUUAUACAGUGUCGGACAACCUGAGGGCUUUAUAUAGAAGCACAUGGAUCGUUUUUCGAUUCUGAAAGGGACCAAAUGUUAGACAUAAUUAAUACAUGUUCGGUUGUGUCUUGCAUGCUAUAUAUCUUGUUGGAAUCUUAUGUGUUGAUAAGCUUUACUUUAAGUAAUUAUGGGGACGGUACUCUUCAGUGUAAUGAGUGUGUGCCCUAUAAUUCUCAUGAAUGCUUAACAAUGACGAAGACUGUAAAACUAAGAAGUGUCGAAAGUUAAUCUCAUGGCCAAUUCAGAUCCUUCCCAACUCCAGUAUGAUUAUACAACUUUACAAAGUAUUUGCUCUAGUGGGAGAAUGUAAGUUCUAUUUGAGAGCAAACACUUUGUGAUUUGUACAAAGUCUUUUGGGACGAUAAGGAGAUUAACUUUAUCACAUGUGGCAGACUUAUAAUGAGUUGUAUUACUUAGGUAUACAAGUCAGAAACAUUCUUAGAUAAACUAGAACUCUUCUAGCUGAUUUAUGCACAAGUAAUCUACGGUGAUAAAGUUCAUCUUUGAUAGGGUUUACUUAAUGGGAGGACUCCUAAUCAAAGACCAUCACCUAUAGUAUAUAACUGAGGUCCCUGUGCUCUCACAAAAUACCUGCAAGUAUACAGAAAUCCUCAAGCCCCAUUGAGUGAGCCUUGCUUCCGGACAGUGCAGAGACACAGAAGAGCCUCAGUUCUUUACCCUAUUUCUGAGACGAUGUCUUCCUCAGGUUAGUGGUUAAAUUGGUAUAUGAGUCAGUCGUUAUAUAUGUAUAUAACUUAAAAGAAUUAACUUACAUACCAUAUAUUAUAUAAGAGCAAAGCCACGUCGACUAGUUAUUGGCAUGUCUGCAGUCGGACUGCUGCAGACGGGGCUCGCUAUUGUAGUUGUUGUUGGCCACUUGUCCAUAAUCGCAUGUGUGUUACACUCUCCUGACACAAAGCCUUGCCCACAAGCACAAGACCGAGCUUCAGAUGCUCGGGUAUUUGGACUUGCUUGGCACACUACUUGCCCUUGCAUUUUUGGAGGGCAAAUUUUGAGCCCUUACUCUUGUCUUGCACCAACUGAAGCUGCUCUAAUGAAUUCAUAUUUGUAUACACCUUUAUAAAUUACCUCUUAUAUAUAUAUAUGCGCAAGUCCCACAUACAUCAAUGGUUCAUUUCUACAAAGAGAAAUGGUCAACAAAGUGCGUGGUCAUUAAACAGAAUAAAUGGUAUUAUUUAGUGUCCAAAAAUAAAAUUAGCAUUAUUGAUUGGUGAUAGAUGAAUGAGACCUCAAUGGAGCAUUCGAACAAAUAGGGGAAAACCCACAAUCCAUAUUUUAUAGGGAAUAUAAGGCCCAAGAGACCAGUUAGACCUACGUUUCACAACCCAUAUUUUGUGUCAUCCGUGAACCAACGGAAUUGGCAACUCUUGUGGUCCUUGGUUGAGCAACGUUUGUUUGAAUAAAUUAAGGAACCUUGGUUGAGCAACAUUGGUUUGAAUAAAUUAAGGAAUUGAAACACAAAUAGCAUAGGUGGGUUAUUUUUGACUGUUGAUGUACCAAGACACCAACGGUUAUGUUUAACCCACAUGCAUAGCUGCAGAUUAUAAUAUUUAACUGCAUAUAAAAAUCUUGAAUUACUCCGCCUUCAACAUUCAUGCUCGCUCAAUGACCCCUCAAUUAAACACAUAAUUAAACAUGCAACGUCUAACUCGAGCCACUGCCAUGCAAACAUAGAUGAUUAAACGGAGGAGAGCAAUCGAAUCAUUCAUGUGCAAUAUACUAUUUCACUGUAUCAAUACAAAUAUCAAACACUACAGAUCUCCCCCACGGGAACAACUAGUUGCGAGGUCUUCCGUGUGAUGUCUAUGCAACAAACAACUCAAGCCGUAGAGGAAAUUGUGUGGAUGGUAUGGAAAUCGAAAAAUAAAUAAACGAUAACUUAUUUACACACAUGAAUGGAUGAACUAACAAACAACUUCCACAAUCUCUGAACAAUAUCAACACACAGCGCACAAUAUAAACACCGGCAUACUUUCGAUCAUCCACCGGGCAGGGCCAAAUGGACAACAGCAGCCUAUACAAUCUGCCAAACUUUUUUCAGACAACACUGCAUCAAGAAAAAUUAAAAAAAUAAAAACUCCCAAUAUAUAAUUCGUCUUGCUUGCUUCACAAGGUUCAUUUACAUGUAGCCAGUAAUUAUUAACUCGUUAAAAUGUUUAGGAACAUAUUAAUAAAUCCAGUAUGGUUGAAUAAUUAGAACUAAUUACUCUUUCUUUUUGUCUCCGUCGGAUUUUUCCUUCUCCAUGCGUUCGAACAAGGUUCCGUCGUAAACAGCUCUAACGGUAUCUUUGUGCAGCAAACCAUUCUUGUCCUUGCAGAGAACGUAUAAGAUCUUCCAUUCUGUAUAGGCAGCAACCCUGCAUUUUAUAUUCCAUCGUUAAUUUAGUUAUGUUCUCUCUUUUAUAUUUCAGCAGGACAUGAAAUAUAUAUGAGAAACUUACCAUCCUGCAUAAUCCUUGGGAACCCUAUUAGUCUUUAGCAUGCCCAUCAGUUCAUCUGAUGUCAACGAAUUUGGAUGCGUAUGGGCAUGCUUUGCAAAGAUUUCUUCAAAUUUCAACGGAACAAACCUGAAAAAUUGUAAUUGGAGAAAAAUAAUUAAAUACAAAAAAGCUGAAAACAUAAUCCAAAUUCCAAAAGGAAGGGGAUUGGAGAGAGGUAAAAAAAAAGUAAGAACAAGAGUAGUUAAAAAAGGGUAAUGCUUGUGUCUCCUAGAGGACUUGUCUUCCCACUUACGAUUAACGAACUUUUAUCAUCCGAACAUUAUAAUCGAAACCGUUUAUUUUUUUUAUCAUUAUCUUGAUCAUAUGUGCAAAAAAAUUAUUCAAUUUGAAGAUCUUUUAGCCAUUCAUAUACAUAAAACAUAUGAACAUUUAAUCAUAAGAUUGCUCAUUGUAACCAAAAUUAUUGGUUGGUAUAACACGUAAGAAUAAUUUAGUUGUUCAUGUUCUUGUGCAAGCAAUAACAAUUAAAGCUAUUUAAUACAGCAUCCAUCAGACUAUAUAUAAUAAGAAGAUUAUAUUAUACAGAAAAUUGAUAUCAAUUAAUUAAUUAAUAAUUAUACGGUUAUACCUUCCUUCAGUAUCAUAGACACCAGAGUCACUGCCAUGUUUUGCUUUAUGGAUAUUUUUAACUUCAAUUGGGAAAAGUAGAGAAGGAAACUUUCCCUGCACCAAACACAGAAGCAAAAGCCACGUCACUUCUACUCAACGUAAUAGCAGCAAACGCGUCGAAAUAGACAGAAUUUAUUCCCCCCUAUAACACAUGUUCUUUCUUCUUUGUUUGGUUAAUGCGUCACAAUAUUCUUACAACAGCGCACAUUCAACCAAAUAUUCAAUAAUAUUGUAAAACAAUUUUUUUUUUAAGUUGCAACGUACAAUAAUUUUACAAUUUUGUAAACAAACGAGAAUUUUUUCUAAUAUGAACUAUUUUAAUCUAUAAGAAAAAGAAUAGAAUUCUUUUGAAAGUACUUUUAACAUAUUUUUUAGUUUUAAAAGCGUUUGAAGUGUUUUUUUCAAGAUUCAUUUGCAUUUUUACCAAAUAUUAAUUUCAAAACAUUUUUAUCAAAAAUAGUUUCAAUCAUUUUAAAAAUACUUCCAAACGAUCAUUUAAAAUAAUAAUAUAUUGUUCUAACCAACUUGUCUAGAAUCAAUAAGAUAACAACAAUUUAGUCCGGAUUUUCUGGUAAAGGUCAAGCUAAGUUGCUUUAGUGCUACUUAUCAAAUCAACAUUUGUCACGAACACUAUACAACCCUACUGGAUAUUUUCCUCCAUCUAUAAACAUGUGGACGUGAGUUUUUGACACAUGUCCUAAAUAUAAUAUUUCACAAAGAAAAAGUUGGUAACUCAGAAAACAAAUAUUCUAAUCUGGGAAUGAAAUUUUACUCUUUGCCGUCGCAACAUAGUCUAAAGCUUUGUACUUGUAAAAUUUUCCUUAUAAAAAGUUUUGUUACGAAGUGAGUCAAUCUCGGGACUUCCGAUGCUUGAGAGUUUGUUUGUUUUUUAUUUUUUAUUUAUUUUAUAUUUUUUUAAAAUACAAGAGGAGCGAAUCGAACUCAUAAUUUCCGAUGCAUACGCGAAUGAUAACCCUAGUGAGCGGAGUAUGAGAGUGAGAGAGAUACCUGGCGAGUCUUUUGACUGAGGGCAGCGUUGAUGAGAAAGGCACUGGUUGUGGACAACAAAAUGCCACACCCGAUCGCACGAAAACCUGUUAAUCACAGAGAUUAUCACUUUUAAUUAAAUUCUACAAAUUAUGAUAGACCGGUUUUAAAGAAGGAGAAAGGCAACAAAUAAUUGACAAAAACCUUGAAAAGUUUCCCAAGGAUAAACAAUGCCAUCGCGGUUCCUGUCAAAGAAGGCUACAUGUCUCUGCAGAACGUCCUGUUCGUUGGGUACAAAUUUCCCACCAUUAUUCCCUGCAUGCAUCACAAUUUAUGCCGAUAUUAAUUAGCAUAUAAUUCACUUCAAUACAUAUAUAAACCCUUUAUUUAACUCUAAGCAAAACGACCGGAAAGUUCAUGAAAACCUAGAGAGAAAGAGAGAGAGAGAGGAACUGCAUACCUUGCUGCUUAUUGUUUUCUGACAGAGAAGAGGAACCCAUAUUUUUCAGAAGGAUUGAAAGCUUGAGAGGGGAGAAGAAGGUAAAUCUGAUAAAGUGGAAUGGCAGUGAAGGAGAGUUAUGAAAAGAACCGAUCGACAAAUCCAACCUAAUAACGAGCGGAGCAACUUUAGAGGGUUGUGUGGGUUUUCUUUCCUGAAAUGUCUGGUUUUCAAACACACAAACUAAUUUAUUUAUAAAGGGCCAAAAGGAAGUACAAAAUUUAAUUUAAAUAUCUGGAAAGGCAUGGUGAUAGAUAUUCUACAAUUAUUGGAAAUUAUUGUGUUGUGGAAGCUUAGCGGUGCAAUAACGUCCUAAAUGGCAAGUCCCCACGCUGGCCCUACACGUUGACGAUCAAUUAGCCUAUUGCCACCCGUUAAUGCGCGUGACACCUCGUUCUUCUGUAUUUUAUUUAUUUAUUUUUAGAAUUUUAAUUCUUAAAAAUAAAUUCUAAAAAAUACUCUACGUGAACGAGGUUGUUUCUUUUGAAUUUUUAUUUAUUUUUUACUAUUUUACACUUAUUUAAUUAAAUUUCUCUUUAAGGGGAAUUUUGGGCAUUUAUCAAUAUAUCUCUUGUAUGUAUAAAGGAGUACCUCAAAAUAUGAACCUUCGGCCAUAAAUUGCUCCUCAAAAUGUCCAAAAAUACAAUUUAAUUGACCAUAUUUUAACUUUUUAAUGAAUUUGAAAUUUAAAACUUUAGGAAAAAAUAAUAAUAAAAACAAACCCCAUACGUUAGCAAGUGACAUUUUACCACAGUGGUGUAAAAGUGUUGAGCCCUUGCAUGACGGUGUAGGCUCUACUCUGACUGUGGCUAAUCUAACAAAAUAUAUAAAUAAAAAACUUGAUUUCUAAAGCGUAAAGUUAAAGAGACUAAAGUUAUAGACAAAAUUUAUAAACUAAAUGACUUGUCACCAAUAUGAAUAAACAUGUUUACUAACGCUUAAGUGAUAACUCAAUAAUCAACUUUCAUAUUCUUUAGUUUACAAAAUUUUAUCUACAAUAUUACUCUUUUCUAAAUCUUCUUUUUUUGUAAAAUUCCAUAAAAAAUUAAUUUUACAUAAAAAAGUCAAUUGCCACACCGUCUCACUAAAUUUGGUUUCUUCCUUUAUUUAAUGUCUUUUUUUAUUAUUAAUUAGGAAUAUUUAUUUACUAUUCUUUUGAUAGCAGAGUCAUAGACAUAGGGAAGCGAUCUCUCUCUUCUCUUAGACUCUCGCCUUCUUCAGAGCGAGGAGGGCAUCUUCCCAACGGCACUUCAACAAUUUUUCAAAAUUUUCUUUUCUUUAUCUCUUUUUUAUUUCAUUUUGUUCAGCCAUCAAGCUAUCUACUUCGGAGAAUCCUGAAAGUUUUUGCUAUGAUAUCUUAAUUAUUGUUCUUAUAGGAUAGCAUGCCUUUUUGAAACCCUUCAUGUUAUUUUCAUUUUUCUUUUAUUGACACCGCAUUGAACACACAUCCAAUUGUGUAUACUCAACAUACAUUAUUAUCUUAUAAUUAUAUGUUAGAGUGCGUUGUUUAAUUACGAAAAGCAAUGUAUAAUAAUUAUUAGCUGCAUAUUUAACGUACGUACGCAACCCUACCUCAAAACGAUGCUGCGGAAACCAAAGACAUUAAACUAACACACGAAUAAUAUACUUUGAUCUUAAGAAUUAAACAAAUAAUUAAACAAAAAGGAAAACAGCAAACAAGGAAAGGCAAAGAGGCGUGAUUGGUUAAGUGUGGGGGCAGAUUGUCUGCCCUCCUAGUUGUGAUGCUAUUCUAUGCCUUUUUAUUUAUACGGUCAAGGUUAAGUUACGUUAAUAUUUUAUAUUAAUUUUUUAAUAAUAUAAAAUAUUAACGUGACUUAACCGUAAUCGCAUAAAAUAUGAAGACAAAAAAUAGCACAACAACUAGGAGAGCAGGCAAUCUGCCUCCUUUUGCUUUUGCUUUACAGAAACAGAUAACAGAUAAAUGAUGCUGCUGUUAGCUUUUACGUCACUUCCGAAUAGUCUCAACUCGUACGUAUCAGCUCUGAGCUCACCAGGUGUGAAUGCUCCCUCUUCAAUGUUGGUCACACGCACAUAACACGCAGUCAGUCAUGCGAAAAAGAUGGCCAUCGAUUCGAGCCCACCACCUGCAGAAGCUUCCCUUCCCUCCCAACAAGUUCAAAACAAAUGUCCAAUCCAAAUGACUGAAGCUGCGCCAUUCGCAUCUUUCAUUGUGUUUUUUUUUUGUUUCUUCACUUUCCUCUUUCAGAAAUCUGAAGCUUCCCUCCCAACAAGUUCAAAACCACAAAUGUCCAAAUGACUGAAGCUUCUCCAUUUGCAUCAAAAUUACCUACCUACUGUUUUUUACUCUUCUUGUCCUUUGCAAUAGGAUAUCUUACACUAAAUUUAUUUAAACUACAGUCGAACCUUUCCGUAAAAAAAACCAUAGCCAAACUUUUUUUUUUUUGAACAAAUAAUAUUAUUUAUACCAAGGUGAUGAGGGAGUGAGCUAGGCUUUACAAUUGAUUAGUAAUGAUAUGGUUCAAAUUCGUCUUAGACGAAAAUCGAACUUAAAAUCUCUCAUUUUUAAGUAAAAAGAAAUAUUAUUAGACCGCAGUACCGUGCUCAAACUAGUUCAACUAAAUCCAUGUUCGUCUUUAUUUCUAUUUUAUUCAAUUUGCUAAUGAUAUAUUAUUACCGGGUGCAACUUUUUACCCUCUUUUUAAGUCUUUUCCAUCCACAAUGUCUCCAUAAAUGGAGGAGUUGGUGAUUCUCCUUUUUGGCUGCUUCCUGCUUAACAGCUAAGAUAAAGUAAUAUAUUGUUGGAAAGUCUUAUUUACACACUUAAUUUUAUUUCGCAAUGAAAAAAAAAAAUUUACCUCUCAAGCAUUUUUGUUAAUUUUUUUAUUAUUGAUCUUUAAUUAUUUAUUCGAUUCGACAAUCGAAAAUUGAGAGGAGCGUAUGAAAAAUUAAAAUAUGUGUGUGAAUAACACUUCCCUAUACUAUUUUGGGCCAUGAAACUUUACUUUAAUAUGUUUUCAUGGUAAAGUAGACGUAAAAACUGACUUAGUAAGUAAACACUACUAAAAGAAUCCAGGAAUAUCGUGCGUGUAGAGAUAGAUACUUGUUCUAGAAGGCCAUAGAUAAUGACAUAGAUGACCAAAACAACCAAUUAGUCGACAUGGAUCAUGACUUUUAGUUGACAGCCGAUUUUAUGGAGAAUCACAUUCUCAAUAAUGCACGUGAAAUUGGAGGUGUUCUUCCAUAUUUUCAAACGACUUUAUAGAAAAGCACAUUCUCGUGAGUGUAGAAGUGAUUAUGGCCUUAUCAGAAUCAUGAGUGAUUGUGGCCCUCUCAGUUUCUCAGUUUCAUUCUCGAACAAGCAGCGAUAAGCUGAAAUAGAUACGUACCACAGAUCUCUUAAACGAGUUCACACACACACAACACCAAUUAAUUAAGAAAUGACGGUGUCACAAAUUUAACUUACAUCACAACACGUAAUUGAGUACGACGUCGGCUGCUUCCAUAACGAGUCUCCAGUUAAACAAAUUUGAUCACUGUUUCUCUUUAUUUUUUAUUUCAAGAUUUCCCUUAACUUAUACGGUUAAGCAAAAUAGAAACAUAUUUUUUAGGAUAUUUAAAGGAAGAGGGAACAAAUGUUGGUCUACCAAGCAGUUCUUUAAACCUCAAAAGAAAUAUUUUGAAACCGUCUUUUUCCAGUACGUGAUGCGUAGAACACAAGAAAACGUUUGCUUUGCUGGAAUUCUGAGCACACCUAUACAAUCUAUAUAUAUCCUUCAAAAUUAUACGUAACAUAACAUAUACUAAUAUAAUAGGGCAGCAUUCGAAACGUUCAGGCGAACAAAGAUUCUGUUUAAUUGUAAGUUAAUCGUUUUUCGACCUUUAAAUCCUCCCGGGAUUUGCGGGUUCUAGGCACCUACCCUUCGCUGCGAUGACGACUUCUGUAAAUAUGCUGUACCAAAUAUUGAUCUUCAUCCAUAACAAACAUCAGUCUUGAUUAGAAUUCGAAUUCAAACUACAGGGCUUCAGACAUGAGAUGGAAAACAAAAGGUAUUGAAGAAUCGGUACUUCGUAAUCCAUCGAUUCAUAUAAUUACAUAUCAUUUACGCGCUUAACAAACUCGGUAUUUGGAGUGGUUUCAAGUGUUUUCGCGACAGAAAAUCUACGGAACAGCCAGCCAAAUAUAUCAUCCUCGUAAAGCUAAAGAGCCGUCCGCCCAAUUCUGCAAAUAGCACAAUGCUGUCACGUUCUAAAACCACAAGGUAAAUAUUCAGUAUGCAAUGGACUUAUGUACAAGUCCUCGGAACACAACACGUUGAAGCUACUAUAAAAUAAGGUGGUUCGUGCGCAAAGUACAAACAACGUGUGUGUAAUGUCCCCUAUUAUGUCUGUAGGAAAACAUCACAUAUAUGUCUUUCCACCAAAGGCAUAUGUGAUGGCAGAACAGAGAUUACAGCGCAUCGCUACAGAUGGAGCGAUCCUUAAUUACAUUAGACAUGACUAGCACAUUGACGCUCCUUAACAAGUAUCAUUCAACGUAUAUAAUAUAUAAAGUAUCGUAUAUUUAUUCAAGUCUGACCUUAGAUAAUGCAACAUUUCACCACAAGCCCUUUUUGAUCGACCCUUCCCUCUUCAUUCCCUGAAAAUACAUAUUCAUAUAUUAACUCUCCAUUUCUCUAGAUGAUAUGAACAGAAGGAAAACAGAAGCAAUGCAGUCCUGUUAAUAAAACUUAAAUACAUAAAAAGGUAAAGCAUGUUCAGCAAGAAACAGCUGAAACUAACAGACCUUCGGGUGGCUGAGCUAGCCUUCGGUUCUGUGGCGACAUCAUCUCUUUCUUCAAUUGUGUCAAUACGUCCUCCAUCGUAUAUUCCCUUUGCCAAUUGGCAAGCAUGGGGAAAAGACUGGGUUCAACCUGGUAAUUUGGCCACCCAUCAGCUUGUUUCAACAAUAACAAAGGAACAUACUUGAGGGUAAGAAUCACCUACCACUCCAGAAUCAUGAUUGACACAGGUCAUGUUUAUCCGUGUUUGGAACCUAACAGUUGGCGGAUUAUCUGGAUAAUCCUUCCCACAGAACAGUUUCAAUUGGUAAAUGCGCCCUUCAUGCACAGUCUAGCAAGAAGCAAGAUCAGCAAGACAUUAAGUUUCUUUAUUCAAAGAAUGACGUCGUUUCAAUGCAGCUUGCCAUGAUUUUAUUUUUUCUAUUUUAGAAGCGCAUGUAUGAGCAGCAAUUUACCCAAAAAAGGAAACUAAUGAGAAUAAGGAACCUACAUUUGGGGGCCCGAUAAUUGUCCCUGUCCAUGACUGCAUAUAAACAUCAUCAGCAUCAUCCAUUCCAUAGCUAACAGUGCCAUCCCCAAUUCCCUUUUCACCCCUCUCAAGCUCUUCCAGUAAUCUGAAAUUCCUGGGAACUACACACAAAAAAAAAAAAGAAAAACAAGACACAUAAUUACAACUCUUGCAUCAUGUGAUCAUAACAAUUGUCCUACUGUAACAAAUAAUCACAAAAGAACUGGAAAAAGACAAGUGUUUAACAAAAAGGAUUAACAUAUCUACUCGAUGUAACAAAGAAAACCAAAGGCAGCUUCAGUCACAAAUCUCAUCAAAUUCAUGACAAAAUUAGAAGCUAGUUCAACAAAUACCAAUUCAUACAAGAGCAUAGGCUAUCUAAUACAAAAAGGGGAAUACUCCAGUUACUCUCCGUUAUUUUAGUCCCUUAUAUUUUUCCAAUGAAACUCCUCACAGAAAUACUUUCAUCGGCUUCUUAAUAAUAGCAGAGGUUCUAUAAAUUCUUUUCAGGAAAGAAAUAGAACAUUAGCUAAAGAUAGUAGCUAUAAUUUCCAAGCUAAGGAGAGAUGAGAAGUGUUUACAAUAGUACGAUAAAACACUACAAUUUCAGUUCUAAUUCUCACUUGCACUCUCUAUGGAGAACCCAUCUGAGAAUUGGUUAUAGAAAAGCGGAACCACCCUUGUGUUAGGAAAAACAUGGCCACUGUCUCCUGACCAAAAGUAAUGGUAUUUCAAAAUGAUCUUGGUUCCCAGAGUGCUCCUAUCCAGAAGAGAUGUAAAAACUCAUGCUAGCUUGAAAAGUUUGAGAAGUAAAUUGUAAUAUCUGGAUACCCAAUCAGAUACCCUUUUUAGAAUGCCUUACUUAAUGUAACGAUAAAGAUGAAUAAUCCUAUCUCUCGUAUUAGAAAUUACAUUGCAUCCCCUGUAAGAGAAGGAUGCUAAAAAUUUAUGAGGCAUUUAUUUUGGCACUGGUGAAUCUGACCUGAGGUAAGAUUCAACUAUGAGUAUAUGUUCAGCUGGAGGGUUGUGGAGGAACUGACAUACUGGGUUCUUCUAAAGACGGCAGAAUAAUGGGCAGCCCUGUUUAUAGGAGAGAAUGCAGGUUCUUGCAUUUUCAUUGCAAGGAAGUACAUUAUUCAGGCAAACCAUUUACGGAAGACAACACUUUAGAACAAAACAGAAAUAAGGGAGAAAAAAGAAACGGGUGACCAAGGCACAACAUGACUUCUGAAUCUAUAUCUAGUCACGCUACUAAUUGUCUCAAGAAUAUCUGGUUCUGUUAAUCUAUAUCUUAUUUAUCAUAACAAUGAAUUCAGAAACAAAUUAAGAACUCUUUUGACAUCAAAAGUGAAAAUUUCCAAAUCACAAUUUUCGGCCAUGAGGACAGAUCAUCCAAAAUCAUUGGCAUUCACAUAACGUAGCUUCGGUACUCUAGUGAUUUGUGAGGGGUUAAAGAUGAACCUCAAAGGCUCAACCGUAUACAUUAUCGUUACAUUUCCACUACCGAUACAAACUUCAUCAUUCCUUGUCAAAUUAGAUUCGAAUGAUUCGAUCCUUGGAGGACACUUUAGGCUAACAAAUCUAACAUUGAUUUCAUACCAACAACGAUUCGCACGUGGUUCAUAACCCAAAAAAACCAAUCAAGCUUACAACUUACCCUAUAAUUCAGGACAAAGCAACCAAAUUUAUAACAAAUUAAAUUCAAAUUAAUCCACUUUACCAGGUUAACAAACAAAAAUGCAAUUAAGCUCAAACAAAAACAAAACUUUGAUUCAGGAACAAAAUCAACAUACAACAAUUAAUCUGGAUAAGCUUGGACGAAUGUAAAAUGAGCUAGAACACUGAAAAAUCUAGGGUUUUUUUGAAAGCUCACCGACAACGCUUGAUCCUUCGGUUCCCAUUUUUAUGGGGGUUGAAUUUUGCAGAGUCCGGAUUCAGGUGAGUUGGAGAGAGAGAGAGAGAGAGUAGCAGAGAGGUUUUGAUGGUGGAUCCAAGACUGCAGGAAGUCCAACUACGGUUCGCCGAGGGCAAAGUCGCGCAUGGAGGAGGAAAAAAGGAUAAAAAGCAGGAAGAAGAAUAGAGGAGGAGGAGGGUCCGAGUCGAGUAUUCCUUGAACUGAGGGUGUAUUGUUAUUCUUCUGCACCUGCGCAUCUCACACGUUCAUCAAUCACUACAGUAGGAUUUCCAUUAUUCCGUACAUACCGGGAGAGUAAGUAGAAAUCAGAUCGUAGAUCUGGCGGUGGGGAAUAGGGAUCAUUGGCGGACAAUGCAUGCAUAUCGUAGCCUGCACUUUCUCUUUUUUUUUUUGUUGGAUAUUUUUAGUAAACGGCAAGGGACAACAAAACCAAGCCCAAUGGACCAAGGACAGCAAGGCAACAUGUAACGAAGCAGCGAACAAAGUAAGAGGUCCAGAGUCUUGCAAAAUGUAGGCGACCAACACAGGAAAAGGAUUGCGAAAGCGAUUUUCACACUCUCAUUUUGCAUAAUAAAAUAUUUUUUUUGGAAUUUAUAAUCUGCAGUUAAUUUAUCUCUGAAUUCUUAUUUUAUAAUCUGAGGUAGGUCUCGGGACUUGGGAGUAGCCUCUCCAUAAAUAGGGAUAAAGUUAGCCGACAUUCACCUCUCCCAGACCCUGCGUAAAGCGAGAGCCUUAUGCACUGGGUACGAUCUUUGAACUUUUAUUAACAGUUCAAUUUUGAGAUUAUGUUCAAUUUUUGCAGUGUUUUUCAGUCCAAGCAAUAGAGAGGACAUAUAUGGCCCAUUGCCGGAGAAGCCGGCGUUUACCCGUCAGUUUACUCUUGGAGAGGUCAUGCAAAGGUUCUUCAAACUCAAUGUCAUCACUAAGGUUUUUUUUUUUUUGGUUAAAGUGAGAUCCAAAAUGAUCGCCAACAAAGAACUUUUAUUAAAACAAACACACAUUUACAAAACAAACAAAGACUCACUUUAUUCCUAUAGACAAAUAAAGAACGGGCCUAAAAACAAAGAAAACAUAGAAAAUGAGCCCAACAACAGUGAAGUCCAAACACUAGGGGUGAGCACUUAGAACCCAAAACCAAAACCGAAGCACGAACCAAAUCAAACUGCACCGAAUGGUUUGGUUUUGUGGUUUUGAAAUGGUUUCUGUUUUGAAACUGAACCGCAACAUAGAAAGCAGUUUGAUUCUAGUUUUGACUUUUGAAAACCGCAUCGAAACUGAACCGCACAGUAAAUAUUAAUAAACAUUUAAUUAAAUGUCCAUAUUAGACUUCAUGUUUUAAUUGGUUGCUUGUUAGAAUCUAUACACUUAGUAUGGACUCAACCACACUAGAAUAUCAUUAUUCUUCAUCACAUUUUUUCGUUCAUUAACUUGAAGGACCUUUGUUAUUUUAUAUCAUCAUACACACACACACACAUAUGUACAAAGGUGGACUAAUCAUGUUAUCAAGAGUCGAACAAUGAUCUAAUGAAGUCCACUCAUUUGAAGCAUGAUAUCACAUAUUCUAGUAUGAUAGUUUUGCUUACGUUUAAUGAAUUCAAAGUUAUUCAACUUCUUUUAUGUUAUACCUUGUAUGGGACAACCUUUUAUUGCACAAACCAUAUUUUAACAUCACAACUACAUGCAACAUGCUAAUUGUUUACAUAACAAAUGUCUUUUUCCUAUUGCUCCUGGGAAAUGCUUAUUAAUAUGUUAAAUUGCAAAUUGUACAUUUUUUCUUAAAAACCAAACCGAAACCGUUUGAAACCGCACCGAACCGAACCAAACGGUUUGGUUUCAUUUUGAUUUUGGCUUCAAAACCGCACCGAAUUGAACCACAAAAAAUUUCGAUUUCACUCAAACCGUACCCACCCCUACCAAACACAAUAGAACGUCUGAGAACCAUCCACUAUGCUCUCCACCGCCGAUCCAAGAAUCGACCAGCCAUCCGAUUCUGUCCACCGCCGAUCAUCACCUCUACAGACGCCACUUGCGCACAACUAUCAACAAGAGAUGGUCGACGAGAGAGAAGCCAACCAUCAGAAAGAAGUGGGAAAUUCCCAAGCAUCACCGUCUGAAACAGCAGACAAAAAGAAGAACGUGGUGGUCUAGGAAACACCCAAGCCGAAUAAAACACUGGAACUCUACACACGAACUCAACAAAAAACAUGGUUGAAAAGCGAAGCAAGGAAGCCGUGAAAAGGGAUACCCACGGGGGUUGAGGAAUUGGAAAGGCUAGAGAGGAAAAUUGGAAGAACCAUCAGCAGAUGGAAGAGGAGAAGAAAGAAAAGACAAAAACAAAAGACCACCCACCGAUCCCAGCCACAGCUAGGAUCGGCGGCACCAAAUGAAAGCACGAUCGGGAAAUCACCCACAAAAUGGUGAGAAGCACCCACCCUCAAGCAGAGGGAAGGACUGUAGCCGCCUACCGACACCCUGAUUUAUUUAUUAUUGUUCAUCACUAAGCUUUUUAGAACAUGCGUCAAUGACUAAAGCUUACAAAUCGAAAUGAUGUGCGUUCUAAUCUAACCCAAACGAUUUCUGACCUACUGAUGGGAGCCUUGGUGUUUCCAGUUUCCCAUCCCCAAACCACUCUGACAUUUCUUCAUCGUCGGUGGAAUCAGAAAGCUCCAAUCGUUUUGGAAUAUUGACACUGGAUUCGUUAAUGUUUGCCUUAUUCGUCAAGGCGCUUUUGCUCCUCUCUAACAUCUUCAACUUCCACAAGUCCCUUUUUUUCGGAUUCUGAGACAAUUCGGUCUUACCUCCUGCGAUGGGAAAAUCUACCAACCCGGAAGCCUCAUUCCAUGCGUUCGAGCGAUUGCAGUCGUCUUCUUCUUCGUUUACAAAUCUCCACUUGUCUGCACCUCUAGUUCGACUUCGUCCAUAUUGACUCGUCUCAGUAGUGUGAGGAGAACUCAAACUCUUAGUCCUAGGGUAGCUUCCGUCGUCGUGUACGGGUUCAGCAGAAGCCUCUGAAGAAUGUGCUGCCUUAGGCCUUUUAUGAUCGCAUUUUAAGCACACCAUGUUUCUCUUAAAGUUGAUAUAAUUGCACCUGCACAAAAACAGAUCUCUAAUCAUAUACAGGUCAAUUAGAAUUUAGAUAUAUGGAACCACUUCAAAGGGAAGCAUUGAUUUCCAAAACAAAAACAAAUGAAUGCCAAUUGCAUUCGGUAGAGAAACUCACGAGUCGCACUCCCACUCCCCGGGAUUUAUCUGCCGCUUUGGAGGCUUCUCUUUGCAUUGUAAGCAUCUACCGUUCUUCGCAAAAUUUAAGAAACUGCAUCUGUAAAGGAAACUAAAUGUCUUAAUCUCAACAAGAAAUGGAAUUACAGAAGAAAGUUAAGAUCUUAGCAGCCAUUACUUGUCACAUAUCCAGUCCCCCUUCUUCAACGGAAGAUGAUCUUGUUCCUCUCUUAGACGUGUCAGUCUUUCUUGGGAAAAAUCAUCGCAACGAAGGCACUUGAGAUUUCUAGCAAAGUUUAGGAAGUUGCAUCUGCCAAAAGAAAUAUUAAUAAGGAUUAAACAACCAAUCAAGAUUCAAUAAUCGUAAACAACUACGUGAUCAAGCUGCCAAAUUACUUGGGGCAAAGCCAGUCGCCUGGCUUCAUUGGAACAUUUAUUUGGCCCUUUUCUUGUGGAAUUGAAUGGUCCGACACCGAAGCAACCCUCUUUAUGGUUGUACUUGUACUCUUUGGGGGAUUGGAGUCGAUGUUCUGAGUGCUCUCCCCUACCAUCUGUUUCAGUAGCCGUCUCACUGAGUCUUUGACCAUUUUGUUUAGACAUGGCUUGUUCUCCACUGUACCAGUAGUGGGAUCAAGCCCAUACGUUAACAAGAAACGCAUGACAUCCACUGUGCGCCCACCUUCAUCUUCCCGUGCCUUCACGUACGCUCUCUCACAGUCUCCUCUCAAAUUGCAGGAGCUGCAAACCUACUAAAAUGCCUGUUCUUAUUAGAUAUGACAAUUCCUAGUUAUAUCUCAAGCUUUCUUUCUAUUAAAUCAAAAGAAGACUGAAAAUAUAGGCUCAUUCAAAUAAGAGGAAAAUACUCAGAAACUAGGGACAUACAUCUCCUUCAUCAACACCCACAUACGCCCUUAGACGCUUUCCUGAGUUGAUGACUUUCCUAUCGAGGCUCGGGCAUCCACAUCGGGCAAUGAUCUGGAUAUCUUUCCUUGACAACAUCCUGGCAACAAAGGGAUUUAAUGAACAAAGGUCUAGAAUACAACAACAACAACAACAACAACAACAACAAAGCCUUUUCCCACUAAGUGGGGUUGGCUAUAACAAAGGUCUAGAAUACAAAUAUCAUAUUUCAAAUCCAAGUCAGUAAACAACAUCUCGCCUUCAAAAACAAGAUAAUCAUCCAUUCAUCCUUAUCAUGCACACACUUGAAAUGAAAACUGCAAGCUUAAAAGUUAAUAGUAAUGGCGAACCAAAACGAUCUGAGUCAUUUCGAACUCCACAUACAAAUUCCGCUGCCAAAUCUAAACAUGCCGUGCCUCGCAUCCCACAAAGUUCCAAUAUCAAACAGGUUGCAUCACAAAAACUCAUAAAACGUUUCUGGGUCGUAAAAGCACUUUCUGGAUAAGCACUAGGCACCUUUUCCAGGAAGCACUUGGGUGCUUAUGAGCAUAAGUGCUUUCUGCACGAACAGUCCCAACCAGCCACAAAAUACGCAGACGGGAAAACAUUUCAUCACAAGCUUUGUACUCAAUGUAAAUCGUUUUUCAAUCCAAAAUAAUCAAAUUCACAACCUCAAACUUGAAAAGAAUAACACUUUCAAAAUUCAUCCCUUCAUACCAAAACAUCACCAUUACCUUAAAAGACUAGACCGGUCCCGAGCAAAAUUCAGACAAGCGGUUCGAAUACGGUUCGAUUCCUUCGGACCCACUUCACCGUUCCGAAACGGGUUCUCGUCGCCAUCAAAGUAUCCUCUUUUCAACAAGCACUCCAUCAGGUCCACCCACUCCCGCCACGGAUGCGAAAUCUGAACCGCACAACAUUCCCCACUGGUCGAGCCGCCCUGCUCGGGGGGUUCACCAACGUCCGGCGCCAAUUGGGUGAUUAUGUUUGUGGGUUUUGAGUCCUUCGACGAUUGAAUCUCUCUAACUUCGUUGACUAUGAAGUCGAGCUUCGGAUUGGGAGCUAGGGUUUCUCUGAGGCUGUGAAAUUGGGAAAUGGGGGCUAAAAAUUUUGGUGCUUUGAGGUGGGUUCUGAGGAGAGGAUAGAGAGAACCAUGGCCGGCUAUGAGAAGCUUGUUCAUUUGACAAAUAUUUGGUUUAGGGUUUUCUGAUUUUGGCCGCAAAGGGACGGGGUGACCGUUAUAUUUGUUUGAAGUUAUGAACCCUGAUUCAGGGUUUACAUUGCGCAACAGAAAGGCGUAUAAAGAUGGUGAUGAACUGCUUUUGAGAAAUUUUGAAAAAUAGCCAAUUUCAAAGGCACGAAUUGAAUUUUAGCCUAAUCUUCUAACUUCUUAUAAUUUUAAGUCUUAAUUAUCCUUAGUAAUACUAAUCGUCACCGUCUCCUCUUUCCCUCUCAUUUUUUUUUCACAAGACGCGCCGGUCCCAGCCUGCAACCGUUUUCUCAUCCUUUGGGACCAAGUCCCCCAGCGAACUUGAAAAACAUGAGUUUUUGAACCUUAACAUUAUGUUUGGAUGAGAGAAAUAAACUUAAAAUUUGGAUUAAAGAUAAAAUUUAUAAAUUGACAUGCACCAAUUCCCUUGUUUGGAUUCAUAAAUAUAGAAAUUUAGAAUUUCCGCAUAGAAAAAAAACUUGGAAUUUGGAACCUCUAAUUCCCAAGUUUAAAUUUCAUGUAAAUAGAUGUCAUUUUCCAAUUUCUAUGAUUGAGAGUUUAAAAACAACAAAUUCUGUAUUCAAAUCCAUUGUUCUUUUAGGUUGCCCAAACAAGAAAAUUCACAAAUUUUAUAUAAUAAAAUUCCAUCAUUUUAAAAUUCCUUAGUAAUCUUAAAUUUCUUCAUCCAAACUUAGUGUAAGUGUUCAAUAGACAAGAACCAAAUCUUGAAUUUUGUUUAUUGUUUCUUCUCUUCUAGUUUUUGUUUGACAAGUUUCACAAACCCAACUACAACAGCAAUGAUGAAACAUUUUUGGCAUCAAUUUCCUUUGUUUUGGCAAAAAUAUCAAUUCUCAACCCAAAAACAAUGGUAAAUCAUUGAUACUUUCCCGAAGAGUUUUAUCUGUGGGUGUUUCUUGUACUCUACAAGGCAUGUUCUUCCAAACCCACCUUUUCUUUACAAGAAUAUGUUAUUAUUUUUUGUUCAGUUUGUUGGUUUUGCACUUAUAAGGUGUUUGACUGCUGAGAAAAUGGUGGGGAAAAGUCAAGCCAUAAGAAGUUCUCUCUUGUUUUCCCUGGUUUUAAAAUGUUCUUCUUUUAGGAUAAAUGAAAUUUGAGAAAUUUGAUUGUAGUGGGAUUAAACUGAGCACAAGUAUUGAACUUUGCAUUCUACAUUCAAUUUGAAUUGAAAUUUGCUAGGACCAGCGCUUGCUGGCCGACUAUUGCACUAAUUGUAGCAGCUCAAGCUUAUGCGAAAGGAGAGGAGAGGAGGAGACGGAGAAGAUUAGUAUUACUAUAGGGUAAUUAAGACUUUUUACAUGAGUUUUUGGUUAGAAUUAUAAUUAGAAAGUUUGGCUACAAUUUAAUUCGUGCCUAUAAAAUUGGUUAUAUUUCAAACUUUCCCAUUGCUUUUAGAACAAUUUGCAGCAACGUCCUUGUAGUUUAUUUAAAAUUUCACCAUCAUCCUUGCGGACUGUUAAUUUUCAGUUUUGUCCAUGUAGUUUUUUUGUUUUUUGUUUUAAUUUUUAUGCACAUUGAUGUUUGAGAAAAUUUGGACUAAGCGACAUAAUAUAUCAGCUAUAAUUUGGUAUUUAUUAUGCGAGUCAAAUUUAAGAUUUGAGUCUUCUCACUGGCUAAUUAAAAGUUGAACACUUAAUCGAUUCAAGUCAUUGGAUAACAAUUGAUAAAAAUGAAAUCAAUCUACGAACGACGAAACUGAAAACUCAAAUAAACUACCAUCCAAAGUAUAGUCCAGAAAAUUAACAUAAGAAUAUUAAAGCUGUGCGAUGUAAAACAAUGAAAUUUUGUUCAUUCUAUAAAAGUCUGUUCUUUGUUUAAUGGUUUUCUACAAUUGGGAUUUUCUACGGUCUAUUUCAAGUAUUUUAACUGUUAGAUCUUUGUUUAAUGAUAAAAAAAUCAAGAUCUAACAGUUAAAAAGUCUGGAGCACAGAGCACCAUAGAAACUUUGUUGCUGCAAAUGUUGCAGUUCAAAUGGAAAAGUUGUUGCAUUGUCCGCGACAGUUUGGAUUGAUACAAACUGGGUUGUGGAUGAAGGGAAAACCACCAGCACUGUCGGAUUGGAUUGGACUAUAUUGUCCAUGGCUGUUUCUUUGUUCUGGUGCAUACGAAAGGUCAUAAACUGGUUGUUGAAUGAAACCACUACUGGUACUGUUUAGUUGGACUGAACCCGUAGACCAUUGAAGGUUUUUGACCUUAACAACAUGAUCCGUAUUCUUAAUGAUUUCUACGUCGUCGUCACUGUCGUCGGCAUGUGUUGUCAAGGGUGAACUUCUAGAUUGCCGAGGAAAAUCUCGAUGACUUUUCACCAAACAAGCCUGCAUUCAGAGAAGUUUAUCAAUCAAAGGAGCAGCCAUUUUUUGGAUAAGAUCGUUUGUUUUUGUUAUUAAGGACGAAUUAUUGUAUUAAUAAAGUCUUUACAUGUCAAUAAUUCAUUAUAUACUGACAUUAGGGUUAAUUUAGCGGUGAUGGUUGGUGAAAGAUGAUGAAUAUGAGUACGCUAGGUCAAAAAAUAAAUAAAUAAAGGAACUGACAUGUUAUUCAUAUCAACGAUAUCAGUGUUCUACACAGAUAACUACGUUCUGAGCAUUGAAAAAUUGAUGAAGAAGAAUGAUGUACAAACCGUUGAUAAACGCAUUGAGGCAUCGGCGCAGGCGAGUUCUAGUUGUUCCCAAAAAACUUUCUCGUCAAAAUUAGGGUUUCUACAUGAAUAUGAGUCGUUGGAGCAGCACUCAUCUGAUUAUGUGGUGACAAUUCUGCCAACAGAUUCUCUGAAUCCAGAGUUGAUUGACUCUUGGGCAAAUUGUUGACCCCUCUUGAGGAGGAGGAGGAGGAUGAGAUUGACCAAAGAAUGGUUCAAGCUGCUCAUUCUCGGAUAUGAGAGAAUUUUCGGCAUACUGCCACAUGAUGUUACUAUAUUGUGAUACAUAAUUAUUUUUCUUUUGGCAUAAUCUUUGAAUUGUAAGAAGGAAAUUGACGAAAAAAAUUGUGCCAAAUGUAUAGAAUUGGUGUAGUUAGGGUUUCCUUAAUAUAAUGUUUUAGGAAUUAAUUAAGCAGAAAGACAUAAUCUAUUUGGUUUAGGAAACAGUUAUAUAUGUCUGGUACUAAUGAAAUUCCGACUCCUUGAUUGGACACGAAUAUGAGAUAUUUGUAUGACAUACAAAAGCCGGAAUUGGAUACUCUCCAAGGCAAAGCCCUCGAGAUCCUCAUGACUCACUAACACGAGCCGUUGAAUUUUGAUUCAACGACUACAAUUAUUAUAAUUAACUUUUAGAGGAGCCCCCUGUUUGUAACUGUUUGAUCAAAAUACAACGGCCCGUGUUAUUGGGUCCAAUUCCACCAAAGCCUACCCAAAUUUUUACCAAAAUUAAGCAAUUUCAUGGCAACUGGUGUACUAAAGUACCAUGUACGUACCUACCGCAGUAUGGCCACCUAAAAUUUCUUUCACUUGAUUUUUUUUAACGGCGGCAAUCCUAACGGUCUCUGUAGCAGGUAAUAUUUCGUCAAACUUUAAAUCAGUUGGUAAAAUGUCGCAAAAUUAAUUACAUGUUGCAAAACGAACACUACUGAAUUGAAUGCAUUGAAUUCAUAAAAUUAUUAAUUCACAUACAUGCAUGUACAUCAUGUACAUAUAUCCUGCAAAUUUUUCUUCUCUAGUCCUUAUUUUUCAACACAUCAACUUGCUCUCUCUCAUCGGAAGAUGGAGAAUAGCAACUUAGAGACGGGCAACAAUUAAACACUAAAAAUAAAUUAUGAUAAAUACAAACUAAAAAACUAAUUCCCUUUUUACACUUUUUGGUCUGCUUUGGAAGUUUGCCCUAGACCAGUCCAAUUUUCUGGCUGGACGGAAACUUCUUCUAGGCAAUUUAUAUGUACAAUGCGAGGGAAUCUUGAUUUGUUAAUUAAUUGAAAGAACAAGCCAGUACAUUCUCCUCCCCUUGUUUUUGUUCCGAGGUAAGCCGUUCGACCAAAAUGUCCAACGCUUCCUUCAUCCACCAAUGUUGGCAUGCCUCUCUCGCUUUCGCUGCAGUCAUCUGUAUAAAAUAUUUGGAUCACAUAAGAUUUAUUGUUUAAAUCGAAGAAUCAUUGUCUAAUAAUACAAAAAUAAAAAUGUCUGCAUAUAGAUCAAAUUGUAAUUUGCACAAUCAUACCCAUAUUCUUUGUCGUACAUUCUUCUCAGGCCAAAGGUCUAGUUGCUCCUUGACAAACAAGGGAAACAUGUACCCUUCAUAAUAUGUCUCUUGGCUUUUGCUCAUGAAACACCAUUUUCCCAAUUGACACUGCCAUCGUAUAUUACAACAUAAAAUUAGGACAAAUUUUUUGCCAAAAUAGAAUUUAAUUCCGCGGUAGAACAUUAAUCCCAACAUCAACAACAAUAAUUCGACUCUCGCCGGCCCACUUUCGCUCCUCAAUCAAAAGCGAAAAGGGAAGGAAGAAAAAGGAAGAUACCAACCUCAACAUUGCCUAAAACACCUGCUUCUUCUAGUGACUCUCUUGAAGCAGCUUCUUCUACGGAUUCAUCAAGUUCCCAACCCCCCUAAGUAAUAAACAAAUAUAUAGUUGAAUUUGAUGGAUAUAUAGAGGGUAGAAAGCAAUCCGAUACCUCAAGAAAUAAAAUUAGAAAUGAAAGGAAAUUAUAUAAUUUAUACCUUAGGGAACAUAAAUGCAUUGCCUUUCUGUGAAGUGAUCACAAGAACUUCCAAUUCAUCACUGCCAUCUUUGUAUCUAUAAGGUAUGCAUCUGCAACAUUGAAUACUAAGCAAAUUAAACAAACUAUUAAUCGUGAUUACCUUUACAAAAAUCUAAAAUAAGGGAAGUCAAUCGUCGGAGCAAUAAAAAAAUCAUAAACCAAAUGGAACUUAAAUGGGGACAACACAUAUGGAUUUGUUCGACAUGGAUCUAUGAGUCCAUCCCAUGGCGACGAGAGAUUCUCAUGUACACGAGAUGUACAACCAGGUAUACGUAAGAAUUUUUUCUCUCCGCCAUGAAAGAAAAGGAACAUGAAUGGAAGGAGCCAACCACUACUUUUUCAACAUAACAAAACCAUGUCAACAAAAGCUCAACAACAACAAAAACAAGAAGAAGGAAAAGAGCUUCACCCUACGACUUGCCGGCGGCCCAUGUUGUACCUCUGCAAUUCCCUUCCUGUCCGAGAAACUAAACAAGUCAUCAUUUUCAAAUCAAGGCUCGCAAUUCUGAUCAACCAAACUUAUUGAAUGCAGAAAAGGCCUAGAAACAAAAGGGUAAAAGGGUCGUUUGGAAAUAUGAAUUGGCUAGGAUUUGUUGUGUUAUUAUAUCCCAAUUCCAAAAAAGUUGAUCGAGUUAUAUACUUAUUGGAGGUUAAGACAGAAAUGCAAUUGUGCAAUGUAAGUUCAGGUUUUGAGGCAGAGAGAAAAAGGAAGGGCUGGCAAAAACACAUCAACUCGCUAAUCGCUAUAUAUAGAAAAAUGGUUUUGAAGGGCACCGUUUCAAAAAAACAAAGCACGUGUCUCUCUCUCCCUAUCUCUCCAUACUAAUAUAUUACUAUAUUGGGUAGGUCUUCUAUGUAUCUCCUGUAGUUUAUCAUAUGAACGUUAGAAUGUAUUUCCUGUAAUGUAUCCAUAUGAACGUUAAGAAACUUUUUUGUAUGUCGGGAAUUCCUUUUAUGUAGAUGUGAAUAUAGUAUCUUUUUACCUGUUACAUAAUAUGAAUGGACGACAUAAUUGAUAUAUCUCAUUUUUAAUGUAUAUUUAAAAAAUAAUUAUACAUUUUAGAGUUUGAGCGAAAUAAUAAUAUUAUGUAACAAUUAUUCAUUGAACAAUAAUAAUUCUUGUGUCGUGGGUGCGUAUGAGCAUUGUCCCGCUGAAAAACUGUCUCGAAAUAUAGAAAAUAAAAGAGAGAGUCCAAACUAAUGUCGUGGGUGCGUACGACAUUCACAUCGCCUUCUAAGACGCAUCUGUUUUAGAGUUUCUAUGUCGUUUCCCAACAAUCACCCUUUCUCUUGUUAUUAGUUGGAGUCCACCCGGCGAGAAUUCACUGGGCGGCUCGAAGUUGACUUUUUAGAACGAGAAAUGAUCCGAUCUUUAAAAUUUUAUCCAAGCAACAACCCACUAGCUUUGAUUCCUUAAAAAUUAUAAUAAUUUUUUGUUAUUAGAUGAAAUUUCAAAUGUUCAAAUCAAUUAAUCUGGUGGUCUUAGUGGAAGAAAUCCACGGAGAGGAUCUCUUCUCUUUUAGUACAUCCUCACGUGGACGAAUCAUGGUCAUGCCAAUUACUUCUUACUUUUUAAAUUUUUUUCCCUUUCUAAGUUAUUCUAGGGUUUUGCAUUUUUAAUUAGGUACGUGCAUCCAUCUCUAGUGACGAGUAUGCUUUUCUAGCUUAUCACUUUAUUUUUUACAUUAUCAAUAUAUCUAUUUGAUGCAAAUGGCCUUUUAUUAUAGUGGCAAAGAAGAUUGUUGCCCUUACACUACAGCGUAAGUUCAAAUUCCGUCAGUUCCUUAAUCUAACAAAUCUAUCGUUGACAAAAAAAUAAUAAUAAUAUAUCUAUUUGAUUGAUCUGGCAUAAAAAGAGGUGCGAAGAAAAUGGAUUUUUAGUUAAAAUAGUCUCUAAAAUUGUCAUUAACUCUUCUGAAUGGUUAUUGAGAUUUAAAAUUGAUUGAAGUGAUACUAAGAUUGUCCAUUGUCAAUUAUUUUUCUGUGAAAAAUCUCUGUUAAAUUGAAGAAAUCAUAAGUCAAGUGAAUUGCUUGAUUUGACAAAAAUACCUUAAAUGUAACUGAGAUUUUCACGGAAUGACCAAUACGAUUGACGAUAGACAAUCUUAUGAACCAUUCUAUUGAUUUUCAAUCUUAAGGACCAAAAUGAGAAAUUAUGUUAAUUUUAAAGACAAUUUUGGCUAAAAAAAGGAAGAAAACUUACCUGAAAUCAGUUUGCUUCAUACUUCUUUAGAUAUAAGAGAAACAUGUUUCGUUUUAGUUUCUUUCGUAGUCAAAUAUACAAGUCUAAUUCAUAAGUCGAUUAAAAAAAAGACGAAUUCUUUGAAAAAUCCAAUGCAAGUGAAGAAAAUAGGCAACAACUCUAUCCCACUAUGUUAUGCGUAUCUGGUAUGUGCACAUGCAAAGUACGUAUCGAAUGAGUGGUGGAAAUUGCAUGGAAAUGGGAGUAGGUUGAGCCGUAGAGAAGAAGAAUAAUAAAAAUAUAUAAUGGAUAUCAUAGUCACACACAUUGUGCUGCUUUUAUUCCACUUUGAUUAAGACACAAUGCACGCCGUACAAUGAAUGUCACGUCGAAGAAGAAGAGAUUUUGUGGAUUUUUUUUUUUUUUGCAUGUACUUAUAAAUAAUUUGAAUACUUUCAUAUUAUAAAUUAAUUUUAUGGUAAAAUUUUAAUUAUUUUGAUGGUAUUUGAAUCCUCGCUAGUUUACGAUCUAGUAAUAUACAUCUCCAUUAUAACUAAGAGGUUUCAUAUACAACGUGUUUGUACCAUAUUUGAUUAAUCCUGAAACUACUGAGCACCGGUUAACGUUAUACCGUCAAGGACCUAGAAGAGUUUCCCUACAACCAGGAGGCUAAUCACAGCACGACACGUGUCAACAUCAGAAGCCAAUCACAGCGCGACACGUGUCAACAUCAGAAGCAAAUCACAGCGCGACACGUGUCUCACAACACGACACGUGUCAAUGUCAGAAUGAAACUAGAAACUCUCUUCUAUAAAUAGAGAUAAUUCUCUCACGAUAUUUCCUAAUGUCAUUAGUACUAAAUCAUUCACUAGUACUCACUGAAGGAGAGCUUGAACCUAUGUACUUGUGUAAACCCUUCACAAUUAAUGAGAACUCAUCUACUCCGUGGACGUAGCCAAUCUGGGUGAACCACGUACAUCUUGUGUUUGCUUCCCUGUUCCUAUCUAUUUAGAUACUUAUUCACACUAGUGACCGAAGCAAUCUAGCGAAUGUCACAAACUUAACAUUUUCUGUUGUACCAAAGUCCUCACUGAUUUUGUGCAUCAACACAACGAUUUCGAUAUUAAAUUAUGAGUGAUCUAAUAUGCAUUUAAUUUAAAGGAAAGCUAAUGAAAAUGACUUGAAAAUUUUGAAUUUUAAAGAUAAGGAUAAAAUAAAGGAUAAAGUAAAUAGUAUCAGGAUUGACUUUUUAAUGUAAAAAUAUGAUUUUUUGUUAAAAUAACAGUACUACGAAUUUUUCAUUAAAGUAUUUUUAAUUUAAAUCUUCAAUUGUCAUCAUGGUAUCGAUUAAAACAAAAAGAAUAAACGACCCAAGACGAAAGAGACAUACAAAUGAAUUUUAUAAAUAUAAAAGUAUACAUCCAUAAUUAAAAUCCAAAACAGGUCGCCUUCAAAGAGAGAUGAACGAGUUAGAGGUUUGAACUGGUCGGACUCACAUGCAGUGGAAAAAUAGUUGCAUAUCCGCCCACUCCCAAAGAAUUAUAUGGUCCCUAUUUCGUCCCUUUCUAUUAUUUAGUCUUCAAACACAUAAAUUUAAGCCUCACAUAAAACAUAUAUAUAUAUAUAUAUGGAGAGAGAGAGAGAGAGAGAGAGAAAGAAUGGGGCACUUGGGGUGGAGGCUAAAGUUAUCUUAGGUUUUUUUUUUUUUUUUUUUUUUUUUGAGACUUUGUAUAGAGAGAGAGAGAGUAGGGCACUUGGGGGUGGAGGCUAAAGUUAUCUUAGGUUUUUUUUUUUUUUUUUUUUUGACUUUGGAUACGGUCUUUAUUUAUUAACGUUAUUUGAUAGAAAUCUUGUUGGUUUUUAGUUUUUGAUUUAAGUCAUUGAAAUUAAUAUAAUAAUGUAUUUCUAUGUAGGUGUUUGGGCCCAAAAUAAUAGUUUGGGCCGAGUGUAGAAUCAUUCUCGGCCCGGAAGGCCUUGCGACAAGAAGACCAUGGAUCGUUCAGCUUGUGGGCUUCCAAACCUAGGCCGGUUAGGUCAAAAUGCAAUGACAAGCCGAGUCCUGAUACAAUAGGGAGUCUCGGCAGGAUUAACAACCUAGAAGCGGAUAGGGCUCGAAUAAGGACUAGGUUCACAAUCCUAAUGAAAAUAGGACUGGUCGAGGUGAUAUUGAUCCGGAAAGGGAAAACCUAGUCCGAAUAGGAUUCUAUCUCAGAUUCAGGGUCCAGUGCUAUAAAUAGCGGAAGUUGUGCAUCAGGAAAAGCCCCACAAAAUCAACACAAAAUUGCCCUGCGCAAACUCUCACAACUUGAGAUCUUUUUCUUUUCCUUUUUCGCUGACACAUCUUCCGUUGGCAUCAACAGCACUGUGGAAGCAACCGGUGAUAUCUUAAGUCGGCAUAGAUAGCUCUGUCACCGUAGAAUUGGUCGGUCUCGCAGUAUCUUCCGUUGGCAUCAACAGCACUGCGGCGAGAACGGUCAAUUACCUAUCCAAGUCUUGGUCGAGAAGGGUUUUCGAAUCCUUAUUGGUCGAGGUCAUCUCAUUAGCCUUCUCGGCGAAGUGAGGUGUUACAGUUAUUACAUUCGACACAUUGAAAGCCGAAUUCGGUUCGUGAACUUUGUAAGAGUAGCAGCCUUGUCUUCAGGCUCGAGAACCCAAGAGGCCGAGACGUGUUCCUUUCUCGGCCGCAAUCGCAAGACGCAGAAGUCAGUAGCGCGACCCAACGCAACAUCAUCAAAUUUACUCCUCGGCCGAGCCUCGGCCGACGAGUUGGCACGCCCCGCAAUCACCGAAGGACGUAGUUAGCUUAGAAUAUACUCGGCAUGCGCGCCACGUAGGCUUUGUAAUUUCUAGGGUCAACAUUUUGGCAUGCCCAGUGGGACCCAGUGCUAAAACUACGAAGUUCAUGCCAAUUGAAACGCGAUCGGUAAAAAAGAAAAAACAGCUAUGGGAAAAUCAACAGCCGAUUUACCGAUUCAGAACGUAGGACAAAGUGUGCCACAGGCGCAGAAUCCCCUUAGCGCCGGGACACCUGAGUCCACAAGUGCGACUCGCCGAGAGAGGGAAGUUAAUCUCGGCGGUCAACACCGCAGUCUAGAAAUCCCUAACAGGAACACCUGUGUUCUCAAUGAAGGGAUAGUGGAGGAUAGCGACGAGGAUGGCGGUGAAGGAUCUGACCCACCAACAAGGUCGUUUCUUCGAAAGCGACUCGACGAGCAGUCUCGGUCAGUCGAGCAGACGUUUAGCCGAGGUAUUGACAAGCUACAUGACGUGAUACUCAAUUCCACUAAGCAGCAAACCAGAUUGCUCGAAAUGCUGGUUAGUAAAUUCAGUGACGGCAGGCCUUUCGAUCCUUUCCAGCGCUUGCCACCAAGAAAUAAUCCGUUACCAAUGGUACAGGCCGAGCCAAUUCCUGCUCGGCCCAAACCAAUUGACUUGGAAAAGGUCGGAGGGUUAAAUAGUAGGUCGGACGGAAUCGACCAGAGGGUCGAAGCAACACCUGUUGAUAUGACCGAGGUUCAGCGGAUGAUCGACUCGGCCAUGAAGAAAGGGCCGAAGUUUCCUAAGUUUAUCCAUCGGUACCCGGCCUACAUAGAAACGUUCGGAUAUCCGAAAGGUUUCAAGAUUCCAGAUUUUAGCCUUUUUGCCGGUGAAUCGUCCUUGUCUUCGUUGGAGCACGUGGCUCGUUUCACCGCGCAAUGCGGCGAUGUUCAUAGUGAUUUCCAUAAAUUACGGCUGUUCAACUUCUCGUUGACCGGCUCGGCAUUUGCUUGGUAUAUCAAUCUCCCUCCUAAUUCCAUCCAAAACUGGGAGGAGUUGGUCGAGAAAUUCCACGAACAGUUUUAUCGACCAGGGUUGGAGGUGUCGGUUUCUUCAUUAGCAAGGAUGGCUCAGGCAUCAGAUGAGUCCCUAAUGGAUUAUCUUACCAGGUUCAAAUCAGCCAGGAAUUGGUGCCGAGUACCCUUGCCCGAAGUCGAGUUCGUCCGGCUUGCUUUGAACGGCCUCGACGUCGAAUACAAAAAGAAAUUCUUGGGGGCAAAUGUUCGGGAUAUGUAUGAAUUAGCCCAACAUGUCGAACAGUAUGAUUAUUUGCUCCGCGAGGAAAAGAUUUCGAAAAACUCCGUCUCGGGGGACGAUUUACAAGAAUCCUACUGUCAGUUAUGCGUCAACCGAGGAUGAAUGCGUUAGUGUGGAUGCGGCUGAGAUAGUAAUAGAUAAGCCAUACGUUUGCAAGGCCUUGACUCAAGUUGACUCCAGGGAAGUUAAAAGCCGCUCGGCCACUGAAGGAACAUUGAAACCGUCAAAAGUGUAUACUUUUGAUAUUACAAAGGCUGACGCAAUUUUUGAUCAACUGUUGUCAGCAAGGAUUAUCAAACUUCGGCCUGGUCACAACAUUCCCAAGGCCGAAGAGCUUAAAGGAAAGGUGUAUUGCAAAUACCAUAAUUCAAGUAAACAUACGACAAACAAUUGUGUCGUAUUUCGAGACAACGUCCAGAGCUGGAUUGAUAAUGGAAAACUGAAAUUUCCAGAGAAGAAGAUGAGUAUUGAUGCUUGAUCCUUUCCCCACAGCAACCGUGAAUAUGGUCGAUGCAUACCUACCUAAGGACAAAGGAAAAGGGAAGGCCGAAGUUGUUGCGACGCAAGGCUUUCGGACUCAGAAUUCUCGGCCACGUUUCAUGGCCAAUUUUCGUUCGAACAAACCACCUACAGCUUUAACAGGACCCGCUAUUUGUUAAACCUAUGAGGGAUUAUAGCACCGAUGAAGAUAGUGGGACGGCGGUUUUUUGCAGUAAAUGUAGAGCGAAGGUCGGCAGUGAGCCAGAGGAGAAACCAUUUUCGCCUAUCACAGAACGACCCACGGCCGCAAUUCAGCAAAAAGCAGCCGGCGUCGGCCGACCUCAAGGGGUUUUUGAUAGGCUCGGCCCAAAAGUGAAGAUGGAAGAGACAUCCUCAGUCAGGCGGCGCCUCGAUUUUGGCGCUUCAUUUUAUGACGAGGACUAUUAUACACGUAAUUCUAGUAGUUCGGAAUCGUCGCGGAGUCAAAAAAACCUUCAAACCUCCCGAGCCUAAAGAUCAACGUUGGUACACAUAUAUCAUUCUUCGAAAGGCGUCUACACCGCGUUGUCCAAAUCCCAGAAACGCCGGCACCAGAGGAUAGAUUGCAUGGCCCGUCGACAGGCAGCCCAAGAAACUUCGGUCCCUAAAUGGCGGCCGAAUGACACAGUUGCUACUGGUGAUGAACGACCAUCUCCAGCUAUUAUGACAGAGUUGGGUCAGGGGAAACGGUGGUUGGUCGACCGAGAUAUCGAGACCACGUUCGAAGAAGCCGAUAAACGGAUCAAACUUCUUCUUCGCCCAGGGGAGAUGAAGGCACGCCUCGAGCAUUUCAAGCAAGAGGCCGAGAGCAAAUUAGCCCCGCCAGCUAUACAAGAACCGUUGAUUAAAAUUCGACGGAAUUUGCAUCCACCAUUCCUUGGGGAGGCUUUGGAAUAUAUGCGCGAAUUCCAUAAGAAAAACAUUCGGCCAACGAUCUUGUAUGGUUUGCCGAAAGUAUGCCAGGACACCAUUGAUCUAGUCCUGACUUGUCCGGNNNNNNNNNNNNNNNNNNNNNNNNNNNNNNNNNNNNNNNNNNNNNNNNNNNNNNNNNNNNNNNNNNNNNNNNNNNNNNNNNNNNNNNNNNNNNNNNNNNNNNNNNNNNNNNNNNNNNNNNNNNNNNNNNNNNNNNNNNNNNNNNNNNNNNNNNNNNNNNNNNNNNNNNNNNNNNNNNNNNNNNNNNNNNNNNNNNNNNNNNNNNNNNNNNNNNNNNNNNNNNNNNNNNNNNNNNNNNNNNNNNNNNNNNNNNNNNNNNNNNNNNNNNNNNNNNNNNNNNNNNNNNNNNNNNNNNNNNNNNNNNNNNNNNNNNNNNNNNNNNNNNNNNNNNNNNNNNNNNNNNNNNNNNNNNNNNNNNNNNNNNNNNNNNNNNNNNNNNNNNNNNNNNNNNNNNNNNNNNNNNNNNNNNNNNNNNNNNNNNNNNNNNNNNNNNNNNNNNNNNNNNNNNNNNNNNNNNNNNNNNNNNNNNNNNNNNNNNNNNNNNNNNNNNNNNNNNNNNNNNNNNNNNNNNNNNNNNNNNNNNNNNNNNNNNNNNNNNNNNNNNNNNNNNNNNNNNNNNNNNNNNNNNNNNNNNNNNNNNNNNNNNNNNNNNNNNNNNNNNNNNNNNNNNNNNNNNNNNNNNNNNNNNNNNNNNNNNNNNNNNNNNNNNNNNNNNNNNNNNNNNNNNNNNNNNNNNNNNNNNNNNNNNNNNNNNNNNNNNNNNNNNNNNNNNNNNNNNNNNNNNNNNNNNNNNNNNNNNNNNNNNNNNNNNNNNNNNNNNNNNNNNNNNNNNNNNNNNNNNNNNNNNNNNNNNNNNNNNNNNNNNNNNNNNNNNNNNNNNNNNNNNNNNNNNNNNNNNNNNNNNNNNNNNNNNNNNNNNNNNNNNNNNNNNNNNNNNNNNNNNNNNNNNNNNNNNNNNNNNNNNNNNNNNNNNNNNNNNNNNNNNNNNNNNNNNNNNNNNNNNNNNNNNNNNNNNNNNNNNNNNNNNNNNNNNNNNNNNNNNNNNNNNNNNNNNNNNNNNNNNNNNNNNNNNNNNNNNNNNNNNNNNNNNNNNNNNNNNNNNNNNNNNNNNNNNNNNNNNNNNNNNNNNNNNNNNNNNNNNNNNNNNNNNNNNNNNNNNNNNNNNNNNNNNNNNNNNNNNNNNNNNNNNNNNNNNNNNNNNNNNNNNNNNNNNNNNNNNNNNNNNNNNNNNNNNNNNNNNNNNNNNNNNNNNNNNNNNNNNNNNNNNNNNNNNNNNNNNNNNNNNNNNNNNNNNNNNNNNNNNNNNNNNNNNNNNNNNNNNNNNNNNNNNNNNNNNNNNNNNNNNNNNNNNNNNNNNNNNNNNNNNNNNNNNNNNNNNNNNNNNNNNNNNNNNNNNNNNNNNNNNNNNNNNNNNNNNNNNNNNNNNNNNNNNNNNNNNNNNNNNNNNNNNNNNNNNNNNNNNNNNNNNNNNNNNNNNNNNNNNNNNNNNNNNNNNNNNNNNNNNNNNNNNNNNNNNNNNNNNNNNNNNNNNNNNNNNNNNNNNNNNNNNNNNNNNNNNNNNNNNNNNNNNNNNNNNNNNNNNNNNNNNNNNNNNNNNNNNNNNNNNNNNNNNNNNNNNNNNNNNNNNNNNNNNNNNNNNNNNNNNNNNNNNNNNNNNNNNNNNNNNNNNNNNNNNNNNNNNNNNNNNNNNNNNNNNNNNNNNNNNNNNNNNNNNNNNNNNNNNNNNNNNNNNNNNNNNNNNNNNNNNNNNNNNNNNNNNNNNNNNNNNNNNNNNNNNNNNNNNNNNNNNNNNNNNNNNNNNNNNNNNNNNNNNNNNNNNNNNNNNNNNNNNNNNNNNNNNNNNNNNNNNNNNNNNNNNNNNNNNNNNNNNNNNNNNNNNNNNNNNNNNNNNNNNNNNNNNNNNNNNNNNNNNNNNNNNNNNNNNNNNNNNNNNNNNNNNNNNNNNNNNNNNNNNNNNNNNNNNNNNNNNNNNNNNNNNNNNNNNNNNNNNNNNNNNNNNNNNNNNNNNNNNNNNNNNNNNNNNNNNNNNNNNNNNNNNNNNNNNNNNNNNNNNNNNNNNNNNNNNNNNNNNNNNNNNNNNNNNNNNNNNNNNNNNNNNNNNNNNNNNNNNNNNNNNNNNNNNNNNNNNNNNNNNNNNNNNNNNNNNNNNNNNNNNNNNNNNNNNNNNNNNNNNNNNNNNNNNNNNNNNNNNNNNNNNNNNNNNNNNNNNNNNNNNNNNNNNNNNNNNNNNNNNNNNNNNNNNNNNNNNNNNNNNNNNNNNNNNNNNNNNNNNNNNNNNNNNNNNNNNNNNNNNNNNNNNNNNNNNNNNNNNNNNNNNNNNNNNNNNNNNNNNNNNNNNNNNNNNNNNNNNNNNNNNNNNNNNNNNNNNNNNNNNNNNNNNNNNNNNNNNNNNNNNNNNNNNNNNNNNNNNNNNNNNNNNNNNNNNNNNNNNNNNNNNNNNNNNNNNNNNNNNNNNNNNNNNNNNNNNNNNNNNNNNNNNNNNNNNNNNNNNNNNNNNNNNNNNNNNNNNNNNNNNNNNNNNNNNNNNNNNNNNNNNNNNNNNNNNNNNNNNNNNNNNNNNNNNNNNNNNNNNNNNNNNNNNNNNNNNNNNNNNNNNNNNNNNNNNNNNNNNNNNNNNNNNNNNNNNNNNNNNNNNNNNNNNNNNNNNNNNNNNNNNNNNNNNNNNNNNNNNNNNNNNNNNNNNNNNNNNNNNNNNNNNNNNNNNNNNNNNNNNNNNNNNNNNNNNNNNNNNNNNNNNNNNNNNNNNNNNNNNNNNNNNNNNNNNNNNNNNNNNNNNNNNNNNNNNNNNNNNNNNNNNNNNNNNNNNNNNNNNNNNNNNNNNNNNNNNNNNNNNNNNNNNNNNNNNNNNNNNNNNNNNNNNNNNNNNNNNNNNNNNNNNNNNNNNNNNNNNNNNNNNNNNNNNNNNNNNNNNNNNNNNNNNNNNNNNNNNNNNNNNNNNNNNNNNNNNNNNNNNNNNNNNNNNNNNNNNNNNNNNNNNNNNNNNNNNNNNNNNNNNNNNNNNNNNNNNNNNNNNNNNNNNNNNNNNNNNNNNNNNNNNNNNNNNNNNNNNNNNNNNNNNNNNNNNNNNNNNNNNNNNNNNNNNNNNNNNNNNNNNNNNNNNNNNNNNNNNNNNNNNNNNNNNNNNNNNNNNNNNNNNNNNNNNNNNNNNNNNNNNNNNNNNNNNNNNNNNNNNNNNNNNNNNNNNNNNNNNNNNNNNNNNNNNNNNNNNNNNNNNNNNNNNNNNNNNNNNNNNNNNNNNNNNNNNNNNNNNNNNNNNNNNNNNNNNNNNNNNNNNNNNNNNNNNNNNNNNNNNNNNNNNNNNNNNNNNNNNNNNNNNNNNNNNNNNNNNNNNNNNNNNNNNNNNNNNNNNNNNNNNNNNNNNNNNNNNNNNNNNNNNNNNNNNNNNNNNNNNNNNNNNNNNNNNNNNNNNNNNNNNNNNNNNNNNNNNNNNNNNNNNNNNNNNNNNNNNNNNNNNNNNNNNNNNNNNNNNNNNNNNNNNNNNNNNNNNNNNNNNNNNNNNNNNNNNNNNNNNNNNNNNNNNNNNNNNNNNNNNNNNNNNNNNNNNNNNNNNNNNNNNNNNNNNNNNNNNNNNNNNNNNNNNNNNNNNNNNNNNNNNNNNNNNNNNNNNNNNNNNNNNNNNNNNNNNNNNNNNNNNNNNNNNNNNNNNNNNNNNNNNNNNNNNNNNNNNNNNNNNNNNNNNNNNNNNNNNNNNNNNNNNNNNNNNNNNNNNNNNNNNNNNNNNNNNNNNNNNNNNNNNNNNNNNNNNNNNNNNNNNNNNNNNNNNNNNNNNNNNNNNNNNNNNNNNNNNNNNNNNNNNNNNNNNNNNNNNNNNNNNNNNNNNNNNNNNNNNNNNNNNNNNNNNNNNNNNNNNNNNNNNNNNNNNNNNNNNNNNNNNNNNNNNNNNNNNNNNNNNNNNNNNNNNNNNNNNNNNNNNNNNNNNNNNNNNNNNNNNNNNNNNNNNNNNNNNNNNNNNNNNNNNNNNNNNNNNNNNNNNNNNNNNNNNNNNNNNNNNNNNNNNNNNNNNNNNNNNNNNNNNNNNNNNNNNNNNNNNNNNNNNNNNNNNNNNNNNNNNNNNNNNNNNNNNNNNNNNNNNNNNNNNNNNNNNNNNNNNNNNNNNNNNNNNNNNNNNNNNNNNNNNNNNNNNNNNNNNNNNNNNNNNNNNNNNNNNNNNNNNNNNNNNNNNNNNNNNNNNNNNNNNNNNNNNNNNNNNNNNNNNNNNNNNNNNNNNNNNNNNNNNNNNNNNNNNNNNNNNNNNNNNNNNNNNNNNNNNNNNNNNNNNNNNNNNNNNNNNNNNNNNNNNNNNNNNNNNNNNNNNNNNNNNNNNNNNNNNNNNNNNNNNNNNNNNNNNNNNNNNNNNNNNNNNNNNNNNNNNNNNNNNNNNNNNNNNNNNNNNNNNNNNNNNNNNNNNNNNNNNNNNNNNNNNNNNNNNNNNNNNNNNNNNNNNNNNNNNNNNNNNNNNNNNNNNNNNNNNNNNNNNNNNNNNNNNNNNNNNNNNNNNNNNNNNNNNNNNNNNNNNNNNNNNNNNNNNNNNNNNNNNNNNNNNNNNNNNNNNNNNNNNNNNNNNNNNNNNNNNNNNNNNNNNNNNNNNNNNNNNNNNNNNNNNNNNNNNNNNNNNNNNNNNNNNNNNNNNNNNNNNNNNNNNNNNNNNNNNNNNNNNNNNNNNNNNNNNNNNNNNNNNNNNNNNNNNNNNNNNNNNNNNNNNNNNNNNNNNNNNNNNNNNNNNNNNNNNNNNNNNNNNNNNNNNNNNNNNNNNNNNNNNNNNNNNNNNNNNNNNNNNNNNNNNNNNNNNNNNNNNNNNNNNNNNNNNNNNNNNNNNNNNNNNNNNNNNNNNNNNNNNNNNNNNNNNNNNNNNNNNNNNNNNNNNNNNNNNNNNNNNNNNNNNNNNNNNNNNNNNNNNNNNNNNNNNNNNNNNNNNNNNNNNNNNNNNNNNNNNNNNNNNNNNNNNNNNNNNNNNNNNNNNNNNNNNNNNNNNNNNNNNNNNNNNNNNNNNNNNNNNNNNNNNNNNNNNNNNNNNNNNNNNNNNNNNNNNNNNNNNNNNNNNNNNNNNNNNNNNNNNNNNNNNNNNNNNNNNNNNNNNNNNNNNNNNNNNNNNNNNNNNNNNNNNNNNNNNNNNNNNNNNNNNNNNNNNNNNNNNNNNNNNNNNNNNNNNNNNNNNNNNNNNNNNNNNNNNNNNNNNNNNNNNNNNNNNNNNNNNNNNNNNNNNNNNNNNNNNNNNNNNNNNNNNNNNNNNNNNNNNNNNNNNNNNNNNNNNNNNNNNNNNNNNNNNNNNNNNNNNNNNNNNNNNNNNNNNNNNNNNNNNNNNNNNNNNNNNNNNNNNNNNNNNNNNNNNNNNNNNNNNNNNNNNNNNNNNNNNNNNNNNNNNNNNNNNNNNNNNNNNNNNNNNNNNNNNNNNNNNNNNNNNNNNNNNNNNNNNNNNNNNNNNNNNNNNNNNNNNNNNNNNNNNNNNNNNNNNNNNNNNNNNNNNNNNNNNNNNNNNNNNNNNNNNNNNNNNNNNNNNNNNNNNNNNNNNNNNNNNNNNNNNNNNNNNNNNNNNNNNNNNNNNNNNNNNNNNNNNNNNNNNNNNNNNNNNNNNNNNNNNNNNNNNNNNNNNNNNNNNNNNNNNNNNNNNNNNNNNNNNNNNNNNNNNNNNNNNNNNNNNNNNNNNNNNNNNNNNNNNNNNNNNNNNNNNNNNNNNNNNNNNNNNNNNNNNNNNNNNNNNNNNNNNNNNNNNNNNNNNNNNNNNNNNNNNNNNNNNNNNNNNNNNNNNNNNNNNNNNNNNNNNNNNNNNNNNNNNNNNNNNNNNNNNNNNNNNNNNNNNNNNNNNNNNNNNNNNNNNNNNNNNNNNNNNNNNNNNNNNNNNNNNNNNNNNNNNNNNNNNNNNNNNNNNNNNNNNNNNNNNNNNNNNNNNNNNNNNNNNNNNNNNNNNNNNNNNNNNNNNNNNNNNNNNNNNNNNNNNNNNNNNNNNNNNNNNNNNNNNNNNNNNNNNNNNNNNNNNNNNNNNNNNNNNNNNNNNNNNNNNNNNNNNNNNNNNNNNNNNNNNNNNNNNNNNNNNNNNNNNNNNNNNNNNNNNNNNNNNNNNNNNNNNNNNNNNNNNNNNNNNNNNNNNNNNNNNNNNNNNNNNNNNNNNNNNNNNNNNNNNNNNNNNNNNNNNNNNNNNNNNNNNNNNNNNNNNNNNNNNNNNNNNNNNNNNNNNNNNNNNNNNNNNNNNNNNNNNNNNNNNNNNNNNNNNNNNNNNNNNNNNNNNNNNNNNNNNNNNNNNNNNNNNNNNNNNNNNNNNNNNNNNNNNNNNNNNNNNNNNNNNNNNNNNNNNNNNNNNNNNNNNNNNNNNNNNNNNNNNNNNNNNNNNNNNNNNNNNNNNNNNNNNNNNNNNNNNNNNNNNNNNNNNNNNNNNNNNNNNNNNNNNNNNNNNNNNNNNNNNNNNNNNNNNNNNNNNNNNNNNNNNNNNNNNNNNNNNNNNNNNNNNNNNNNNNNNNNNNNNNNNNNNNNNNNNNNNNNNNNNNNNNNNNNNNNNNNNNNNNNNNNNNNNNNNNNNNNNNNNNNNNNNNNNNNNNNNNNNNNNNNNNNNNNNNNNNNNNNNNNNNNNNNNNNNNNNNNNNNNNNNNNNNNNNNNNNNNNNNNNNNNNNNNNNNNNNNNNNNNNNNNNNNNNNNNNNNNNNNNNNNNNNNNNNNNNNNNNNNNNNNNNNNNNNNNNNNNNNNNNNNNNNNNNNNNNNNNNNNNNNNNNNNNNNNNNNNNNNNNNNNNNNNNNNNNNNNNNNNNNNNNNNNNNNNNNNNNNNNNNNNNNNNNNNNNNNNNNNNNNNNNNNNNNNNNNNNNNNNNNNNNNNNNNNNNNNNNNNNNNNNNNNNNNNNNNNNNNNNNNNNNNNNNNNNNNNNNNNNNNNNNNNNNNNNNNNNNNNNNNNNNNNNNNNNNNNNNNNNNNNNNNNNNNNNNNNNNNNNNNNNNNNNNNNNNNNNNNNNNNNNNNNNNNNNNNNNNNNNNNNNNNNNNNNNNNNNNNNNNNNNNNNNNNNNNNNNNNNNNNNNNNNNNNNNNNNNNNNNNNNNNNNNNNNNNNNNNNNNNNNNNNNNNNNNNNNNNNNNNNNNNNNNNNNNNNNNNNNNNNNNNNNNNNNNNNNNNNNNNNNNNNNNNNNNNNNNNNNNNNNNNNNNNNNNNNNNNNNNNNNNNNNNNNNNNNNNNNNNNNNNNNNNNNNNNNNNNNNNNNNNNNNNNNNNNNNNNNNNNNNNNNNNNNNNNNNNNNNNNNNNNNNNNNNNNNNNNNNNNNNNNNNNNNNNNNNNNNNNNNNNNNNNNNNNNNNNNNNNNNNNNNNNNNNNNNNNNNNNNNNNNNNNNNNNNNNNNNNNNNNNNNNNNNNNNNNNNNNNNNNNNNNNNNNNNNNNNNNNNNNNNNNNNNNNNNNNNNNNNNNNNNNNNNNNNNNNNNNNNNNNNNNNNNNNNNNNNNNNNNNNNNNNNNNNNNNNNNNNNNNNNNNNNNNNNNNNNNNNNNNNNNNNNNNNNNNNNNNNNNNNNNNNNNNNNNNNNNNNNNNNNNNNNNNNNNNNNNNNNNNNNNNNNNNNNNNNNNNNNNNNNNNNNNNNNNNNNNNNNNNNNNNNNNNNNNNNNNNNNNNNNNNNNNNNNNNNNNNNNNNNNNNNNNNNNNNNNNNNNNNNNNNNNNNNNNNNNNNNNNNNNNNNNNNNNNNNNNNNNNNNNNNNNNNNNNNNNNNNNNNNNNNNNNNNNNNNNNNNNNNNNNNNNNNNNNNNNNNNNNNNNNNNNNNNNNNNNNNNNNNNNNNNNNNNNNNNNNNNNNNNNNNNNNNNNNNNNNNNNNNNNNNNNNNNNNNNNNNNNNNNNNNNNNNNNNNNNNNNNNNNNNNNNNNNNNNNNNNNNNNNNNNNNNNNNNNNNNNNNNNNNNNNNNNNNNNNNNNNNNNNNNNNNNNNNNNNNNNNNNNNNNNNNNNNNNNNNNNNNNNNNNNNNNNNNNNNNNNNNNNNNNNNNNNNNNNNNNNNNNNNNNNNNNNNNNNNNNNNNNNNNNNNNNNNNNNNNNNNNNNNNNNNNNNNNNNNNNNNNNNNNNNNNNNNNNNNNNNNNNNNNNNNNNNNNNNNNNNNNNNNNNNNNNNNNNNNNNNNNNNNNNNNNNNNNNNNNNNNNNNNNNNNNNNNNNNNNNNNNNNNNNNNNNNNNNNNNNNNNNNNNNNNNNNNNNNNNNNNNNNNNNNNNNNNNNNNNNNNNNNNNNNNNNNNNNNNNNNNNNNNNNNNNNNNNNNNNNNNNNNNNNNNNNNNNNNNNNNNNNNNNNNNNNNNNNNNNNNNNNNNNNNNNNNNNNNNNNNNNNNNNNNNNNNNNNNNNNNNNNNNNNNNNNNNNNNNNNNNNNNNNNNNNNNNNNNNNNNNNNNNNNNNNNNNNNNNNNNNNNNNNNNNNNNNNNNNNNNNNNNNNNNNNNNNNNNNNNNNNNNNNNNNNNNNNNNNNNNNNNNNNNNNNNNNNNNNNNNNNNNNNNNNNNNNNNNNNNNNNNNNNNNNNNNNNNNNNNNNNNNNNNNNNNNNNNNNNNNNNNNNNNNNNNNNNNNNNNNNNNNNNNNNNNNNNNNNNNNNNNNNNNNNNNNNNNNNNNNNNNNNNNNNNNNNNNNNNNNNNNNNNNNNNNNNNNNNNNNNNNNNNNNNNNNNNNNNNNNNNNNNNNNNNNNNNNNNNNNNNNNNNNNNNNNNNNNNNNNNNNNNNNNNNNNNNNNNNNNNNNNNNNNNNNNNNNNNNNNNNNNNNNNNNNNNNNNNNNNNNNNNNNNNNNNNNNNNNNNNNNNNNNNNNNNNNNNNNNNNNNNNNNNNNNNNNNNNNNNNNNNNNNNNNNNNNNNNNNNNNNNNNNNNNNNNNNNNNNNNNNNNNNNNNNNNNNNNNNNNNNNNNNNNNNNNNNNNNNNNNNNNNNNNNNNNNNNNNNNNNNNNNNNNNNNNNNNNNNNNNNNNNNNNNNNNNNNNNNNNNNNNNNNNNNNNNNNNNNNNNNNNNNNNNNNNNNNNNNNNNNNNNNNNNNNNNNNNNNNNNNNNNNNNNNNNNNNNNNNNNNNNNNNNNNNNNNNNNNNNNNNNNNNNNNNNNNNNNNNNNNNNNNNNNNNNNNNNNNNNNNNNNNNNNNNNNNNNNNNNNNNNNNNNNNNNNNNNNNNNNNNNNNNNNNNNNNNNNNNNNNNNNNNNNNNNNNNNNNNNNNNNNNNNNNNNNNNNNNNNNNNNNNNNNNNNNNNNNNNNNNNNNNNNNNNNNNNNNNNNNNNNNNNNNNNNNNNNNNNNNNNNNNNNNNNNNNNNNNNNNNNNNNNNNNNNNNNNNNNNNNNNNNNNNNNNNNNNNNNNNNNNNNNNNNNNNNNNNNNNNNNNNNNNNNNNNNNNNNNNNNNNNNNNNNNNNNNNNNNNNNNNNNNNNNNNNNNNNNNNNNNNNNNNNNNNNNNNNNNNNNNNNNNNNNNNNNNNNNNNNNNNNNNNNNNNNNNNNNNNNNNNNNNNNNNNNNNNNNNNNNNNNNNNNNNNNNNNNNNNNNNNNNNNNNNNNNNNNNNNNNNNNNNNNNNNNNNNNNNNNNNNNNNNNNNNNNNNNNNNNNNNNNNNNNNNNNNNNNNNNNNNNNNNNNNNNNNNNNNNNNNNNNNNNNNNNNNNNNNNNNNNNNNNNNNNNNNNNNNNNNNNNNNNNNNNNNNNNNNNNNNNNNNNNNNNNNNNNNNNNNNNNNNNNNNNNNNNNNNNNNNNNNNNNNNNNNNNNNNNNNNNNNNNNNNNNNNNNNNNNNNNNNNNNNNNNNNNNNNNNNNNNNNNNNNNNNNNNNNNNNNNNNNNNNNNNNNNNNNNNNNNNNNNNNNNNNNNNNNNNNNNNNNNNNNNNNNNNNNNNNNNNNNNNNNNNNNNNNNNNNNNNNNNNNNNNNNNNNNNNNNNNNNNNNNNNNNNNNNNNNNNNNNNNNNNNNNNNNNNNNNNNNNNNNNNNNNNNNNNNNNNNNNNNNNNNNNNNNNNNNNNNNNNNNNNNNNNNNNNNNNNNNNNNNNNNNNNNNNNNNNNNNNNNNNNNNNNNNNNNNNNNNNNNNNNNNNNNNNNNNNNNNNNNNNNNNNNNNNNNNNNNNNNNNNNNNNNNNNNNNNNNNNNNNNNNNNNNNNNNNNNNNNNNNNNNNNNNNNNNNNNNNGGAGAGAGGGCGCUGAAACUACAAGCAUUUCAAACCGUCUUGACGACGUCGUGCUCUUGUGAUUAUUUAUCAACGCAUCUCUCAUCAAAUCCUGGAUGGUUGGAAGAUUGGAAGGAACUAGUACGUAAACGUCGUAGUGCCACAGAUGCACUAACAUUACUAAAGCUGAUGAUAUUUGGAUACACAAAAUUAACACACUUGUUGACUCACUUUCUAAUAUGGGCUCUGCUUCUAUUAGGUAGUGCGUCUACAAUUGCAUCUAAUUUUGUGCGUCUAAAAUAGUUUUACCGUUGGGGCAAAAAUGUGAAUGCCUUCUUCUGGAACUGGAUUCAGACCACCUGCAAUCUUGCUGUUUGGAUUUAUUACUUCCCACUUGUAUUUUAUGACAAUGUGAUGGAGGCAAACACAUAAGUCGGAGUUUAGUAUAUGUUGAGUCCAAUUUUAUUCUCUAUGAUCCAUCACUCCAAUCACUUGCUAAUAAGGACAAAGCCUUAUAAAGUGAAGGAACAUUUUAGUAGUGACCAAUGUAAGACAAUGUAGAAUGAUAUAUCUACUAAAAUUUUUCCAACAAUAUGGUUACAAACUGAAUUGGGAGCAUAUGUAAAUUUGAUACCUCGUUAUGAUCGGCUCUUUCUAUUGUUUAAGCUCCUAAUUGCCAUCCCCUUAUGUUUUAUAGUAGAAUAUUGUUGUAUUAAAAAUGAACCGUUGAAAUAUAAUAAAAUAGUUUUCAUAAUUUAUUCUUUUAAUUUCCAAGCUAUGGUAGUUGUUGUUUGUGAAAUAUUGAUAUAUAAUUUAUUCCUUCAAUUUUCAACCUUUGCUAGUUCUUGUAUUUCAUAUUUGGAGAUGAGCUCUUUUUUUUUUCAUUUGCAAAUAAUGUAUUUUCAUCAUAAAAACUUUAUAAUUGGAAUCAUUAUUUUCUUAGUUUCUAUUUGAGGAUUAUCUCUACAAAAAAAUCAUCCGAAUCGGAUACCGUUUAAUCAUACAAAUGUAUCAAAAUAAAUCAACUGUGUAAGUAGCAAGUAACAUAUUCAUCAUGAUGAGUCAUUGAUUUGUUUGAUAUUUGGAUGACUAAAGGAUUUCUGAUUCAAAUGAUUUUUUACGGAUUCCGUAUGACUGAAAAUCUAAAAUUUUGGUUUGCUUGUUUUUGGGCUAGGUUUUUUGGUAUUUGAGCUUUUGCCUUUCCUUAAAAUGAUUCAAAACUAGUGGAGUUCUAUGAAAUAUAUGUGUUUUUGUCUGUAUAGGUUGUGCAAGAAAUUGAAGCUAAGCUGGUAAUUAAACUAGUAAUUUGAUUACAGAAUGUUAGAUAAAGCGGAUUAGAAGUGCAAUUCAUUAACAUUGCAACUUUUUCAUCCUCCGUAAAUGUGAUUUAUGACAAAUAAGCGUAAGAAAAAAGAAAAUAGGACAUGGUUGAUAUUUUAAAAUCGGAUGGCAAGUCUUUAUUAUCAUAAUAUUAGCAUAGAAUAGCUAUGGAAAGGAUUAAUAUAAAAUACUUGCCUUGCAUUGGACUUUAAAAGAAAUGAAAUUAUAAGUGGUGGAUUGUCUUUAUGAUUAGGGCUUGUUUUUUUAAUUUACUAUGCCUUGAGUUCAAACUUCAAACCCUCCUUCAUACCAAUUAGCGUACAAUACUGUUCUCCAUCCCUAUUAGCGUACAAUAUUUAUUGAUUAAAAAAAAACGAAAGUUAGAGAUCUGAGAUCGAAUGAAUUGUAAGCAUAAACAAACAUGAAAGCAUGUAUUAUUACUGAUGCACUAACAUUAGACGAAGGAUGGUGAUAAUUGGACAUAUAAUACUAACACACUGAUCGACUCACUUUCUAAUUCAGGUGAGAUCCACAUACAAUGACAGGUUCCACUCUAUUAGGAAGUGCGUCUAAUUUUUGUGCGUCCAAAUAGUUUACUGUUGGGGCAAAUAUGGUUGGAUGCGAAUGUGAAUGCCUUCUUCUGGAACUGGAUUCAAACCACCUGCAAUCUUGCUGUUUGGAUUUAUUACUUCCCACUUGUAUUUUGUGACAAUGUGAUGAAGGGAGCACAUAAGUUGGAGUCUAGCAUAUUUCUUUUCCCGGGCAAAUUCGAGGGCCGCUGCCAAAUGGGAUGUUAGAGUAAGUCGGAGGAGUUUUUCCAUUCUCAAAACCUAGUCGGAUCAAACUCUUCCGGAUCCGGAAAGUAUUCAGGGAUUUUAUUCGUGCUGCUUGCCGACCAAAACACCUAAAAAAGGGUAAUCAACACAAACUAAUUAAGACACACAAAUUAAAUGGUGAAGUAACUAGACUGUAAUUAUAUUACUAAUUAACUGAUUGUUAAAUACCUUCCACCCUUUUGGAAUUGUGUAACCUUCAUACGUGAAUUCAGUAGCAACCUCCCUAAAUGUUCCUUGGAGAGGUGGUACCAGCCUCAUAACUUCAAGUGCCACACCCCAGGAAUAUUUCAUCUUGUGUAUAUCUUCCCAGAUCAGUGCCUCGCCAGACUUUUUUGAACUUGCGAUCUCCAAUUGUUCUAGAACAAGAACAAAAAUUUUCAUCAUGCAAUUAAUAUAUAUAUACCAAUUUCCAAUUUAAAGAAGAUCUCUAUCAAUUUUAAUUAAUUACCUGUACGAACUUUGUCACAUAUUUCAGGUCUUUCUCCAAGAUAUUUGAAGAGGAAACCUGUAACCAUGGAAGGUGAGUGAAACGCAGCCACCAUCGAACCCAUAAAUUUAUCAGCAACUUCAUUCUCCGAUGAGAACCUUCCAGUGGGGUCCGGGUUAAAUAGCAUGAAAGACAAGAUGUCGUGUGCGUUUGGACUCCACUGGCAGCAGCCGCUUUCUUCUCCUCAAUCAACAACAAAACCUCCUUCCUCAAUGCCUUCGCCGCCUUCAUUGCUCGAUGAAACGUGGUUCCGGGAAUGUUGAUGUGAAUAGUAUGCAGCCCUGAAGUGAGAACAUCCAUCAACUGGGCAUACUUUUCCGUGCGCUCAUUGUCAUGCAGUCCAGUGAAGAAGCGAGCGGACAAACUCGUGUGACAAGUAGCUGAGCAAGUUUAUAUACCUCAACCGUGGUUUUGCCUUCCCAGUGAAGCUUCAAAUGUUCUUGAACCAAAGAGUCCAUAGUUUCUAUGUACUUCACCAGAGCCUCGGGCUUCAAAAAGCCCGGGGCACGGUAGAUUUGGAUUACGUCUGCUUGCGGUACGAUGGCUGUGGCAGCGGCUUUUAGGUAGGAAGAGCGGAAGAGCUUCUGCAUGGAUAGUGGUCGCCAUGCAAGAAAAAGCUUUUCCUCGUUGGUGGCGAUGAACUUGUGACCGGCAGUGCCGCAUAAAACAACCAUCCGCUCGCCGAAUAUGCUGGUUUUAAAGAGCUUUGUGGAGUGUUUUUUCAUUCUUUCGCCCACAAAGUGUUGUUGCUGCUCUUUCAUGAAGGCGAUCGUUUCGCCAAUGAUUGGCCAUCCGAAACUUCCCGGUGGAAGGUUGGUUUUGGAAGAUUUGAAUGCAUAAAUGAUGAGAGCAAGAGCACUCAGUAAUAACAACAAUAAUAAUUGAGUCUCCAUUCGAAGAGUAAGAAUGUUGUUAGUUAAGAGAAUGAUUCUUAUAGAUUGUUGGUUGCUAAGUGCUAAGCUACCCUUUAUAUAUAUAGGCGCUGUAUUUACCCAUCUGUAUGCACCAAUUAAUAAUUAGUAAUUCUAAAAAAAAUACAAAAAUGUUGUCUUGAAAGCAGGCACCGCUGCAACAGAAGAAAAGAAGGAUCGAUCAAAUCCCGACGGACCGGUUAUAUACUUAUUAUAAUAGAUGUAUAUAUAGAUAUAUCUUAUAAUAAGUAUAAGAGUUGAAUGAAUUUUUUUAUUUAUUUGUACUACAUCUCUAAUAAAUAUAUGACUCGCAUGUAUUAGUGAGCCCUACAUAGUACAAAUAUCUCUACUAUACUAAUAGAACUUUCAUUAUCAACCAAAUCUCUAUGAAAUUACUACUCUAACCCUCUAAUUAAAAUUAAACAAAAAUAAAAAAUAUGGGCAAUUUAGUAAUUUCAAAACUACAAAUUUUACUUUUUUUUUUUUGGAACCUCACAACUAGGUAAUAGUAACAUAUUCUAUUUAAAAAUUCAAAAUUAAAUUAAAAAAUUGGCACACAUUCAUCUCUCUCAUCAACUCUCUUCAGCUUCUCUUUACAUCUUUCUUGCCAAAAUCCUCCUCAACCGCUCUAACCACCCCACCUCCGUUACCCCCUUUCUCCCACCCCGCCUGCCUCUAACCCACUUGCAAAUUAUGUAGGCUCUUCCUCUCCUCCAACGGUCCAACCCUAAUAGCCCUCUGCCAGACCCACCACCCAACAACUUCUCCGACAUCCUCUGUGUUUUCCCCCAUGACCCCUCUUUCAUCGCCCCCUGCCUCUUUGACCCAUGAAUCCUAGACUGGAGCCCCUCCCACCAUGAAUGGGCAUCCAAUGUUCUGAAGGUAUGAGCCUCAUUAUUUAGUUUCUGCAUCUUAUGCGAGGUUGGAGGAAGAAAUUUUUAAGCAUUAAAACUCCCUUGCAAUAUGUUUGAUGUGUCGUUGAAAUACAUAUAUUAAUCAUGAUUUAUCACUCCUCAAUUACUUAUUUUAUUGCAUUCGAUGGUUUUUACUUUGUUACAUGGCUUGUUUUCAUCCAAGUAUAGUUCCACAUUAUACAACUUUUGGGAGAUGUACUGAAGUUAGUGAUGAUUUUAGUGUUUUCAUGCUAUAAUAUCUUUACAAAUUAUUAUAAAAUUCUGAAAGUAUUGCCUAACUCAUAAGUUUGGUUUUAUUUCACUAAUGUUAGUAAUUGUUUUCAUAAGUUCAUGUAACUCAUACCACAGUGAAAAGAUUUUUUUUUUUCUUCAGAAUGACGUAUACAUUGCACAUUGAUAACUCAUACCACAACAAAAAAAAAUUGAGUUGCACACGUAUAGCGUGUGUGCCGAUUGCUAGUAUAAAUAGAUGAUAAGUGUAACACUACAUCAAAAAAAAAAAAGUUAUGUGUGCUCAAGUUAGUAGGAGAAGUGCCAAGGGCUAGGAUUCUCUCCCUUCCUCUUUCCAUCCAUUUCCAUCCCCUCCUCUCACAUUUUCUAUUUUGUCUUUCUCCUUCUAUAAAAAAUUAAUAUAAGAUGUUGAUAUGGCUUAACCGUGACCAUUCAAAUAGGAGGAGAGAAAAUCCUAGUACCUGUCACAAAUGUCUACAUUCUAACUCAAGUGUGCUAUAGAGAAUGCCAAUAAGAAAAGGGUCCAGAAUACCAGACUGUCGGACCUUUCCUUGGCACCAAGUAUUUACCUGAAACACGAGUGUAUGAUUGUCAGAAUUAGCUUGGCUCCUCAACAAUUCACUAUACGAUGGAUUUACAAAUUUUUUUUGUUUAUAAUUGAAAUUAUUCAUAUUAUAAAUUAAUUUGUAAAGAUUAUUUUUGCAAAAAAAAAUAUAUAUUGAAAAUAUAAAAAAUGCUACUCUUACUACAUUUGUACUAUCUCUCUAAUAAAAAUGAGACUCAUAUAUGUUGAUGAACCAUACUUUUAUUAAAAGAUAGUACAAAUGUAGUAUGAAAAAUAUGGUAAGUGUAGCUUGUACUCUUUAAAUAUGAGAGCGUUUUAGUUAUCGAACUAUACAAAAAUAGGACGAAUUCAAUAAACAAAUCAUGAAUUGUCUAUAACUAUGUUAUAAUUGAUUGAUUAAACAACCGUACUUCAGCCACUUAGUACUACGGUCUAGUGAUAUUCCUUUUCACUUGUAAGUGAGAGAUUCUAGGUUUGAUUUUCGCCAAAAGUGAAUUUGAACCACAUUAUUACUAACUCAUUAUGAGGCUUAAUCUACCUUUUUUUCAUUAGCAUAAAUAAUAUCGUUUGUUAAAAAAACAACCGUACUUGAUCAAUUGAUAUUAUUGACAGGCAGUACACAUAUUUGCAAUAAUUUAUCAACAGACGUUGAUAUUAAAAUUGACAUGCAGUACACGCAUUGGCAAUAAUUUAUAAAAAGACCAUUUGUUUUUCUAAAAAAAAAAAAAAACAUUUGUCACUAUCUUUGAGAAUCGUCUAAUGGAAGCACAAUCUUGACUCUUGAGUUCCCCCAAAUGCAUGCGCUCCAUCACAUGUAUCCAUCACAUGUAUAACAUGAAAAGGAAAAAGGUAUAUGAUUGGCUUUUAUUAAUAGGUAAUGUUGGGAAAAUUGAUUUUUAAAUUUUUUAUUUUUUAUUUUUUUUAAAUGAAUCACUUUUUAAAAUUAAAUUUGAUAAAUUAUAUGACGUGAUUAUUGAUAAUUUAAUUUUUAAUUAAUAACACAUUAUAUAAUUUACAAAUUGAACUUCAUCAUCCAUGCAUAACGAAUCUUCUCUUAGAAGACUUCUAUGCCACUACGCUAUAAUACAAGUUGGACGUCAAUUGUUGUAACACAUGACGCAGGCAGCAGCAAUGCUUAAAAAUAUGUCCAACAUAAAUAAACAGAUAAUAACAAAAUAUGGCUAAUGCACAUAAUAAAUACGGUUAUAAUAAUUAGUUAUAGUCUUUAAAUAAGAAGUAUUUUAUUUAAAUACCACAACUAAUUCUUCUAACCAUAUCUUAUUGUCACAUCCCAACUCAACCAUAGCAUGAUAUUAUCCGUUUUGGGUCAGACCCUCACGGAUUUGUUCCUGGGCAAGAGAACCUCACUACCUAAAACGCAUCAUGCUAGGAAGAGAGGAGCAUGUACAUAUAAGGUCAGGGACCAAUCCCCACCCUGAUGAUGUGGGAUACUACAUUAUUGUGUGAAUUAGUCAUAUUUUGUUGUUAUCUGUUUUUUGUUUGAAGUGAUGUUAAUAUUUUUUAUCCGUAUUGAAGGAAAAUAUGAUAAUAUUACAAUAUGUUUUCAAUAAUAAUAAUAAUAUUAUUAUUACAAUACGGUGAUAACCUUUUAUAUCCAUAUUCAAGUGUAAAUAAAGUUUAAUAAGCUCGAUUGCCAAUUAUAUCUUUUGCAGCUUCUGGACGGUGGCGUUAUUCACUAAAAACAAAUCCAAUUAUUUUUAUAAUUCAAAUUAAUAAAAAAAUGUUUAUUAAAAUAUAAUAAUAUUUCUUUUUAUUUAUAAUAGAGAAAAUCUCAAGAUCUGCUCAAAUAGAUAACGACGAUCCGUAUGUAUAUUUAAUACCUCGUUAUAAACGGCACUUUCUAUUAUUUAAGUCCUAAUUCCAGCCCCCUUGUCUUUAUCGUAGAAUAUUGUGUAUUAAAAAUGGAGGCAGAUUCUCUGCUCUCUCAUUUUCGAUGUCUUCCCGUGACCUUCUGUUUUAUGUGGUCACAGUUAAGCCACGUCAAUAUUUUAAAUUAUUUUUUAUAGGAAUAAUAAGACAAAAAUAAAUAGUAAUAUAAAAUGUUGACGUGAGUUAACCGUGAUCAAAAAACAAAAGGGCACAGAAGGACACCGAAAGUGAGAGGGCAUUCUCCAUUAAAAAUAACAACUGAAAUAUAAUUUAUUCCUUCAUACCUAGGCAGCUGUUGUUUGUUGAAUCUUGGAAAAUAAUACAAUAGUUUCAUAAUUUAUUCUUUCAAUUUUCAACCAAUGGUAGCCGUUGUUUGUUGAAUAUUGAUAUAUAAUUUAUUCCUUCAAUUUUCAACCUUCGCUAGUUCUUGUAUUUCUUUUUUUUUUGGAGAUGAGCUCAUUCUUUUAUUUGCAAUUAAAGUAUUUACACCAUAAAAACUUUAUAAUUGGAAUUGCUAUUCUUUUAGUCUCCAUUUGAGGAUCAUCUCUGUAAAAAAUCAUUCAAAUCAGAGAUCAUUUAAUCAUCAAAAUGCAUCAAAAUAAAUCACCCAUGUAGGUAACAAGUAGCAUAUUUAUGAUGAGCCAUUGAUUUGUUUGAUAUAUUUGGAUGACUAAAGGAUAUUUGAUUCAAAUGAUUUUUAACGGAUCUAAAAUCAGUUUGAAGUUCUUAUAGAUGAUGUUCGUUUGUAGUUUUGGCUUGGUUAAGUAACAAGUCUUUUUUUUUUCUUUUUUUUUUCAAAAAAAAAAAAAGGGGACCCGAUUGUGGUUUCGCCUUAGCAGUCCACCCUUAAUGGGCCGGGAAGACUCACAGAGGCAUUUUAUUCUCUUCUUGACCAUCAUCGUGCGAUUCACUAAUACCAUGAAUCAAUCUCAGGACUUGCUGUGUGGAAUACGAGCCUAAAAUUCAUCUCCAACUACUAAGCCACCUCAUGAUGGUUUGUUGGGGUAUGGCUGAAAUUCUAAAUUUAGUUUGCUUGGUUUUGAGCUAGGUUUGUUGGGAUUUGAACUUUUAUCUCCCCUUGAAACGAUUCAGCUAGUGAAGUUGUAAGAUGUAUAAUGUGUUUUUGUCUCUAUAGGUACCGUUGUGAGGGGGAUUGAAACUAAGCUAGCAAUUAAACUAGUAAUUAUGUGAUAACAGAAUAUUAGAUGUGCUCUAGAUUAGUGGGAGAGGUGUCCCUGUCACAAAUAUCUAGACUCUAAAAGUUUGAUUGUUGAUGGCUACCUCAAGUGCGCUAGAGAAUGCCAAUAAGAGCAUCUGCAGCAGUCCCUAAUUUGCCUCGGAAUUGAGUUGAACUGCCUUGUUGCCUAAAGAAAAUGGAUUUGAAUCCUCUCCUGAGCUUAGAAGGCUGAGCCUCCUGAGCAAAUCACAAAAACCGUUGGAUUUUAAUUCAACGGCUAAAAUUAUUAUAACUUUUAGAGGGACUCCUUAUUUGUAACCGUUAGAUCAAAAUCUAAUGAUCCGUAUGAUUUGCUCAGGAGGCUCAGCCUCCGAAGCUCAAGUGAGGAUCCAAAUCCAAAGAAAAUGGCUCCACCUCUGAAAUAAAAAGAGGGGCAAUUGGGUGAAGGGCAGAGCCCUUGCGGCUGCCCUGCCGACUGAAACUGGGGUCCGCGUAAGACCAGAUCGAAAGUCUCCUUUGAAAAAAAAGAGAGUUAGAGAUCUAAGUUCGAAAGAAUUGCAAGCAUAAACACCAUGACACAAGUUAUAAUUAUUACAUUAUUGUUUCAGUACAAAAGAGGGAGAGAGGCGCUGAACUGCAAGCAUUUCAAACUGUCUCGACGAGGUCGAGUUCUUGUGAUUAUUUAUCAACACAUCUCAUCAAAUCCAGGAAAGGUUGGAAGAUUGGAACGAACUAGUACGUAAACUUCGUAGUCCGUACAACGUUGUGACGAGGGAAUAAAUCAGCCUCAUGCCACUGAUGCACUAACAUUAGGCUAAUGGUGAUGAUAUUUUAACACACAAAACUAAUAUACUUGUUGACAUACUUUUUAAUAUAGGUGAGAUCCAGUCCGCCUCUGGUGACUGCCUAACUUUAGUGCAAUUUCGCUUAUGAUUCAUUAUCUUAGGGAUUCGACGUGAAAAUGAAGUGCCGGCUAUCGACUACCUAACGCCCUCCUCCUCCUCCUCCUCCUCUAUUUGGGCUUGGAAUCAGCAACGUAAGAUAAACUUACACAAGCAUAGUUAUUAAAAAAACAAAAUCAAUGGAAAAAGUUGAUUUAGAUCAAAAUGGCGAAAUUGAUUGAAAAUCAAUUUGAAAUGUGCAAAUCGAGCAGUAAGAAUAAAGCUUUGCAUAUUUAGACUUCAGUGUCUAAUUUGAGCUUGUGAGUACCGUUCUGAACAUAAUGAUUAUGUGCAUCAAACACACCACUUUACUUUGACGUAUGAGCUUUUCUGCCAAAAUAUUUUUAAAGACGUUUUAGGAUUUUGUUAUUUUGUUUAGUUUUAAUUUUAUUUGUCACAUAAUAAUACGGUUUAAUAGUAUUCAUCUUCAAUUAAAAGUGAAUAUCUUAAGUUCGAAUCGCUUAGAUAGCAAGUUUGAUACCGAUUUAUCCCCGCCUUUUAGUGUAAAUAAUAUCGAUGUAUCCAAACAAAAAAAUAUAAAUAGGAUAUUUAUUAAGUGUUAGGUUUCAAUUAACUUUGAGAUUUCUUCGUACUUUCCGGUGGAUUCUAACUUUCUUUUUCUUUAAGAUUAUUGUUGAAUAAUCUUCUUAUUUUCAUGUUGCGUCACGAGUGCCAAAAAAAGAAAACAAGUGUGAAAAUAAUUGUUCCAUAAUUAAUAGCUUUGUUGUCCUACUAUUAAUUAUUAUUAUUAUUAUUAUUAUUAUUAUUAUUAUUAUUACUAUUAUAUUGAAUUUCUUAAAGUAUUAUUAUUUUUUGGUUGACAAUGGGGCAUAAGCGCGAAUGAAAAUGAAGAUUAAUAAGGAUAUCACGAAAUCACGAGACCCAAAUUAUAUUUGUAACUAACAACCGACGACAAAAAAGAAUAGCUUGCCAAAAAAGACUGCACUCAAACUGCAUGACAAACUCAAACGAGUCAAAUUAUCAGCAACAAAGUUCUUUUCACGAUAGAUAUGAUGAAUUUCACAAGACCAACUUUGGUGCAUGAGCUCACGACAAGUCGGUUACUAAACUUCCCAGAGGGUGACUAUCCACUUUUGCAUUUGAAAUCAAUUGUAUUGCAAGUGUAGAAUCCAAUUCCACCAUAAUCUUAUUAACUCCAUUAUUCCAUGCAAGUUGCAGCUCAACCGAUACACCUCAAACUUCAACACAUAGAAUCUCACAUCGACCAAGAUUAGCACAAAAGCAAGAAGGGAGGUGCAACACAAGAACUUCCAGGAGCUCACCCGUUCUAAUGCUACUCUCGCCCAAACUCGCUUAAAAUAUUAUUUUGUUCUCUAUAAAAGUACUGAUUCAUUGACAAAAGAAAUGGUGGAAUGGAUCAAUUAUGAUAUAUUAGUUUGUUUUAGAUAUGGUAGUAUUAUCCACACAUCUCUUUUUAACUUCUUAUACCUUCUUAAUUUUUUAUUGUUAAAUCAAAUGAAUUAGAGAAGAUUAAUUGACAACAAUUAACAAUAAGUGUAUAAAUAACACCACCUUUACAUAUUGAUUAAUUUCUAUAUUAUAUGCUUAUCGUGAAGUCAGAGACUAACAACUGAUUGCAUUUAAGUCUUUGUCACACCAAACUAUAUAAAAAGCACUGCCAGCUUCUUUGGUCUAGUUUCUUAACUUGCAGGCAAAAAUCUUAUUAUAAACAAUUAAAUUUUAGACCCUAGAUGACGGAAAAUGGAAUUUGAAAAUCGCUACUCUAUUAAAUUUUAGACCAUAAAAUUAAUGUAAACGGUUUAUGAUUGAUAUUAGUAUAAUAUAUAUGUCUAAGGGGUACUACUAGUUCUCACUCUUUGAUGACUUGCAUAUCCUGAUGAUGGUUUGCUCCAUAAUCUUUGAAGAUUUGCUGGAUAAUGGUGUUGAUUUAAUUGGAUUCUUAGUUAGUAUUAAAAUUGACAUGCAAUACGUACUUGUUUCUUUGUUGAGAAAUGCGCUGAGGAAACUCUUUCAAAGUGACUCUCUAUAAGCUCUCUCAAAGUGAGACUCUUUAUAAACUCUUCGUCAGACUCUCUAUCACCUCAUACUUUUGGCACAAUAAAGUCAUUUCUUUGUUGAGAAAUGCUAAGGAGAUUUUCCUCCAGACUCUUCGUCACCUCAUAUUUUUUGCACAAUAGAGUCUAUAAAAAGUCUUACUUUUAAGAUGUCUUAGCAUUCUCUUCUUUGUUUAGAAAAGAAAUUUAAAAUUAAUAUGGACUACACACAUUUGCAAUAAUUAUUAAAAAGACUAUUUAUCACGAUGGUCUGAAAACACAAUCUUGAGUCCCCCCAAAUGCAUGUGCUUCUAUUCCAUCUACAAUAGAAUCACAUGUAUCCCAACUAGAUCCUCUUCAGAUUAUCUUUGCGAGGAUUCUAGGAAUUCGUGAAUCGUGUAUGUUUAUCAUACAUCCUGCGGUCAGUUUUUGUACAGUAUUGUUUGUGUUCAAUUUUAAUUAAAAGAAUUUAAAAUGGUUUCUGACCGCACAAUGUACGAUGAAGGAACAUGAUUCACGAAUUCUCGAAAUUCUCACGAAGAGGAUCCGGAUUCACCUGUAUCACACGAAAAGGGAAAAGGUCUAUGAUUAGCUUUUAUUAAUGAGUAAUGCUAUAGAGAUUAAUUUUUAAUUAAAUUUUAUAAAUUAUAUGAUGUGGUUGUAUUUCUUAAGUUUUGAAGAACGUGUUUAUUUCUUAUAAUUUAAAAUUUUGGUCGAAAAAGUUAGUCUGCAUAACAUUAUUCUUUUAUCAAAAGAUUAUAGUAAUCCCAGCAGUAGUGAAGCCACAAAGAUGCAAGGAGGUGCGGCUAUAUUAUAUGCUUAUCAUGAAGUCAGAGACUAAUAACCGAUUGCAUUUAAGUCUUUGUGAUACCAAACUACAUAAAAAGCACUGCCAGCUUCUUUGGUCUAUUUUCUUAACUUGCAAGCAAAAAACUUCUUAUAAACUAUUAAAUUUUAGACCGUAGAUGACUGAAAAUGGAAUUUGAAAAUCACUACUCUAUUAAAUUUUAGACCAUAAAAUUAAAGGAAAACUAAUGAAAAUGGUUUGAAAAUUUUGAGUUUUAAUGAUAAGGACAAAAUAAAGGGUAAAGUGAAUAGUAUCAGGUUUGACUUUUUAGUGUAAAAAUGUGGUUUUUCGUUAAAGUGAACAAUAUCGUGGGCUUUUCGUUAAAGCUCCCUAAAAUUAAUGUAAACGGGUUAUGAUUGAUAUUGGUAUAAUAUAUCUGUGUAAGGGGUACUACUUGUCACAUCCUAGCCUAGGCCCCCACCACAUCCCAGGCUAGACUCCACCGUAGCACGAUAUUGUCGUUUUGGGCUCCGACCACGUCCUCACGGUUUUGUUUCUGGGAACUUACACGAGAACUUCCUAGUGGGUCACCUAUCCUGGGAUUGCUCUUCGCGAACUCGCUUAACUUCGGAGUUCCUACGGAACCCGAAGUCAGUGAGCUCCCAAAAGGCCUCGUGCUAGGUAGAGAUGAGAAUAUACAUAUAAGACUUACAGGAUUCACUUCCAUGGGCGAUGUGGGAUGUUACAAUCCACCCCCCUUAGGGGCCCGACAUCUUCGUCGGCACAUUUCCGGCCAGGGAUUGGCUCUGAUACAAAAUUGUCACAUCCUGGCUCAGGCCCCCACCACAUCUCGGCCUAGACUCCACUGUAGCACGAUAUUGUCCGCUUUAGGCCCCGACUACGCACUCACGGUUUUAUUUCUGGGAACUCACAUGAGAACUUCCCAGUGGAUCACCUAUCCUGGGAUUGCUCUCGCGCGAACUCGCUUAACUUCGGAGUUCCUAUGGAACCCGAAGCCAAUGAGCUCUCAAAAGGCCUCGUGUUAGGUAGAGAUGAUAAUAUACAUAUAAGGCUUACAUGAUUCACUUCCCUGGACGAUAUGAGAUGUUACACUACUAGUUCUAACUCUUUGAAUAUUUGCAUAUCCUGAUGGUGGUUUGCUCCAUAAUCUUUGAAGAUUUGCUAGAUAAUGGUGUUGAUUUAAUAUUGGAUUCUCAGUUAGUAUUAAAAUUGACAUGCAAUACAUAAUUGUUUCUUUGUUAAGAAAUGCUAAGGAAACUCUCUCAAAGUGAGACUCCCUAUAAACCCUUCGUCAGACUCUCUGUCACCUCAUACUUUUGGCACAAUAGAGUAAUUUCUUUGUUCAUAAAUGCUAAAAAGACUCUCUAUAGACUUUCCUCCAGGCUUUCCGCAACCUCAUAUUUUUGCACAAUAAAGUCUAUAAAAAGUCCUACUUUUAAGAUGUCUUCGCAUUUCUCUUCUUUGUUUAGAAAAGAAAUUUAAAAUUAGGAUAAAUUUCAUAAAACUACCUCAACUAUUGGGUCAGUCACAAUUUCAUACCCCAUCUUUAAAAAAUUUCAAUGUCAUACCUCAUCUACGAAUUUUUUACAAUUUCAUACAUUCCGUCAGUUUUCUAUCAAUUUUUCAGUUAAAAUAGUGACAUGGCUUAAAAAAAUUAAAAAAUUAAUCAAAUAUUAAAAAACAAAAAAAAAAUCAUUUUGAAUUUUUUUUUUUGCACAGGGACCCACCCUAUGCCCUUUUUUCCCUCUCCUUUUCCUCCCCCACUUCUCUCUCUCGCCGUGCCCAUAACCCCCUUCCUUCCCCCACCUGUCUUCCCCAAACCCAGAUCCCACUCCCAACUACCAUACCAUCCCAAACCCAGAUCCCACUUCCUGUUACCAUUCUUCGGCACAAACCCAAAAUCAACCAGAUACCAUCCCAAACCCAGAUCCCACUCCCCGCUACCAUACCAUCCCAAACCCAUAUCCCACUUCCUACUACCAUUCUUCGGCACAUCCUUUAGCGCAACUACUCCUCCCUCACCUCCCUUACCUUUUUCAACGCCCUCAUCCGCAGCCACUCUCCUCCACAUACAGCAAAUUUGCCAAAACCCUUACCCCGGAAACCCUAUGAAACUCUUCCUUGCUCUCCUUGUACCCAGCCACCUGCGCAAUCACCAUCAUGGCGUCUUCUACGUCAUACUGCAGCAGAGAGAUUUGAGGGUUUGAAGGGGCAGAGGAAGAGGGCAUAAAUGGUACUAGAGCAUAGAGAGGGCCGGUUGACCCGAUUUGGUAAAGGCGAAGUCUGAAUCAAAGAGCGAGUCGGUCGAUGGCUGUAUAGACGAAGGGAAGGCGGGACGGAGUCGAGCGAUGGCGUGUGCAGGUGAGGUGGGUGAUAGGCAUGAAGGGGAGAGAUGGAUGUAGUGAUCAGUGCAGAGGAUACGAGAUGGGUGGGAUCUGGUGAGGGAGGGUGCAGACGGGGUCGACGAGGUCGGGUUAAAGGGUGAAGGUGAUGAGAUGGUGAAGGGCCAAGGUCAAGGUCGGGGCCGACAAGGCUACUGUUGCAGCGUGAAAGGGAGAAAGAGAGAAAAAAUACUAGAGGAAAGGGGAUGGCAAAUGAAAAACCUAGGUGGCUUAGGGGGUUCUGGGCACGGCGAGAGAAAGAAAUGGGGGAAGAAAGGGUACGGGGUGGGUCCCCAUGCAAAAAAUAAAAAUAAAAAUGAUUUUUUUUUUAAGUUUUUUAAUAUUUAAUUAUUUUUUUAAGCCACGUCACUAUUUAACGGAAAAAUUGGCAUAAAACUAACGGAAUGUAUGAAAUUGUAAAUAAUUCGUAGAUGAGGUAUGACAUUGAAAUUUUUUAAAGACGGGGUAUGAAACUGUGACUGACCCAAUAGUUGAGAGAGUUUUAUGUAAUUUACCCUUAAAAUUAAUAUGCACUACACACAUUUGCAAUAAUUAUAUAUAUAAAAAAGACAAUUUAUCACGAUGGUCUGAAAACACAAUUAUCACGAUGGUUUGAAAACACAAUCUUGAGUUCCCCCAAAUGCAUGCGCUUCUAUUCCAUCUACAACAGAAUCACAUGUAUCCCAACAAGAUCCUAUCCGGAUCCUCUUUGUGAGGAUUUUAAGGAUUCGUGAAUUGUGUAUGUUCAUCUAGGUAUAUGAUUAGCUUUUAUUAAUGAGUAAUGCUAUGAAGAUUAAUUUUUAAUUAAAUUUUAUAAAUUAUAUGAUGUGGUUGUAUUACUUAAGUUUUAAAGAACGUGUUUAUUUCUUAUAAUUUAAAAUUUUGGUCGAAAAAAGUUGGUCUAUAUAACAUUAUUCUUUUUCAAAAGGUUAUAGUUUCACAACAGCGGUGAAGCCAUAAAGAUGCAAGGAGGUGCGGCUAAUAUUAUUGAGAAAUUUUUAUUAUAUAAAAAAGUGAUCUUCCUAAAAUUACUCUUUUUAUUUAUUAAAAAAAAAUUAAAAUCGUCUACGGUGAAGAAAGACUUCCAUGAAAUCAUCUUUGUAUAUUUAUUGAGAAAUUUUUAUGGGCAUUGAGAAUACAAUAUCAUGCUAUGUCUUAUUCACAUAUUAUAUAAUAAGAGUCGACAAUAACGUUAAUUCUACUUUUAACUUUUAAGUAUAUUAAGAAAAAAAUCAUUUAUUAUAAAUUGAGUGAAAUGGUAAUAUUAAGUGUUAUGUGAUCGUGUUCUAGAGACUCGGCAGUGACCCACUUAAUCUUUUUCCCUCCGUUGAUGCCUAUAGCAACAAGGACCCAAGUAGGGAACCAUUAUUGGUCUCCCUCUCAAGUAUUAUCACGUCUUCGGUUGGACCUAUCAUUGAGGAUUCCAAAUUUUUUAGUUGUCCAACAAUCACUGGAGGCCAAACUAGCCAGGUAUGUAGAUUGGCUUGAGAAGAAUCCUCCGGAUCUCAUUGCUGAUCUUUUGGUUGAGGACAGCUUGUGUUGAUUCCGGAACCAUUUUUGUACUGCUACUGCUUCUAUCAAUGAAAAUAUACAUCGUUAUUUUCGGAAAAAAUAAAAAAAUAAAAAAAUAAAUAUCACGUCGGAAGUGAUCACGUGAGGUAGUGUCCCAGUCCACUAUUGUUCUCUUAUUUCUCUCCCUCUAUCUCCCUCUCUCUCCCUCUUUAAAUCUUGAAAAUAUCAUUGCAACAUGUUCGAAUUGCGAACCGUUUUCUGUUAUGAAUCUUAGUAAAUAACAGAGAGCCGCGUUGAGUACGAUCGUUCCAAGUUCAUGAGUUGACAAUUUGAGAGACUCGAUUGAGACAUUGAGAGGCAAAGGUCUAAUCGCUUGUGUGUUGAAAAUCCUAAUUAUAUAUACAUAUAUUUACGUUUAUAUAUGUGUUUGGACCCAAUUUUACACUAUCAGCCCAAGCAAUCGAGGCUGUAGAAUGAGUAGAAUUUUGAGCCCAUUGGAUUUGAUAUUUAAGAUUAUUGUUAUCUUGGUUGAAUUACCAUGAUGAUAUUGAAGAAUUAUCUGUUGCAUGGCGGGUUAGCAAGGAGUCCAAGAGCUGCAAUGAGUGUUAAUAUACAUUUUUAUGUGUAUUAUUUAAACUGAGUCUUGAUUGCUCUCCAGAUUACAUAGGAUAAAGAUGGGAAGUCCAACUUGGUACGUGAUUGCAAUUGGGAUGAUAACCACGACAUCAGAGGGAUGCUAAGUUGAUUAGACUUUUUUUUGUGGGAAUUAAUUAAAAGAUUUGGAAUCCAUCUAAUUGUGAAGUAAUCAGCUGCGUGUGGUCUCUUGUUUGGAUAAGGAUCAGGAUGUGGUCAGUAAGAUAAAAGACUUGGUAGAAAGAUCAAGAUGCCUUGGUUGAGAUGCAUGGCUAGAAGAUAAAAUUGCAUGCUAAUUAUUUGCAUGCCUUGGUACCAGCACGUGGAGGCUAUCAAAUACUUGGAUUAGGAUUGAUUUGCACAAAAUAAGGAGCUAAGGAUGGAUUCCGCGUGGAUAUGGUCGCUUUCAAAUACAAUAUUCUCAGGAAUAUUAUAGUGAAUGUGGAUUUACGGCAAUAGUUUGUUAUGUGGUCAUCGAACUUUUGCGUUCCUAUAAAUACAGAGGCAGUGGCAACGAAAAAAAGGAUCUCCAACUCAACACAUAAACUGCCUUGCGCAAACUUUUGCUCUACGUGAAAUUUCUCAACAACCUUGAGAUUUUUGUUUUCUUUUUCGCCGACACACCUUGAGAUUUUUAUUUUCUUUUUCGCUGACACACCUUCAGUUUGGAUAAACAGCACUAUGAAGGCAACCGGCAAACACCUUUAGUUUGGAUAAACAACACUGUUGCCGUAGAAUCAGCCUACUGCGAAGCAUCUUCUGUUUAGUUUGGAUAAACAGCACUGCAAUGAGGCCGACUGGUUAUCUAUCCAAGUCUCGGUCAAGAAGGAUUUUCAAAUCCUUAUUGGCAGAGGUCAUCUCAUCAGCCUUCUCGGCGAAGUGAGGGUGUUACGAGGUUACUAUGCACCUUGAGAGCCGAAUUUGAUAUUGAACUUCGCAUAACUAGCAGCCUUGUCUUCAGACUCUAGAACUCGAAGGUCGAGACGUGUUCCUUCUUUGGCCGCAAUCGCGAUAUUCAGAAGUUAGCAGCGCGCCCAUUGCAACAUCAACAAAUUUUACUCAGCUCGGUGGUCGAGUUGGCACGCCCCACACACAACCGAAGGACGUAGUUAACUUAUUAAUUACUCGUCCUGCGCACAGGUAGGCUUGGUAGUUUUUAGGAUCAAUAAUAUGUCAUCGAAGUGCAGGAAAGUUAAAUAGCUCUCGGACGGUCGAGAACCUGUAGCCAAGGAGAAAAUGAUGAGCUGGUUAAGAAAGCCAGAAAUCACUUCACCAAUUAGGUUUCUGUGUCUGUUGAGUAGUCUGUUCGUUCUCCUAGCUCUCAUCAGGCUUUUUCACAAUAUAUGGUGGAUUCCGACUCGCAUACAGAAGCUGAUGGCUUUGCAGGGGAUCAAAGGUCCUUCUUACAAACUUGUUCAUGGAAACACCAAAGAAAUCUCCAGCAUGAAACAAGAAUCUAUGAGCAGGCCCAAGAGUUUCUCACAUGACAUAGUUUCUCAAGUUCACCCUCACAUUCACUCCUGGACCAAGACAUAUGGUAACAAAUUAAUUACUCUAGAUACUAUUAAUUAAAGGGCUAAUUACACUUAGUUCCCCGUGGUUCAGUACCAUAACAGGAUCAAACGGUUAAUUUUUGCAUGCAACGUGCAGGGAACGUUUUUCUUCAAUGGUAUGGUUCAAGCUCAGUUGAUUGUAAAGGAACCUGAGUUAUGCAAAGAGAUACUGAAUAACAAACAUGGAGCUUUUGUAAAACAAAAGGCUCAAGGGAUGGUAAAGAGGCUAUCGGGAGAUGGCCUCCCAAGAUCGAAGGGUGCAAAAUGGUUUAAAAUGCGCAAGCUGGCCAACCAUGCCUUCCAUGGAGAGAGCCUGAAAGUAAUUUCUUAUAGAAACUAUUGUGUCUGAAUAUUUUUGAAAGGGCAAAAAACAAAUUAAACAUGCUAUAAAUUGAAAACUUUCUUAAUUUUCAUGAUGUUAUCGUGUUUUUUCAGAGUAUGACUCCAGCAAUAAUAGCAAGUGCUGAGACGAUGCUAGAGAAAUGGAAAAGUCACGAAGGCAAAGAGAUUGAGGUGUUUGAAGAAUUUACGUUGUUGACAUCAGAAGUAAUUGCUAGGACUGCAUUUGGGAGCAACUACUUAGAAGGGAAGAAUAUUUUUGAGAUGGUGAGGAAAUUAGGCGACUUAAUAUCCAUAAAUCAUCUCAAACUCCGGUUUCCUUGGAUGAGGUUAAUUUAUACGUUUUUCCUUUUAACUGAAUUACAAAUUUCAGACGCAUUAUUCUCUUAUAUAUAUAUGUAUGUAUGUAUGUAUGUUGAUCAUAUACAGACAGUGUUAGAACUAGCUAUAAAUGUAUAAUUAGCUUUAACUUUUGAAUCUCUUAGCAGAAUAUAUCUAUGAUAGUUACUUAAUUAGAAUCAAUAUUGCAGUAAGUUCUCCCCAACCCGCGAUGAUAUCGAAUCAGAGAAGCUUGAGAAAGGAAUACGCCAGAGCAUAAUAGAGAUUGCUAUUAAGCGAGUAGAACAGGCACGACUGACUGGAGAAUUUGGGACUGAUUUCUAGGGUUACUUGUAAAGGCUCACCAUGACAGCGAUGAUAAGCUGAGGAUUUCGGAGGAUGAAGUGUUGGACAAGUGCAAAGCAUUUUACCUUGCUGGAGAAGUAACAACAAAAUGUUUGCUCACUUGGACUAUCUUUCUUCUCGGACUUCAUACAGAUUGGCAAGACAUAGCAAGGAGGGAGAUCUUUAAAUUGUUCGGAAAACAAAUUCCGAAUCAUGAUGCUCUUGGCAAACUGAAAACUGUAAGAUUGAUUAAUAUUAUCUCAUCGAUGAAUGAAAUAAUAUGCCUCGUGAUGCAUGCUUAGCUUGUUGAUCUAUUUAAGUUUUCAUUUUGUGAUAUUCAAUUAUAUGCAGAUGAGCAUGAUCAUCAAUGGGUCUCUGAGGUUAUAUCCAACUAUUGCUCGUAUUGUAAGGAACGUGGAUAGGGACGUUAAGCUGGGAAAGCUCAAAGUUCCUGCAAGUUAUCGUUCCAAAUCUAGCACUUCAUCAUGACCCUGAAUUAUGGGGAGAAGAUGUACAGCUUUUCAAGCCAGACCGGUUCUCAGAAGGAGUUGCUAAAGCUACUAAAAAUAACAUAGCUGCAUUCUUACCCUUUGGACUGGGACCUCGAAUUUGUGUAGGCAUGGACCUUGCGACCACUUAAACAAAGAUUGUUCUGUCGAUGAUUCUGCAUCGCUACCACUUCACUCUUUCCCCGGGUUAUGUGCACUCGCGCUGUCAUAAGCUUACAGUUUGUCCACAACAUGGAGUUCAAGUAAUCCUACAACCACUGUGAAGCGUGAUCAAACUAUUUUAGAGAUGGAGACUAAGUUGCCAAUAAAUCUUUUUACCACGUGAAACGCGACUUCAUUAUUGACGGAAUGUGGCUUCUCAAUAAUUCGCUACGGGCCAAUUUACAAAACUUUACACUUACGAUCAGAGAUUCAGAAUCAUUCAUAUUAUAAAUGAUUUUGUAAAGAUCAUUUAGUUAUCAAAAUGUAUAAAAACAAAUAGACAUAUUCGGUAAAAGAAUUAUAAAACAUUUAUCUAUUUGUUACAAUUGAUUGAUUAAACAGCUUUAGUUUUAAUUAAUUUUGUCUGGAGAUGAUCUUUACGUAGUGAUUUAUAAUAUAAACAAUUCCAAACAUAAACACAAAACGUGAAUGACAGCAUGUAAACGUGAUGUCGCCCAGGAACCCCAAUAUAAGACGCACCCGAGUAAUUGGAGUGACCGUCAUAAUAAGCUACACAUCUUUAGUGCCAAUUCAUGCCAGGCAGCCAGCAAGAAGCCAUCGGACUCUUCAAUCCGAGCCCCAUAAAAUUGAACGUAUUACAAGACAACGUGACAAAAUCUGGUCCAUAAAUACUUCAAAUACACGAAUUCGUUAUUUUCUGUACGUCUACAUAUAUCAAAAUAUGCUCAAGAUAUACACUGAAAAAAACAACGUCUGAACGAGAUGUGCCCUUCACCAAAGGCAUCAAGUAAAACAACCAGUCACCCCGAAAUAUUCCAGAGAUAUAGACUAUACAAUCUCAAACACUACAUCUUCAUUCUACCGGGAAUUCAUCCAAACGACAAAAUUCACAACACUUCGUAAACAAUAAGAUCACACAACGCAAAGUACCCAGGUCUAUGCUAUUGUUGCUUAUAGUAGCCACCCUGUUGCGGAGGGCGGUAUUGACCUGGAAUGGUGUAAGGAGGCCGAGGGUGCGAUCCAGGUUGUUGUGCAUGGGCAUUAUAGUAUGGGCCACGCCACCCUGGAUAAGCAGGUUGACCAUAGUCAUGGUUUGCAGGUGGCUGUUGCUGGGUCUGUGGAGGUGGGUAUGGACUACCAGCUUGAGGAGGUGGGUAUGGACUACCAGCUUGAGGAGGUGCAUAUGGACUACCAGCUUGAGGAGGUGCAUAUGGACUUGUAGGUUGUGGUGGCACAUGGUAAGGAGAUGGCAUCUGCUGCGUUGAGCUAUAGGGGGGAGGGUGAGUAUAUCCAGCAAUUGCUGGCUGCUCAGGAGGAUGGUAGUAUGGUGGGGUUUGAGGACGAGGAUCUGUUGGCUGUUGUGAACCAGGUUGUCCCACAGAACGAUAGUUGUUGUCGUACGCACCUGUGGUUUUCGUAUCCUGGAAACUGAGGCCUGCCAUUUUUUUGUGAACAUCUUCAAUCAUUUCCUUGCACUGAAUGUUUCUAGUCAUCACAAAGUCAUUGCACUGCUGCUUUACAUUCGUUAUUGCAUCCUGUCGAAGACGGACAAAUCAAUCAACCACCAGAACACGAAGUCAUGGAAAUUUCAAACACAACUAGGUGAAGAUUGAUAGCAUGCUGUCACAGCAGACACCAGAAGAGAUCCAACUAUAACAAAGAAAAUAGUGAUCUCAAAUAGCUAUAAAGUAAAGUGCACAUUAUUCAAAAUUACCUGAAGAGUAACAUAGAACUUUAAGCCCUCAUUUAUGUUCUCCUUAAUUUCGCGGAACUUUGCUAUGGCAGCUUGAAUCUGCUUGUAACAUUUCUCACGAGAUGCUGGAACAAAAUGAGAAGGAAACAAACAGGAAAAAUAUAAGAAUACACUCCACCUUAAUUAUAAUAUGCAAACAGAUAGCAUGACAGAAGCAAGGAAAUAGAUUCCAUGUCGUAAGAUAAUCAGAGGACUUCCCUACAAACAUAUUCAAUAUAUGACAAUGAAAACAGCCAACAGAGAAAAAGGCACUUGAAAUAAUAGAUUGUAAGAUAUCAUCAUGGCCAGCAGAACGGGUAAGAGCAAAUAAAAACUUGAGAAACAACAUUUAAUAAACAUGUAAAACACCCAUGUUACACAUGGGUCAGAAUAAUCAAUAUUCCAGAUUGUUUGCAGGCAUAAAUCUGUCUUUUAUCCAACGAAGUGAACAAGGGACAACGUUUCUAAAUUGCCAUAUAUUCAUUUACUAGUUAAUAUGAUAAUCAGUUACGGGGUCAAUAACAUGAUUGAGAUCUCAUUCUGGACAUUUUAUAUUACACCGUCUCUCUUCCCAUGGUAAAGGAAACAAUUUUUUCCAGAUUGAGAUAUAAGUGAACUCCAAAAGGUAGACGUGCACCCUCACCCAACCCACAGGCCCAAGCAUUUAACAAGGUCAUCAAGGGUAGAAUAAUACAACCAAUGAACAUCUACGACUAAAUAAUGCAUCAAUAGGUGUUACCUUAAAGCAUACAAACCAUUUAAAGCAUAAAAGACCUACCUUUAUAAUCUUCUAGAUUGAAGAUUGCAGCAAACUCAGCAUUUUGGGCCUGCAGAUGACAAACACACAUUUUGAUCAUGAGAUAUUUGAGAGCUUAAAUCCAUUUCCAUUUAUUUAGGAAUAUUAUACAAGGAAAGGAAUUUUCAAAACCCAUAGCAAAUACUACAGAUGAAUCUACAAAACAUGAAAUGACAGACAGCUCCUUGGUAAGCAAAUGAUAAUAUGGCAAGUGGCAACUGACUUGAUUUGACAAAGGCAUUUCAUUUCUUUUAACAAAAAAGAAUAAUAGGGUAGUACCACUAUAGCAUAUAUUUUCUCAUCAGACCUCUUCCAAGAUGAUAAAGAGAAUUAAGCCACAGAGUCUGCCACACCGCAUAUUAUUUAACCUUAUCCCUCUACCCACAAUAUAUCCAAUUGGGUCUUUUGAAAGUUACCAAUAAGUAGAACAACAAUGUGCAAAACGAAAGGUGUUGAUUCCAUCAGAAUGUUUUCUAUUCAGUUAUAUCUUAAACCACAAUAUACUGAUUUGGUCUUUGCAAAGUUAAAAAUAAGUAGCACAAAAAUGUACAAAACUAAAGGUUUUGAUACGACAAGAAUAUCGUCCAGUCAAUCUAGUUGCAUAUUAAAAUGAUAGGUACUGCUCAAUGUACGACAUUACCAAUUGCACACUCAAAACAGAUGUGGGAAAAAAAUGAAGAAAUAUGCAUAAAGAAAGUCCAACAACAAUAAAAAGGAAACAGACCUGGAUUUGCUGCAAUAAUUGUUCUUGUGCCUCAAUAUUAUGGGCAAUGUCUUCACUUAUGAGAUCAUACUUAGAUAUCUCCUUCCUGAAAAGAUCCUCAUAGGAGACAGUUGAUGUCAUCAACUUAGGGAGUAUAUCAUCCUGAGGCCACAUAAAAAUAAUAAGCACACAAAGCACUAAACUAAAGAACGAAGGCAUCAUUAACAAUUGACAAAGCUCAUCAUGAAGUGUUGCUUGAACAAAAAAAUAUUCUCAAAAAGUUGCAUCCAACAAUUAAAUAAUCAACACACCUUUCUUUUCAUCUCUUUAAGCAUGUCUUCAAGACCAGCUCGUUGAGCACCAAGGGUUUCCAGUUGCCUCUGCAUUGAGCAUAGACAGUUAAAAAUGUAAAAGUAACAAAACUAGCAAUGACCAAACCACUCAUGUUAGAAGUUUAGAAAAGAAGUUUAAUCUUUUCUCCGGUACAAUGCAACAGGAAAACUACGUAUGAGUUUAUAUAAAUAUGUGUUUGUGUAUGUUUUAUUGUUUUUUUUUUUUUUUUUGGGGGGGGGGGGGGGGCUUCAUAUGAGUAAUCAAAUUCACACACACACAUGAAAGGUCGUACCCAGUGCACAAGGCUCCCGCUUUACGCAGGGUCUGGGAGAGGUGAAACAUAUAAAAAAAUUGAUACAGCAUGCCUACACAGAUGCCAGUCAUGGGAUUAUAAUCGUUUUUAUUCAAAUCUUAUACUGAUCCAAAAGCAGUACAUCACUUGCAUCAACAAAGACAAAUUUCACCACAAUCAGACCUUAAGAAGAGAAAAGGCGUUUUAACAAUAAAUCCAUUAAAACUUGCAGACAGGAAAAUAUAAACAAUAGUUAUCCAUGAAACCCUAUAUAACAGAGAGUUUAUUAACCAGUAACCCUUAUACAGAGGAUGUAAAAAGGGGUAAAACAGUUACCAAGCUCUGCUUCAGGGCCCCCAAAAUAGCAUCUUCAUUGGCAUCCAAAGACAUUAUUGGCCUAGCCAGAGUUGGGAGGGCAGAUUCAAUCUGCGAGAAGAAAGAACAUAAAACCAUUUAGAAAGGCGUGACACCGACACACAUGAGAUAAAUAAUUCAAAUAUACUAAGCCUGAUUAAUUUAUGAACUUUCAGAGAGAGGGAGAGGAGGAAGAGAAUCAGGAGAAAUAAGGAGUGUGUCAAUAUGAAAAACUAAACAUAUUAUAAUGAGAGGAGAAGAAUAAAUCGAUGAAAUCAAUUGUUGGUAAAUUGGGAUGUAUUAUUAACAUCGGUUAAGAAACAAGGACAGAUGAAAAACAAAGACACUUCUGCCUAUCGAAUGGACAAAAGUUCCAUGUGCAAUAUAAAUUUUAUUAAAAUGAACAAUAAUACAAAAGUCAAAAUGAAAUAAAUGAAUUAAGACGUAUAAGAAGGCACUUGAGAAACAUGAACAAGAAUUCCAAGAGAAUUACCGGACGACGAUCAAGGAUGGACAUGAGAGCUAAAUGUUCUCUGACCGAGCGCUCAAUUCGAGCAUCACUAUCUGCAGCUUGCUUCAUGUUCCCUGCAAACCUAUUUAGCCUAUCCUGUAAGUUCUUUGUCAAAGUACUUGACUGCGGCCUCGUCCACCGGGUUCCAAAUUGGCUCUAAACUGAGCAUCUUCUCUGGCCUCUUUCUGCAAGAGUUCCUCAAUCUGUACCAGAAUUUCCUGGUUUACCCUUUUCAAAUCCUUAAGCUGCUGUAACUCAGCUUCCAAACCAGCAGGGCCUCCACAUAUCUGCACUGCCUCCACAUCUUCUUUAAGAUCUGUAGGAAGAGUAAAAUUCCCUUCCAAUGCAAGAAUAGACUCUGGAAGGUCCAUUUCCUUGAGCCUUACUCUGGUCAGUUCACUGGCUUGUUGUAAUUUUUCUGCUUGUGUUCUGAUAAUGUCAUCAACCAUUUCAGUGUACCUGGAAAGAGCUUUUGCACUACUGUCUGGAACAAGACUAGCAAACAUCUUCUCCUUGCUCGCAUCCAGGACCUCACUCAUUGCCAAAGGCUUCACCAUGGAAAAUGCCGGAAGAGGUGGUAAGGAACCAGGGGAAGGAACCCUCAUGAGAUAAACUCUAUCAUUCUCCUUUACAGCCCUCUCCAGGUUACGGUUCAAAUGGACAUCUAACUUACUAAUUGCGUCCAGAAUCUGUGCAGCAGCCCCUUUUGUGUUUUUCUUAGCCUCAGACAAAGCACUAAUCCCACUCUUUAACCGUGCAAUUUCUUCUGCAAUCUCUUCUUUCUCAUGGAGCUCUAGACCAUACCUAUAGCAAGUUUCUGCAUAAAAGAGAGCUGCCUUUAACUGCAUGUGUGAUAUCCAGCCCCUGUCAAAAUGCUGGUUCAAGGGCGGAGCAUUACAUGUCGCUAAAGCUUCCUCGUAAUACAGCCCAACCUGUAACCACAUCCGUCUCAAAUCAAUUCACAACAAAACCAAGUGAGUCACCAAAACUGGUAUGGAAUCAUUAUUUCUCUACCAUUUAGGAUUCAAGGGAAACCCAAAAAACACAGUAGACCAGAGGCAACUAAAUGUGCAAUUCCGUGAGUAUUAAUAUACUCUUUUGUGCAAUAUAGUUUAUAUGGUAUUUGUUGAAAGUCGGGUAAAAUCCCCGACUUGCGAACAGAAUACCGAAAGCAAUCACUUUACUCAAACACACCCACAGCUGCAAUUCAAUCAAUCAAGCAAUAUGAAGUUCUAGCUACACUAUUAACACCCAAUAUGUAAUCAAUCAAACAAGCAAAAUACAACCCUCACCUGCCUCGAGAUCUUGGGCACAAACACCUGGCGUGCUCCCUUUGGCAAUAGUAUUCUCAAAGACGCACUCUUGGGCCUGCGCCAGCAUCAGCCUCUCCAGCAUCCCAGCGCACUCCACCGACAAAUCCACCGUCGUCGAGCUCCCAAUCGACGCCUUGGUCGCCGCAUUGUCCCGCAGAAACGCGAACGCCCCAGCCGCCGCAAUGAACGCGUGCGACGCCUGCCGGCGACCGUCGACGGUAGCGCGAUCGUAGGAGAGCCCAAUCUGACUGUACACGGCGCCCAAAUUGAACAAAACGGCAGCCUUUUCCAGGUGGAUGUUCUGCUGGGAAGCCUUCUGCUUGUUCUUGAAAGCGUCGUGCCAGACGAAGGUGACGGUGUUGAUGUGAUCCUUGUCCGGCGAGAUGGGGAAGCGGGUCUCGACGAGGCAGAGGGCUUUGAAGUAAUUUUGAAGGAGGUCGCGGCGGGUGGUGAGCGACGGGUCGGGUUGGCGCUCGACGUCGGAGCGGAGCUGUUUGACGGUUUGGAGGUCGUCUUCUAGGUUCUGGGCUUCGCGCUCGGAGUAGUUGAAGGCUAUGUAGUUGCGAAGAGGGCGGUAGAGGUCGAUUUGGGUCGUUUUCUUCUCGAAGAUGGCGAGCAUGACAUUAGUAGCGGUGCCGGAGGCGGAAGACGCCAUUUUAGGGGGGUUUUGGGUUUGAUCGGAAUCGAAUCGAUGAAUUCAAAGAGAAAAUUGAAGAAGAAGAAGAGAGAGUUGAAGAGUUUUAACGAGUGAAAUUGACCAAUCAAUCUGCCUUGUACGGAGUGGUUUUUCUUUUCCUUCCUCACAAAGCAAACGAGAAAAAACCAAAUUUCCUUAACGUAUAAAAUUUAAGAUUACUAAAUAAUUUUAAAAUGCCGGAAAUUUAAAUGAUAAAAUUUUAUUUUAUAGAAUUUAUGAAUUUUUUUAUUUGAGUAACUUAAAAGAACAAUAGAAUUGAAUACGAAAUUUGUUGUUUUUUAACUUUUAAUCAUAGAAAUUAGAAAAUGAUAUCUAUUUACUUGGAAUUUAAACUUGGGAACCAGAGGUGCCAAAUUCCAAGUUUUUUUUUCAUACGAAAAUUUUAAUUUCUAUAUUUAUGAAUCCAAACAAGUGAAUUGGUGUAUGUUAAUUUAUAAAUUAUGUCUUUAAUUCAAGGUCCAAGUUCAUUUCUCUCAUUUAAACAUAGUGUUAUUUUCUUGUUGAAAUAUAUUUAAAAAAAAAUUUCAGUGUUUUACUCAUAAUGAUAUUUCAAAUUGGCAUAACUCUUAACUUUGAUCGAGUUUGUUCACAAUCAAUCAUUUUGAUCAUUUAACAAAAUUUCUACGUAAUAACAAAAAUGAUUGAUAGUAAUAAACUCAGAACCACUUGCAUUUGAUUUCAAAUCUCAAAAACUAAAAUAAAGAGUUACACUAAUAUUAGAGAACAUUUAAAAAAAAAUUCUAAAAAAUUUUACCAAAAUAAAUUACGUUCCUUUUAUUUCAGCAAUUUAGAUAUUAAAAUUAAUUUUCAUUUUAUUUGCUGAAAAAUAUAGGAACAGACUUUCUCUAAAAGGAAAAUUGGGGAAUUUUCCCCGGUAAGAAAGAGGGGGCAUUAUAGUCUUUUCAUCCGAGUAAUUAGAGUGGGUGUGCCCUGUGCCGUGUGCCGUGUUCCGUGUACGUUCCUCUCUAUUUAUGCACCCACCAACUAACAGCCCUCAACGCGUAGACGUUUCUGGAAGGCCAAAAGUCAAGCCCUAGCUCUCUCUCUCCCCCUCUCUCUCUCUCUCUCUCUCUCUUCUGAGUCGACCAAUUCGAUCUUCCUCUCCCUCUCUCUCUCGCUUCUUACUGGUACGUAACUGCUGCUAAUCCUGUUAACUCGUUCAAUUAUUGUCAAUUUAGGGUUUUCCUUUGUUUCAUUGACUACUUUGAACUGUUAUUUAUCGUAAAAUUUGGGGUUUUGAUCCUAAAGUUUCUGUCUUUGAAUGUUCAGCGGGUCUCUGGGUUUGAUAUUAUGUGCUUAAACUGAUAUUCGAAUUAAUUAAUGAUUAGGGGAUUUAUUAUAUGUAUGUUCAUUCGGAGUUUUUGUUUGGUUACUGAGAAAAUGAAGAUAACUAGUUAUAGAAAGUAAAUUGCGUGCUCGUAAAUAUUUUAAUUCAUUGUGAUGCAAAGAAUUGAAUUUUUUAUUUGGGUUUUUUGAUAUCUGACAAAAAAGCAUUAACUUGCAGGCUUGUUUGGAAGGAGAGUUGUAGCUUUGAGCUGUUUGAGGCUGGACUUUUGGUCUGUAGAGCUGUGGUUUGCUCCAGAUAAGGUAAGAAAUCCGAAUUGAAUUGCCAGAUUUUUGUUCCGUUUCUUUAUUGAUGUGAGAAUUUUCAUACUUCAUGUUGCGGAUAUUAUUCUUGGCUGAAUGGAUUUGCAGUCUUUUGUUUUGGUUGUAAACUUCUGUUGUUUUAACUUCUUAGUCGGGGGAACGAUUGUCAGAUACUUGGAGGCAAAUGAGUUACAGAUUAGCCUAGUAUAGGACUGAUUUGGAAUGUUUAGUUUACGAUGCUUAAAAACAACAGAUCAUAAGACGUGUGGAAGGAAGAGGGCAGAUAUGACCGGCUUGUGAUACCUGGAACUUUGUAUGGAAAGAGAACAUUAUGAUUAGGGUUCUGUUUUGUAAACUCGUAAGGCGAUCUUAAAUAUCUGAUUGAUGUGUAUUUAGUAUUUGUCUUCUGUAUAUGCGAUGCUAACAUAAAAAUGUUAAGGAACUAACAUUUUUGUUUCUCUUCUUUGAGAUGCACUUCCGGUCAUCAUCGUACCAACAUGCAGAUAUUGUGCUGGUUUUUAUAUCUAAAUGGACACCAGGAGGUUCAUGCAGCUGGUUGAGGAGAAAAAGAAAAGAGCUUUGGAGAAGAAAGAAGCCCCGUUGAAAUGGGAGCAGAAACUAGAAGCUGCUGCUAAGGCAAAAGCUGAUGCCGAAGCCAAAGAGAAGAAGCCGAAAUCUUCAAAGCAUAAGAGAAGAUCUGCGUCGGAGUCUGAUAGCGAUAGCGACACUGACAGAAGUGAUGGGAGAAGAAAGUCAAAUAAAAGAACUCACAAGAAGCACAAGAAGCGAACUCACUCUGAUGCAAGUGACAGUGAAAUGAGGAAGGAGAAGAAAUCCAAGCGAAAGUCAAAGAAACAUUCCUCAGGCUCGAGUGAUGAUAGCAGUGAUGAGUAUGAGAGUGAUUACGAAGAAGAAAGGAAGAGGAAGAAGGGAAGCCACAAAAAGCACAGGCAUCAUGAUUCUAGAUCAGAUUCGGGUCCCGAUUCUUCCAGUGACGAUGAUAGUGAUACGGUGAAGAGAAGUCAUUCGAGGCACCACAAACACCACCCCAGGUCAGACUCAGAAUCAUCUGGUUCUUAUAGUGAUGAGGACGAGAGAAGAAUCCGAAGGGGUCAUGCUAAGCACCACAAACGCCACAGACAUUUGAGAUCUGUUUCCCCUGAGUCAAGUUAUGAGGAUGGUGAGGUUAGAAGGAAAAGGCACGCAAGGCACCAUAAACGUCAUAGGCAAUCACGAUCGCAUAGUGUUGAUUCAAGAUCAUCAGAUCCUGAUUCCCACAAACGCAGCAGAAGGAGCAAAUCUCUAGGAAAGUCAUCAGAUGACAACCGCGACGAGGCUGAUAAACAGUUGAAGCACAAGAGGAGUGGUCACCAUAGCCAUCAUCAUCACAAGCAUCGUCACCACCACUCAGAAGAGGAAAAAGAUCACCAUCCUCGGGGUUCAGGUGAGCCCAACGGAAAGCAGACAGAAGAUGUUAGAGCAAAUGCAACCGAUAAUAACAGUUGGUAGACGUCCCUCUAAUUUGCGGUUAUUGCUUUCACUGGAUUGGACUUUAUUUACUUUCCGUCAAAUUUUGACUGCAGAGAGGGAACCUCCCUUAACUACUGCAUUCUCGGUUGCCUGCAUCUGUGCUUAUACUUGCUACAUAAAUUCAGUUGCCUUUCCCUUGCUUAACUUGUUCCGUUUACAAAUUAGGUUUUGGUGCAAGAUUUUCUGGACGCCAACGAGACUGAUCUCAAACCAAAUUUAACAUACAAAACCGCAUAAGAUGCUUACAAGUCAGAAUCUCCCAAAAUUGUUUUUAUUUUCUUUUUUCCAAGCUGGACGCCAACGAGACUGAUCUCAAACCAAAUUUAACAUACAAAACCGCAUAAGAUGCUUACAAGUCAGAAUCUCCCAAAAUUGUUUUUAUUUUCUUUUUUCCAAGCUGGGAAAAUGUAUCCUCAGCCGUGGGGAACAAAUCGGUAGUGUCACUCAAUAACGAUACAACAAUUUUACUAUGAUAGGUUAGUUAGAAAUUCUUCAGUAUGUUUUCAGUUGAUACACCGUCUGCUACAAGAAUUGAGGUAACCUCCUGCAAAGAAAAACAAUUCAAAAUGUUACCUCCGCGUAGAAGUAUGAUCGUUAGCAUUCAAUAUUUACCACACGGACAGACAUCACAACUAAAUGACGCGGCAUUUAUUUGAAACACGAGACCCCUCACUCGCUGGGGUUAGUCUUUUUAUCCAACGUUUCUCUUUGGAUUAGGAUUCUCUCUCCUCCUCUUUACGUGUAAUCGACCAAGGUACGAAAAUUCACUAGGUGAUGGAUUCAGUAUGCCUAACUCAGAUAAAGGCAGGCCGUUUUGGGUAGGUGGAAACAACCUAACCCUACUCGUUAUAACGCAACUUACAAACACCAAGGACAUCAACCAUUAGAGCUAUCCCAAUCCAGGUAGGUGGAAAAUUGAACAAAUAGCAACCAGGCCAUUUAAUAUCAUAAACAGGGACUAUUACGGCCCGGAAGAUAAACCUUUAUUGGGUAAAGAAACAAUAGACAAGAAAAUUAGCAGAUGCCAAGAGAACUUGAUAAGUUUUAAAUGAUAGCAAUAAGCGACAUUCGAUAAGCAAAAUAUCAUGGAAAUGUCAACAGAGGUAUGUUAAUAGAGUUAGUAUUCCAUCUUAAGCAUUGGCUUCGUAUGGAUGUAGUGAAGGUUAACAAUCCCACAGAAACUAAGGACAAGAUUGGUUUCAAAUCAACAGAUUCUUCUAAGCAGAUGAUAUAUAGUAAGAUUAAGGACAAACUCAUAUUUUUUUUUCUUUGUUAAAACGCGUCACGCAAGUAAGAAUACGUCACCUUUUUCACACAAAAAAAGGUGUCACAUACGUUCAUUAAUAGAUAGUGACCUCAACAUCAUCUACUGCAGAAACCUUCCCUCCUUCCCUUAAGUAAAAUGGCUUGGUCCAAGACCAUUCAAGCGUGCAGCAUUUUCAGAUUUCUUUACUACUUACACCUAGAAGUUAGAACCCUAGAGCAAAAUUCUUAUUGAAGAGGAGCCCUAGAGGCCAAAUAAAAUUUGCCUCGGGGGGGGGGGGGGGGGGAAGACUACAUUUGGUGGUGUUGCAACAAAUUAUUUACACCUAAACUGUGGGUUCAACUAGUAAACAAGGCAAUGGUAGCACCUUGUCUGGUGCAGAUCAAGACUCAAGAACGGUUCUUGUCUGACUUCAAAGUUAUAUAUUCACAGAACAAUAUCUAUCUUCAAGCCCAUGUUCGACUUUGAAAUAUAACGAUAAUAACGAUAACAAAUGUAACAAAAGCAAACUAAGAAAUGUGAACGAGAACAGUAAGGAUACCUCAGUCAUUUGCUUCUGCCCGCAUAACACAGCAGCUGUGGAGAGAGGAUUAUAAAUUUGCUUGGCUCUGGAAAAAGCAGCCUGAAAAUGUAUAACCACAGAAAGCAUUAAUUCCGUGCUUAGAAGCGGAACCACUUUGAAUUUGCAUGGGGUGAAGGUCUACCUGCACAUAACCACUCUGUCCCGUCCAACCGCCAUGUGGUUGUGAUAAUACCGGCACAAUCUCAACACCUGAAGAUUCCCAGUCCUUAAAUCUAUCCUGUAAGAUUACAGGUAAUCACAGUCGUAAAUUGAAUUGGGGAAAUUAAAAUAAAUAAAUAAAUAAACAGAAUUUCAUGGUUUAUAAGUACCUGAUACGCCAUUCUGUCAAGGUUUCUAGCGCCAUAAAAGAGCUUCACAGCGGAUCUCUUAUCGGCGCUAAACCCCGAUUCGACCAGAGACCGGAUUGGACUGCACAUAUUCAAGAGCUGGGUCAUGCCAAAUUGCUUUUAAAAACUCGAAGAAUUCAAGUCCAAUGCAUCUGAAAUCAAAUAAAUUCGAUUUUUUUUUUUUGCUAACCUGAUUCCAGAUCCUGUGGCGAAUAUGAGAACCGUAGGGUAAUUCUCCGGCGGUUCGAUCCGAUCAAUGUCGAAGCCUUUCCCCAUAACCUGGCUGAGCUCCACCACGUCCCCUCUCUUGAGCCUGCACAGAAGCUCCGCCGUGGACCCUGCCACGCUCUUCACCAAAAACUCAAACACGCCUUUUGCGGACGCCAACGAUGGAGGCGACGCGAUGGCCAGAAACGAGGGCUUCGAUUCGUCAGGGACCCGAAGCUGGAGGUACUGGCCGGCUCGCGUGUGGGACGAAGCGAGGUCGGGGGCGUCGGACAGGUCGACGCGGACGUGGAAGAGCGACUCUGCUGCCGGUUCUAUCUCGGAGAGAGGGGCCGGGGACCAGAGAGCGGUGUCUUGGCGUACGGCUGCGGCAACGCUGGCGAAGCGGUGGCGGCGAAGUUUUAGGUGGUGGGGGUUGAGGCGGCGUAGGAUAGACAUGGGAGGGAGGGGGGAGCUAAGGUGCGCAUGGGAGCGGAGGGGCACCGAUGCGGGUUGGAAGAUUGCAAGUGACAUGGCUGUGGGAUUCGGGUGUGCGAGGAUUUUAUGUUGUGGCCGGGUCCGUACAAUGCCGGCGCCAAAGCUGGUGAGGAAUCAAGAGUCAAUCGUCUCGAAGACUCGAGGAAGGGAUUGAGGGUAGACUGGUAAUUGGGAGAGAUUUUUCAACGUAACCCAUACAAAGAAUGCACCACAUGUCACUAUUUAAAUGGUGGAAUAUGUGUGCUAAAAAGUUAAUAACUUAAAAAAUAAAAUUUCUCACCACUCUUAUCAAAACACGUGGUGUACCACUUAUAUUCCCGUUACAACUACAAAUUUCUCGAUAAUUGGAUAGUCCUAAGUCCACGUGGCAUGAUUUUGUUACAUCCUGGACUUGAGGAGGAUAACUGAUUGAGCAGGUGAUCGCAACCACUAGAUGAAUGAAUUGCUAAUUAUUUAUUUCUUUUGUUCAUUUCAAUUCUGAGUCGAGAAGGGAAGUGAAUUUCGCAGAUCCUUAAAUUCAUCGAGUUUGCGAAGACGAAAGCAUUGUCUUCGAGCUGCGCUUAUACGCACAAUAAUCUUUCGUUUGAAAGCAUUCCACAAACGAACAAGCUUGAACAAGAGUGAACAACACGAAAGACGAAAGACGGGGUUUAUAACUUAAACAAUCAUAGUUGCAUCGAAAUUCAAAUGUUUUAAAUAUGAAAAGGAACAAACAAACAAAAAAACAAUAUACACGCGUCGUCCUCUUUCUUUUCCUUCCCCUUCCCCUUAUUGAACAAGAAGAAAAAGAAGGGGAUAGGCUCAUUGGCACCAUUUCUCUCUCACACCCCGCUGCAAUAUGCUUAAAUCUGAAACGGGAAAUGCUCAUACAGUUUUGCCUCAAAAAUGAAAAUCCUGUUUGCUUGGCAAUGCCAGCGGCAUCUAAAUUAUUUCGGGUUUUCGCAGUUAUCAAGAUAAAACAACAGAAAAGAUGAUUAAGCAGCGGACUCCUUGGAAAUCUUCUCUGCCUUGGCAAUGACCUCCUCAAUACCUCCAACCAUGUAGAACGACUGUUCUGGAAGGUCAUCGUACUUUCCGUCCAACACUCCCUGUCAAAACAAAAUUACAAAAAACAAAUAUAUGAAUUUUGAGCCCACAAGUCCUUGUAUCAUUAGUCUAAAACCACUGUUUUUAAGCGUUGGUAUUACUUGUGUGUUAUGACUUAUGAAAAGACAUAGGAAGAACUAAAUUGAAGAUAGAAGCAUUCGUGUAACCAAAUUACCCACUUCGAAUUGAUCACGAAUGGAUAGCCAAAAGAACCAAGAAUAUAUCACUUUUUCUAGUCAUGAAUAAAAGGAUUAUCAAGUUAACAAAUUAUUAUAGUGAAUUUCAUUAACCUUACCUACUCUUUCAGGUUAAUUCUCAUGUUAAUACUCAAACAUUUGGCUCGUAAAAUUCAUUGUUUCAAAAAAUUGGACAAAAACGAGCACACAUUUUUGGAAUCAGAUAUAUAUGCUUCAGGCUAUGAGGUAAUUUAGAUGAUAAUAUGGAGACAUCUAGACUGGAGAGAGUGAAGGAUAGAAAGAGGGAUACCUGGAAGGAAGUAAUGCUUUCUUUCAACUCCACGUAUUUUCCAGGGGCACCAGUGAAAACUUCUGCCACAUGGAACGGCUGGCUCAAGAACCGUUGGAUCUUACGAGCACGGGCAACAGUCAACUUAUCAUCUUCACUAAGCUCAUCCAUCCCCAAAAUAGCAAUAAUAUCUUGCAAAUUCUUGUAGUUCUGAAGAACCUUCUGGACACCACGAGCAGUGUUGUAGUGUUCCUCACCCAAAAUAUGAGGGGAGAGCAUACGAGAAGUUGAAUCAAGAGGAUCCACUGCAGGGUAGAUUCCAAGCUCAGAGAUCUGUUCAAUUCAAAACGUCACCAAAGUUAGUAAAAGAUGGCAUCACAAGAUUGCUUUACUAUUAGUCCUUAUAGAUGCGACAGACCUGUCGUGACAGCACAGUUGUGGCAUCCAAGUGAGCAAAGGUAGUGGCAGGAGCAGGAUCUGUCAAGUCAUCAGCAGGCACAUAAAUAGCUUGGACAGAAGUGAUGGAACCCUUCUUGGUAGUUGUGAUACGCUCCUGAAGACCUCCAAGAUCAGUAGCUAAAGUAGGUUGAUAUCCGACAGCAGAUGGGAUACGACCAAGCAAAGCAGACACCUCUGAGUUUGCCUACAGGAUGGAUCAGAGAAAAACUUAGAUCAUUAACAAUAUGCAACUCUAAUCUCUGAUGACAUAUAAUCUUCAAUGGUUCCCAAACAAGAAUUCUUACUUGGGUAAAUCGGAAAAUGUUGUCAAUAAAUAGAAGCACAUCUUGCCCUUCAGCAUCACGGAAGUGUUCAGCCACAGUGAGCCCAGUCAAACCAACACGAGCACGAGCACCAGGAGGCUCAUUCAUUUGGCCGUACACUAGAGCACAUUUGCUGUCAGCCUGACAUAAAACAAAAAAGGAGAAUGGCAAAUAAGGAACAACCUCCAGAAAACAGUAACAGUAACAAAUGCAUAUAAAUGGGGUGGCAUGCGAAUGCAGUCUCUACCUGCUUUUCACCUAGCUUAAUGACACCACUCUCAAUCAUUUCCCUGUACAAGUCAUUACCCUCGCGAGUACGUUCUCCGACACCAGCAAACACAGAGAAACCACCUGACUCAAGAAACAAGUAUAUGUAAACCAACGGGAAAAACAACAAAACGAGUUCGUUAGCAUGCAGCUCUUUAAAUAAAAUAAAUAAAUAAACUGACCGUGAGCUUUAGCAACGUUGUUGAUAAGUUCCAUAAUAAGCACAGUUUUUCCAACACCGGCACCACCGAACAAACCAAUCUUUCCUCCUCUUUGGUAGGGAGCAAGAAGGUCGACAACCUGUAUAUGAAGUAGAUAACAUAAGUAUACUAAACAUACACAGCACCACAUAUAAUCCAAACGCAGUGGAGAAGCAAAGCAAUAAGAGGAUCGAAUUCUAUUACAUUAGAUAUGACAGUAAAGGUUCAUGUUAAUACCUUGAUUCCAGUAACAAGGAUCUGCUGCUCAGUUGCUUGCUCAACAAAGGCAGGAGCUUCUCUGUGAAUGGGCAGAAAGUGAUCGGUGCCUGUUGGAGCAUUCAUACAGAAAUUGUCAGAAGGCUUGAGAGCAAUGCAUUAACAUAUUGCAACAGAAUAAGCACACAACACCAUCAAGUGAUUAUUUAUUUUAAGGUUUACAAAUUUCUUACUGAUAUCGCCUCUAUGGUCAAUGGGCUCUCCAAUGACGUUCAUGAUACGACCAAGGGUAGCCCUUCCAACAGGAACCUAAAAAUAGCAAAUAAAAACCAAAAUCCAAGUCAGAAUCCAGGAAAAUGUAAACGCUAUAAUCAACACCAAAACAAUAAGCACAUUAACAACACCAAAACAGAAUGCUAUAUGAUAAAAACUAAAAUGGAUAAACAGGAAAACUCCGACAAAAAUAUCACAAUUUGUCCACAUAAAAUCUGAAGAAAAUCUAGUUGUUGAGGACGCGUGUAAUUCUAAUGGCUAACACUGAAUGCACUACUUGAAGUUUUGAAAGAUCAAAGCUUUAAACAGCAGAAUCCCUAAGUGUAAAUCAAUCAACGACAAUUACACUAAAAAAAAUGUGUACCAUAAAUCAACCAACAGUAGUAACACCCAGAUCUGAAAACCCCAGCGCCAAUUCACAAAUCAAUCAAAACCCAUCUCAUUUCUAUCAAUACAAUCACCAAAGUCAACACUUUACCAUUCGAACACUAAAACCCUAACAUUUCUCAUCAAACCAGUAAGCAUAGACCGGAUAACAAGAACAUAUAGCUUACAGUGAUCGGAGAACCGGUGUUGAGCACGCGCUGCCCUCUCACAAGCCCCUCAGUCCCAUCCAUAGCAAUGGUCCUGACCAUGUUCUCACCCAAGUGCUGAGCCACCUCGAGCACCAACCGGAUCGAGUUGUCCAGCACCUCAAGCGCGGUCAAAAUCGGGGGAAGCCCCUCCUCGAACCUCACAUCGACGACGGCUCCGAUCACCUGGCACACCUGCCCGAUCGAGCCCUUCCCGGUGAAUUCGUCGGUGAUUUUUCCCUUCCCGGAAUCCUUGCUCUUCGGAGACGCUGAAACCGUCUGGGGCUCGGCGGCGGCGGCGGUCGCGUACUGAGCGACGCGGUUGAGGAGAUAGCCGCAGGGAGAAGCGGAUCGGGAAGACGGAGAUGGGGAUGCGACCCUCGGGUUAGGCGUUGAGAUCGAAGAUUUGGACGGCGCCCGGCGGACGGAGGACCGGGCGAGAGAUGAUAAAAGCCUUCGCGAGGCCAUUUUGUUGGGGAUUCAGAUGGAGAAAGCAGAGAGUGUGGAAGAAAAUACUAGGGUUUGUUGAGUCGAGGUGCCAAUGCUAUAUGUACAGACCGCUCAGCCCCAAAAUUGGAAUAUCAUUUUUUUUUUUUUUUUUCAAUUUUGUUUUUCGUUUUUAACUUUUGACCUUUUCGGCAAUUCUCCGCAAGGAUGGGUGGUGGAGGCUAAAGGAUCGUUGCCAAACACUCCCUAAUGUUUCACUUUUCUCUUUUUUCUCUUUUUUAUCUUUUUUUUUUUUUUUUUUUGGUAAAUUGUAGCAAUGCUCUCUUAAUUUUAACUCAAUUAGAGGAAUAGUAUCUUAACUAAAAAUUAAUUACCAUUAGUCCCUCAGCUCAUCAAAACAUGCAGUUAUGAUCCCUCAACUAAAAAUUCAUUAUCAUUGGUCCAUCAACUUUAAUCCAACUAGAGAAAUUGUCCUUCAACUUUAAUUUAAUUCGAGCAAUGGUCCAUCAACUUUAACCCAAUUGUAGCAAUGGUCAUUCCAACAUAAUUCGUUUUGACAAAAUUCUAACGAAAUUGAUGAAAAUGACAAUAGCUACACAUUUUGAUGUGUUAAGAGACCCUAAUUGUAACAAUGAUCAUUCCAACUUAACUCAUUUUGACAAAAUUUUGACGAAAUUGAUGAAAAUGACCAUGGCUACACAUUUUGAUGAGUUGAGGGACCAAUGGUAAUGGAUUUUUAGUUAAUAGACCAUUGCUCAAAUUUGAUUAAAGUUGAGGGACCAUUACUACAAUUUACUCCUAUUUUUAGUAUUUAAUUUCUUAAUUUUAUUAAUCUUAUGAGCUUUGUGUGCCCUCUUGUACGGUGAUUCCACGUUUCCAAUAAACCAGGUAACAAACAAGAAGUCAAAACAUGUUUUUAGAUUUGUCACUUAGUAUUAUGGUUUAAUGAUAUUCCUCUUCAUCUGUAAGUGGGAGGUUUUAGGUUCGAUUUUCGCCAAAGGCGAAUUUGAACCACAUUAUUAUUAGCCCAUUUCGAGGUUAAGCUCACAUCAUCCCCUUAGUGUAGAUAAUAUCGUUUGUAAAAAAAAAAAUGUUUUUAGAUUUUGCUUGACACAAUUGUUUUCUCGCAUUUGAAAAAUAAUAUUGAAGAAAAAGUGAAUAUUAAGUUGAAAUAUGAAAUGUCGAAAUAACGUAAUUUGAACUAUAAAAGUUAAUUGUAACAUCAUACAUCGUCCAGGGGAGUAGAUAUUGUAAAUCUUAUAUGUAUAUUCUCAUCUCUACUUAGCACGAUGUCUUUUGGGAGCUCACUGGCUUCAUGUUCCAUAGAAACUCCAAAGUUAAGCGAUAAAGGGGCCAGAGCAUUCCCUUGAUGGGUGAUCCACUGGGAAGUUCUGCUCGCGUAAGUUCCUAAAAACAAAACCGUGAGGGUGUGGUCAGAGCCCAAAGCGGACAAUAUCGUGCUACGGCGAAGUCGAGCUCGGGAUGUGAUGAGGGCUUGGACCUGGAUGUGACAUUAACCGAUUAAUUUUUAGUCUAGUGAUAUUUGUCUUCUUAAUAUUAAAACAAGUCGCAAGUUCGAAAUUUAAUGUAAUUACAAUACUAACGCAGUUUAAUAGCAAUUUCACCAUUUUUAAUUUAAGGUCAUACAUGAGUAAGAGUUGAGAGACCAAAUUUUAGCAAUGCUCCUUAAACUCUAGACAUUGCGUCUACUUUGUCUAGUGAACAUUCAAUUUUAUUUUAAGCCCUCAAAAUUUUGUAAGUUGUGCUUAUAUCCACGUGAUCAAUUUUGUCACAGCUUAAUUUCCUGAUGUGCAAUGCACAUAACCAACUAUUAGAGUAUUUUAUGUCAAUAAAUAUUAUGAGCUCGUAUGUAAAUACUUUUAAAAUAAUAGAAAACGUUUUUAAUGAAAAUAAUUUUGAAAUCAAUCCUUAAUAAAAAUUAAGGCUGGAAUUUUUUGCCAUGUACCGACUUACCGACCGAACCAAAUCGGUGGGGCUCCUAUUGGUACGGUAGUAUUUCGGUAUAUCUUCAAAAUUGGUUGGCAUGGAACCGAACUGAUCAUUAAUAGUACAGCUUUGGUUUUGUUAUACCGGCAGUAUACCAUAUCGACCGAUAUAUAUUUUUUUUAAAUACUUAAAAACUAUCUUAGAUAUUGUUUUGCAUGCAAAAGUCAUUUAAUAGUCUUUAGCCUUUAGGGUUUCGAAAAUUAAAACCCACACACAACUCUCAGUUUCUUUCUACUUAACACUUCCCGAUGAUCUCCCGUAGCGCAGCCUCGCUUGCAGUUUUCCUCUUCAUUUUGACGAAUCAACAGCCAUCGCGCCGGUGACCUGCUCUCCGAUAACAGAUUGCACAAAUGAUUUGAUUGCUGACAUUGUUGUUGCCUUAUGAAGCAAUGAUUUGAUUUCGAUUCUAUUUUUAGUUAGUUUAGUUGCUUUUUGCUGUCCUAUGAUGUAAUCUCAUAUGAAUGAUGCUUACAAGGUUCGAAUUAAUGUGAUUUGAAUUAAAUCAUAAUAGUUUGUGUAUAUAUGAUAUGAUAUCAGUUUCUGCUUGUUACCUUGUGCUUGCUGCCUUAUUAGAAUUGCAAGUAUAUACGAUAUUAGGUGAUACUGCCAGUUAUGCUAUUUACCACCCAAACCAGCCAGCGGUCUCGGCUAAACCAAUUUUCGACAAUCGCAAGAUAACAGUUGGUUGGCAAUAGAUGAUUUUCGAUAAUUGUGUAUAUAUGGCUGCCUGGUGGCACAAGGAAUUUGACACGGUUUGCCUACCGAACCCAGCCCUAGUAAAAAUGCAAAUAAAUCAUUGAAAAGCUGAAGUUUCUUUCAUGAACCACUUUAAGUGUUUUUGGAACUCCAAAACAUGUUCUCUAAAAGUUAUUUCAAUCAUUUUAAAAGCACUUAUAUCCUCGUGUUCAAUUUUAUCACAGUUUAAUUUCCUGAUGUGCUAUGCACAUAACUAUUAAGUCAUUUUAUGUCAACAAAUAAUAUAUAUUUGCAAAAAUAAUUGACCAAUACUUGAAAUUUGAUAUUUUGAGCUGUAAGAAAAAAUUACGAGGAAUUGAAACUUAACAAAGAUAUAAUGAGCUUAAAAGAUUAUAUUACACAAAAUUAAACCUCAAUUUGACAGAAUAGUUGACAAAUCUAAGGACGGAGAGACAAUAUUCAGAAAAAGGUUAAUUAAUUUUAAUUUAGAACAGAUGAGCUAUAAUUCAAUGUUAACGCUAAAUUUUCCUAUCAUAUUUGAGCCGGUCCCGUAUCGAGUAUAAGUCCAAAUAAUUUUACCCGAUAAAUCUAAAUUCAAUUUGGACCUAUACUCGAUACGUGGUCACACGACCCACUGGUGGAUUUGGGCUCGUCAUCAGGUAAAAAGCUUAACGGGCCGGGUAAACUGAGGCCCGAACAAUGACCCCACAUCCCAAAUUCCGAAUCGGCAAAAAUCCUGACAAAGUUGAAAACUCCCGCCAAAGUCCUGUGCCAAUUUUCCCUCCAAAGUCCUGUACUAAAGUAUGUUUACUGGAAAAUGCGAAUUCCAAUUCCCAAUUCUUCACAUCUCACAAUCUCCGCCUCCUCCUCCUUUCCCUUCUCCUCCUUCCGCCGCCAGGCCCCCGGGUCAUCGCCAUCGCCCAAAAUCCGUUCUAGGGUCGUUUAAUUUUGGAUUUAGGAUAUCCAAUCGACGGCUAGGAUUGGUCCAUUCAAGGAAGCAACGGAGUCUUGAUUCACUCCGAGAAUAUGAGUGCCGUCAACCUUACGAACGUCGCCGUUUUGGACAAUCCGGCCGCUUUCCUCAGCCCUUUUCAGUUUGAAAUCUCGUACGAGUGCUUGACUCCCCUCAAAGACGGUAAUUUUAUCGAACCCAUGAUUCUUCAAUUUAAUUUUUUUAAUGCAUUAGCUGAAUUUAUAGGAAAUUUUAUUGGGUUUUGUUUUGCUUGAGAUUUAGCUAGGGUUCUUAACAUAAUCUGCCCAACUAGGGUUUCAAAGAUUGGGUUUUUUAAAUUAAAGGACUGAUUGAAAAUUAGACGUGACGUUAGUAGAUCUAACCCAUAGAUUAGUGAUUAGGAUCAUUAAUUUUACUGAUUAAUGACCCUAAUUUUAUUUUCAACGUCAAUGAUUUUGGCAUGUGAUACUAUCCAAUUUAUUACAGACUUGGAAUGGAAGCUGAUAUAUGUGGGAUCUGCUGAAGACGAAACUUAUGACCAAAUGUUGGAGAGUGUGCUUGUUGGUCCUGUCAAUGUUGGCAACUACCGUUUCGUCUUUCAGGUAAUUACCUCGAUUCCUUGUUCCGAGUUCUUGAGUUUGUUUCGGGAUCCAAAAUCGAUGUGAAACCAAAUCCUUUCUGUUUAUGUGUGUGCGUGUACAUGUCUUGGUCUCAUGGCAGGCAGACCCUCCAGAUCCAUCAAAAAUACGCGAGGAAGAUAUCAUCGGUGUCACGGUACUGCUAUUGACAUGUUCAUAUCUGGGGCAGGAGUUUGUUAGAGUGGGGUACUAUGUGAACAAUGAUUAUGAUGAUGAGCAGCUGAGGGAGGAACCUCCCUCUAAGGUGUUGGUCGAUAGGGUUCAGAGAAACAUUUUAGCGGACAAGCCGAGGGUCACAAAGUUCCCUAUUAAUUUUCAUCCCGAGAACAGUGAGACCGCGGAGCAGCAGCCCCCACAUUCACCUGAUCACGUAACUGAAACAAAGCAGCCCCUUCCUUCUCCCGAUUGUGCAGCUGGAGAAAACAUCAAGGGAAAAGAACCACCCGCCUCACCUGUACCAUCUGUCUGUGUGCAGUAGUAAAGUUGAAUUGGCUUCAUGAUCUCCACGUUGCUACGAGAAAUUUGGGUCCGGCGGCGAGCAUUUCAGUUGACAUAACUACGCUAAAUUUUAAACAACCCCAAUUUUUUGAAACAGAUUGUGUACCAUAUACACUAGUGUUAUUGCAUGUUUUGUGUCACCAUUUUCUUUUUGGUGUGAUAAGAUGUGGUACAUGGAGGUUAAACGAUUUCUAUGUGUCUCGCAUGAUCGUCUUGUAAUCGAAACUCAAGAGUUUCGUAAUUCAGAUUUGUAGUGCAGUUCUACAUGUUGUGUUCUUUGGAUGUUAAAUAGGAAAAUAGAAUGCAAUUAUUUCAAGUCCAGGAAUCCAUGGAACAAGAAAAAUUUGUGUAGGGCUUCGCUUGUCAUUGGACUUUGUUGAGUAUCAUUACAAGUCCACAAAUGAAGUUCUUUCCUUUCUAACUGGUUUUCUAAUUGUUUUUUUCUUUUCAUGACAAUACAUUUCUAUCGAAAACAGAAGAAAAUAGUUGUUUUGAUCUGCCUCGUAAAAUUACCUAUGUCGCACUGUCGAUGGCUGACGUGGUAUUCCGAACAGAAUUGGCAGCCUUCGCUGCCUGAAAUGGAGAUCUGUAUUAAACACGGACAAAAUGUAUUAGCACGGUGAAACGAAGGGAGUGUCCUGAACUUACCCCUUAUUCCAAUCAGCGCGCAAGUUUACCACCACAAGUGCUGUUAGUUGAACAACAAGUCCACAAAUGAUUCCCAUCCAAGGCUCCUAUACACACAAAUUUAAACUUAAAUGGCUGAUCAAUGUUCUAAAAGACGCUAGGCGCUAAUUGGGCGGCGGGCUAGAAUCUAGCGCCUAGGCAGCUAGGCGGGCACCUAGGAAGAUUUAAGUAAAUCUGUUAUAUUUUGUGUAAAUAAGUGUCUGUUUAUACUUAAAAUAUAUAUAAUUACAUCAUAAAUUAUAAAAUAGAAUGACGUAUAUCAUGAAGUAUUGAAACAUAAUGAAAACAUGGGGAACAAACAUAUCAUGUGUGUUCAUUUAAGUAUUCAACAAGUCUCUUACAAUUUAUUAAAAAAAAUAAUGCAAAAUGAAAGUUGUCUAUUUUAUGUCUAAAUGAGUCUCAACCUAGGUGGAUGUCUAGAUGGGUCUGGUCGAGCUAAGCAGGUGUCAAGGCGGUCUAGACGCCCUUUCUAAAUUUUCAAACGCCUAGGCAUUAAUCAGACCGGUAAUCACCUGCUUAGAUGAUAUGCGGAAAUUUUUAGAACAGUGCUAACAAGUGGCCCACGAAGCAAAAUAAAUUGACAAUCAACGUCUUUUUUUUUUUUCUUUAACGUCUAGGCCCACAGAUUUUGGGCGUUUUAGCUAUGUGCUUUAUUAAUUUUUUUAAUUGCCUUUGGUUUUUCCCAAAGGUUUAAGGUUGUAUUUGAUUAGCACUUUGGCACACCAAUCAUGGGGCCGAUCGCUGAUUAUAUAAAGCAAUGCUAGUUGAGAAAUGCUAAGGACUCUUUAUAGACCAUCUGUCAUUUUUUACAGUUUAACGUUAAUUCUGGUUUUAACAUUAUACAAUAUUAUGUCAAAAACAUGAGGUGACAGAAUUUAUAAAAUGCCCUACUUUUGAGAGUUGCUUAGUGUUCUCAUGGUAGUUUAAUUGGAGUCUGCUGCUGAUAGUGCAUAUUAGCCGAUUUCAUUGUAUGACAACAAUGUAGAGUCAGAUUUUUUUUUAUUUUUCAUAAUUAUUUUGAGCUUGUUUGGAACUAGUUCUAUUUAAAAGUGCAUUCGGUAAAGCCAAUUAUUUUAAUUUUUUUAGGCCGCGAAGUCAUAAUUUCAAGACUGCCAAGGCCAACUGAUAUCAUAUAAACCAUCCAACUGAUAACACAGAUGUUUCUAGCUUUGGGUUCGGCAGAAGACGGAUAAUGGAACAACCAUUUCGAAGUACGAAUAUUCGAAGCUGCAAUUCGAAAGAGUAUAGUUAGUGCUGAUUCAAAUAAAAAACAUGAUCCAACAGUUCUGCUGCAUAUGUAUCCUCAAAGAAGAGAACAAGUCACUUGGAGAAGAAGAAACUUACCAUAUUCUUACAGCUGAUGGAAUGGCAAGUUUGACAGGGGGAUGAUAACUGCGCGUAACUUGCCAACAACAAGAAGUUAACUCAAUUCGAAAUGCUAAUUGCCAACGCCGCACCAUUGUUUCCUAGUCCAAAUUUAAAACACAGGGUCCAACAAACACGUGAAGAAAAGCUGUGACUCCAGAGCUGAUCAUCAUUGGAAACACAUUGUUUUGCGUCUGUAAAAAAUCUGUUGAGGCAUUGGAGGAGGCUGAAGGCGAACAGGCUCGGAAUUAUCCACCUGUUGAAGGUUCCUGCUUCGGCGGACAUCUCGUGGUUUUGGCCAGGAGCCAUGAGAAUGGUGCUUGUGUAAAACCAGAUGAGAGCUAAGGGAAUGCUUACUGCUAAUAAUGUUUGCAUUGCUCUUUGCAUGUGGAGUCCAAGCAUGUGGUACUGUUUGGCUCCAUAGGCUUGCCCAAUUAGGGUUUCUAAUGCACUUCCCAUUCCCAACCGUGAGACAUGUGUGAUAUUUUUUAUUGAAAUUGAAUGAAAAUUAUCAAAUUUAAAAAAUGCGAGAAAAUUUAUUUAGAAUAAGAAUUACUUUAUCAGUUUCAUUCCUUCCACAACUGAUAAUGUUAGUGAACAAUAUUUAGAGUUUGUUUGGAAGUGUUUGGAAUAAUUAAUGUCGGUUUCAAAUAAUUAAAAGCGUUUCUGAUCAUGUUUAACAUAAAAAUUUAAAGUGCUCAUAUGUUUUAAAUGUACCAUGAAUCACUUAUAUUUUCAUCAAGUAUUUUGUCGUGAUUUCUACAUAAACACUUGAAAAUUAUCAGCAGAAGUGUUUUUUUUUUUUAGAAAUAUUUUUAAACGGGCCCUUAAAAAUAAAAGUAUUGAAAGAAGCUUGUUGUGUAUUAUCAUCCUAAACAUAAUGGCUUACAUAAAUUUCCGUCAACCAUCUAAUUGGAGUUUCAUAAGUUUCCGUCAACCAAUUAGACAGCAGGACAAAGUAUGAACAAGUGGUGCGGAAGAGAAACCCAACUGACCAAAAUACAAUGAAUCCAGUGACAUUAGCUAAGGAAGUGGCCAUGGAUCCUGGAAAGAGCGAACUCUCCAAGAUAUUGGCCGACAAACAUGACUGAUGUGACUUGUAAGCUGUACUGCAACAGGCUUACUGCAAUAUUCACGGACUUGAUUGUCUGCCCUUCCAUUUCGGUGUUCUCUCUGUUUCCUUCUGUUUUGUGUGUUUACGGUUUAUUUUUUUUAUAAAAAUAAUAAAAUAAAAAAAUAGUAAUAUAAAAUGUUGACAUGACUUAACCGUGACCGUACAAACAAGAGAGCACGAGAAGGAUACCGAAAUGGAAGGGCAGACAAUCCAAGUCCAUAUUCACAGGCCCUGCCAGCCAUGGCUGCAAUUUUGCUUCUUCAAUAACAUCCCCACCUCUACAAAUUGUUUGCUGAGAUGAUAUUUGCUUCAUCAUCAAAUUCUUGAUGGUUUGGAAUUAGAGGACUUCUUUCACAAAAAUUAUCAACUUUGCCACUUAAAUCCUAUUGUAUUUGUUUAUUGAUAAUCACAGGAGAAUCCAUCCAGAAAUAAUAAAAAAUAGAGAAAAUGUCAAACAAUACAUAAAAUAUGAGGUAUAAUACGAUAGAACAACUUCCAAAACUUUCAUCGUCACUUGUUAAUUUAUCUGUCAUAAUAUGUCAUUUUUAUUAGUGAAUGACGAUUGGCCCACAGAAGCAGCAUUUUUAAAAUUGCUGUUUUUUCAAGUUCGGUAAAAACAUGAUUUCUAGAUGGCUAAUUAUAUUAACACCCUAUAAAUUAUUGAAUAAACUUCACAUACUUAAUACACCCCAUAUUUGCUUUUUCACUUAAAAAUUAUCUUAAUACACCCCACAUACUUUCUCAUAAUACCCCCACACCCCACAUUCUCAAUAUACAUCUUAUAAUACCCCCACACCCCAUAUUUGCUUCGAUCCUUAAAGUCUGCUAAUGAUCCAGGUGUAGAAGUUAAUUAAUAAAUCAAAACUGAAUCGGUCUCAGAUUUCUUUAAAUAUAGGUCAUGUCUCUCCUCAUUUUCCACUGAUCAUCUCCCAAUGACAAGAAAAGAAGAAGAAAAAAGAAAGAAAAACUCAUGAUGAGAAACGUACGUCAAUCAAACGGCUAAAGAUUGAGAAUAGGAGUUCAUGUGGAGAAUGGCUAUCCUCAAUUUGUAAAAGUAGUAUAGGACUCUAGCACUAAUACGACUCAUGUUACUGGGUACGCAUGAUUAAUAUGAACACUAAAAGAUGAAUAUGAAUAUAGAAGUUUAAAUAAUGCAGCAAACGCAAGAUUAAAUAAUUAUUGAUGUCAUCGAAAUCACUAAAACAAUAAAAAAUGUGAAGUCUUAUCUCAUGUAAAGCUUCAGAAACAUCGAUUUUGUAUUCCAUUCGUCAAAAACAUUUUUUCUCAAUCAACAUGUUUGUAGUUUCAUUGGUUAGAGUUUUAUUCAACAAUGGAAAAUGAGAGGGUUUUGAUAGUUGAGAAAAUAAAUAAUACGCUAAAAGUGAUUUGGGAUGUAUUUAUAAAUUUUUAUUUUUUUUAAAACCUAAUAAGGUCAAAAUUGUCAUUGCAUAGUGGAGUAAAUAAGUAAUUUAAUAUUAAAUUUUAAUAUGAGGUGCAUUCAACAUGUUGUGAGGUGCUAGGAUAAAAAGCCUUUCUAGAUAUGCCAAACUUAAAAAAGCAAGAUGAGUGCUACUGAAAGAAUUUGUCGACAUUGAUGCAAUUUAUCGACAUAUGCUUGACAUACGUUACAUCAAAUAUUAGUAGGCACAAAAAAUAUCCGUAUUAAACAUUCAAAUGAUCCUCAAAAGACAUUUGCAUGUAUAUUUUCCGGACACAAUAGUCGUCGGACCACUUCGUCCCUGCUUCCAUCGCCCCCACUGCCCCCGACCCUCCACCCCCACCACUGCAAGUCAGCCAUAAACACACCAAACCUAAAAAGCAAGUCAACGUUCAUAACAUCCCGAGAAAAAUGAACCAAUCCGACGUUAUCAGUCUUUUAUCAGAACAAAAAGUAACAUUUUUUUUCAAAACUGGUUUCAACCACAAUGAACAUAGUAAUGCAGACAGCCCCUGUCUCGAAUUGAGAACGCGAAAGCAAUGUUCCUACGAUGGCAGCGUCCUAUACGUGCGUCAUUGAUUUCCGGCGUCGUUUUCUAGUCGUCUGGUUCUCCAGUUACCGCCGCUGUCAAGAGCCAUUCGUGACUGCUGCCUGCCUGCUCUUUUUCAAUGCGGCGUAAAUUUAAAUCUGGGUCCAAAAAAAAUCAACAUGAUUAUGGCUAGUAUUAUCUUUUCUCCACUUUUAUUUUUUUUAAUAUUAGAGAGAAAUUAAAAUUUUCUAACUUCAUGCAUCUUCUAAUUUCAAAAAAUCAGCUUAAUAUCUUAUAAUAAAAAAUUAAUAUUCAAACAUAAAUCUAUCUGCAAAACAUAUGACUUAAGUAACACAUUUUUUUUAAGGGAGACAACUGGUGGCAAACCACAAUUAUCCACCCCUUCAGGGGGCCGGGAAGACUCACAACCAUUCUGGGGGCCUCACAACCCUUCCAGGGGCCGAGAAGAUUCAUAGAGGCAUUUUAGCCUUCAUCUAGCCACAAGUCCAACUUCCACACCAACAUCGACUUUCGGACCUGAGACUUCCAAUUUUUAGUUUUAAGGAAAUCUCGCAAUCCGUCAUUUACUAUUGGACCACCGGCUCGUGUUUAAGUAACAUAUAUUUGAAUCUAUAUUAUAUUUGUAAGCAAGAUAUGAAUGGGGUUUAGAGCAAGAAAUAACAAAAAGAAAAAUAAAUAAGAAAUAAUAAUUAAAGAGAUAUUAGGAAGAAAUUUAAUUUUUUGUGUGCUUCUUAAAAAAACACUGCUUAUGCUGUUAUGUGAGAAUAAAGUCGUGUUUGGUAACUUUUUUAUGUAAAAGUGUUUUUACCAAAAAAAACUGUGUCUGAGUGUUUGAGGGUGUACUUGUCAUUUCAAAAUUUCAUUAAAUGAGCACUGAUUACUUUGGAAAAAAAACAUUUUUUUUAGAAGCUAGACCAUGCUUAUACUUUUUUAAUGUCAUUGACAACAAUUUUUAUAAAACACACUUUUUUUUUUGUUUUACUAAACAUAUUUAAUGUUCUAGAUUUUUAAUAAACUAUUUUUUUUUAAACACCACCAUCUCAAACCAGCUCUAAAACUUAUUAGUAUAGAGAUAAUUAUUGAUAAUAAAAUAAUACUAAAUUCAAUGGAUAGACUAAAUUUAAUAAACUGAACUAUUCAUAAUAUAUUAUGUAAAAAAGUAGACAUAUAUCAAGUUCGUUUUUGUGUGUAAUAUCUUCUUCUUCUUCUUUUUUGUUGUAUUUAAACCCUAAUCUUUGCCUCUUUGGUGGCCAAGCAAAUAAGAUAAGGAUUCACAAAACCGCUCUGUUUUUCCUGCUGUCAUAUUGGCUGUAUAUACGCAGAGUCAUAUAAAAAUGUGAACUUUUGGUCAAUUUCCGUGAAAUCUCAUAACUUUCUCCCUCCGUCUUCUACGUUCCAAUAUCCAAACCUCCAAAGUCAAUACGUCUCACCGGCUAGUGAGGCAGGCGGCCCCCGACGAUCCAGCUCCACGCUUCCGCUGCAGACUCCGCCAUGGAAGAGAGCUUGCUGUUACCGAAAUACGGAGAAGAAAGAAGUAACACUAGUAUUCUGACGUGGAGUUCUUUCUUCGAAGAAGUGAAGAGGUUGGGAUGCAUAGCGGGUCCCAUGGUUGCCGUGGUUUUAUCUCAGUACUUGUUGCAGGUCAUUUCGAUGAUGAUGGUCGGCCACCUGGGCGAGCUCGCUCUCUCCAGCACCGCUAUCGCCAUCUCCCUCUCCGGGGUCACCGGCUUCAGUCUUUUCGUAAGUCUUUCUUUCUUCCUUUGUAUCUUUUGGAAUUAACGUCCAACUGUUUUUGUUGCUCGUGAAUCAAGAUUGCAUUGUUUUCCAAACUGCGUUAUUCUAAAAUACUAUAAUUUGUCGGGGUGAGAGACUCGAACUCGGGUGCAGAAGGACCAUAAUCAACUGGCCUAACAGACGUCUGCCAUAUUCUACACCACCAUUGUAGAUUAUCCUUCUUAUUGCAUGAUUGUCCUUGAAUUUUUGCUCUAAUCUUUACCCAGUAGCAUUUGCAUCUGGCUAGUUUUUAUCACUUGGUCUGAUACUAUCUGAUGAAUACGAAUACGACACCCAAGACUGCAUUUCGGAUUCUAUAACUACAUAAUCAAAGACGUGUUGAAAUGAAUGACUCAAUUCCACUGCACCACAAGAGACAGAGUCACAGAGCACGAAGAGAUUGACCAGUUGGAGAAAUUUUUUAUUGUGACCGGAACACGAGUUUUUAUAUAAGUGUUAGAAAAUUUUAAUAUUUAAGUUAUUAACUUUUUAACACCAAUAUAUCAUAAUUUGUAUAAUAACAUGUGGUGUACCAUCUUGUGUUUUGAUCAUACUGAAAAAUCUCUCGACCGGUUGACGUCUAUGUCGUUUUUGGCUGUAAUAUAUUUGGUUUCUUUCGCUUUGGCCAAAGAUUUCAGGUUUUAUUGAUUAAUUAAUCACAAGUGGUUCAUUAGCACUUUGUCAUCAAUCAUGGGGCCGGCUAAUAAUGGGUUAUAUAAAUUAAUGCGAGUGUUGCUGGGGCAUCUUUUGCUAAUAUUCACUGGCACUGCUGCAGGACAAUAGUUGCACAUUCAUAUUAAUUUGUCUUCUCAUAAAUAUUUUAUCCACUAAAAUGUUUCCUGUCUACUAUGCUUGGACACAACGGCAUACCCUACUAUUCCCAUAUCAUGUUGUAUCUCCAUAACUAUGUCCGUGUCCAUGCAUCAUAGUUUCUUGUAUAAACAUUGUCCACAAACCAUGUAGAAGUUGAAUCUGUGUGCACCGUCGGUUUGUAAAAAUACUAAAGAUGUGAGGAUGCUAUGAUGUAUAUCAUGAAACUACUUGAAGAUAAUCUUAUAAGCACCAAAUUGAUGAUGAUUAAGUACGAAUUUCGGCGUAGAUGACAAGUUUCAGUGUAUUAAUGCAAGAUUGAAACCAUUAGCCGUGCAUUGGUAAAGGGUUGAUCAUGUACUGGGUUUUAUAUAGAUUUGUGUCUAAUAACUAAGUGGAUUUUGUAACUUGCUGUUUGAACAGUUGGGAAUGGCUAGUGCGUUGGAGACUCUGUGUGGUCAGGCAUAUGGAGCAGAACAAUAUCAGAAACUUGGACUCCAAACUUACACUGCUAUAUUUUCUCUCAACUUGGUCUGCCUUCCUUUAUCUUUGAUAUGGAUUUAUAUGGAGAAGUUACUGAUUUUCAUGGGUCAAGACCCUGUAAUUUCUCGUGAAGCCGGCAAGUUCACAAUCUGGCUUCUUCCCGCACUUUUCGCUUAUGCCACUCUUCAGCCACUCAUUAGAUACUUUCAGACACAAAGUUUAGUAACUCCUAUGCUCAUAAGCUCGUGUGCGACCCUUCUGUUCCAUAUUCCUCUGUGUUGGCUUCUAGUAUUCAAGUCUGGAAUGAACAACCUUGGAGGAGCAUUAGCAAUCAGUAUUUCAUAUUGGGUGAAUGUGAUUCUACUUGCAUUGUACAUGAAGUUUUCUGAUGCUUGUUCCAAAACCCGAGUUCCAAUUUCUGUGGAGAUCUUCCAUGGAAUUGGAGAGUUCUUCCGCUUUGCCAUCCCUUCUGCAAUAAUGAUAUGGUAGUCAAUUUCUUCCUUGCAUUCUAGUCUCAAGAAGACGUUUUACUAUGCUUGAUUCUUACAAUAUGUUCUUUCCAACGUCAGUUCUUUUCUUUUUUCUCCAUUGAUUUUCGUUGAUGGUUGCAGCCUUGAGUGGUGGUCAUUUGAGCUGCUUAUUUUGCUGUCUGGACUUUUACCAAAUCCGGCUCUUGAAACUUCAGUUCUGUCUGUAUGGUAUAUAGUCUGUAUAAUAAAAAUCAGUUUGUCAAUUUGAUGACCAUGUAGAAAAUAUGUGAUUAUUCUCAACUGAUUGUUCUGGACAGUCUGCAGACGAUUUCUACACUCUAUGCAAUACCAUAUGGGUUUGGUGCUGCAGCAAGGUAUGUUCAUGCACAUUUAUACCGUCAGAUUACAUUUACACCAUCAGCUUAUCUUUUUCUUUCUUUGCUUAUUGUGCAGUACUAGAGUUUCAAAUGAACUAGGAGCUGGUAACCCACAAGGUGCUCGAAUAGCUACUUUUGCUGCAAUGUUUCUUGCAGUCGCAGAGACAAGUAUAAUCACCACGACCCUCUUUGCCUGCCGCAAUGUAUUUGGUUACACUUUUAGCAAUGAGAAAGAAGUCAUCGAUUACGUCAAAAUCAUGGCUCCUCUAGUUUGCCUGUCUGUUACCCUAGACAGUUUUCAAGGGGUCCUUUCGGGUUUAUUUCUUUAUCUUCUCCUGUUAGCAGUAAAUAAUUGAGUUCUUUCAUGUUUCAGUCUAAUGUUAUGUGUUUUGUGAAUGGUUAAAUCAGGUAUUGCUAGAGGAACUGGGUGGCAGCAUAUAGGGGCUUACAUAAACCUCGGAGCGUUUUAUCUUUGUGGGAUUCCAGUUGCAGCCACAUUGGCUUUCUGGGUACAACUGAGAGGAAGGGGCCUUUGGAUUGGAAUACAAGUCGGUGCUUUUGUGCAAACCAUGAUGCUCUCUUUAGUAACAAGUUGUACAAAUUGGGAAAAGCAGGUCUGUUUCUCAACCUUAACUCUCUUUAUAAAGUUAAUCUUCUCCAGUUGCUUCGACUAUUCCACUAUUUUCUGUUUGGUUGCCAAGAAUCUGGGAGGGAAGACGAAGAACAUUUCGUAUCUUAUGACCACCAUUCUAAUCCAUUCUCUUAAACUGUCUCAAGAUGUGUUCUUUUUCUUCAAACUCCCCACUGCUUUGGUAUUUCCUUGUUUCUUCUUGGCACUUAAACAGAGCACCUAUCCAAAACUAAUGGGAGUUGCCAGCCAUCCGCAGACACAACGUUUGGUUAAACAUGGCCUCCGAGAGGAUUUUGAUGUUGGUCUUUUGAUGUUUCAGGCAAGUAAGGCAAGGGAGAGGAUAUUUGAGGGAAGGCCCCAACAAGUCAAUGGCUUGUGUGACAAGGCAGAGAGUAAUGAGUUUUGACGAGCACAAUUCUCUCUAUCGCGGGAUUAAGGAAGAAGUAUUAGCUUGAUCCAUACUUUUGUCAACAAUAGUUGCUAGACAUUAUUGGUAUAGACAAUAAACUUGUAAUUAUUCCUGUAGUUAGCCCUCAUUACUUUACUUUAUAGCUAGCCAUCAUUACUUUACUUUAUAGCUAGCCAUCAUUACUUUGCUUUGCUUUCAUUUUCUCCUUAUUUUCCUCUUCGGUGUUUUCCUCAUGUAAUCAUCAUUUGGCUUGUCCACUUGUUAGGACUAGUUUUUGGCCCUGUAUAAGAGAGGACUUCCCUAUUGUAAACAAAGAAUAAUGAACUAUAUUUCAAUUUCUGAGAUGGUAUCAGACCAGUCGAUCAUGACUGACUCUUGAACCUCAAAAACAGAAAAAAGCUUCCGCCAUAUCAUAUCUCAAUCAUCAUAUCAGUUUUAUUUUUAUUUCAACUUCACUGAUCUUAAGCCUAUACAAUGGCUAGUGAUGAUGAAGUAUCAGACCCACCAAUUCAGUCAUUCACACCAGGUGAAUCAAACUCCACCACACAAGUGGUCACCAUUCAAAAUGAUAAUUCCUAUUUCUCUGCAGGAAUUAAAUUUGAUGAGAACAACUAUUCUCUAUGGCAUCAAGUCAUAGAGAUGAAAAUUGCUGGUCGUGAAAAACAUGGGCAUCUUUCCGGUGAUACCAAACAACCUGCAAUCACAGACCCACUGUAUAACAAGGGGCGAGCUGAAAAUUGACAAGUCAAAAGUUGGUUAUUUGAUGCUAUGACACCCAAUCAGAUGAAGCAGUUCAUCCGUUACGACACAGCCAUGCAGGUAUGGGAUGCCAUAAAAAAGACUUACUCAGAUGGCUCUGAUGAAGCCAAAAUUUAUGAUCUUCAUAAAAGGUCAUUUACCAUGAAGCAAAAAGGAGCUCCUAUUGCUAACUAUUACAGCAAUCUCACCGAGAUUUUUCAAGAACUUGAUCAACUUAGUCCUACUAACAUGAAGCACCCAAAUGAUAUCUCAUCAAGGCAGCAAGAAAUUGAGCGACUUCGAGUCUAUAUUUUUCUUGCAGGAUUAGACAACAAGUUUGAUCAAAUUCGUGGUGAGAUUUUAAGGAUGGAGCCCAAACCUGGUCUUGAAAUAGCAUACUCUCAUGUCAAACAUGAAAGCAAUCGACAAGGAACCGUGUCAGAAAGUGCCACCAUGCCUGAAGCUACUGUGCUCUUUACCAUAAAUUCUCGAUCUCUACAAUGACCUCGACUUCAAAACAUAAACUCCUCAACAGUUGAUCGAUUUCGUAAUCAACCACCUAUGCAGUGCACCAAAUGCGGAUUGAAAAAUCAUACUAUUCAAGGCUGUUAUGAGAUUAUUGGCUAUCCAGAAUGAUAGGUUUACAAAGGACGAAAGAAGGAAUCUAGCAGAGCAUCAUUCACCACCUCUGAGUCUUUUCAAGAUGUUAGCUCAUCUGACCAUGUCCCAAAAGCCUUGAACACCUCAAGUAUAUCUAAUUCUACAUCCGCUAAUACUUGUAAUAAAUCGUGGAUUAUUGAUAUAGGUGCCACAGAUCACAUGACAUCUGAUGCUAGCAUUCUUCACUCACUAAAAACAGCCAACCAGACAUUCAUUACCAGUGCCAAUGGUUCAAUCUCUCCGGUUACUGGAGAAGACUCUCUUUCACUAACUUCCUCACUCAAUCUUGAUCAUGUCCUAGUUGUACCAUCUCUAGAUUAUGAUCUUUUAUCUGUUUCUCAAAUUAUUGACUCCCUUAAUUGUUUUGUUUCCUUUUGGCCACUAUAUUGUCUUUUCCAGGAUUUGCUCACAAGGGCCGUGAUUGGUUGUGGUACUAGAAGGGGCAAACUAUAUUAUUUGGACUUAACGGAAGAAUGCAACAAUAGAUUGAGUCAAGUACAUCAUGUAAGCAAAGACGAAUCAACCCGAAUGAAGAAGAUUUGGUUAUGGCACAGGCGAUUAGGACAUCCCUCAUUUGGUUAUCUUAAACUUUUAUUCCCUCAACUUUUUCCCCAAUUCAAAGAAUCUGAUUUCCAUUGUGAAAUUUGUAUUUUGGCCAAAAGUUAUCGUGUUUCCUAUCCAUUAAGAUUAAAUAAAAGUUUUGUGCCAUUCAUGGUCGUUCAUUCUGAUGUUUGGGGUCCUGCCAGAAUUCUUACCAUUUCUGGAUUUAGAUGGUUUGUGACAUUUAUAGAUGACUGUACUAGAAUGACCUGGGUGUUUCCAAUGAAGCAUAAGAGUGAAGUUCCUACCAAGUUCAAUAUUUUUCAUCAAUAUAUUGCAACUCAGUUUGACAAGAAAAUUCAGACACUCAGGUCUGAUAAUGGAGGAGAAUAUGUCAAUCAUGCUCCGCAUAACUAUUUGCAAGAGCAUGAUAUUGUUCAUCAAACCACAUGUGCCUAUACACCUCAGCAAAACGGUGUAGCAGAGAAGAAGAAUCGACAUCUCUUAGAAGUGGUUCGUGCAUCUUUAUAUGGUGCCAAUAUGCAUUAUAAGUUUUGGGGGGAGGCACUGUGUUCUACAACAUAUCUCAUAAAUCCAACACCAUCCAGUACUCUCCAAUAUCAAACACCACUCCAAACACUUAACCACCUUCUCACCAUUCCAUCUAUCUCAAACUUAGAAUCACGUGUCUUUGGUUGUGUGGCUUAUGUACAGGUUUAUCCACAUCAAUGGGGGAAGUUUGAUCCAUGUGCCUUCCGGUGUGUAUUCUUGGGUUAUUCUGAUACAAAAAAAGGAUACAAAUGUUUUCAUCCUCCUACCCAAACUCUAUACAUCAUUGCAGAUGUCCAGUUUCAAGAAGGAGAAACAUAUUUUGCAAAGGGAGACAUUGAGUAUCCCCUUCAGGAGGACAAUAGUAUGUUUGAAAAGGAUACCCAAGACAUUAGCAACAUUAAAAUUGUUGCAGAAAUUUCAGAAACUGAGAUAAAUGUUGAUAAGUUGGCAGACGACUGUAAUCAAACAAUACAUGCAGAAACAGAAUCAUUGACUCCAACAUACACAUAAGUACAUCCAGCAACGUUAAGUCCAGAUGGCUUGGGAUUGCCUUAUUCGAUAGUACCACAUGAUCAAUCAGCCCUUGAACACAAUCAACAGGUAACUAAUCAAUCUAAUUCUAUUGAGAUCGUAUCUGAGUCAAGUCAAAUUGAGUCCACUAAUUAUCAACUUCCCCCUCGAAAAUCUCGAGGGAUUCCUAAACAGUUAUAUGAUCCUGAUCCUAGAGCCAAGGUUAAAUACCCAAUUGCUAACCAUGUGUCCCUUCAUAGGCUAUCUACAUCAUGUGAGGCAUUUAUAAAUCAAUUAUCCACUGUAUCUAUUCCUUGUAGUGUAGAGGAUGCUAUGAAAGAUGCUAGGUGGACUUGUGCAAUGAAUGAAGAAAUGGAGGCACUCCAGAAAUAUUUCACUUGGGAGUUAACUAACCUACCCAAGGGGAAGAAAUCAGUUGGUUGCAGGUGGAUAUACACAGUAAAAUUCAAUGCAGAUGGCAUUAUGGAGCAAUACAAAGCAAGAUUAGUGGCAAAAGGCUACACCCAGACCUAUGACAUUGACUACAGAGAGACUUUUGCCCCUGUACCUAAGAUAAGCACUAUUCGUGUACUUUUAUCCCUAACAGCAAACCUUGACUGGCCUUUGCAACAAUUCGAUGUCAAAAAUGCUUUCCUGCAUGGAGAUUUAGAAAAAUAAGUUUAUAUGGAGCUUCCCCUAGGAUGCAAGCUGGAUCCCAAUCAGACCAACAACAUUUGUAAACUAAAAAAGUCUUUGUAUGGUUUAAAGCAAUCACCAAGAGCUUGGUUUGGGAGAUUUACCAAAUCGAUGAAAUUUUUCGGAUACAAGCAAAGCAACUCAGAUCAUACUCUUUUCUUAAAGCAUAAGAAAGGUAAAAUCAUUGCUCUUAUUGUAUAUGUGGAUGGCAUGGUGGUUACAGGAAAUGAUCCAGAAGAGAAGGCAGCACUGCAAAAGUAUCUAGCAAGUGAAUUUGAGAUGAAAGAUCUCAGUGCUUUAAAGUAUUUCUUGGGCAUUGAGGUGGCCCGCUCAUAACAAGGAAUAUUUCUAUCACAACGGAAAUAUGUUCUUGAUAUUUUGACGGAAACUGGGAUGCUAGCAUGCAAACCAGCAGAUACCCCAAUUGAGCUGAAUCACAAACUUGGUGAAUAUCCUGAUCAGAUACCUACCAAUAAAGAGAGAUAUCAACGAAUUAUGGGUAAGCUAAUAUAUCUUGCACAUAAUAGACUAGAUAUAGCGUAUGCAGUCAGCAUGGUAAGCCAGUUUAUGCAUGCACCAAGUGAAACACACAUGGACGCUGUAAACCGUAUCUUGAGGUAUUUAAAGUCAACUCUUGGAAAAGGAUUAAUGUUUUCAAAACAUGAUCAUCUAGACAUUAAAGGCUACAUUGAUGCUGAUUGGGCUGGUGAUGUAACUAACAGACGAUCAACAUCAAGAUACUUUGUUAUUGUUGGAGGAAAUCUAGUCUCUUGGCGUAGUAAGAAACAAAAGGUUGUUGCUAGAUUAAGUGCUGAAGCAGAAUAUCGGAGCAUGGCACAUGGAGUAUGUGAACUGCUUUGGGUGAAGAAUUUACUGAGAGAUUUGAGAUUUAGGCCCAAGCAUGCUAUGCGUCUACAUUGUGACAACAAGGCUGCAAUUGACAUUGCUCACAAUCCGGUUCAACAUGAUCAAACCAAACAUGUGGAGGUGGAUAGAUAUUUUAUUAAAGAAAAAAUUUAGGCAAGACUUAUUGAAGUUCCAUUCGUUAAAUCUGAAGAUCAAUUAGCAGACAUGCUCACCAAAGCAGUCACAAGUUCAGUAUUUCACAACUCACUAAGCAAGUUGGGCAUUCAUGACAUCUACGCACCAACUUGAGGGGGAGUGUCAACAAUAGCUGCUAGACAUUAUUGGUAUAGACAAUAGAUUUGUAAUUAUUCCUCUAGUUAGCCAUCAUUACUUUAUUUUAUAGCUAGUCAUCAUUACUUUGCUUUAUAGCUAGCCAUCAUUACUUUGAUUUAUAGCUAGCCAUCAUUACUUUGCUUUGCUUUCCUUUUCUUCUUAUUUUCCUCUUCGGUGUUUUCCUCAUGUAAUCAUCAUUUGGCUUGUCCACUUGUUAGGACUAGUUUUUGGCCCUGUAUAAGAGAGGACUUCCCUCUUGUAACAAAGAAUAAUGAAGUAUAUUUCAAUUUCUGAGAACUUUUGACACCGAAAUUUUUUGUAAUAACACAUUCGAAUAUGGUUGAUACAUAUAGGCUUGUGGCAUUCGAUCUUGACUACGAUCAAGUGAGAUAGACGUUUUGAAAUGUAACAUGGUGUCCUGAAUCUCCUGAUAGCAUUGCAUUUGCUGCUCAAAAUAUGUAUCAGAAUGUAUGCGGCAAGUCUAUGCAAUAUAUGGCAAGAAAGAGCAACUGAGUUGUGAUGAAUCAGAAAUUUUAUAAAAUGUGUAAAGUUGAUAAAAACUCUGUUGAGUUAGUUUUGUUCUGCAAUUUAUCCAUAAUAAACGAUUCAAUUCACAUGCUUAAUAGAAACAUCACUUCUACUAUAUCAACCCAUAUUUCGAAUAUUAACAUGUAGACUGAAAUGUCAUGGGUUCGAGUUGUAGAAACUACCUCUUUGCAAAUCAAGAGUAAAACUGCGUACGAUAGACGUUCUCCUACCCUUGCAAAACGGAGAAUUUCGUUGGCUCGGGUCGCCUUUUUUAACAUGACAACUUUAUUUUACUGUAAAUCAGCCCUGUAAUAUUUACUCUGUUUUUCUUUAUGUCACAUUGGCUCUGCUUUUGUAGCCUAGCAAAUAAAGAUUUUCCAUAAUUCCUUUGCUUUUAUGCAUACAAUGCCUUUCUCUUUCUCACCAAAAAGGUAAACUUGCCAUGUGCAUUUACUCCUUAGAAUCACCUCUAUCAGUCCAAAUUGGCCACUUCAGUAUAUUUUUUGUUGCUGAUAUAAGCGUUAUUCUACGCUAAAUUCAUCUAAAUUGCAGGACAAGAAAUCAAACAACAUGUGUUUUUUUAAUUGUAAAUAUGCCCUAUAAUCUUGCCUGUUUUGUAGCCCAGCAAAUAAAGAUUUAUAAUUGCUCUGUUUUUCUUGCUGUCGUAUUUGCUAUACACUUGGCAGUGAUUCAUAAGAAACAGGUAAUAAUGUCCCCAUGAAAGGUCAAAACUUUCCAAAUGCCCAACGUCCAUAGGUUAUUAGGCUUAUUGGUUGAUCAUCAGGUCCUGUGGCGACCGCGGAGACUGAAUUCCUCCUGAGUUCCGCCAUGGAAGAGAGCUUGCUAUUGCCAAAAUACAGAGAAGAGCAACGAAGAAGCAGUAGAAAUUCAAGUAGUAGUAGUAGUUGUCUAACAUGGGUUUCUUUUUAUGAAGAAGUAAAGAGGUUGGGAUGCAUAGCAGGACCAAUGGUUGCUGUGGUUCUAUCCCAGUACAUGCUGCGGUUUAUUUCAAUGAUAAUGGUUGGCCACCUGGGUGAACUUGCUCUCUCCAGCUCCUCCAUAGCCAUCUCCCUCGCCGGCGCCACUGGCUUCAGUCUUUUCGUAAGUCUAUCUUCCUUCCAUCUUCUUCUUGUUUGUGGAAAUGGCCACAAACCUUCCAUUCUUUUUGCAAUGCGAUAUUCUAAGCUACUCUCGCCUAUUUCUUACUGGUAAGGAUUUUGAACUCAGGUCACUGUCACGACCAACCGACCUAACCCAUGUAUGCAAGACUUCACCUUUGAAGCUCCCACCCACCAUUGUAGAUUAUGGGCUUUGCCAUCAUAAUUAACGCCUAAUCACGAAUUAUAUGAAGUAAUGUGUGUUUAAUUGGACUCUGCUACUGCAGAUUAAUUUGUCUUUCCAUAACUCCUCUGUCCACUGAAAUGUUUCAUGUACAGAAAAUUGUUCCCAAACCAUGCUGGGAUCAAUGCUGUGAGUGUUGUAUGUAUAUCAUGGAACUUCUUAAUGAUAAUCUUAUAAACUACGAAUGGAAACGGACAAGGAUACGGGGAUACGACCGACAAGGGAAUAGGUCAUAUUAACGAGAAGAAUUGUUGUAUGACUACAAAGGAAUACAACAUGAGGAUACGAGGGAAUACCAUUGUGUCCAUGCAUCUAGAGCAACACAACUUACUGAUAAUAGAGUACGAAUUUUAGCACAGAUGUAGUACUAAUUGUUGGAAAAUUUAAUAUUAAUAUUAUUAUAUUAUAUUUCUUAAUUGAAUGGAAAUUAUAAGUGAUGUCUUUUGGUGGAAAUAUGUGUCUAUCCUAAUGAAAAGUUGCAACUUUUGACUCAUGAAUAGUCACAUGUUUUCCAAAGAGGUAUCUCAAAUUCUAUAAAUAAGGAAGCCCCCAUGUCACUUAACAACUUUUACACUUACAUAUUCAAACAUAUAGUGCACUAUUGUUAAAGAGUUUUGUAAUGUCCCAUUGAGUUUGUUAUACCAUACUUAGAGCCUCUGUAUUUAGACCUCGUAUAAAUAUUCGGGGGACUCAAAUAUAAUUAUGUAAUAAAUGAAGGGACAAAUAUGUAAUAAGUGAGGAGCCUUUAGUCUACAAAAGGGACUCCUCACCCUCACAAUCCUCAAAGGUCACAUCCCCAAAGAGAGGCUCAUAUCCAGCAAUCCCCUCACACUCUCAAACUCUCUUUCUCUGGGGGACUUCCCCUCACCCUUGUAAUCCAUACAUACAGUUAGAGAGAAAUACAAUCAACAUCAGUGUGGAGGUAGCCCAAACAUUGGGGUGAACCACGAUACAUCUUGUGUUCUUACUUUCUUGCAGAUUCACGGUCGGAUUUACGUUGUUCCAAGACCCCUCCGGUUUUGUGUAUCAACAGAGUUCGUAUUGGUGAGUUUUCAACACAAUCGUGGUUCAUUGGAGCCUUGUGAUUUGGAGUGAUACUAUUAUAAGGACGUGGUCGUUGUAUCCUGGGAGACAAGCACUGAACAACCAUAAGCACCAUAGUGGGACGUAAACUUGUCUUAAGGACAGAUUGUACAAAACUUGCUUUAACCGUAUUUUCAAGUUUUUCUAAUCCAUUAUGUCAGGUUCAUUUAAUAUUGGUUAUGUACUCAUGUGCCUGCACCACUUCCAUAUAUAAGUGCAUGAAUUAUUUCUUGAUUUUCUAUGUGAUAGCAAUUGGACCAUAAUUUUUCCAACACUAAUAUCGAAAUAAUGACGAUUUUCGUAGCGUAGAUGUUUAUAAUCUAUCUAAUAAUCUAUAUGAACAGUUGGGAAUGGCAAGUGCACUGGAAACUUUAUGUGGGCAAGCAUAUGGAGCAGAGCAAUAUCAGAAACUUGGACUUCAAACGUACACUGCUAUAUUUUCUCUCAACAUGGUUUGUCUGCCUUUAUCUUUGAUAUGGAUAUAUAUGGAGGAGAUACUGAUUCUCACCGGUCAAGACCCUGCGAUUUCUCGCGAAGCCGGAAAAUACAUAAUCUGGCUUAUUCCUGUUCUAUUUGCUUAUGCAACUCUUCAACCGCUCAUUCGAUACUUUCAAACACAGAGUUUAGUAAUGCCUCUGCUGGUAACCUCUUUCGCCACCUUUUUAUUCCAUAUUCCUCUCUGCUGGAUUCUAAUAUUCAAGUCUGGAUUAGAACACCUUGGAGGAGCAUUAGCAAUCGGCAUUUCCUAUUGGUUGAAUGUGAUUUUUCUUUGGUUAUACAUGAAGUUUUCCCCUGCCUGUUCAAAAACUCGUGCUCCAAUUUCGAAGGACAUAUUCCAUGGAAUCGGAGAAUUCUUUCGUUUUGCCCUGCCUUCUGCAGUAAUGCAAUGGUAGCCAGUUUCUCCCUGUAUUUUAGUUUCAAGAAAAGAUUUCGAUAUGCUUAAUUUCUUAGUCUUACAUUUCUCUCUGUCCUUUGUCUUGGUUCUUGUUGAUGGUUGUAGCCUUGAGGGGUGGUCAUUCGAGCUGCUUAUAUUGCUGUCUGGAUAUUUACCAAAUCCGGCUCUUGAAACCUCAGUUCUGUCCGCAUGGUAAGUUUUCUGUUUUUGUUGCAUUUCAGAUGCCAAUCAGAUAUUCUAAGAACGAUGCAGGAAAAAUUAUAAUUUCAGUUUGAUCUCCAUUUAGAAAGCUCGUGGUUAUUCUAAUUGAUUGGUUUGGACAGUCUUCUGGCGAUUUCAACGGUCUAUGCAAUACCAUAUGGGUUUGGUGCUGCAGUAAGGUAUGCUCAAACAUUAAGCACUUAAGUCUUAACUCUGAAGUUCCAUCAAACUGUACAUAUUUGCGUGCUAAAUCGCAGUGCAGCUAAAUUUGCAUAAAAAGAUCUCUAAUAAGCAAUAACUUGUCUUUUUCUUUCCUUUGGGUGUUGUACAGUACUAGUACUAGAGUUUCAAAUGAACUGGGAGCUGGUAACCCACAACGUGCUCGUAUAGCUACUUUUGCUGCGAUGUUUCUUGCAGUCACAGAGACAAGUAUAACAACCACGACCCUCUAUGCCUGCCGGAAAGUAUUUGGUUACACUUUUAGCAACGAGAAAGAAGUCAUCGAUUACAUCACAGUCAUGGUUCCUCUAGUUUGCCUGUCUGUCAUACUAGACAGUAUACACGGGGUCCUUUCAGGUCAGUUGCCUUAUCUUCUGCGGGUAGUACUACACAAUUAAGCAUUGUUCUAAAGAAUGGUGUUUGGAUCUAAUGUUAUAUGUUUUUUGAACCGCUAAAUCAGGUGUUGCUAGAGGAACUGGGUGGCAGCACAUAGGGGCUUACAUCAACCUUGGAGCAUAUUAUCUUUGUGGAAUCCCCGUUGCUAUCGUGUUGGCUUUCUGGGCACAGCUAAGAGGAAGGGGCCUUUGGAUUGGUAUACAAGUUGGUGCUUUUGUGCAAGUCAGUCUGCUCGCUUUAGUAACAUGUUGUACAAAUUGGGAAAAGCAGGUUAAAUACUCGACCCUAACUCGAUCUUCUCCGCAUUCAUUUCCAAAAUUCUCUGUUUGGUUGCCAAGAAGUCGGGAGGAAAGAUGAAGAACAUUUUCUCUUACGAGUACAACGAUAUGUUCUUUUUGUUCAAACUCCCUACUUGAAAGCCAACCACAGACACAACAUUUCAUUAAGCACGACCUCCUUUUAUGUGGUUUCGAGGAUAUUAAGGUUGGUCUUUUUAAGUUUCAGGCAAGUAAGGCAAGGGAGAGGAUAUUUGACAGGAGCCCCCCUGGAAGUUAAUGCCUUGUGUGACAAGGCAGAGAGUAAUAACACAUUCGCAUAUCAUUGAUACAUAUAGGCUUGUGGCAUUCAGUCUUGACUACGAUCAAGUUGUAUAGACGUUUUGAAAUGCAACAUGGUGUCCCGAGUCUCCUGAUAGCAUUGCAUUUGCUACUCAAAAUCUGUAUGACAAUGAACGCGGGCAACAAAGAGCAGCUGAGUUCUGAUGACCCAUUGUUUGUACCCGAUUUUAAUCUAUCUGCCCACCCGUGCAAUCGUGGCCGUUGAGUGAGACCCUCCGAUAGCUUCGAGAGUAAAUAAAUGUUUUUGAUAACUUCUUUAAGAUUUUAUCAUUGGUUUUUAUCAUGAUAAUCAUCUUGGAGUUUUUAUUUAAAAUGUUUUGACAGCAACAAAGUAAAGAUGAUAGAAUCCUUCUCCCACGCAAUCACGUUUUGAUUUUAUAAGCAGUGUGAUUGCUUUCCAAUUCCACAAAUUCAAAUGAGAUGAAGGAUUGUUAAGGUGAAGAAAUUUUUCAUUGUGAUGGGAACACGGAUGGUACAUCACAUAUUUUUAUGUAAGUAAUGAUAAAUUUUAUUUUUUAAAUUAUUAACUUUUUAACCUACAAAUUCCACAAUUUGUAUAGUGAUACGUGGUGUAUCACCUCGUGUGCCGAUUACACUGAAAAAUCUCUCGUUAAGGUGGGCACGUGUUUGGGAUUUAUGACUUUGCAUGGCAGCAUGGGGAUUAGCUACCCUCCAUGCAAAUUAUGCAUGCACGGGGUGGUUGGUCAAAGCCUAAGAUGCCAAAAAAUAAAAAGAAGAGAUAAACAAUGCAAAUUAUGCAUGCACACCCCGGUUGGUCAAAGCCUAAGAUGCCAAAAAAUAAAAAGAAGAGAUAAAGAUGGAGUUUCAUCCCCACCAAAUGAUGAUGAGGGUGCCAAAUCACAAGAGGGUUUUGAAAUAUCAUGACUCUAUCCUAUUCUAUUGCAUGGUUUGAGUCGAUCUGGUGCACGUGGCUUAAGUGGGUAAUGCCAAGUGAGGAUCAUUUGUCACAAUGAAUAUCUUGUAUUCAUUUUGUUCGCUGAGCAGACUCACCUCAUAAAUGUAAAGCUCCAGACAACAUUCAAGGACCUUCGAGACAACACACAGAUCUAUCAUGUGCAAACUCUUGAACACACAGAUCUAUCAUGUGCAAACUUUUGCUUUAUGUGAAACCCUCUCAUCUUUGAGAAAAGUACGGAUCUUCCUAACUUCGUCAAGCAGACCUUGCAAUUUGUAGAAAUGGCUCUAUACUUGACAAUCGGCGACAUCUUGUAAUUUCUAGAAAUAGUUCUGGAGCCGUAGAAUCAAGUGAUCAAGGAGUACCUUGCAAUUUGUUGAAAUAGCUCUACUCCAAGUUCGGUUGACUAUUUAUCCAAAUCUCUAUCAACAAAAGGUCCUUGCAUCCUUGUUGGAAGAGGUCACUUCAUUAGCUUUCUCAACGAAGUGAGGUGUUACCAGGUUAUGUCAUUCGGCACAUUGAAAGCUGAAUGUUUAUUGAACUUCAUAGAAACUAGCAGUCUUGCCUUUAGGUUAUAGAACCCAAAGGUCGAGACAAGUUCCUUCCUCAGUCGCAGUUGUGAAAAACUGAAGUUAGCACCUCGUUCGACACCACCACCACUCAUUUACUCAUCGACUAAGCUCGAGCUCGGUCACCAAGUUGACAUGCUCCGCAUUCAACCGAAAAACAUAAUUAGCUAUUACCUAUUCGGCCUGGAACGCUUGAUAAUUUUUAGGAUAAACACUCAUAUAUCGAAAUUAACGCGCACAUAAGCCCUAUAGUAUUUGCUCUGUUUUUCUUGCUGUCACAUUGGCUCUGCUUUUGUAGCCUAACAAAUAAAGAUUUCCCAUAACUUCUCUGCUUUUAUGUAUACAAUGCCUUUCUCCUUAUCUCUUCGUAUCAUGUGCACCAAAAAUGGAGAUUUUUGGCAUGUCUACUUAGGCCAUCUCCAAUCGAUCCGGCCAAAGGGUCGUAAGGCUAAAAAUAGCCCGUUUUGACCUAAAAAUCAUCUCCAACCGAAGGUUAGGCCAAAGGGCUCUUAGGCCCCAUCCGGCCAAAAAUAGGAGAACUGACCAAUGGGCUGGCCAAGAGCAGCUAGCCCGCCAGCCUUAUAGCCCAACCCAAGCACAUGUUACCUGACGUCAGGUUAAAGUUUUAUUUUAUUUUUUGAUGAAAUUUAAAAGAAAAAAAAUCUAUUUUUUUUUAAUAAAUACCCAAGUCAUUUCUACCAUAUUUCUCACAUCAUUUUCACCAUUCCAUACUAUAUUACCUCAUUUUAUUUCAAUUAUUCACCAAUUUUUCACAUCCUUUUCAUUUUAUAAAGAUAAGAAAUCUGAAAGCUUAUUAAUUUAGCGACAAGUGGCACUCAAAAUAUAUCCGAAAAUCUUAUUUUAACAUUGUAGUUCAAUUCAAUUAACCAUAUUAAUUCAAUUAAAAUAAUAAAUUAUGUUUGGCCUUGGCCCUUUGGCCCCCUCGGUUAGAUAUGAUUUUUUGUCAAAGGGCUAUGUUUGGCCUAUGACCUUUUGGCUCUCUCGGUUGGAAAUGGUAUAAAAUAUGGCCAAACACUGUUCAUUAAAAUAUAUUUUGUUUUUCAGGGCUAAAGGGAGUCAUUUGGCCUUCUUUUCGGCCAUCUCCAACCGAAAGAGGGCUAAAUGGCCAUGUUCAACCUAUAGUCCUACAAUAAAUUAUAUUUUAAUGAACCGUGCUAGGCUGUAUUUUAUACCAUCUCCAACCGAAUGGGCCAAAAGGUCAUAGGCCAAACAUAGCCAUUUGACAAAAAAUCAUCUCCAACCGAGGGGGCCAAAGGGUCAUAGGCCAAACAUAAUUUAUUUUUUUAAUUAAAUUAAUAUGGUUAAUUAAAUUAAACUACCAUAUUAAAAUAAGGUUUUCAGACAUAUUUUGAGUGUCACUUGUUGCCAAAUGAAUAAGCCUCUGGAUUUCUUAUCGUUAUAUAAUCUCAAUAAUUUUUUUGAAUAGGAUUUCGAGUGACACGUGUCGCUAACGUGAGUAACUCUCCAGAUUUCUUAUCUUUAUGUAAUCUCAAUAAUUUUUUUGAUAGGAUUUCGAGUGACACGUGUCGUUAAAGUGAGUAACUCUCUAAAUUUCUUAUCUUUAUGUAAUCUUAAUAAUUUUUCGGAUAGGAUUUCGAGUGUCACAUGUCAAAAUGUAAUUGGUUGUGCAAAUUUUGGAUAGGAUACGUGAAACUUCUUAUCUUCAACUUUUAAUGUUGUAGGAAUGAUGUAGGUAUUUAUAGAAAAAAAAUUAGAUUUUUUUUUAAAUUCCUCAAAAAUAAAAUAAGAAAUAAAAUUCCAACGAUAAACUGACGGCAUCAAGACGUUAGCUAACCGUUGCUAAUUGGAGUCAUGCUGACGCUAGGUUGCCGUUAGCAUUCAAAUGGAUUGAACUAGAGGGCUUGACAUUUUGGAGCUGGAAGGCUGGCAAAAUGUCAAGCUUGACAUUCUGGCACUGGAGGGCUGGCUGGCUGGCUAGCUGGAAAUGGCCAGCCCACUGGCCUGGGGGUUUGGGCUUGGUGAGGCCCACGAGCCCUUUGGCCUAGCUUUCAAUUAGAGAUGAUUUUCGUGUCAUUCCGAGCUAUUUUUAGCCGUAUGACCUUUUGAUCGGAUCGGUUGGAGAUAACCUUAUUCCUUCAUAUCACCUCAUUAAUCAAAAUUGGUUGCUUCACUUUUUUUUUUUUCUUUUUAAUACGACUUUCUACCCUAAAUUUAUCUAAAUUUCGGAAAGAGGCUCGAAGUAUGGCCUAUAAUCUUGCCUGUCUUGUGGCCUAGCAAAUAAAGACUUAUAAUUGCCCUGUUUUUCUUGCUGUCAUGUUUGCUGUACACCAGGCAGCCUUUAUUCAUAAGCAAAGGUAAACUUUUGGCCUGUGCAUAUACAAUGUCCAUGAAAGGUCAAAACUUUCCAAAUCUCCAGCGUCCAUAGGCUAUUAGGCUUACUGGUUGAUCAUCAGCUCCUGAGGCAGCCUCCGCCUGAGUUCCGCCAUGGAAGAGAGCUUGCUAUUGCCAAAAUACAGAGAAGAGCAACAAAGAAGCAGUAGAAAUUCAAGCAGUAGUAGUAGUUGUCUAACAUGGGUUUCUUUUUUUGAAGAAGUAAAGAGGUUGGGAUGCAUAGCAGGACCAAUGGUUGCUGUGGUUCUAUCCCAGUACAUGCUGCGGUUUAUUUCAAUGAUGAUGGUUGGUCACCUGGGUGAACUUGCACUCUCCAGUUCCUCCAUAGCCAUCUCCCUCGCCGGCGUCACCGGCUUCAGUCUUUUCGUAAGUCUAUCUUCCUUCCAUCUUGUUUUAAUAUCCACUGCUGUUUUUUAUGUUUGGUUUCGGGUUGUGUAAAUGCCAAUUAACCUCACCAUACCUAGAAUGCACAAAACUUCCAUUCUUUUUUUAUGAACAAAACUUCCAUAUCUUUUUGCAAUGCGAUAUUCUAAGCUGCUCCCGCCAUUCGUAAGGAUUUUGAACUCAAGUCACUAUUAUUACCAAUUGGCUUAACCUAUGUAUGCAAAACUUCACCUUUGAUCUGAUCUGUAAUUGCCGGAUACGGUCCGAAUUCCGUAUCAAUACCACCGAAUUGAUUUAGUGUCUUGUUCAACCAUUUUUAAUAAUUAUUAAUUAAUUUCUUGUCUACGUGGCUCAAACAUUCAUGUCAAUAAAAAGGUAAGCUUCAUACAUGUAAUGCCAUCUUUUAACAGUUAAAUUCACAAAACUUAAUAAAGGUUCCAUUUGGCAACGAAUGUUGAUGUACCAAUACAACACAGGUUUUACUAAUGUGAGAAUAUUUUAUAUUAUAAGAAUGAAACAUAGGUUCUAUUAAUUUAAGAAUAUUUUAAUAUUUUAAUAACAUUUUGAUUAAACAAUUAAGAAAAUUAAUUAUUUUGAUGUGUUUUCAUUUUUGAUGAUAAUAACUAUAAAAUAUAAUCGUGAAAUUUAUAAUUAUAAUAUUUUACCAUAAAAUUAAUGUAUAUUUUUUAACUAAUUUAGAACGAAUCAAAUUAAAACUUGUAUUGUCUAUGUCUCUCAAGGACAAAUGACACUAUAGAUUAUAGCGAAUUCCGUAGCGGAACUGAAUAGCAAACUUGAAUCGUCCUUCGUAUUUAGUUUUUCAUUAAUUAAUUUUUUUUUCAUUGGGUUGCAAUUUGGAUCUGGUCUUCUGUGAUGUUAUUGUACACUGUCCGAAAGACUGCCGUUUGGAUUCCACUAGGCAUUGACAAAUGACCAAAGCAUGAAAAACUGAAUGUCUACGGAUCCUUUUGCGAGGAUUCCCCAUAUCCUUUAAUAGUAUUUGUUCAUCGUUAAUUAUGUCCGUUCAUCGUAUAUCGUGUGAUCAUAAAUUAUUUUAAACUUUUUUAUUUAAAAUUGAAUAUAAAUAGUAACUGAUGAAGUCGCACGAUAUAAAAAAUACGAUUAAAUGAUCCUUGAGAUUCUACAAAGAGAAUCCUCAUUCUGAAAAACUGACCUGCUAAUGUUUAGGGUCCCACAGUUUUUGUUUUUGGGUUUGAAGACCUACGUCAUUUUGUGUUCAUUUGAAAAUACUUGUAAAAUGGCUAGUAGUGUUUCUAGUAAAAAUAUAUAUGGAACUAUUCCUUAGUAAAAAUGCAAGAGAAUCCUAAAAAAACACUUAAAUGCUUUCAACAAAAAGCAUCUAAAAACAUUCGUGCUAAAAGCACUUUCUCAUUCAAAAAGCUCUUCUAAACGAGUCCAUAAUUAACGCCUAAUUACGGAAUGUAUGAAGUAUUGUGAGUUUAAUUGGACUCUGCCACUGCAGAUUAAUUUGUCUUUCUCAUAACUUCUUUGCAACAUAUAUUUGCAAAGUAAGGGUAACACUGCGUAAGAUAGACGUUCCCCUGAACCUCGCAAAGCGGAAAACCUUGUUGGCUUGGGUCGCCUAUUAUAACUCCUUUGUCCCCUGAAAUGUUUCAUGUACAGAAAAUUGUUCCCAAACCAUGCUGGAAUCAAUGCUGUGCAUGUUGUGUGUAUAUAGUGUAUAACAUGGACCUUCUUAAAUUUUAAUGAUAAUCUUAUAACACAAACUUACGGAUGAUAUGGUACGAAUUUUAGCGUAGAUGUAGUACUAAUAUCGAAAUAAUGACGAUUUUCGUAGUGUAGAUGUUUAUAAUCUGUCUCUAAUAAUCUGUAUGAACAGUUGGGAAUGGCAAGUGCACUGGAAACUUUAUGUGGGCAAGCAUAUGGAGCUGAGCAAUAUCAGAAACUUGGACUUCUAACGUACACUGCUAUAUUUUCUCUCAACAUGGUUUGUCUUCCUUUAUCUUUGAUAUGGAUAUACACGGAGGAGAUACUGAUUUUCACCGGUCAAGACCCUGCGAUUUCUCGCGAAGCCGGAAAAUACACAAUCUUGCUUAUUCCUGGUUUAUUUGCUUAUGCAACUCUUCAACCGCUCAUUCGAUACUUUCAAACACAAAGUUUAGUAAUGCCUAUGCUCGUAACCUCUUUCGUCACCUUUUUAUUCCAUAUUCCUCUCUGCUGGAUUCUAAUAUUCAAGUCUGGAUUGAAACACCUUGGAGGAGCAUUAGCAAUCGGCAUUUCCUAUUGGUUGAAUGUGAUUUUUCUUUGGUUAUACAUGAAGUUUUCCCCUGCCUGUUCAAAAACUCGUGCUCCAAUUUCGAAGGAUAUAUUCCACGGUAUCGGAGAAUUCUUUCGCUUUGCCCUCCCUUCUGCAGUAAUGCAAUGGUAGCCAGUUUCUCCCUGUAUUUUAGUUUCAAGAAGAGAUUUCGAUAUGCUUAAUUUCUUAGUCUUACAAUUUCUCUUUCCUUUGUCUUGGUUCUUGUUGAUGGUUGUAGCCUUGAGUGGUGGUCGUUCGAGCUGCUUAUAUUUCUGUCUGGACUUUUACCAAAUCCGGCUCUUGAAACUUCAGUUCUGUCUGCAUGGUAAGUUUCUGUUUGUGUUUCAUUUCAGUUACUAAACGAUGCAGGAAAAAAAAUCCAGUUUGAUCUCCAUUUAGAAAGCUUCUUGUUAUUCUAAUUGAUUGGUUUGGAUAGUCUUCUGGCGAUUUCAACGAUCUAUGCAAUACCCUAUGCGUUUGGUGCUGCAGUAAGGUAUGCUCAAACAUUGCGCACUUAAGUCUCAACUCUUUAAGUUCCAUCAAACUAUACGUAUUUGCGUGCUAAAUCGCCAUGCAGUUAAAUUUGCAUAAAAAGAUCUCUAAUAAGCAAUAACUUAUCUUUUUCUUUCCUUUGGGUGUUGUACAGUACUAGAGUUUCAAAUGAACUGGGAGCUGGUAACCCACAACGUGCUCGUAUAGCUACUUUUGCUGCGAUGUUUCUUGCAGUCGCAGAGACAAGUAUAACAACCACGACCCUCUUUGCCUGCCGGAAAGUAUUUGGUUACACUUUUAGCAACGAGAAAGAAGUCAUCGAUUACGUCACAAUCAUGGUUCCUCUAAUUUGCCUGUCUGUCAUACUAGACAGUAUGCACGGGGUCCUUACAGGUCAGUUGCCUUAUCUUCUGCCGAUAGUAUUACAGGAUUAAGCAUUGUUCUAAAGAAUAACUUCAUUCGUGUUUGGAUCUAAUGUUAUAUGUUUUUUGAACCGCUAAAUCAGGUAUUGCUAGAGGAACUGGGUGGCAGCACAUAGGGGCUUACAUCAACCUUGGAGCAUAUUAUCUUUGUGGAAUCCCCGUUGCUAUCGCGUUGGCUUUCUGGGUUCAGCUUAGAGGAAGGGGCCUUUGGAUUGGCAUACAAGUUGGUGCUUUUGUGCAAGUCAGUCUGCUCGCUUUAGUAACAUGUUGUACAAAUUGGGAAAAGCAGGUUAAAUCCUCGACCCUAACUCGAUCUUCUCCGCAUUCAUUUUCAAAAUUCUCUAUUUGGUUGCCAAGAAGUCGGGACGAAAGAUGAAGAACAUUUUCUCUUACGAGUACAACGAUAUGUUCUUUUUCUUCAAACUCCCUACUUGAAAACCAACCACAGACACAACAUUUCAUUAAGCACGACCUCCUUUCAUGUGGUUUCGAGGAUAUUAAUGUUGGUCUUUUUAUGUUUCAGGCAAGUAAGGCAAGGGAGAGGAUAUUUGACAGAAGCCCCCUGGAAGUUAAUGCCUUGUGUGACAAGGCAGAGAGUAAUUAGUUUUGAUUAGCACAUUUCUCUCUAUCGCGGGAUUAAGGAGAAAGCAUUAGCUUUAUCCAUUCUUCAUGCACCGAAAUUUUUUGUAAUAAGACAUUCGAAUAUGUUUGACACAUAUUGGCUUGUGACAUUCUGUCUUGACUACGAUCAAGUGAGAUCUUUCUCGAGUGCAACACAGUGUCCUGAAUCUCAGGAUAGCGUCGCGGUUGCUGCUUAAAAUCUGUAUCAGAAUGCACACGGCAAGUAAGAGCAGCUGAGUUCCGAAUCAGCAAUUUUAUCAUGAUAAAAUAUGUGCGGUUGACAAAAACCCAGCUGAGUUAUGCAAUUUAUCAACAAUAACCGAUACAAAUUCACACAUCCAGUACAAUAUUACUUCUUUCUCAACCCCUAUAUCGAAAGUUAAUGUGUACAACAUGAUUUUUGUCUUUGUAUUUUUUUUCAUUGCAAAUCAGCCUUACAAUAUUUGCUCUGUUUUUCUUGCUGUCAUAUUGGCUGUAUACUACCACUCUUUGCAUACAGAAAUGUAAACUUUGGGCCUCCGAAUGUCAGAACUUUCUCUUCAUCUCUUCAUGUAUAUAUUACCUGUUGUGCCUUGGCCCGUUCGUUAGUGCGGAAACGAGAUUCAAAUUACAACCUCACCAAAAUCACACUCAGUUGAACAGAAUAAAAUACAAGAAAUAAAGACACCGAGAAAUUUACGAGGUUCCCGAAGAGAUAUUGCUCUUCACUAUGAGAAUAACAGUACAAGUACACAUGAGUUAAAUCAACAUAACCCAAUCCCGAAUCCCUUGCACACCCACUCAUAGAAUUUUCCCAAGAGCCUCACUUUACCCCAAGAGUUCUUUCACUAGAAUACUUUUCACUCUAACUCUCUUUUUCUCUCACCCGUGCCCAUGCUUUCCCAUGGGAGAGCCAAAUGCUCUCCCCCUUGGAUGCUCUCUGAUGCUUACCCUCUCACUCGGCAAGCCCUUUCAUCCUUCGGCAAAUCCUUCCACUUAUAACAACAAAAGAAAACCACCUUUGAAAAGGCCACAAAUCAAGGGCUAGACAUGAUGAUGUCUCCCUUUUUCUUUGUCCAUUUCUUUAACCAAAAGUAGAUGUCUCCCUUUUCCUUUGUUCCUUUCUUUAGCCGAAAGUAGCUAGCACUCCACAUGGUUGAGAUGAAAUUGUUGCCAACUCAUAAUUAUAUGAGCCAAUCACAACAUUACCCAAAUCGAAAUCCCCAGUAUCCGUAGGGUGAUCAUCAUCAGCACCUGAGGCGGCCGCGGCUAUUGAGUUCCACAGCAGAAGACACCACCAUGGAAGACAGCCUGCUAUUGCCAAAUACAGUAGAGAAUGCAACAAAGAAGUAGUGGUUGUCUAACAUGGGUUUUUUUUUUUUUUUUUUUUUUUUUUUCAAAGUGAAGAGGUUGGGAUGCAUCGCAGGAUCCAUGGGUGCUCUGGUUCGAUCACUAGACUAGCAAUAUUGAUGCAUUCUAAGAAGAGGGUUUGUUCGAAGCCGGAUGCGACAGGACGAAGAAAAUUAUUAAAUUUGCAUCACCGAGACAAUCCACCGCUUAUAGAAUUAUUUUAUCACCAUUCACCAACCUUUUUGCAAGGCAAUUUACUAAAAUAGUAAGCGUAACCAGCUAUAUACCCGCAUAUGGAUGAGGACGAGGAUCCUAGAAUCCUCACAUUUUAUCUGUUUAUCGUACAUCGUAGAGUCAACUUUCGUUAAAUAUUAUUUGUGUUUAAACUUAAAAAUAAAUUUAAAAAUAAUUUUUAACUGCACAUUAUGCGAUGAACGAAUAGGAUGUGAAACUCUUUAAUAUCCUUACAAAAAAAUCCGGAUGAAAUUCAAAUAUCUGUACACAUUCAUAUGAGUGCCUUGCACGUCAUGUGUUGAUUACACACCAAUCGUUGCAGGAAAGAAUCUCUUUCGUGUAGAGAGCUCACGGCUGAAUCGAACGCGUGGAUUCUCAUCUCGUUGCCCAAAAUACCAUGUGACUCUUGAAACUUCCAAAUCUUCACGUAUCAAAAGACAAUUCGAUACGAAAACGCCCAGUUGCCAACGCGGAGAGAGGAUCCUGAGAUUUUCUAAUUAUAUAUAUUUAUCGUAUAUCGUGCGAUUAAUUUUUAUCAGAUACUAUUUAUAUUUAAUUUUAAAUAAAAAAAUAUACAAUAACUUCUAACGGUAUGAUAUAGGAUAAACGAAUGUGAUUUAAGGAUUCUCAAAAUCCUCAUAAAGAAAUCCGAUGAAAAACCUCUUGGCCAAGGCAAUCAAUUGGACAGUAAUUACAUUGUUUUUUUCGUCAAGGUAAUAAUUAGUCCUUACCAUCAAACAAAUUUUUUCAUCAAAGUAAUAAUUAUGUCCAACCAUCAAAUAAUAAUAACAAAUAAUAUAAUUAGAGAAAGAGAAUGCUACUUUCUGUCAACACCAUUUAACGUCAAUUUUCAUAUUAAUUUUAUAAAAUAAUGUGCUAAAAUAUGAGAAGAUAGAGAGUCCAUGGAAAAUUCCGUUUUUGAGAUAAUUUCUCUAUAUAUUAUGAUUGAGUGGAGAAUGUAUAGAGUUGUAACGUUGUAGUUAGCAUGGAGAAGAUUUUGUUGAUAAAAGAUGAGGGAGGAGAAGGAGAAGGUCUUGUGAGGAGGAGACAAUGCGGUGCGUUUGGAGGGGAAGUGAAGCGGUUGGGGUACAUAGCAGCGCCGAUGGUGGCGGUGAAUUUGUCACAGUACUUUUUGCAAAUAAUUUCAAUUAUGAUGGUCGGUCAUCUGGGCCAGCUCUCUCUUUCGAGCACCGCCAUUGCCAUCUCCUUCUGCGCCGUCUCCGGCUUCAGUCUUCUCGUAAGUCCCCUUCCUUUUUUUUUUUCCCUUUAUUUUAGCCAACUGGAUCAUCUCAUUUAGGGCACGUUUGUUUGACAGGAUUAGCAAGGCUUGGACUGGACAGGACUAUAGUCCUGUGUUUGGUGUGCAACCGGAUUAGCUUUAAUGAGCUUAAGCCGGACUCGGUCGGACUAAAGACCUCCUUAGGUGGUCUUCGCGAGCAACCCCAAAACCCAGCGGAUUCGUAAGCCAGAGCAAACCGAGAGAGUUUCUGCCUUCCCUUCGUCCCUUCGUCCCUUCCUCCUGUCUUCCCUCGUCCUCAUCUCUAGGUUCCCUCUCAUUUUCGUUGCCGUGCUCUCUCAUCUUCUUCCUCCUCAUCCUCCUCUGAGCGCCUUCCUGUCUCUGCAUCUGCUCGCCUCAUCUGAGUUGUACGGUAAACUUCGAUUCUUCUAUUAAUUGCAUGUAUUUGUGUUGUAGAAGGUAAUUUUACUGAGUUUUAUGUGAUUUGAUUGUUUUGGGUUUGAUAAUUUUUGAAUCAUAGAGAUAUGCACUUGAAUAAAUUAGGGUUUUGAUAUUUAGGUGAAAUUGAAAUUAGGAUUUGGGCUUUUCAUAAGAUGAGAUGGAACUUGGGAAUUUAGGAUGUCAAUGUUGUAAAACUUGGAAGUCCUACCCAUAUGUUGUUUUCGAUUUUUAAAAAUUGGGGUUUCAACAAUGGGAGUACUUUGUGCUUGUGUGUGUGUGUCUGCGUGUGUGUGUGUCUCUGUGUGUGUGUAAUGUAUGUAGUGUGUGUGUAGUGUAUGUAGUGUGUGUAUGUAUGUACUGUGUUUGCAGUGUGUAUGUAUGCAGGGUGUAUGCAGUGUGUGUGUACUUGCAGGGUGUGUGUGUAGUGUAUGCAGUGUGUGUGUGUAGUGUAUGUAGUGUAGUGUGUGUGUGUAGUGUAUGUAUGUAUGUACUGUGUUUGCAGUGUGUAUGUAUGCAGUGUGUGUGUGUGUAGUGUAUGUAGUGUGUGUGUAGUGUAUGUAGUGUGUGUGUAGUGUAGUGUUUGCAGUGUGUAUGUAUGCAGUGUGUGUGUGUAGUGUGUUUGCAGUGUGUAUGUAUGCAGGGGUAUGCAGUGUGUGUGUACUUGCAGGGUGUGUGUGUAGUGUAUGCAGUGUGUGUGUGUAGUGUAUGUAGUGUGUGUGUGUGUAGUGUAUGUAGUGUGUGUAUGUAUGUACUGUGUUUGCAGUGUGUAUGUAUGCAGUGUGUGUGUGUAGUGUAUGUAGUGUGUGUGUAUAUGUGUAGUGUUUGCAGUGUGUAUGUAUGCAUAAUGUGUGUGUAGUGUGUUUGCAGUGUGUAUGUAUGCAUAAUGUGUGUGUAGUGUGUUUGCAGUGUGUAUGUAUGCAGGGUGUAUGCAGUGUGUGUGUACUUGCAGGGUGUGUGUGUAGUGUAUGCAGUGUGUGUGUGUAGUGUAUGUAGUGUGUGUAUGUAUGUACUGUGUUUGCAGUGUAUGUAUGCAGUGUGUGUGUGUAGUGUAUGUAGUGUGUGUAUGUAUGUACUGUGUUUGCAGUGUGUAUGUAUGCAGUGUGUGUGUGUAGUGUAUGUAGUGUGUGUAUGUAUGUACUGUGUUUGCAGUGUGUAUGUAUAUGCAGUGUGUGUGUGUAUGCACUGUGUGUGUGCAGUGUGUGCAGUGUGUGUGUGUAUGUGCAGUGUGUGUGUGUGUGUGUGUGUGUGUAUGUAUGUAUAUGCAGUGUGUGUGUGUAUGCACUGUGUGUGUGCAGUGUGUGUGUGCAGUGUGUGUGUGUAUGUGCAGUGUGUGUGUGUGUGUGUAUGUAUGCAGUAUGUAUGCAGUGUGUGUAUGUAUGCAGUGUGCAGUGUGUGUGCAGUGUGUGUGUGUAUGCAGUGUGUGUGUGAGUGUGUAUGCAGUGUGUGUAUGUGUGUAUGUAUGCGGUAUGUAUGCAGUGUGUGUGUGUGUGUGUGCAGUGUGUGUGUGUGUGUGCAGCGUGUGUAUGAGUAUGUAUGCAGUGUGUGUGUGUGUAGUGUAUGUAUGCAGUGUGUGUGUGUGUAGUGUAUGUAUGCAGUGUGUGUGUGUGCAGUGUGUGUAUGAGUAUGAGUAUGUAUGUAUGCAGUGUGUGCAGUGUGUGUAUGAGUAUGAGUAUGUAUGCAGUGUGUGUGUAUGCAGUGUGUGUGUGAGUGUGUAUGCAGUGUGUGUGUGUAUGUAUGCGGUAUGUAUGCAGUGUGUGUGUGUGUGCAGUGUGUGUGUGUGCAGUGUGUGUAUGAGUAUGUAUGCAGUGUGUGUGUGUGUGUGUAGUGUAUGUAUGCAGUGUGUGUGUGUGUGCAGUGUGUGUAUGAGUAUGAGUAUGUAUGUAUGCAGUGUGUGCAGUGUGUGUAUGAGUAUGAGUAUGUAUGCAGUGUGUGUGUGUGUAUGCAGUGUGUGUGUAUGUAUGUAUGCAGUGUGUGUGUGUGUGUGCAGUGUGUGUGUGUGUGUAUGUAUGCAGUAUGUAUGCAGUGUGCAGUGUGUGUGUGCAGUGUGUGUGUGUAUGCAGUGUGUGUGUGUGUGUGCGCGUGUGUGUGUGUGUGAGUAUAAAAACAGAGUGUGUGUGUGAAGGUAAGAGUGUGUUGCACUCUGUCCCCGUGUGUGUGUGUGUGUGACUGUGCAGUGUGUGAGUGUGAGUGUUCAAGGUACUGCAGAUCAUACUGACAUAGCUAAUGAACUUGAAGCAAUGGGUCUCUCUCCUAUGGAUCAAAUUGAUGCAUUGUCUCUUAUUUUGGAUAAACCAAAAAAUGUGGGAGUGUUCAGGGCAAUCAAACCGGAACUCAAGAAAGUGUUCGUCCAAAGGCUUUUAAGCGACAACGCAAGCGGAUGAGGAUUUUGGCUAAUGUUAACAUGGAUGUAUUUUAUUAACGUUAACAUGGAUGUAUUUUAUUAAUCAUACAAUCUUAUGUUAUGACUUAUAACUUAGCUUUGCACUAGUAUUUUGGCUUAUGUUAACUAGCCAUUUUGUAAAUUAUGGAGAUCUAUUUUGGCUAAUGUUAACUAAUGUUAACUAGGAUUUUUCUAAAUUAUGGAGAUCUUAUGUACUUGUAUUUGUUGAAGUUGCAUGUAUUGGCCACUAUUAUUUUUCUUCUGUUGGGUGAUAGAGUUUAAAUCAAGCUACAUUUGCAAAUUAAACCCAAUUCUAUUAGCAGGUAAUAGAAACAAAACAAUUGUCAAUUUUUUUUAAGAUUCAUAAUAUACAUGGUAAAAAUAUGCUCCAAUUAACCCAUAUAAUGAGAUUUGUAGCUUUACUCUAUUACACAAUGGCAAAAAUUUGUAGUCCUAGUCUAAGCAAACACAAAUCUGGUGAACAGUACUGUUUUUCUUAUCCUGCUUCUUAGUCCGAGACUGCACCAAACGCUUCACUAAGUUAGUCCAGCUUAGUCCAGUCUAAGCCAGUCCAGCUUAGUCCCGGCAGCUAGUCCAGUCCGAGACAGUCCGGCGCAACAAACGCACCGUUAGGGUUGUUUGGGAUUGCUUGUAUAGGAAGCACUUAUGGUUAAAAGUGUUUCUGCUAUAAGUGCUUUAUUAUGCAAGUGUCAAAUUUUUUAUAAGUUUCGAGUGGUUUUGUAGAAAAAUUCUAAUAGUUUUUUAAUAAACAUUCGAGUUAUGCUUCUCAGGUUAGUACUUUUACAACCCAUAAACAUAGUUAGAAGUGCUUUUACUUGUCAAAAAACACUUCUAGUAGCAAUCUCAAACAUGCCCUUAUACUCUCGUUUGAUAUAAAAUUUGGCGAGUGUUUGUGUUUAGUGAAGUACGCACAAAAUAAAACCGAUUAUAAACUUUAAUCGAAAAUUGAACUGAACGACACCAAAUAAACAGUAGCGGGGUAUUGAACCAUUGUUUCUAUAUGACUUAUUAUAUAUAGUGGCCUACAAAUUCCCGAUUCUCUUUCAGAAUGCCAACUUUUGCAAGUGUGUGUGUGUAUUAGGAGAAACUUACUGACACAUGGGAGCCAUUGUGGUCGUAUCUCAAGCCAAUAACGCAUUACCAUAUGUGUUAACCUUUCUACAUGGUAAUUUGUGAUUGUCUUAAAAUGCCGUCACGAAAGCAUUAUCCCUGUUGCCUGUAAAUUCUUCUAGUUGUGCAUUACCUCAGGCUGAAAAUGAUCAAAGCUAUACCAGUCUUUAAGAACUCGAUGAAGUUUUCUGAUUUGAACGUGUCAAACAGUUUGGAAUGGCAAGUGCACUGGAAACUCUCUCUGGUCAAGCAUAUGGAGCUCAACAAUAUAAACAACUAGGACUUCAAAUAAACACUGCCAUUUUCUCCCUAUUCCUAGUUUGUCUCCCUCUGUCUCUUGUGUGGAUCUACAUGGGAAACAUACUGGUUUUCUUGGGACAAGACCCUCAAAUAUCCCAUGGAGCCGGUAAGUUUGCGAGGAUGCUCUUACCCGCUCUCUUCGCUUACGCAGCUCUUCAGCCUCUUUGUAAAUACCUUCAGACGCAAAGCUUGAUCAUUCCCUUGCUUGUGAGCUCUUUUGCCUGUCUGUGUUUCCACAUUCCGUUUUGUUGGCUUAUGGUGUUCAAGUCUGGACAAGGACACCUUGGGGCAGCAUUGGCCAUCGGUACGUCCUAUUGGUUAAAUGUGAUUCUACUCUUACUGUACGUUAAGUACUCUGCUGCCUGUGCAAGUACUCGGGUUCCAAUUUCUCUUGAGCUGUUUCGAGGCAUUGGAGAAUUCUUGCGCUUUGCAGUUCCGUCUGCUGUAAUGAUUUGGUAAUAAAACCUCCUUCUUUCUAGUGUGUAAAGAUUUCCUAGUUUUAUUUUCUAGCGUUAGUCCUCAUAAUGUGAUUCGCGUACAAUGAUUACAGCCUCGAAUGGUGGUCGUUUGAGCUCCUUACCUUGCUGGCUGGUUUUCUACCAAAUCCGGAGCUUGAAACUUCGGUUUUAUCUGUCUGGUAUGUUGAUAUUUCAUGCGAAUUUCCUUGAACGAGUGCAGUUUAUUCAUCAAGUAAAUAAAAUGUGUUACAUUUCUGAACAGUUUGGCAACCAUCUCAUCGCUGUAUACAAUACCAGAAUCACUUGGUGCAGCAGUAAGGUUUGUACUUUGUACCAAGGCACAUAUGAAUACUGAAUAGCGAACAUAUACCGAUCUCUUUUGCGAUUCUUAAUUUGGUGUACUGAUAAUUUGUUUCUUAUAUGGGGGGUGUUAUAGCACUAGGGUUUCAAAUGAAUUAGGAGCCGGGAACCCCCAAGCAGCGCGAUUAGCUGUUGGUGCUGUUAUGUUUCUUACAGUCUCCGAGGCCGUUCUUAUAAGCACAACUGUCUUUGCCACCCGCUCUAUUUUUGGCUACAUUUUCAGCAAUGACAAGGAAGUUGUGGACUAUGUCACUUCCAUGGCUCCUCUGAUUUGCCUAGCAGUUAUAUCCAACAGCUUACAUGGCGUUCUUUCUGGUUAGUUCUAUUAAUUUCUUCCACAUUUCUGCUUAUGCAUCUUCAAUGUUGUAAUUUCUAUGCAGCUCAAAGCAUUUUUUUCGUAACGUAUUUAAAUUCAAAUGAUCAGGUAUUGCUAGGGGAUGUGGGUGGCAGGACUUGGCAAUGUAUGUCAACCUUGGCGCGUACUAUCUGUUUGGGAUUCCGGUUGCAGCCACAUUGUGCUUCUGGUUAGAUUUAAGAGGAAAGGGGCUCUGGAUUGGAAUACAAGUCGGUUCAUUUCUGCAGGCAGCUCUUUACUCUGUCAUAACAGGUUGUACAAACUGGGAAGAAAAGGUAAAUUCAAAAGAGAAAAGGAAGACAUUUUGUGAUCUUAAAAAGGACUGUAUCGACGUCGAAUAUUUAAAUUUGGAAUUCACUGUUUGUGAUUUCUUCUUCACAAAUUUAUGUGAUUCUUUUUCUUGAUUUCUCCUUGGUUGUCUUUGAUAUUGCAGGCAAGUAAGGCAAGGGAGAGGAUAUUUUUGGAAAGUUCUUUAGUAGGAUAGCGGCAUUGUCAGGCAUGAUAACACAAUCAUGACGGUUUGACCUAAAUAUGAUUCAUAUGUAAAGACGCAAUUUUGUGAAAUUUGGGUAACAUCGCAAAUAUGGGUGUAGCGACAUUAGUCACAAUUCAUACUUUAAAGUAGAAUAUCCUUUACAUAAAAGAAAUCACAAAUAACUAUGGUUUAGUAUGUUGACAAAUGUAAAGUCUUACGUCAGAAACAUAUAUAAAAGAGCAAACCAAAGAGAUCGACAAAUGAUCUUUCUAACUAUGGGAGGAAAAUUAAGUCUUAAAACACAAAACUGACCCAACUAAAUAGCUCAAAACUUUGACAAAUCGUCUCUCUCUGACUCUACUGAUGCUCUAUCUCAAUCGUUACAUGACUGAUAUUAUACCCUCGCUUGACGUAGUCUAUAACCUUUUUCAGUACCAUUUCAGCAUUAGCAUCCGGCUUAACGAUAAUAUGGCAAGCCAUUAGCACCUUUCCAACAGUUAUCGCCCAGAUGUGCAGUUCUUGGAUGUCAACUACCUCAUCCAUCCCACAGAGAUCUUUCUCAAUCUUCGUGGCAUCAAUCUCUCUGGGAGUGCUCUCCAUCAGAACCUCCAAAAUGUUCCUCAACAUCGGGAUUGUUGUCGAGAAAAUCAUUACUGAAAAUACAAGGGUGCAUAUCAGAUCGACAAUCUUCCACGGGCUUGUACCAUAUAAUUGCUCCAGCAAUCAUUGCUCCGAUACUCUGAAUGGAAUCUCCGAGUACAUGAAGAUAAGCCCCCUGCACAUUGAUGUUUUGUUGCUUCGGUUUCUUUUCACCUUCAGAGCUAUGCUUGAGUAGAGGUACCGUGACAUCAACUAUAUGAUGGUGUUUGUCACCGUGAUUGCAGUGCACCUCAUGAUGAUGAGAGUGAUGCGUAGUCACAGUAGUCCCAUGGUUAUGUGUCUCAUUGUGAUCCUCAUGAUGAUCGUGAUGAUCACCAUGUCCGUGUCCAUGAUCAUGACACAAUAAGUGCCAUGCUAAUGUUAACCACCAAACCAAACGCAGAAUCAAGAAACAUUAGAGGGCCCUGAACUUCACCUGCACUAAUGGAUAAGCCUUGCAAUGGCUUCAUAAACAAAGAAAUUGCAAAUGCUGAUGAGCUGCAUCGGCGAGAAUGGCAAGACUGUUGGCUUUGAAACCCCCAACAACUUCCACGCUCAUGAAAACUAAACAUAGUGCAACCACUAUCAUAAGCCUGCGCAGGGAUGCCGAGCGUUCCUGUGCAUCUUUGGAACUAGUUUUAGCAUCUGAGAAUCCGCACGGUCCAUCCCGACAAAUCAAGCUCCCACUCAACCUCGUUUCUAUAGCCUGAACAUCCACACUUACACGCUCAUGUUCGGAAAUUUGUGGUUCCAUCUCUUGAAUGCACUGCCGUGCUGUGCGGGAAAGCUACAAGAUAGUGGUGGUGGUGCUCAGAUUUCUCUGAAUAUUAUUGUGAGGAAAGCUUGUUGCUUGUAACGUGAUAUAUAUAUAUAUACACACACAUUCAAAGUUCAAAGAUAUAUUAGAGAAAAUCUCUUUCUUCUUGGGAUGGGUUUUAUUUCCUAUUUCCUUUAGGUUUAAGAGGAGAGGGAAUGUUAGGCAGUGAUGAUUAUACCAAAAAGGAAAAGAAAAAAAGAAAAAAAAAAGAGGAAAGGGGAUGUUUUCUUACUUUCCUAUAUUUUGGAAAAUAAAAAUAGAAACAAAAAUGUUGUAAAAUUGUGAGAAUGAAUGCCCACAUGCUUUAAGCGAGAAAGAUUUGAGAAUAGUAGUGUAAUUGUUGUUAUGUGAUGUUUUUAAAAGGGCAAUAGUAGUGCAAACGGUAUGAUAUUUUGCACCAUCUUCUCUCCUGUCCCUAGCAAAAGUUAUCGUUAUCAAUUUAAUUUUUGCCUAUUUAUAACAAAAAAAACAAAAAUAAAAGCUCAUUACCAUAACUUUAUACAAAGAGGAGACGUCGUCGUUUAGCUGAAUUGGCUGUUAAUCGCGUUUACCCAAUUGGCACUUGGCGGCAGAAGAUAUUUCAGCUUCACAAAACCUCGAAAAACCUCUGAAAACUUUGAGAACCCGCUGCCGCAGCUGCAAUUCCUUCCGUCGAACGCCGAGCGAUGGGCCGAGCCGAAAGAGAGCAACUGACUCGAACUCUCAACCACCACCUCAACACCGUCCACGAGACCUUCCAGGUUCAAUCCCACUCUCUCUAGAAAUUCAAUUUUUCCUUUUUUUUUUUUUUUUUUAAUAUUAUUAUUAUUUUAAACAAAAUUUGGAUUGGAUGAAAUCAGGUGUUGGAUCAAACCGCACCUUCAACGCUUGAGAAGGUGAGCUGGGCGGAGGUGAUAAAGAUGGGCGAUCAAGUCUACAAACAAGCUACCAUUUGUAAGCCCCCUUGCUUUUAUUUUAUAUUUUUAUUAAUAAUUUUAGUCAUCUGUGUCCACCACUCAUACCUUGCUAUGUUAAUUCGAAACCGUGUUCAUUCGAAUUGCAAAUCUGGAAAAUUUGUUGAAGGAAUUCUGAUUUGAGCUUUCUGGACUUUACAAAUAUGUUUCUUUUAACUUAACAAAAUUUCCAUUUUCCCCAAUGUGCCUUGGGUGACUGUAUUCGGAGAAAAUGGCGCGACGGAGAUCUUACUUUUAUGGUUUUUUUGUCUAUGUUUCGAUUUGCAAUUCCGUCGUAUAGUUUGUUCUUCUCCUUUGCUGCGCGAUGCCUGAUGCUCAAGUGACUAAGUGUGGCUUGAUAAUGCAGUGGGAAUGCUUUGGACCGGAGGAGAAACGCCGCAAGUUAGAGCACUUGAAGAAAACAUGGUUUCCUACUUCAAUACCCUGCAAGGUUUUCUUCUGCUUUCGCAUGGGAGUACAGUCGGUGCAGGGCCUACGCUGGCUUCUUGUGUCCAUACGUCUGUAAGGCAAGUUGUCGACACCAGUUUUAAGCUGUGGAAGGAAUCUAUCUCUUUGUAUGGUAAUCUCUCUCUCUCUCUCUCUCUCUCUCUCUCUCUACUCCAAACAAGGCAAUAUUUGUGUAGCAUUAUUUCUUGGUCACUCCAUGCCUGUAUUUUUGUUGAACACGUUACACGAACACACAUGGUCCUUGGUGUAUGACUUCGAAAUGACCGUGAACAUCACCUUCUAGAGUUAGCUUUUGUGUAGGACAUUGACAUAAUAUUCCGGAGGCUAAUACUGUUUAAUAACCAUUAGAGCCUAUGUGAUUGCAUAUUAUGAGUUGGAAGUGCAACUAUCUUGGCUAAAGAUUUGACAACUACCAUGGCUAGUAGGAACCUUGUCUUCACUUGGAAUGUACAAUUGCAGGAGCACGGAAUAAUGACGGGAAACUCUCAAUUCCACAAUGGGUCGGUGCAGUAUGGGAAGCCUGUUCUGCUCUUAAAAUGACACCUGCCACAAAUAUUACAGCAAUUGGGCGAGCAAUGACAAAGGUUGCAGUUUCGGUGAAAGAUGUUCUUCGUGAGAUGAAUGAGCUUAAGCCAGCUUCCUCAGACCCGACUGAUGAAUCCUCUAUUGAGCCUUCUACUGAAGCAGAGAUUGAACCCGAUGAUGAUGAAAUUUUAAGUGACGGUGAUCUGGGCAAUGACUUGUCCCCUGAAGAGAUGAGAGUUUCCCAGUUGGCAAUUGCCGUUGUGUCAGAGGCUCUUGUAGUGAUAAAGGAACUAAUUCGCACCAUCAGUGGUUUGCUUAAACUGGAAAACUCCAAUGGCAGCGGUAAUCUUGUGGAAUCCUUGGAGAAAUUGUUGAAAAUGUGUGAAAAAUGAAUGAAAUCGGAAUACAAAUAGAGCGAGAGCUUGGAGCUUGUUUAUACCCCCCGCAAGAGGUUCCCGCUAUCAAGGCAGCAUCAGAGAAAAUCUCCAGUUUUGUUGAUGAUAUACAAUCUGAAUUACAGAAUCUUACAGGAAAUCUGGAAGCUUUUUGUCAAGCAUGCGAUUGUUUGAAGAGUUCACUGAGACAGCUCGAAUCUGCAGCAGCCUCACCUAGUAUUGUUGAUUUAGAAACCAGUGUGCAGAAUAUUGAUAUGAACUGUCAGUCGUGAGAGAGAUGAAAUUGAUUUUGCAGAGCUUUGUAAGUCCUUUUGUUUUCGAGAAGAAAAUGGUUCUUGUUUCAACAUUUGUAUGCAACACUGAACAAAAUUUCAGAUAAAUGGAUAUGGGGGGUUAUUCACCCUCGUUCCGUAGAUAAGAUUUAUGUUACAUCAUGUUGCAAAUGUACAACAUUCUUACAAAUCCUGAGUAUGUACGAUCCUGCGAACAAACUUCAUGCGUUUAAUCGGGUUCACCGGCCAGUAAGCUUAACCACCCAGGCACCCCCCAAGUAAAGACCGAGGAGGGGUGCUGCCAGAAGGACCUGAGUGAGUGGAUCCGUUGACGGUGUAACCACAGCAGCUGCCACAACGGCACCAACCACAACAUACCUCCAAAUUGACAGCAUUUGGUCUCCAGAUACUAGACCGACUUGUCCCAGGAGAAAUUGUAUAACCGGAACCUAGAUAUGAAGGAAAAAUUGUUAAAACCUUAACCUAGAAUAAGAUGAAAGGUAAUUUGUUAACAGAGCUUCUACUGAGAUCCACUUCGAUGUAUGCAUUUUACGCGCACAAACCCACAGUAACUUCCCUGUUAUAUUUGAGAGGAGAGCGUUACCUGGAACGACAAGCCUGUGCUGAACAUGAGAACAAGUACGAACUCAAAGUAUUGAUCAAUGGACCAUAAAGAUUCCACAACACCUUCUGCAUACGUGACAAAGAAGUUCAAGGCUGCGGGUGUCAGCACCAUAUAAGAGAAGGUGAUACCAGCGUAGAAAAGAACCGAUGAGCCUAAAACAAUUGGCCCCAGAAAUUUUCUCUCGUCUCUCGUUAAUCCUGGAAGAACAAAGGCUAUAAGCUCAUACAGAAUGAUGGGGCUCCCUAAGAGAAGGCCGCAAUAUCCUGAUACCUGCAGUAAACAAUCCAAAGAACUUUCUUGUUACAGUGAUUUACUUCCGAAAUAACCAUUCCGACUGAGAUUAUUAUGGGAAACACUAAUCAUAAAGUCCCUACAACGCUCCAUUACACUUCCGCGCUAGCUAGCCAGGCUGAUUUGCAUACUUCCAGAAAACAAAAUCUUAAAAACGGCAAUCAUUUCAAAGACCGGAUAGAUAUUCACCGAGUCUAACCUUUAUGGUAGUAAAGAAAAACUCGCCGGGAGCUAGCUGCAGGAACUUUACACCUUGUUCUUUAACUGGAGCUUCGAGAAAUACUAUAAGGUCUUUCGAAUAUGCAAAGCACCCCACCAUAGAAACUCCAACCGCUACAACUGAUAUAAAAAUUCGCUGACGCAGCUCUUCCAGAUGAUCAAAUAUGGUCAUCUCUUUAUCAUCCGGGAGGAGCUCUUGACUUGGAUACAAAAAAUUGUAAAUUGAACUUCCUCCAUCGUCUUCCUUUGCACCACCAACCAAAUCUAUAUUGUACAUCAAAACCGCGAUGUCAAACUUCUAAACUGAAGACAUUAGCACCUACUUCCUCAAGGCAAGAUCUAAAUUGUGAUUAGAGAAAGUAAAUUCACAUGUAGCUAAAGAAACUCAGCUUCUUUUCUGUAGUAGGAAAAGCAAUUUCUUCCACUCAAUCAAAAGCACUUCUAACUACACAAGGCAGAAAAACUCAAAAGUGAAGCGCUUUCUAGCGGUGCUUCUUCACGAAGCACUUCCAAUUGCUUUUCCAAGAAACACUUGGAUUUUUAAUAAAAUUUCAAUGUGUUUCUAAUAAAAGUGCUUCUAGCAAAAGUGCAUCCUGCCAGUAAAAUGCUCACCGGGAUUAAUUACAAAUUACUUCUUGAAUCAGUAACAAACAAUUAUAUACUUAACGGACAUUACAGAGCUCCCGAAUCAGGUAUAGUUUGCUUCUAAACAUACUAAAAUUAUUCAGAUUAGCAAACAAUCAAAAGCACUAGAAUUACCAGUAGAAGGCCUCUCCUCGACGGCGGACCCAACCCCAACCCCAACCCCAGGCUCAGCGCCAGACUCCUGCUGCUUCUCUCUCAAAUCGUCAUUAACAGCGCAGCAAACGACGUCGCCGCGGAGGCUCCUCCGGCUCCGCAGACCACUGACCUCCGGUCCCGGCCUCCUGGAGUGAUGGACUCGAACGGAACCCCGCUGAUUUCUGAUUGGUCCGCGCCGGUCGAAGCAGCUGUGGGUGUGAUUCCGGAUGAAGUUCAAGUUGGAAAUGGAAGCAAAGGUGGUGCUUCCCAUCUCUCCUCCAACACUUCCAACCGCAAGUUCGCUUCUUCUUCUUCCUCUGGUUCUUCUUGUUUGUACUCGCUUUCCUUUUAUAUCAAAAACUGAACGACGUUUGAAUAUGAAUGACUGGUUCUUCUUUCUUCAGCGCAGAACGAUAUAUUGGAAUCGCAGCCAAUGGCGCAUGGUAGCUAGUUCCCUAUUUGUUUUCUACUGUGCGCCGGUGAAGUAGAAUGGGCCUUAUAAACACUCUCUCGGUUUCAAUUUCAGCCCACCAAAAAGGUCCAGUUCGGCCCAUGGUUAACUUCGGCCUUCGGUUUCCUUCCGCCCUUUCCCUCUCGUAUCACCUCUCUCUGCGACCUCGCUUCGCAAAAUGGCGCGGGAAAAUCCGGCGGAGAAAGCCCUAAGUCUGCUCCGAAGUCGGCUCUGCGGCCCUAAUUUCGUCUUCAGAACUCUCUCUCUCUCACUCCGAUGACUCAAACUACAGGUCCCUAAUUUUCUUCAAAUCACACUCUUCAACCCUAAUUCAUUUUUUUAAGGAAAAAUUAGUAUCCGGUCCCUAGUUCUUACUUCAUUAACUAAGACCUUAUUAGUUUUCAAAUUUUGAUUCAAGUCCCUAACAUUAAUGUGAUAAUAAAUUUACAUGUUUAUUAUAUAAUUUUUUAAUAUAAAAAUUAGUAAUUAAUUUAGAGUUUAAUACUCACACCUCUAUUAAACUUUUAAUUAAUUUUCAAUUCAAACAUUUUCAAAAUAAUAAAAAAUUAAAUUAAAUUAAAUUUGUACCUAUUAGUUAUAUAUAUAUAUAUAUAUAUAUAUAUAUAUAUAAAGAUUCUCAAUUUUUUUAAUCUUAAAUGUACCCAUUCAUAUAAUUUUUCAAUUUUUUUAAUUAUCAAUGUACCCAUUCUCAUAUAUAUCAAUUUGUUAUAUGUAAAAUGUACCCUUUUUAAUAUAAAAUCCAUUCAAAUUUUUUAAUCCAUGUUUAAACUUAUAUGGGUACAUUCUUUUUCAUUGAUUUGAGAAUGUAUCCAUGUUUUGGGUACAAUAACUUUUUUUGUUAAUUUUGGUUAAUGUACCCAUACAUAUAUGUAUACACACAAUAUAAUAGAGAGUAUAAUUUAUAUUUUAUUAUUUUUAAUCCCAUAAAUUAUGGGUUUUAUUUAAAAUCUCAUUAAUAUAAACAAUUACAAAUUUCAAUUUUUAAUUUUUAAUUUAAAAAAUAUAGUAACUUACAUUAUUACAUUAAUGUCAGGGACUUCAAUCAAAAACUAAAAACUAGCAAUUCAAUCAAAGAAUAUUGAUAGCUCCAAAGUAUCCUUUUUUUUUAAAAUCAAAAUUGGGGCUUUUUGUCCUUGAUUUUCUCAUAUUUAUUGUUUUUGCAGCAAGUUGAAAUUUUUAGUUUCGAGUUCGAUCACCGCGGCCUGCAACAGCUCCAUUUUGCUUCUGGGUCCCCGUGGUUCUGGAAAAACUGCUGUAUGCCCCCAAAUUUUCUAUUGUGAUUUCUCUUCAGUCCUCUUAUAAUUGUAGUAUACAGUUGAUUUUCUUACUCUACUCGUGUUUUUAGAUGUUGGAGCUUGUGCUCAGUGAUUUAUUACAAGAAUUUCCUGAUACGGUUUCAGUGGUAUGCUUGCAUUUUUCACUUCCCUUCGUAAUAAUUUCUUUGAUUUUUUUCGAUUUUUUUCUGGGUUUAAUGUUUAUAUGCAGUUUAAUUUGGAAUGGACAUUGUGCUGCAGAUUAGGUUGAGUGGCCUUUUACAUAGCAGUGACAACUGCGCGUUCAAGGUUGAUUCGUGGCGGGGUUUAAAUUGUGAUGAAUCAUUCAGGAAUCUUAGUAACAUUAUUAUGUUUUUCCUUUUAUUUGAUACGGUUGUUGGUUAUUCAGGAAAUCGCUAGGCAGCUAUGCAUGGAGCAUCAGUUGGUGUUCUCAAGAAUGGUAACGUGCAUAGUUUUAUCGGAAACCACUUUUGUAGCAUUGUACUUCAGAAAACUUAUGGUUUCUUGAUGUGGUGAUCAUUUUUGUAGGCAUCGUUUGAUGAUAACUCCCAGUUUAUGAUAGCCAUGUUAAGGUGCGCAUAAAGUUUUCUUGUUGCGAUUCGUAUGCUUUGGAAGUUCUGACAGACUUGUUUCUCUGCUAAUUAGGGAGUGUGGAUUAGCACAUAAAACAAUUAUCUUUGUGCUCGAUGAGUUUGACUUGUUUGCUCUUGUAAGACCUCAUCAUCCUUUGCCCAUUUGUUUUUCAUUUCUGCAGCCUUGCUCUUUGACAUUCAUGAUUUAUCGUUGGCUGCUUCUUUCUCUGAAACCCGUGAAGAUUUGUGAAAAGCAAUUAAUUAGCAAGUAAAAUUUUUUGGAUCUUAUCUGGGGCUGCAAAGUUACACUGGAAGCUGUAGGAAAGUUUAUCCUUUCAUAAGGAGCAAUGUAAGCUUUUAUUGAAGAAAAAGAAUGACAAUGCAAGAUGAAGUAAAUAACCUAGAGAAAUAUAUCUUCUACUUUGUCUGUCUACUGGAGCUUUCAUGAAAAUGGUUUGCUUGGUCAGACAGCUCAAACGAGCAUAUUUGUUUUCUCAAAAUUGACUGGUUGGGUGCUUUUGGUUGAAGUGUCAAGUUGUCAACUAUAAAUAUUAAGACAAUACAUCAUUUGGUAUGUGAAUAUUAUGCAAUAUAUAAGGUGUAAGAAGUGUACGACUUACAAGCUAAACAUAUACAUACCUUAAAGAGGUUCUUGUUGGAUUUAUAGAAUAAAAAUAAACAACCAGUAACUCUAAUAUUUCUCUCCAUUUAUGGUUCCUUACAGGGAAAACAGAGAUUGCUUUAUAGUUUACUUGAUGCAAUGCAGUCAGUAACAUCUCAAGCUGUUGUCAUUGGUGUGAGUUUGCGACUGGUAUGUUGGUUUAAAGUUGCUCCUAUUUUUCCCUUGUUAACUUUUGUUGCCAUAACUGUGAUGUGAAUGCCUAGAUAUAAAUUGUUAGCAGAAAUGUGGAUUAGUUGCAUCAAAGUUGAGAAGACUUUCUCAUGCAGGAUGCUGAUAUGCUUUUGGACAAAAGAGUAAGAUCUCGGUUUUCACAUAGAAAGCCUUUGUUUCUUCCUCCUGCUUAUGAAGACAUACAACGGUAAAGUUACUAGCUUAUGACUUGGGUGCUACUAUUGCUUCUUCCCAAAUAUGGACACUUCCAGUAUAAUAAUUGCGUUUCUGAUUUUCUUAAUUUCCAAACGAGGCAGAUUGUUGGAGCACAUUUUACUAUUGCCAACAGACUCGAGCUUUCCUCCAGACUAUGCUAUUGUAUUCAAUGCAAAACUUAAAGUAUCGUUUCCUCACUAUGUCUUUUAAUGAGAUAAUAUUGAAUAUUCAUGUUAACAAAAAACAAAAAUUCAUUUUACAGUAUUCUACCAGAUAAAAUCGUUCAGCUUGUAAAGUCCUUGACAUUUUACAGACUAUAUUGGCUGACGAGAGAUUUAAAGAGAUUGUUAAUACAUACCUGAAUCUUGAUUCAACUGUCAAACAUUUGUUGAGAUAUCUGUAAGUUUUUCUUUUGAAUCUGAAAGAAUUGAAUGAUCCUAUUGCUUUUCGUAUUCAUCAUUCAUAAUAUACUGAAUUUACUGGUCGUGGACCAUGGUACUAGAUUCCCCGCUGUUUCUGAUAUGGAUUUAGAAUCUGGAAUGCUGUCGCUAGAAAACUUCAAAACCACACUUUCUAAUAUCCAAUUGCAACCAAAGUUGGAAUGCAUAAAAGGUCUGAGAAUUUUUAUCUUGCUUUGUUGGACUUCAUCGUCUGUAUUCUUUGUUCCUCCCAUAUCCAUCAUUUCUGCCCGCCAAAAACUUGUGUAUAUAACCACAAGGGAAGGAAAGCAAUGACCUCUUGUUUCCUGUCUUCUUCUUCGCUCUUUUUUUCUUAUGAAAAUCAAUGGUUUCAUGCAGAUUGCUCAGUAUUGGAACUUUACAUUCUGGUAUGCAUGAAGAGGUUGGAAGUUAAAGAGUAGAACUCUUAUAUUUCAACGCUGUAAUGAAAGGUGAAUGUCUGAGUCUUCCUUUCCAAGUCCUAUUAAGUUUUCACUUACAUGUUUGGCAUAUGUGGCAGAGUACAAAAGCAUACAUGAUUCCGUCAAGACUGCUUACCAUUUCGCAAGAAAUGUUUGCUUACGGGUAUGCAUAGCUCCUUGCUAAAAUUGUGUCAUAACAAAUCUUAGUGCGAUGUUCCAUCUUAGCUGAAUAUUUUCACUUUUCACUUCGGCAGGGAUUCGAACACCUCCUACAACGUGAGCUAAUUGGAUUUGCAGACAACAGAGGACAGAAUCAACCUGUUGAAUUCAAUCCUGUUAAACUUUUAAUCUCAUCCCCUGAUGUAAUGAACUACAUCAGGGGAUGAAAUCAUACAGAUCAUGUCCCGUAAGUCACUACAAGAUUUUUUUCUUUUCUUUUUUCCUGCAUAUGCAGUGGAUAAAAUGCACCAUAAGAUCAACUGAAACCGAUCAUACGAAGAAUUUAAUCAUAAUAUAGGAAAAGGUUUAGCAUGUAUCAGAACUUUAUGUUAGGUUUUAUGUCAUCGUCAUCGAUCUUAAUGUCGAAGAUAACGUGUAGCAAACCACUUGGAUUUCAUGAGCUGUUGGUUUGUGUUGUUGACAGGCAAUUCUUCAACAAUUAAUGGAUCGUCAAAAGUAGAGUGCAUGGCGCAAGGGAGCUGCUUCAUGUCUAUCAUAAUCGCAAGGCGUGUAAUCUCUACCAUUGUUUCACAUCAAACACAAACAAGCAAGACUUGCUUUGUUUUCUUUCUUUUUUCUGUUUUUUUUUUUUUUGUCAAACAAUAUAUUUUGUUAGAUUAACCACGAAAGAAUUCGAAUCCAUGUCGUCAUGCAAAGACUCAACUUGUUUUGAUGCCGACAUGCAAGACUUGCUUUUUAAUACCCAUUUUUUGGAGGAGCUAUCGAUGUAGGGCAUACUACAACCAUACAAUCUUAUGGUGUAUAUUAAGGGUGCGUGUACCUCAGUGUAUCACAUCACAUGCAAACAAUCAUCUUUUCAACUCGUUGAAUUUGACGGUAUCACUUUUACCUUUUAGAGUGUAGAAUGUUUAUCACCGUCAGAUGUGUGACAUAUAUGAUCAAAUAAAGGAGGACACUUGGGGGUUAGUUUGUCGUAAUUCAUAAAAUUCUGAAUAGUACAAUUACAGUAUUUGUUUGGUGAGGUAUAAAUACAAUCUAAUGAGAUGUUACUGAUAUUCUCAGUCACCUCGUUUUAUUUUUUGAGCCUUCAUUCUCAUCAUUAGGUUGCGUGGUAGUCUUAUUUUCGAUUACCGGUGUUAAAAUAUGAGUCUUUAACUAAAGUAGUUUCAUAAAAUAAUUGGAUAACAUGGUUCGUCUAAACAAUUAUGAAUUUAGUUGAUUUUAAAUCGAGUUAAUUUUUGAAGUGUGAAAUAUAAAAUAAACUGAUUUGUUUUUGUUUUUUAAGUCAAGCGAUAUCGUUAGUAAGUUAAAUGUUAGAUUAGUCACCGACAAGAUUUAAACCUACGUUAUUAUGUAAAGACCAAUACUUUUCACCACUGUAGUAAAAGACCACUUGCAAAAUAAAUAAAUGGAUUAUUAAAUAACGAAAGUGUGUAAAUGAGAAGUUGCUAACAUUCCCUUUGCAUGUGGAUAACGGAAAGGGAUCCUCUUCGGAUCCCUUCCACUAAGGUCUUGGGAUCCAUCAAUUCGAAUUCUUAAAAUUUGAUCAAAUAGCUACAAAUAAGGACCUACGUUAAAAGUUAUAAAUUUUUUAACUGUUUAAUCAAAGAAACUUAGUGGAAGGGAUCCGGAUCCCCCGUGGAUAACGGGAGAAUCGGUGAAGUGUAAAACCCAACAGUAAACUUGAAAUUCAGAUUACCAAGUCGGCAAGUCCUCUGUUUUGGGUUUGGGCUCGGGUCCGCAAUACACUAGCCACCAUGGCUGCUUCCACCGCUUUCCCCAAGCUCACUUCGAUCUGAGCCGCCCAAUAAACCUCCACCAACGUCGAGCUCACUCAAAACCCAAAACCCAAACCCCCCUCCCCCACCCCCUCUCUCCGAUCCUCCGCCUCCGGAUGAGUCGCCUCUCCACUCAAUGACCCUCUGCGCCAGAGCUUCAAAAGCUUUAGCCGCCACUGCCUCAGCCGUACACCACCGUCCUCUCAAGGUACGCCGUUUCUCCCCCCUCUCUGGGUCUUUCCGCAACUGCUCCUCCACUACUUCCCUACCCACCGCAGCUUUCUCCGAGACUCAAUACCGGGACCUUAUUUUCGACACCAUUGACGAAAAGCCCUGGGCUUUUUGCAACUCCAAGUGGGUCUCCGAUCGUUUCCAAGCUGUUAUUGUCGACCCCGACUUGUUUAUUCGAGUCCUCGUCGAGAUUAGGACCCGACCCAGGAUCGCUCUGAGGUUCUUCCGAUGGGUCGAGGGCCAACCGGGUCUUAAAAGAUCCGAGUUUGCCUUCUGUGUGAUUCUUGAGAUUCUGGCUCACAACAAUUUGAUGAGGCCGGCGUAUUGGGUUAUGGAGAGGGUGAUUAGUGUAAAUAUGCAUGGGAUUGUGGAUAUUUUGAUUAAUGAGUAUAUGUUUUCGAAAGUUUCGUUGAAGCUUCUCGAUCUCUUGUUCUGGGUUUAUACGAAAAAAUUGAUGCUUGAGCAAUGUCUGUCGAUUUUCGAUAAGAUGAUUCGAAACCGGUUGUUGCCGGACGUGAAGAACUGCAAUAGGGUUCUUAGGAUACUUAGAAAUAAACACCUUGUGACUAGAGCUAAAGAGGUUUACAGAAUGAUGGGUGAGGCUGGGAUUAAGCCGACGAUUGUUACCUAUAAUACUAUGUUGGAUUCCUUCUGCAAGGAAGGGGAAGUGCAACAAGCACUUGAACUUUUGUCAGAAAUGCAAAAGAGAGGAUGUUUUCCGAACGAUGUAACGUAUAAUGUGUUGAUCAAUGGGCUGUCAAAGAAAGGGGAGCUGGAGCAGGCCAAGGGACUGAUCAAGGAAAUGAUGAAAGCAGGGUUAAGGAUUACAGCAUUCACUUAUAACCCUUUGAUUUGCGGGUAUUGUAACAAAGGUCUGCUUGAAGAGGCAUUAUCUCUUGAGAAAGAGAUGGUAAUUAAAGGAGCGAAUCCCACCGUGGCUACUUAUAAUUCGUUAAUGUAUGGCCUCUGCAAGUGGGGAAGAAUGACUGAUGCCAGGGAUCAGUUUUCCAAUAUGUUAAAUAGAAAUAUAGUGCCGGAUAUAGUUUCAUACAACACUCUAAUCUACGGGUACUGUAGAUUAGGGAACUUGGGGGAUGCUUUCAUAUUGUUUGAUGAGUUGAGGCAUAGGACUUUCACUCCUACUAUCGUCACCUAUAACACACUUAUGGAUGGCCUUUGCAGAUCUGGAGACUUGGCUGUUGCUGGGCAGCUUAAAAAAGAAAUGACCAAUCAAGGAAUUUGCCCUGAUGUUUUUACAUAUACCAUCUUGGUAAAUGGGUCUUGCAAUGCGGGAAAUUUAUCGAUGGCUAAAGAGUUAUUUGAUGAGAUGUUGCGUAAAGGAGUGGAGCCAGAUCGAUUUGCAUACAAUACUCGAAUAGUGGGGGAAUUGAGGCUUGGUGACCCGUCCAAGGCAUUUAGCAUGCAAGAAGAAAUACAAGCAAGGGGUUUCCCUCCUGAUUUGUUCACAUACAAUAUUUUUGUGAAUGGGAUAUGUAAAUUGGGCAAUUUAGAUGAAGCAUAUACGUUGUUGCAGAAAAUGGUACGUGAUGGUAUUGUUCCAGAUCAUAUAACAUAUACUAGCAUGAUUCAUGCUCACCUGGAAAGUGGCCAGCUCAUGAAGGCGAGAGAGGUGUUCUAUGAGAUGCUAAACAAAGGUUUGUCUCCUUCGGUGAUAACUUACACGGUAUUGAUUCAUGCACAUGCGGCUAAGGGGAGACUAGAACUGGCAUAUAUGUACUUCUCAGAGAUGCAAGAGAAGCGUAUUUGGCCAAAUGUGGUCACCUAUAAUGCUCUGAUAAAUGGUCUCUGUAAAGUGAUGAGAAUGGAUCAGGCUUACGAGUAUUUUACUGAGAUGGAGGAGAAAGGAAUAGCUCCAAAUAAGUAUACAUACACUAUUUUAAUAAAUGAGAACUGCAACAUGGGCAAUUGGAAGGAGGCUUUGAGGUUGUAUAAGCAGAUGCUUGACAGAGUGAUCGAGCCUGAUUCUUGUACACACAGUGCACUUUUUAAGCAUCUAGACAAAGACUUUCAACUGCAUGCAGUUCGAUACCUUGAGAGUUUAAUUUCAAGCUAGUGAAGGAACUGCUCGUUUUUAAGAAUUGAUGAGGCUAUUGGUGGUGUUCAAGGUUUCUCAGCUGAUUAUUCAAAGAGUGGCAUGAGAUAUUAAGAGGGAUUUCUCAACUCUGAGAGAAAGCUAUUGUGUUAAACCACUUGGCAAAUUCUCUUGAGUUAUAGUGCAAGUAAGAUAUCUUCUUUCAAUGUUUGCUUCCGAAUAGCACAUUCUCAAACUUUUAAUAUUCUUCUUGGCUUGACAGCUUUCCUGGUUUAAUGUUACAGGUGACUUGCUAAAUAGGGUUGCUGAUGGUGAUUGGUGAGUUUGGCAAACCUGUAACUUGAAAGGUUGAGUCCAUAUUUACCUCAUUUUUGUGCCGUUUCUAACUUUAGAAGAAUAUACUCGAAACCAGUUGAAUUGGAUUAUUGAUUUUUUUAACUAUCAGAAACCAUUUUUUUCGGAAGAGUCAACAUCCGAGUGUACAGAUAAACUCUCAAGUGUAUCAUAUUGUUCCAAAUAAAAUAUCUGACAAGAUUAUUGGUUCAUUCUUUUGCUCCUUAUUUUGUUUCAUGAGGUAAUAGGGAAGAUCGAAGUGCUGCCAUGUUCUGUAUUGUUGUAACGAAUAUGGGUUUUGUCCAGUUUAAAAUCAGAUGUAUUACUUUUUGUUUUUAAAAUAAGAGUUUCAUUUGGUACUGAGCAGAUAGUGAAAAUUUAACUUCUUCUAGUUUAUCCAAUUCAGCUUGAAAUAUCGGUUAGUGUUCCUGUAGUGUUAUCUUGGACAGCCUUCCUGUAACCAUUAUUUGUUUCUCAGCCAGUCUCAAAUGAUCUUGUUCACGCUUCAUCUUCUGUGAGCAUCACAGCCUCCGUUGAUCUUCUUUCAAAAAAACCCAAUGGAUGCUGUGAUGUUGUUGGAGGUUUUACGCACAUCAUGUUUGCCCUGUCUUUUCGAUUAUUUCCGACAUGCACAAUAUGUGUCAAGUAGAACUUCAACUUGAAACAAAACAGCCACCACUUUUGGUUACCUUUCCGGGCAGAAAUGAAUACAGGAUUGUUGGUCUGCAUCUCCUUGGUUGCUGCACUUGUAUGCAGCGUGAACAAGAUGUUGGCAAAGGUACAUGAUGCCGAAGAGUUUCACUUGGCACACACUCACUUUCUAAUUUAUAAUCGCCUCUUUUGUUCUUUUUUAUGAGUAUUUUGGUUUAGCAAUGUUGUAUAGAGGAAUGUUGUUUAUAUGCUAAUUGGUUAUUAAUUAUGCACUUAACGUUGAACAGCAACGUGCGAAAAGUCCAAAUUCGAAUCGUUCAAUCCGAUGCCUAUCGUAAUCCGACAAGGGGAAAGCGAUUGGAUAAUCGACAUGGUAAACACCGGUCGUGCUUAGGUUUACUAAUUGUUUCAACUGAAGAGUGUUUAGUUUAAGAGAAGUAGUUCUUGUCUCACUAUGUUUGACGGACACAUUUCAUAACUCUCCCUCUGGAUUUGCUUGUUUGUUGCCUUUUGUAUGCGGAGCAUCCAUCACUAACCUCCAGUUCCUCUCUCCUGCUACUUCAGCCGUUUCUUGACUGCGCUGAUGUAGAAAUCCCGACGUUGGCCGACGCCGCCAGCGGGUUAGAUUUGUCCGGCACUUGGAUGCAGAAGAAUACUGAUGAGAGUUUGAGUUCACGCUGUAACUUGGCACUGGAGAAUACUUGGACCCCAAGAAUUUACUUCAGGAUGCAGUGGAAAAUUGACCACUGCUCGUCUUGUGGUAAUUCACCUUCUGCGAGGCAAUUCCAUAUUUGUAGAUGACGAGAUGUGUUGCCAAUAAAAAAUGAGUACAUUAAUACUUAUUUAAUAAUCCAAUCAUCAGUCACGUCAUAUAGUUUACAAAAUAUAAAUGAUCUCCCUAAUAUUAGCCUUUGUACUAAACAUAUGCAAUUUUGUUUGAUUUUUGUAAUUAGACGCUUCUUGGACUUCAAAGUCCAUAUACAACACCCUGCCCGUCUUAUGAUGCUGAUCAUAUCAGAUUGUGGAAAAUGGCUACAAUACUCAUAAGUUUUACGUUUACGUACUUUCACCAUCUGACGUCAAAUAUGAUAUUGGAUUGGCAUUUGACCGUACAAAUGGUACAAGUUUGUGGUAUUUGCAAGCAAAUUGUGAAAUAAUUUCCCCGCACGCCUAUUUCCUUCUUUGCACACUUCCUUUUUAGGCGUCAUCUAGGGAAUCCUUUCCACCAAAUCACUUAAUAUGGACCCUUGAAAUUUAAUCAAACGGUUAAAGUUAUUAUAACUUUUAAAGGGACCUCCUGUUUUUAACCGUUUGAUCAAAUUUCAAAAGUCCGGAUUGAUUGAUUGGGUAGAUUUGCUAGAAGGGAUCUGUAGAUGAUCCAUUUCCAUCAUCUAGAAUUAUUUCAAAGUAAAAUCAAUGGCCAAAAAUAAAAUGACGGUGUGCAAAGAAUAUCAGUGUGGGGUCAGAUAUAGAAGUGGGCCUCUCAAAGUGUAGAAAAAAACAAAGGAAUACUAAUGAAAAUGGUUUGAAAACUUUGAAUUUUACAAUAAGGACAAAAUAAAGGGUAAAAUGAAUAGUAUCAAGAUUGACUUUUUAGUGUAAAAAUGUGGUUUUUCAUUAAAGUGAACAAUAUCGGGAGUUUUUCAUUAAAGUUCCAAAAAAAACAAAGGUAACUAAAAACAAGAAUCAAACCUAUUGGUUAAUGUUGGUUUAGGUUACAGAAAGUUUAGAAAGAAUUGUUUGUUUUUAUUAAUAAUGCAUUAAAAUCAAAGCAUGAUUAACCGGAGACUACGAAUAUCAAAUCCUACAUUAAUGCAAGCCACUCGCUCCUGUCAUCCCUUAAAACCACCACAUCCAGCUCACUUUGUAUUUACACGGUUUUUUUGUGUUGAAUUUGAAACAUAGGGUAUGUAAAUUAUAAUGGGCAAAACUUGUUUGAUAUGGUUUUUGAAAUGAUUAAAAGUGUUUUAUGACGUUAUAAGUACCUCUAACUUCGUAUAGCAAAAAAAGUUAAAACUGCUUAUUGGGUCAUAAAAGUGUUUUAUGAAGACAUACCGAGUGUCUUUAAAAAUUAAAAUUUAAUGUGUUUCUAAUUAAAACGCUUAUAACAAAAAGACACUUGUGUGUUUCUUAUAAAAGCAAUUCAAAAUGAGCUAGCAUCAAACUCAAAAUAAAAUAUAUCGUGUUCACGCAUUCAUGUGGGUGGAACAUCAAUCCCAUUUAACCAAGUAGAAAUAAAACACUUAUGUUUGCAUUUUCAAUCUACCCAAGGGAUUGUCAAGUGGAAAGAAAGCAAAGGUUUGGAAAUCCUAACCCAAGCUUGAACUCUCAUGGUUACAUUUUUUGGACCACCAGCUUUACUUUGGCGUGUUGUUUGACCCGAAGGCUGAAAAUAUGUUGCCAUUCCAUGUAAGAUCGGAGUUGCAUGAUUAUAAAAAUUAGUCGAUCAUCGAUGUGUAGCAGGAUACUUCCUACAUUAAAAAACAUAAAAUAAGACAAAAUAAAAACAUGAGAAGAACAAAAGAAAAGUGUAUGACAAAGCAUUUAUACCCUAACCCUUUUGUCUGCUUUGUGAAAUCGAUCAAACCUAUGUGUUGUUUAGCACUCAAAAUUUUGGGGAAUCAAAAACUUAACCUUCAACAAAUACAAGGCAGAUCUUUGAGAUGUACAAUUACGACUCCUAAUAACAAGGUUUCCUUCCUCUUUUUUUCCUCUCACUUUUCCUAACUUUUUCCGUCCACAAACAAUUAUUUAAACAUCUCCUUCCCCAUUUCCAAAUUUCAACUUUUCUUCCAACCAAAACAAAAAAAAUAAAAAAUAAAGAAUAAAAAAUUUAUGCCAUGGCCACCUUCUCUCAUCCUGCCUACUUCCCUGUAAGGCGUUCUUCCUGCAGAGAUAGCUAUGAACCCAUUAAGCAAAACCUGAGCAAUAUCAAGAUCGAUGGAACUUCCAAGAAACCCGCAAACAAAGUUGAAAUGGCCGGUGUGGCAACCACUUCCAUUUCCAUGACUUUAUUAGGAAAUGGCUACGUGACUGAGCAGCAAGCCCGACAGAACAUUCCGACAACCAAGCAGUCCGUUGAUCAUUUCCGACAAGGGUUCAGCAUCGAAGGUGGCGUGGGGUACAGGCAGAGGGUUGUCAUCAGGUCCUAUGAGGUCGGGCCGGAUAAAACUGCGACACUUGAGAGCGUCCUCAAUCUGCUGCAGGUGAUAUAAUUAAUCAAUCCAAGUUAUGUGAAGAUUGUGUUGCAUUGUUUGGAAAGUACGGAUUUUUUUUUUUCCUCCGGUAUGAUGCAGGAAACUGCAUUGAAUCAUGUGUGGAUGUCUGGACUCCUGAGUGAUGGAUUUGGAGCAACACAUGAAAUGAUGAGGAAUGAUCUUAUUUGGGUUGUGUCCAGAAUGCAAGUUCAAGUUGACCAGUAUCCAAUUUGGUAUGUCCAAUCAUCGCCUUUUCUUUUGAUUCGAGCAAUAUUCUAAACUAAUCUAACGCAAACCCGGAGUUGUUCUCUUUUUGCUAUAAUCUUUAAAGCUAGGAAGUAGGACUCUUUGCAGCAUGAAACAAAUUUCAAGCAAAAAAAUGUGACAAUCACAUCCUGCAGGGGAGAGGUACUGGAAAUCGACACUUGGGUUCAAGCAUCAGGGAAGAAUGGUAUGAAGCGAGACUGGUUGAUCCGAAGCCAAGCCACGGGCCAUGUUUUCGCUCGUGCGACCAGGUGUUGUAGAAUUUCUUCAAACUUCCAAUCACUUUCAUGAUCUCCUCACGAAUGAUUUAUUUCAGUCUUGUCAUUGAUUAAUCAUGGUUGUACAAAACGUGGAACAGCACCUGGGUGAUGAUGAACCGGAAAACUAGGCGUCUUUCGAAAAUGCCAGAGGGAGUGAGGGGUGAGAUUGCACCUUGGUUCAUAGAGAAGCAGGCAAUCACAGACGAUGUCCCUGAGAAAAUCAUCAAGUUGGACAACAACGCUAAGUAUGUCAACAGCGAUCUGAAGGUAAUGUUUCGUGUCCAAAUUACUCCAACGUCUCAAAGCUACAUCCAUAUACAGUUAAGAGAAUCGAGAAUAUGCUGAAUAUGGAAUUUCUUAUUACUUGGUAGCCCAAGAGAAGUGAUUUGGACAUGAACCGCCAUGUCAACAAUGUCAAGUAUGUAAAAUGGAUGCUUGAGGUAAAUAUUGUCUUUCUCCCCUCUCUAAUUAAAGGCAUGUUUGGCACUGCUUCUGAAAGGGUUAAAAGCGUUUUCUAACCAUGUUUGACAGAAAAACUUUAAGUGCUUCCUACAGAAGUAGUUCUAAACGGUCACUUGUGUUUUCUUACCAUAAUUAAAUCUUAAUUAACUGACUUAAUCUUUGUUUUCGACAGACGAUUCCUGACGAUAUUUUGGAGUCUCACCAACUGACUGGAAUCACACUAGAAUACAGAAGGGAAUGUGGGAGUUCAGAUAUAGUUCAAUCGCUUUGCAAUCCAGAAGAUGGAAUGUUCAUAGAGAGACCGAAACAAGAGAAUCAAAGUUUGCUGGAUGGAUUUUCUGGCAGCUGGAAUUCUUGAGAACGGCGGGUUUUUGGGCUCCUUUGAGAAGCAACAAUUGAGAUAUACACAUCUCCUCCAAACAAAUGGGAACCUUAAAGAUGAAGAGAUUGUUCGAGGACGGACUGUUUGGAAGAAAAAACCAGAGCCCUCCCCAUUUGCUUCUAUGUAGAAAAUUUGAAUUAGAAAAAGGGGUUUAGAAGCUUGUCCUCUAAGAAAUGGGAUGGCCUGAAUACUAAAGGGCCUGUUGUGGAUAAGGGUAACAGAAAACAAGCAACAUCAUGGAUUCUAAGGAGAGUGAAGAAGAAAAAAAAAAGACAAAAACAGAGCCAAGGAUCUUUCAUUGUUUCCGAUCUUGCUAGCUUCAUCGAGGCUGAAUGACAAUCCUAAUAAACGAGCCAGAUGUGUAAAUGACGAGUCAUCGAAAAAAGGUAACAGAAAACCAGCAGCAUCAUGGAUUCUACGGAGAGAGAAAUAAAUGUAAUGUGUGGUCAUGAAAGUAAGAACGUUCACCUUAAGCCUAACAGGGGUACAUUGAUUUUGAUUAAAAGGAGUCGUUUCAUUUCAUUUGGGUCUGUAAUUUGUAUAGCCAUUGUCGUAAUACUAUUUGGUAAAGAAUAAUUGUAAUUUGUAAAUUCCAUCAUUGAAAUUGUUUACAGAACAUACUUUUACGGUUACCAUUUUCAAUUUCCACUCGAGGGACGGGCUAGUUAAGAGAAUUCUCAAGCCGGAUAUAACCAAUAUGGAGUCGGGUGGUAAAAAAUAUAAAUCUUCCAUAAUAUAGGCUUUUUAUAUUAGCACCCUACAAAAUGUUGAAUGCACCCCACAUUAAAAUUUAAUAUUAAAUGACAUAUUUACCUCACUAUGCAAUAACAAUUUUAACCUUAUUAGGUUUAAAAAAAAAAUUCUAAAUACACCCUGUUUAUGCAUAAAAUCAGUGAGGACUUUGGUACAACAGAAAGUGUUAAGUUUGUGACCUUCGCUAGAUUGCUCCGGUCACUAGUGUGGAUAAGUAUGUAAAUGGAUAGAGACAGGGAAGCAAACACAAGAUGUACGUGGUUCACCCAGAUUGGCUACGUCCACGGAGUAGAGGAGUUCUCAUUAAUUGUGAAGGGUUUACAGAAGUACAUAGGUUCAAGCUCUUCUUUAGUGAGUACUAGUGAAUGAUUUAGCAUUCAGGACAAGAUCCUCGAUGUUUCUCUUCCCGGAAAGCUUGGCGAAGAGGCCAGGCCAGUAAGACUCGACAGGGACAUUGGCAACUUUCACCAAGGUUGCAAUCUUCUCGGCAGUGACGGGGAUGCCUUCGUCAUGGAGGAUCAGAGUGGCGUAGGUGCAAGCAAGCUCUGAAGCCGACAUCGUUUUUUAUCGAACUGAGGGAGAUAAGGUAUAUAAGAUUGAGGGCUCUCUUUUGCUAAGGUUUUCUGGAAAAGAUUGAGGGCUCUCUUUUGCUAAGGUUUUCUGGAAAAGCCCAAAGAUGGAGGUUUUGGGUUCUUGCAGAUUCACGGCGAGGGUGAAAAUUGAGAGAGAAUUGACACAACUUUUCGUAUCGAUUCCCACAGAUGGCGCCAAAUGUUGAUGCACAAAACCGGAGGUCUUGGAACAACGUAAAUCCGACCGUGAAUCUGCAAGAAAGUAAAUAACACAAGAUCUAUCGUGGUUCACCCCAAGGUUUGGGCUACGUCCACACUGAUUAUUGUAUUUCUGAGGGAGAAAGAGCUUUGAAUAUGAGAGUGAGAGCUUUGAGAGAGCUUAGAGCUUAGGGGAUGUGAGGAGGCUUUUAAGGCUUAGGGUUUGUGAGGGUGAGAGGGCCCUUUUAUAGAAUAAGGGCUCCUCCCCUUUUUACAUAUUUGUCUCUUUAUUACAUAAUUAUAUUUGAAUUCCCCGAGUAUUUAUACGAGGUCUAAAUACGGAGGCCCUAAGUAUGGUAUAAACAGUAGUCCCCCAAGUCUUCAAUCAAGAGAGUCUUUUGGUUGGAGACUUGAAAUUCAGUCCAUGUGUGGGCCGAAAUAACUAGAUGUCGUCUAGAACUGAUACUCGAUAUGAGGCAGUGCCCAAUCUGAAAUGAUUCUCAACUAGAAGUAGCACAUGUUGCGAGGCUGCUCUACUUGUGUUGCCUUGGUUGGCUCGGCUUGUGGCGUUGAAAGUGAGGGAGUCCCUUUUAUAGAAUAAGGGCUCGCUCUUCAAUACAUAAAUUAUGGGCUAGAGUUAAUGCUCGCGGCGAGGCGGUUGCUCAGUAGGCGGCGAUGUUCUCUAAUGAUGGUGAGGGAGUCCCUUUUAUAGAAUAUCGUUCCUCAAUACAUAAAUGAUGGGUUAUGAGUGAUGUUCACAGCGAGGUGGUUGCUCAACAUACGGUAAUGCUCUCUAAUGAUGGUGAAGGAGUCCCUUUUAUAAAAUAAGGGAUCGCUCCUCAGUACAUGAAUAAUGGACUAUGUCCUCCAAGUAUUUUUCAUGAGGCCUAGUUAAGGCCCAAUAUAUGGUACAUAGUGUAGUCCCCCAAGUCUUCGGUCAAUAGAGUCUGUUGGCUGGAGACUUCAAAUUGAAUCCAUGUAUGGGCCGAAGUGGCGGUUGUUCGGAGGCGGUAUUUGUAUACCCUGCACUGAAGCUUUAUAGGUGAAGCUUUGCAAGUGAAGCUUUGAAGCUAAAGCUCUAUAAAUGAAGCUUUCAAAGCUGGAGCUUUGUAAAUGAAGCUUUCAAAGCUAGAGCUUUGUAAAUGAAGCUUUUGAAGCUGGAGCUUAGUAAAUGAAGCUUUUAAAGCUAGAGCUUUUGUAAAUGAACCUUUUGAAGAUAGAGCUCUGUAAAUGAAGCUUUUGAAGCUAGAGCUUUUGUAAAUGAAGCUUUUGAAGCUAGAGCUCUAGUUACUUCGACUCACACAUGGACUGAAUUUCAAGUCUCCAGCCAAAAGACUCUCUUGACUGAAGACUUGGGGGACUACUGUUUAUACCAUAAUUAGGGCCUCCGUAUUUAGACCUCGUAUAAAUACUCGGAGGACUCAAAUGUAAUUAUGAAAUAAAGGAAUGGGCAAAUAUGUAAAAAGAGGAUGAGCCCUUAUUCUAUAAAAAGACCUCUCACCCUCACAAACCCUAAGCCUCAGAAGCCUCCUCACAUCCCCUAAGCUCUAAGCUCUCUCAAAGCUUUAAGCUCUCUCAAAACUCUCACUCUCAUAUUCAGAGCUCUCUCUCCCUUAGAAAUACAAUAAUCAGUGUGGACGUAGCCCAAACUUUGGGGUGAACCACGAUACAUCUUGUUUUAUUUACUUUCUUGCAGAUUCACAGUCGGAUUUACGUUGUUCCAAGACCUCCAGUUUUGUGCAUUAACACACCCCAAAUCUCUUUUAGCGUAUUAUUUAUCUUCUCAACUAUCAAAACCCUCUCAUUCUCCAUUGUUGAACAAAACCCUAACCAAUGAAACUACAAACAUGUUGAUUGAGAAAAAUUGUUUUUGAAGAAUGGAACAUGAAAUCGAUGUUUCGGAAGCUUCAUAUGAGGUAAGAAUUCAUAUUUUUCAUUGUUUUAAUCAUUUUGAUGACAUCGAUAAUUAUUUAUCUUGUGUUUGUUACGUUACUUAAACUUCUAUAUUCAUAUUCAUCUUUUAGGAUUCAUAUUAAUCUUGCGUACCCAAUAACAUGAAGCAUAUUAGUGCUAGAGUCAUAUACUAUUACAAAGUAGGUAACCCGCUCGGCCUCAAAUAACGAGUUCAAAGCGCAAUUGUUAGGUGAUAUGGAAGUGAAAAGAAACCUAAAAGCUUGGAGGAAGUGGGGUGUAUAGAAAAUUAAAAAUGGGUGUUAUAAGAUUUGAGAAAUGUGAGAUGUAUGUAUAAAAUAUAAGGUGUAUAUUGAGAAUAUAGGAUGUGGGGGUAUUAUGAGAAAGUAUGUGGGAUGUAUUAAGAUAAUUUUUAAGUGAAAAGUAAAUGUGGGGUGUUUUAAGUGUGGAAUUUAUUUAACAAUUUGUGAGGUGUUAAUAUAAUAAGCCAUAAUAAAUUCAUAACCCAUAAAAAGUAAAUUAUAUAACAAUAAAAAUUAGGAAACUUUAACAAAAAACUCCAAGUACUGUUCAUUUUAACAAAAAAUCACAGUUUUACACUAAAAAGUCAAUCCUGGUAUUACCCUUUAUUUUGUCAUUAUCGUUAAAACUUAAAUUUUCAAGCCUUUUUCAUUAAUUUUCCUUAAAAAUUAAAGAAAUAUAGCAUUACAACAUGAAGAAAUCGGUCGAAAAAGGCUCAUCCUUGAAAAUUUUCUGCCAGGAAUGGGGGCAAACCAGUAAUUUUACGAGCUGCCUAGGAAAUGAAUACAAUUCUCUACUCAAGGAACUGUGAUCCGCUAAUCUAUAAGAAUUAACAAAAAGCUGAUAAAUAUUUACAAUGCCGAUCGAUAUCGAAACCCUUUUGAGACGAAGAAGCAAGUCAAAGAAUGAUGUACACAAAUUGUAAAUUCAUUGCCUCUUUCGCCGUAAACUUUGAUGCAGUUGCCAUGACCAAAUUAUCAAAAAUAUUACGAGGACCGCUCCGGUAGAUGCCCAUAACGUAACAAGCCAAUAUGGCAUUGGCUUAGGAUAUAAUCCUGAUCAAAAGCAACAAAAACAAAUCACGUAGAUUAUUAGCAUCUGACAGUCAAUGGACGAAGAAAUUUCACAAAACAAAGGAACGCGAAGAAAAGGAGGACAUACCAUGUCCAAACUUGAUGCAAAUGAGAAGUUCAAUGAUGCAAAUAGCUACGGAAAGCCAACAAAAUGCCCCAACCUUCUUCGCUGGUUUUCUGCAACGGUAAUUGAGCAAGCGUAAACUACAUCACUACAAAUAAGUAUAUGAUGAAAUGUGGGGGGUGGAUGGGUGUGUGUGUGUGUGUGUGUGUGAGAGAGAGAGAGAGAGAGAGAGAGAGAGAGAGAGAGAGAGAGAGAGAGAGAGUACCGAUCUUGAAGGUAUGAAUUGUACUCGCGAAUUGUCGGAAUUGCAAUUAGCCACCACAGGAUCAACCUAUACACUAUCAAGGGGUUCCGGGGAGGAAUCCAUAAACAGAACUUAAGAAAGAAUGUAUUAAGCUCUACUGUCAUGAAUACAAUGCAAAGAGUGAGGACUUGAAUGAAACGCCAUGGACCAAGCAAGGGAUGCCAUUCGUCCUUGUCCCACUGAGCUGGUGUAAAUUGCCCCAGUGUUCUUUUGACCUGAAACAAUAAAGAUUGCGUCUCCCAAAUCACAAAUUAUAUAAUGAUGCUGAAUGACCCGAAAACCAAUUUCAAAUAAUGUUGUCGAAAUCACAGUAACUAUUUAUUAUGAUUGCAGUGGCUAGAGAAACAUCCCAUGUCAUAUGAUUACUUUCAGUUUAUUAUAACCGCUUCAGUGAAAGGAAAAAAAUAAAAAUCAUCAAGCCAAUUGGCAAAAUUAGCACAUUCAUGGUCAACCAAAAUGUGUAAUUGAAAUUCCAAACAUACUUUUCCAAUAAUAUUCGGCUGACGGCUUAGACCAACCCACUUGUAUGUUUUUCCAUCAAAGUACCUAACCGUAUGCAUUCCUGCCCAGAUACCUGCAAAGCACCCAAUCAGAAAGCUUAGGAGGCUGCAACCAUCAUUUGUAGAUAUACUGAUGUUAGAUACGAUCAAGAACAGUCUGAAUUGUCAACAGGAAGAAGCAUGCUAUUUGCUACAACUUAACAAAAGAAGCACGUUAUAAAGUAAGAGAGUUCUCACCAAACCAGUUGCAGAUCAAAAUGUCAAGAAUGAUACUGUCCCACCAGCAUUCAUUGAAGUUCGGUAACAUAUGGCGGAAGGUAAGCUGAACGUGCCAAAUAAGCUUUCAAUUAAAAUCAAGUAAACCACUCGAGCAUACAUCAAAUUAGGUAUAAGGUCAAGAAACUAACCUCCAUCAGCUCAAAUCCGAUGGAAAGCACCCACAGAAGGGGCUGAUUGCGGAUCAAUAUAGCUUUUCCCCACCACCCAACUAUAUGAGCCACAACAAAUUCAUCAAAAAGUGUUUCCUAGGGAGAAAAGAGAAAGAUAUAUUAUAAGCUGGUAUGUAGAUUGAGAACAUAACGAUACAUGAGAAACAAUUACAAUGGAUGGUGUGAAAGAAGAAAUCAUACAUAAACAUUCUUAAACCUGUUAGUAGGAUUUUCAGGCAAAUAUAUGCGACAAUCAGCACCAUAAGAUUUUUCUGGAAGUUCUGCAUGAAAUCAAGAAAUACAAACAAAGAAUGAAUACCUUGAUCAUGCAGCCUACCCAAGGCAUCCAAAAUAAUUUGAGUAUAAAAUGUUUCCCGAAUCUCAUCCACAUAACAAAUUGAAUAAUAAAGCAUAUCCCUUGUAGCUAAAAUACCAUAUUAAAAGUUUAGAAAAAGGAAUUGCAUGACACAUAAUGAGAUCAGAAAGUUUAAUCUUAGAAACUUAUCAGCUAAAGUUCCAUGUUAAUGGUAUUUGAAAGAAAAAUUUAAACUGCAUUACCAACACCAAGAUCUGGAUGGAGAAACUUCAUAAACUGCCGAGCAUGGUCACGUUUCUGUAAAGCGAGAAACCAAAAAUAACUAUCACAAAACUGAAGACAUUAGAACUUCCAACAAACAAACUUCCAGGUUUUUAUACAUGCAUAUACCAACAUACAUACAUGUAUACACAAACACAGAAAAAUCGCAUAUAUAAUAAUACAAAAAUAACAAUAAUAAAGAGAAAAAUUUACCUGGAAAAGCAAAAAUGUGAGAGAAAUAAGGUAAACAACAGCCAUUCCAUGAACCAAGCGCCAAAUUGCAGGAUGUGGUCUGAUAAGAACCCUGUAUGAAACAUAAUAGAGCAUAAAGCUAACAAUUCCUCACCAGUAUACUACUGUGAAUGCUAGUAGCAAAAGCAGUACUUGCAUAUAGGAAAAACAAACAAGGAAAAGUAAAACCAAACAAACAUUUAUCUCCAUAUAAACACUUUUAUUCCCAUUCAUUACCAAAACAACCAUCCAGUAGAAUAUUAGCAGAACCAUUAUACAACUAGAUCAAUCCAAGAACUUACGUAGACGGGGCUUGCAGCAAGCAAUAAGCAAGAAAAACUGCAAUCAUCGCCCAUACACCCCUGCAGGAAAAGAGUGGGCAUGGGAUUUGUAAAAGGUAAGUAAGAGAACACUGUCACCAAAUGUCAAGAUGAGCUAACCUUUUUACGGAUGUAACAACAUCUCCAGAUGCACUGCUUUCUGGGUCUAGGGCUCCACUUACCCAACUGGUACAUUUAAACAAACAACAAGAUACAGAAACCAAUUAACCAAUUGUGUAAGACGAACAUAGAUCACAAUUGCUUCAAUAAUGCAUAACUGUAUAUGAGACCUAAGGUCUGGGAUGUGGGGGGUAAAUGCUCUACCACUGGAGGCUACAAGCAGUCCCCCCCCCCCCCCCCCCCAAAAACAAAAAAAAACACAAUUAAGAUAGGGGUAAGGCAUGCUAAUUUUUAACCGUUGCUAUAAUCGUAUGUUGUGCGUGAACGAAAAUUCAUCAUGUGAGGGGGUAAAUGCUCUAACACUGGAGGCUACAAGCAGUUCCCCCCCCCCCAAAAAACAAAAAAAACACAAUUAGGGGUAAGGCAUGCUAAUUUUUAACCGUUGCUAUAAUCGUAUGUUGUGCGUGAACGAAAAUUCAUCAAAUAACCAGAGAGGUGCAAUGUUAAACCUAAAAAAUAGAGUACAGAAACAUAAAAUAACUCAAUUACGAUAGAAAAAUAAAUUCUGUAAGCCUAAUAGAGGGACCUAACAGCACCAUGGCAUCACCUAUGUCAGUGGAUAGACAAUUUGACAUGCUAAUGCUAAUGCAAUCACAUAAACUUGAAAUCUAACAAUUCAACUAUUUCUAUUUGACAACUGCAAGAAGAAGAAAAUAAAGGCCAUGAGAAUACUACUCAACAGUGAGAAAAACCAUCUGAUGCCAAUAGCUUUGGCAGGAAUUGUAGUAAAUAAUGCAGAAUGCCAGAAGCAUUUAGUUUGCAAUCCAUAAAAACAAAGGUAAACCUACAAUUGUUAUAGAGAAUCUACUUAGUGGAAGGAGCACUCACAUAAGGAAACAUGCGCCAAUAAGCAGCAUCGAAAUGGUCCGAGGCUUGUAUGCCCAUGCAGUCCAUGGAUCCAGUUCAUCGCCUGUAUUUGACUGACCCAUGUCACCAUUUUCUAGAACAUCCUUUCUCCUCACUCUCCUGUGACCAUUAGGCUCCAUCAGCCUCGAAUACAAAGACGCCAACUUGUUCGCUACACAUGUAACAUUAUUAAGGUUAUUAUAUUUGCAUGAUAAGUACAUUAUUCAUGACCCAAUUUUAAUAAAUAUGCAUGUGGUAGUUCUUAAACACAUAAGCUAUCACAGUAUCACUAAGUUCCACAAUAUCUCAGCUGUAAAAAGAUUUAAGUUUUUUUUUUCUUGAAAAGAACUCAACUUUAAAAAGAACAUGUCAUAUCGAAUCCCCAUCCUCCCGAAUAGGUUCCUAACUCUUAACACAAGAUUACUGCCAUUGAUGUAACAUAAAUUUCCAAGAUAGAAAGAUUAGUGGCGAUUGAUGAAAAUCUAAAGCAAAGGCCAAAAGCGAAAGUUAUUGUCCCGUUUCAUAAAGGCUCCAUUCAAAAUAAGAAUGUGAUUCCGUGUAAUGUUUUGAAUGUUACAAAGCAGAUAUUCGAUUCCCACUGAGUCCUACAUGUUUGGGACACAGAUUUGAGAAAGAAAUGGAAAAUCUAGUCAGACACAAUUUGAUGCAUCUUGCCCUACAUAAAGGUACAGUCCCUACAGGUUGUCCUACAGUUUAAACAUCCAGCACCCUUAUACAGUAACUAUCCUCUUCCACACAAAAUUUCCCCCAUAAAAUUCCACCUAUCCUUACUAGAUAUUUACACAUUCAGCAGCAGAAACUUUCAGAAACAAAAUAUACAACAAUCGCUCAAUUAAUCAAGUAUAUAGACCACUUCCACCUACAAACACCAUCUAAAGUUCAAACACACCCGAUUUGCCCGCAGUUUCAGACUUCCGAGGGUAUUUGAUUUGGACAAGCGAAGAUCUGUUUAUAUCUAAUAUUUCAAACUAAAGCAAGAUCAUCAACAAUUCUUCCCCACUCUUAACCCAUGUGUGCAUAGGGAACAAGAUCCUCAGACCUAAUCCCUACAAUAAGCAUCUAUACUCAAAAUUCUUAACCUAGUUUUGUAACCCCAGUAAACAAAAUAAGUUCUACACAUCCUAGAAUAAACGCAUUAACAAUUCUGCACACUGAAAGGAACUAACUAAGCUUAAUAGUUAACCAAACCGUGCCACCGGAACCUAAAAAAAUCUGAUAAGGUAUACAAGCAGACACACACAUACAUAUACAAGAUCAAAUUUAGCUGCAGACAACAGUAACGAAAAAUACCCAUCAAGCAAUUUUCGAAAUUUACGGUUUCAAAAGCUAUAAAACACUGCUUUGAUCAUGUGCUUAACAAGCAGCAAACACACUCACUAAACGAAAUGCAGAAACACAGAUACUCUGAGCGGAUUUAAACAGAAUAAGUAAAUCGGAUACCAGCUGUUGAAAUCGAAAAUCCCCAUAUCAGCUAACAAGUCAUAUAAUUCGUUAAGUUCGAAUGAACAAAAGCUAUAAAUCAUUGCAAUCGAAAUUUACGGUUUCAAAAGCUAUAAAUCAUUGCAUGUUGGAAAUAAUCAAAGAUUAAGUGUCAGAUUCAACAAAGAAAACAUGGGUUUUUUUAAUAAAUGAAAAUUCGUUCAAGUUCGAAUGAACAAAAGCAUAAAAAACGUAAGAUUAUGCAGAUACAAGAUAAAAACAAAUGAAAAGAACACAGUAAGUGUGUAUAUAUAGUGAUAUAAAAAUACCCAAGUACGUACAUCAGCGUAGAAAGAGUGAAGAGAGAAAGGUCGGUGAAAAAGGCUACGUAUUUGAAGAGGGAGAAGUACUUACGUAGAGAAAUAAAGGGGAGGUGGCCGUACGAAUGGAGGACGAGAAGAUCCUGGCCGUCGGAUCAGAGCUUUUUGGAACUUUGAAUAGACCGAAAGCGUGACCGCACAGAGAGAGAGGGUGUUAAAUUAUGGAGAGGGAGAUAAGUGAUGUACUUAAACAGAAAAAGAUUUGCAUUUAAUCAAUCCAAUCCACGAUGUGCCAAGCUUCUGCAGUGCCAGAGAGAAACAAAAGUGAGAGAUAAGAAAAGGAUCAGUCUUUCUCUCACUCUCUCUCUCUCUCUCCCCUCCUACUCUCUCUCUUCUUUUUCUCACAACACAGAGGAGGUUUUCUCUGCAACAGCGGCGAAAAGACGAUGGGAGAAAACCCAAAAAAAUAAAAAAUCUGGAAAACCGAUAUAUAAAUAUUUAUAUAUUUAUUUUACAGAGGAGAGAGAGAGAGAGUACGACGGUCAAAGGAGAUUCGAAGACGUGUCAGCAGAGAAAAUAAAAGGGGAAGAGAUUUUGAAAAUGUUUUUUUGUUUUUCAGAUGCGGUUGGAUUUUGAGAAGGGGUGUGAUAUCUAGACAUUUUAUUUUACUUUUCACAUAUUUUUUUUAUUUUUGACCGUCGGAUUGGAUGAAUUGAAGAAGAUCAACGGAUAUAAAUUAUCAAAGGGUGUGUGAAAAGUAAAAUAAGGUGUGUGGAUAACACAUCCCAUUGAGAAUUGAUAACUUGAGAGAAAAAGGAUGCGUUAUGCCGAAAGUACCCCUGGGGAUCUUCUUUAAUUGCGGUAUAUUACCAUUGAUGAUCCAUUGAUUUUUUUUUCUUUUUCGUAUGCUAGGGGCUGUUCCUCUAUUCUAUUCGAGAGAUAAUACAAAUAAAUAAUAAAUGCAGUAUUACGCUUCUCAUCAAGCUUUGCUUUAAUUUUGACUCCCUUUAAUAUUUUUUUUUAACGUAUGAUGGAAAUCUUUUUGAUAUUGGCUUUCGAGUUUUGAAUCCUUUAUUCUGAUUACGUUUGAAAAAAUCAAAUGUUCGAAUAAUAUUAUUUAUUUGUUACAUUUUAAUUUUAAGUUAACUCUAAACAGUGUUAGAUUAUAUUGGUGGAUUUAUGUUGCGUCAACAAAAACAUGGCAAUGUCGGAUGUAGCCGUUACUCUUUUGUGGGAGCAUGAAUGGUCAGAAUCUAUCUACACGUGUAGUCAAUUGAUCCUAACAUGUGUGACAUUGAUUGUUGGAUUACAUUGGGAAUUAACUCCAAACAUCGACAAUGCUAAUUUUGAUUGUUUCUAUUUUGUGGGUGUAUGAUCUGCUAGCACGUGUAGUCAAUUGAUUAUGAUAGUCGUUAAGAAAUAUUUGUGACAUUAAUAGUUGAUUACAUUGGGAUCCAACAUUAUACUGGUUUUGGUCGAUCCUAUUUUAUGGAUGCAUGAUUCGUCCGCAAGUGUUCAAUUGACAAAUAGCAUUCAUUUUGAAAACAUUGUGCUUCAACCUUGUAAAUGAAAACAUCAACAACGUUGAUUUUGACGGUUCUUAUUUGCUGAACCUGCAAUUCAUUUGAGUGUAAUGUUAGGAAGACUAAAUUGUAAACAAAAUUGUGUAGACUGAAUGACAUGUGAGUUAGUAAUUGAAUUAUUACUUAAACGUUGAUAAAUGUGCUUAUUUGUAUUGGUGACACAUCAUUUAAUUUGUAAAUUUUAUCUUUAAAUUUAGUCUUUUUCGCAUUACCCUUCACUUAAAUGUAUAAGUGAUUGAUCAUAACACUCGUGAUGGAAACAUUUGACACAUUGGGGGUUGUGUAUAAAUCAAUUGCUUCAAAUAAAACAAUGAAUAAUUAAAACUUUGGACUGAAAUUUGACUAAAAGAAGAUAAGACGAGUAGCACACGGGUUGCUCUCAAUUGCCCAUGUGAUGAUGAGAAGGGCCUCCGGGCCACGACACUGCAAAAGAGUCAUCGACGAGAGAAAGCAGAAGCACUCGUGACUCGUGAUUAAUUGAAUUCACUAGUCGAAUAACCAACACCAUGUAACCAUCUCUCUGAAAACGAAGUCUAGCAGAAACAACAAACUUUAAACCCUUUCGCCACCGGCCUCCAGCUCCUGGUUGGGGCCGGUGGCAGCCACCCUUUCAAUUUUUGUUUUCAUCUUCCUCCCUCUUUCUUUCUCGUACUGCGAUGGUCUCGGUUCCUGACGUGGAUGGAGAUUUAUCCCCAAGCGUUUUGUCCCUCCCCGCAACUGCGAUCACCUCGAUCCCCUUCAUGGAUCGGCGGAGCAACCUGCCACCUACAUGUGGUAUGGACGGAACUUUGUUUCCGGGUUUUGUGCCCAUGUUUCAAGGUCCUAAUCCUUUGAUUUGGGGUUUUUGGGAUUAGAUUUGGGGUUCUUGGGGCUAUGAGCUCAAACAGCUCCAAUACUUUGAAUCUGCUCUCCAAUUCCUCAUACCCGCCAUUGCCUUCCACUCCAGUUUUGGGGGAUUUCAUCUCAUCUCUUGUAUGUUGCUCCUGGUCAGAGACAACUACAUGUUGUCACCCCUACAAAGGUCUGGUAUCUCUUUAUAAUGGUGUUUACACCACCUGACCAUUUUUGUUACAGCUUGGUUCUGGGCAUUCGCUUGCGUUUGUGUUCGUCUGAGGACUGGAUUUGUGGCGUUCAGGAUGGGUUUGGUUCUUCCUGAUCUGCAAGUUGGGCUUCUUUUCACCAACUUUGAAGCAUUGAUGGGUUCUUGUAUUGCACUAUGCGGUGGUAUCUCUCAGUUUUUCUGUUCGCCGGUCGUCUCCAUCUUUUCUGCGGCGGGUGAUCUUCGUUUUAGGGUGGUCAUAUUUUUUAGAAGGGCCACUUUUGUGCCUCUUCGGGUGGACUCUAGCUUUUGGGCCGAGCCACAUCUCUUGUAAUUUUAGGUAUAUUUGAGAACCGUUACUCAUGCGAUGAAUGCAUAAGUGACGUAUUAGUUGUACCUACCUCAAUUAUGGGGAUAUUGUCUUUGUACGGUGUCCGUUUGGACUUUGUUAUAAAAUUCCUCCUUGACCAAAAAGAAAAAUCAAACUACCAAACCCCACUGAAAAGGGUAGCCUUACAUUCUAUCCAUGUGUUAUUAUGUUUGUAUAUAUUUGAAUAAGUUGGUGAAGGAGAUUUGGAUUUAGUGACUAUCUCUUGGUUCAGCAUUUCUGAUUGACAAAAUUUGGUUAUGGUGUGUUUUUGGUCGAGGGUUUGUAAUUUUUAUGUUGCAAUGUCUUGGUCGAAUCGAUCAGUCGGUUGUUUUCUAUACUGUUGUUGCCUUGGUGGCUGUUGGAAAUACGUUUGUGGUGACGGCAGUAGGUGCUGCUUUCUGCACUUGGAAAAUAGAGAUUAGGGUUUUGGUUUUUGUUUGUUUGGUUAUUGGACUGGCUUUUGUGUAUUUGAAUUCUCUUACUGUGUGUUGAGUUAUAUUGUCUUCUUUUGAGUUGGCCUGUAAUAUUUUUUCUCCUUAAUAAAUAUUACUUUUCAAGAGGAAAAAAAAAACCUACUCAGAAAGAAAACGACAAAAAAAAAAUAGAAACCCAUGUGACUUAAAAAAAGAAUGCAUUUUCCAAGAUGUAAGUAGAGACCAUUCGCCGCACGUAAUUAACUUCGAAAAUCCAUCUCCCCACAGUGUUGUGUACAGUCAAAGCAUAUUAUUAACUCUUUAGAACAAGUUGGUGCUUGUUCAAAAGUUGGUCUAGGACUCUAGGUUAGUAGCUGAAGACUGAAGUGGACCACUUGUUUGAGAAUUUGACAACUGAGGGGCCGUUCUAAACUUCUAAACCAUCAAAAGCAUUUUAUAAUACUGAUUAAAAAACACUUAUACUCGUAAACGGUUGUAUUAGAAGGAAAAGACAUGGAUCUUCAAGGAUUUAGGAGGAAUUCUUCUUCAAGAUAUCUGUUUAUGGAACUUCGUGACCGUUAACGAAACCGUUCGUAUUCAAAAAUUAAUAUUUAAAGAUAAUUUCUACAAAAAAGAAAACAAAAAGAUCUUGUAAUCAUUGAAUAGUAUAAAAGUAAAUGUUUGGUAUUGAUAAAAAUAUUAUGAAUCGUCUAUUUAUAUAUUAUAUUUGAUUUACUAAACAACUUUAAUUUCAAUUGAUUGUUUGCACAUAUGAUCUUUAUAUAUUAAUUUUUAAUAUAAACAGUUAUGAUUAUUAGCACGAAGUUCUGUGAAUCGAUCACAAAGUAUCUUGAGGAGAAAAUCCUCCUCAAAUUAAGGAGUUAAGCUUUUUUAUUAUUAAACACUGUUUAAGUGUUUCUUUUUCAAAAAGUGCUUUUAUGACACUAAAAGCAUGUGUUGGUUGCCAUAAAACACUUUGAACCCUACUAUAAGCAUUCACAAACAGACCAUUAGCAAAAGUUCAAGCAUUGCAUAAAGAAUCACUUGUCUCGUGUAGCAAGUAAAUAAUUUUAAGUUUUUUUUAUUAACGUAAUUAGAAACACUUUCAGUUAUGUUUUUAAUCAUUAUGGACGAAACAUGAGAUAAUCCCACAUGCUUUAGGUGAUUUUGUGCGAAAUGAUUAAUGAAAUUAAUCAAGAUUAUGCAUCAAUCAGUGACAAGAUAUUUCAUCAAUACUAAAGUACUUUCUUGGAAUGUUGUGGGGCUACUUGAUUAGUGUGAGUGGAUGUGGUCCGUGUCCAUUGAUUUGAUGAUGAUGAAGAAUCGCGUGGGUUCGGGAUUUCUCUACCGAAUCGAUAAGAGAACGGGAUAAUUGAGAUUAUAAUAAUAAUCAUAAUAUUAUUAUAAUAAUAAUAAUUAGUAGUUGAUGUUCUAUUCGUAACAAAAAGUACGAUAUUCAGUGAUACGAAAAAGAAUACGUACAUAUAGGAGGGUAGGGGUCAUUUAAUAUGGACCUCAAUAAAAAUUGUUGAAAUGUCCCACAUCGACCGUAUCAAUGACAAAAAGAAGAGUUUAAAUAUCAUAAUCCUACUCCAACUAAUACCGACGCAUUUUGUAUUAAAAUCUCACACCUGACUGAUUGAGCAGGUGGCCAAGUGGGGACAGUAUCGGUAUUGUUGGAGUGGGCACAUGGCCCGUCUACCUGAAAUUUAAGAUGGUAUCAGAGCCAGGGAGCGAGCCCGUACCGUAUUGCCAAGUGAUGGGUGGGUCCCCUUGGCCCCGCACGAUGAUGGUGGGUCCCUUGGCUCUACGUGAUUGUCGAUGUGUGGAUCUCUCACGUGUGACCUGCUAAUUGGGUCCCACGUGAGGGGGCGUGUUGAAAUGUCUCAUAUCGACCAUAUCAAUGACAAAAAGAAGAGUUUAAAUACCCUAAUCCCACUCCAACUAAUACCGAGGCCUUUUGUGAUAAAACCUCACACCUGACGGAUUGUGCAUGUGGUAAAGUUGGGGAUAAUAUUGGUGUUGUUAGAAGUGGACCGUAUGACCCGUCUCUCUGAUAUUUCUACAAAAAUUUUGUCAAGAAUUUCAACGUGAUCAAAGAGAAAAAGAACUUUUCAUGCUACCAAAUUACAAAAUUGUACUAUCCUCAAAAGUAAGAUAUGUGAUUGCAUCGGAGUUCCUCAAACCAAAUCAUUUGUUGCUCUAAACCAAAUAAUUUGAUGAUCUAAAAUGACAGUCCCAAUCGUGCCAGCCUAUGAGCGACCUUGUUUGCCUCCCGUCGAGUACGAGAGAGCUUGGUUUGAAUGAAAAUAGGAAGAAUAAUCCAGCUGGUGGUACUGCUACAAAAUAAUACUGCGUUUUUGGGAAUAUUUGCUUUUGAGUUCUUCCACAUCAACUAUGAAACUACAGCGUUUUGGGACAUUUCAUUAUCAAGACAUGGCUCCACCUGUGACUUCGUCCAACCCAUCCCUUUGUUGUACACUACAUACCCCUACAUGGAACAUGGUGCAUGUAUUUCUAUUGUUUUGUUUAUUGAUACGAGAUAUUUGACUUCCGAAUUCCCUUCAAAAUAAUCGAGAUUGUUGACUUCAAAACUUCCUCCACCAGCCCCUUCCUUUGUUGUACGCACCUCCAUCGUACAUGCAUUUCUUUGUUUCGUUUCUUUUCUAUCGAUCAACGACGGAGUGUGUGUAAAAUUUAACUUUAGAACCUCCUCUAACAUGAGGGUAAUUUCAGCAAGGUCACAUGAUUAAGAAACUCUUACACCAGAUGAGAAUGUCAAGUGAUACCAAAAUACAAAAAAAGUCAUAUGCUUUUGCGAGAGUUGUUUCACAAAUGGCGUGAUCGGAUAUUCCUCGACAGUUUUAUACAUCAAACAGUAUCAAGACCUUGUUUAAUAGGCUCCUCCUUUUUCUUAGUAUAUAUUUUUUUCUACCCCAAAAGUUUAGGCUUUGUUAAAUUAACGUCACGGGAUUCACAAACCUGUGAUGUGCGAUCGGACGAAGUGGCCCAAGGUUGUGCUCCCCUUGCACAUAAUCCACCCACGCACUUGCAUUCUUGAUUUGUAUUUUUAUUCGAGUUCAUGAACAUAUAAGGGCCAACGGGGUCCGCCAACCUUACUUCCUUCGACUUCGGUUUGCUACCGGCUCCAACAACCGAACAGCGUAACGACGACGAAUGCGCUCCCUCCUCCCUCACAUGUUUCUAUCGUUACGAAAUUAUCACAUCAAUUUGUUAUGAAAUGAGUGCACGAUGUGAUUGAUGUUUUAAGAAUAAAAUAUUAUAUAUAUAUAUAUAUAUAUACAUAAUUUAACGUGUUACAACAUAAAUAAAAUAUUAAAAUCAGUACAACCGUUGGGGACAUUAUGAUUUGAGACUUCAAGGAGACUUGAGAGCUUCAUUUGGGCAAAAGAAAGAACCAGUCGUUGUCGCCUCUCUAAAUAUUUACCCAAAAAGCAACACGCUUCAUUUUUUAUGUGCCCUAACGUUCUAUAUAUAUAUAUAUAUAUAUAUAUAUAUAUAUAUAUUAUUAUUAUUAUUAUUAUUAUUAUUAUUUUUCUUAGGAACAUGAUGGUCGCAUAGACAAUUUGGACAUGAAAAGGGCAGAGAUUUCCCAGCCUGUCCCAUGCUCGUACCAUAUGGUUCAGAUUUCAUAUUCUUUCAACCUAAUCAAUAACAGCCUAGAUCCCCGACAGCCAUAUCGAUGUCGCAUUUCGAGGAAGAAGUGGGAUCGAAAUUUGCCUUCUGUGGUUUUCAUAUUUUAAACAAUUAAUUUAAUUUUAUCAUCACAAAAUGCAAAUGAUGCUUCGAUUGCCUGUGGCUGGGAAGAACAAGGCUUCCGUUUGUUAGGUCAAGAUUUGUUGUAAGAUCACAUACAGACCGACUACACUGUCACGGUUGUGUUAUAUUGCUCCUGAUCAUGAACGGCAUUGCAACAAUGUAUCUGGUCCAUCUAAGUUGCUUACAAGAUUUUUGCCGAGAAGUUAUUUUAAUUGGAAGGAAUUGUGGUCCCUUUUCUUUCUUUUUUCUUCAAAAAAGAAAUAGAAUAUGUUUUAAUAACCGAAAUCAAAGACCCAUCAGCGGUUUUAUCUCCUAUGUUAAUUUAAUUUUCAGUCACAUGCAGGAAGUCGUCAUGGGCAAUUGGGUAUGGAUAGGUUCCCACAUGCAAACAUGUAAAUUUGUAACACUCUUUGCUUACUCAAGUUUGACAGCACUACGAGAAAAAACUCACCUAUCUCAUGUUGCAUGCCGCUUUCUGUUUCAUGCAAGUUUCUCUCUGCCAUUGGUGCGCUUGACCAAUUAGGGAGUCCAAAUAUAACCGGGUUAAAUCCAACCGGAGCAAUUUCACCGCAGUUAUACUAUGAAUAUACUGGGAGCCAUUAGGGUUUUUUUUUUUUUUUUUUUUUUUUUUACAAGGAGCUGGUUAUUAACAAGAGGGAUGAAAAGAAAGUUACGAUUACAGUACAAUAGCCUUGCAAGCUAUCCAGAAGAAUAAUAUGUUACAGCAAAGUGAAAAUCCGAUCCGGCGAUGGCGUGCGAAAUCACCUUUUUUUACUUGUGUGAAAGCGUUGUGUAUAUUUCUCCUUGACACUUUCUAAGUACUGUUCAACUACAAUUGCACCCAUCUUUGAUAAGCUCUCCUGGUCACCAUCAGUGUCUUGAUCCAAAUGCAACAACUGAAAUGGCCAAAACAUGUCGAUUUCCGUGUCGUCAACUUUAGCUCGAUGUAGCUUUGUGUCCCGAGGCAGAUGAUCCACCAAGCCAAAACCAACCACAAGUUUGGCACCUCGGAUACUAUUUGUUGGUGAUGUCUGAUCAAAUGUGGGUGUAAAAGAAUGUAGAUAAAAGGCCAGAUCCGCUGGCUUUUAUAUGGUGAUAAUGCUGCCCGACCUUUACUGUUUUCUGCGGCAGGUAGCAAGUCGGACAUUGCGACCACAUUAAUUCUAAGUCUCUCCGAAGCAAGCGCCACAAGUUGUGCUCACCGCUCUCUCAUACAGUCCUUUUUCGAGAGGGAAAAUCGGCAAAUAGUUGAUUUAAUUGUGGUCCUUUUUGCUUCUCUUUAACAUCAUUGACAUGUGAUUGAUGUCCUCAUGGCCCAUUUGUGUUCCACUCACCAGCCACUGAAUGGCCUCCGCUGCCGCAUCUUUUUCUGCACUCUUCUUGUUGUUACAUGGGUGGCCCAUAAUUUGCAUUCCGUUAAACUCCACUGUAGCUCGGAACUGGCUGUUCUUCAGUUGCAUAGUUUUGUAGGUAGGAGCGUUGUAUCCUGCUCGUGUGAGCAAUGUCUGGAGCUGACUCUUAGAAUUGUCACCCCCGGGUCCACUUUCAGUUCUUGAAACCAAGGCUGGCUGUGCUGCCACCACAGAUGGCUUUGACUUUGAGAGUGCAAGGACCUGGCGGCCAAAUACAAAUCUACCUUCGCCUUGAUCCUCCGAAAGCAGGAACCGCAUUGCAGAAAGAAGUUCAUGGUAACUGUGUGUGUCCAUCCUGGGGUUCAGUAGCUGUUCAGGAUUCACAAUAUUCGACAUUAGCCAGAGGUAACAUGCAGAGAAAAUAUAUUCAAACCUCACAUCAACUGCAACUGGGAAAGUAAAUUAGAAAGAGACCCGAAAUAAUAAAAUAUAUAUUUAUACAUAAUAAAUAAGUAAACUAUAAGAACAGAAACAAGGUCAAAACUUAGGAGAAACUAAGUUCGUAAUAGCUUCACUUACUUUGAUUUGAAUUAACUGGUCAAGUUCCCCUUUUAAGCAUUGAUACAUUUCUGCUACAGCAGGCUUCAUGAAGAAUUCCAAAUAUCCUCCCAGCAUUUUCAAGUGUCCAUCCUACAAGAACAGGAAAUAAAUCACACUAUAUCACUAAAUAAGGAGCAAUAACGAUAACAGAAAACAGACAUAAUCGAGCAUGCAUAAGUAUGUCCCCACUCCCACAAUCAGAAAAUAAGUUACUUGACACAUCCAGAAAACAACAGAAACGAAAUACGUACGGUAUCCCCUUUCGAAAAACUUCCACCAAAUAGGAGGAGCACUGAGUCAGACACAGCUGUUGAAUCCCGUAGGAAAACAGAGUUCACCUUUAUCUUCUCAUUGAAAACCAGCCACGGAUAUGGAAUUUUGGAAUCCCUAGCAUUGACAGAGUUCUAAACAAAUGAAAAAGAACAUGAGAUUAAAUAGAAACAGAAUUGGGGCCAUAUUUUUCUUAAAUCUAAUGCACAAGAAUGCUUACCGAGUAUAGCAGCACCUGCCCAUCCUCCAUUGUUUUCAGUGAAAAUGACUUCUCAUUGUGCUGCAUAUCAAAUUAUGCAAGUCCUCAAGAAAAUUAUACAAGAAUUCAAUCAUGCUUAUGUGUAUCGGAGAAAUCAUACACAUGAACUCACCAACAAACACUGAAACUGAUAAAGCAAUUUCAGUUACAUUCGUAUGGCUAACUUAACUUUCUUCCCAAUUUGAUUAGUAAGACAUGGGUUAAUCAUGAGAUAACCAUCAUGAAUCCAACAGAGGGAGGAGAGUGACAGCAUAAAUUUUUUAGAGAAGUGAACAGCUUAUAUCUUGCUUAAUUAUAAUCGGAAGGAAAAGAAAAUGGAUCUGUGCUUACCACAACAGAGCAGAUUCCAGGAUACAGGCCACAGCAAAUAACUGCACGGACGAGAUGCUCAUCAUAACUCCAUGCGUUAUGAGUGGUGGUGUUGGCAUCAACAAGAUCAGUAUCCCUAAGCAAAGAGAAGAACUCCUUCCUAAGGGAAUCAAUAGCUUUCAUCGAUUGUGCUGAAAGAAAAUUCUUCCAGCAAUAGUCAUAUCCAGCAAAGUCUCUUUCAGCAACCUUCCAGCCCUCAUAGGCCCGCACAAGUGCAAGGUGAUCACUAUUAUCUCGGGAAAACUGAGAUUUUGCAGCCUCAGCAAGCUACAAAGACAAACAAAUACAAUAACCUUAAAUUGUUUCCAAUGAUAAUGACACAGUGGCAAAUUAUAAAUCUGAUGCAACUUUACGAUCUUGCACCUCCACCCAAAAAGACUAAAACAAACUUCAGCCAACAAAGCAUUUAUCUCAAUUUGCCUCCACUCCAGUUCUGUCCAAGAAAUAAAGAGCAUGAUAGAUAUAAUGAGAAUGGAGAGUGGCUUACGUCUUUCUUGUCAAAUGGUGUUAGGAAAGGAUCUCUGACACUAAGCCCAGAAACAAUAGUCAAAACUGGAUCCAGGCAGUUGAAAAUGGCGCCUAGCAAGAGCAUCUUUCCAAGUUUUGGCUCCACAGGAAGCAUAGUUAGAUAGCGUCCUGUCAAGUGAUUUCGACUUUAUGACUUUCAAAUUUAAUCUCUCAGCCAUUACAAAGAGUUGCAAGCAUCACAGUGCAUAAUUGAAAUAAUACAUAUCUUCCCACCUAAAACAGUCAGAUUCUCUUUCUCAUCCAAGGCCCCAGUGAUCUUUAAAUACUCUAUGGCGUUUUGCACCUGUAAAAGAUAUCAAGAGACAAAAUGUGAAUUGCAGACAAGCAGCAAAAUGUGAGUGAGAAUAAGCACAACAUAAUUUCAGGAGGAACAAUUUGGGGUAAGCCUUGAGCUGCACGUGUGCAGGGUGCAACUAAAACACCAUAUGCCACUAAGAUAUCAUGACAGACAUUAAUAAGCAUCUGCACUAAAUGCUAAGGAAUUAACAAGCUUAAUUAGCGCAAGAAAGUAGAGCUACAAUGAAAAGCAAAUUACAGCUAUUCUCAAUAAGCUUUUCAGCAACAAAAAAUUGUGCAACUGAAGAUUUAAGUUAAAAUAAUAUUAGGUAGAUAAAUAUAAGAUAGACUUUUACCGCAAGUAACUCUGGUGACUGCAGAGCCCUAGAUAAGAACUCAGAAAUGCUUCCGAGGUUUAAACUUUUUAUUUGCAGACACAGAGACUGCAGAGGUGUCCUCAAAAUCUCUGGUAACUGAUACUCUGCAAAUGCGUCAUACACACAUCUAGGAUAGAGAUGAUAACAUUCCCCGGGCUGGACACGUCCUGCUCUUCCUCUUCUCUAUAAUAUAUAAGCAGAGAGGAGCGUAAUUAAUCAAGGUAACAGACUGAAACUUGAAAUGUACUGAACAUUAAGGAAAAUCAAAGUGGCCCACAUGAAAUCACAUAAGCAUGCACACACAUAUAGAAAGAACAACAUGUAAAUAAGCGUUUAUAGCCUGUCGCCCCUGUUGGGUGUUUAGUGUUUACACAGAAACUCUAAUGAUCUCAAGAGAAUUAUAAAGUAAAAAUGUUAAUUUAAUGGAAAUUGUAAUUACAAAAAUAAUUUCUGCUACUCAUUCUACCACACAUGCAUGCACACAAUGAUGUAGGUCAACAACCGAGGAAUAGAUUUCAUCUAAGAGACAAAAAUCUUCAGCCAGAACACAUCCUUACUUGUUGGGCAGAAACCUUGGAAAUCCAGGAAGGAAGUAAACAAGGAGUAUUAUUCAGUGCGUCAUAUGAAGUCUCUUUUGCCUUUCCACAAUCAAGUACAAAAACAACAUCAUUAAUCGUGAUGCUUGUCUCAGCAAUAUUAGUAGCCAGCACUAUUUUCCUCACUCCAUCCUCAGGCUCAUCAAAUAUUAACCUCUGCAUGCAGUCAACAUGGAAAUGAUAAAAAAAAAGAAGAGAAACCACCAUAUGAAACUGGCCUAGAAAGUAGAUUUGGUAGUAAUUCUUUCAUUCAAUAAAGGUGAAGACAAAUUAUGGCAGUAGUAAUUAAUUAAUUACCAUUAACUAAAAUAAAUGCCUGAACAGCAUACUACAAGCAUACGCAAAUAAAUUAUGCUAGAGAUAGUACAAUUAUCAGGGCAUUAAAAAAUUACCUGCUCAGUACUCGCCAUAGAACCAUGGCAUGCUAGUAACAAGACUCGGCUUGGAUCACCUAAUAGAGGAUUGGCAUGUAACUUUUCCUUCAGAGAAUUGAUGUCAUCCCACCCAGUCAUAAAAACUAGAAUGGCACCUGGCUUUUCACUCUCACAGAUAUUGCACAAGAGAUACUCGAUGAGAUAAAAACCAAUACCAUCAGGAUUCCAACAUGCUAGAGACUCCUGAGUCUGUAGACUAUACCCCUUAAAAUUGGCUGCUUUAAGUGCAUCCUGAAUACAUUACAUGAGGGCAAAAAUGAGAAGACAGAAAAUGAAAAAGAACAAAACCAUUUAUGCAGUAACUUGUAUACCUCAACAACAAAAGCAAUUUGGCUUUUCCUCUUUCUUGGUGCCUGUUUGCUCAUUUUCCACAUCUUAUCUUGACCAUAAUCAUCAAUCUGAUUGUAUGGAGUUAAUUUGCAGCCCGUAAUUUCCAGAACAUCCUCCAGAAAAUGAGUUUGAACUGGAUAUGUAAAACCCUAGUUUAGAGGGAAAGCAACAAAGAUAGACAAACCAUAUCAAACAUUAAUAUCUAUCUCCACAAUCGUCAUUAAGACUUCCCUCAUGAAACAAACAGAAAUAUGCAUUAAUGCAUAACACCCCUCAAAUAUAAAAGGUAAUACACAUUGUUAACGGAAAUGCACUGGAAUUUUAAACUUACUGGAACAUGAAUUAUCUGAGCUCUACCAAAGUAGGAUGAGAAAAGCUCAGAAUCUAGGGUUGCACUCAUCAAAAUCAGCCUCAGUUCUGGUCGCCGAGGAAGGAGAUCCUUGAGAACAAUAAGCAGAAAAUCUGGCAUCAAAUUAUUACAGUGAGAAAUCACCCUUCAUAUUGAAAACUUGAAGCCUUGAUCUAGCUCUAAUUUACCUUCAUUCAUUCCACGUUCAUGAAUUUCAUCAACAAUCACAUGAGUUACACCUUUCAAAUUUCUAUCAACUAGCAAUCUUCUCAACAAAAUGCCAGUGGUGCAAAAGAGAAGGCGAGUGUCCCUCCCCUUCAUACCUUCUAAGCGAACCUUAUACCCAACCUAAGACCAAAGGAAUGCAAGGAAAAGGUUAAAAGAAAAAGAAAACAUCAGAGGUUCUUUUUAUCUGAAGGGUAAUAAUUUGAUCAAGUAUCUGAGGAAACUCACCGAGUCACCCAAUUUCUCCCCUCUCUCUGAAGCAACUCUUUCAGAAACAGACAUAGCAGAUAUUCGUCUAGGCUGUGUACAUAUAAUACUACAAACAGCUCCACGAACAGCUUCUAUCUCAGAUUCUAAAAUGAAUUGUGGAAUUUGAGUAGUCUUGCCACAGCCAGUUUCACCUGAUAUGAUAACAACCUACAAGUACAAAAGUGCCAAAAAAUUAUUAUAUUGCCAUGUUACAGACCACCUUUGCAUAAUUGAACUAAAAUAAUUGCGUGAUUCAGCAUGUAUCCAUAUCUACUACCUUACCUUUGAAAACAACCCAAAAGAAAGACAACGACUUAAGAGAGAAAAAAGCUGACCAUCAACACAGGCCAACUACCGAAUUGUAAAACUACGACCAAAGUCAGAACAAACGUCUCACAUGAAUUUUCCUGAAAAUUUAAUUACUAACCUGAUCUCGUGAAAUUGCUGCCAAUAAUGCAUCCUUCUCUUUAUAAGCAGGAAGACUUCUGCGAAGUUCAAGCAUUUUUCUACCUUGAGGAGAUUCCUGAAAGAAAAAAAAUAUUACAAAUACAUAGAACAAAACACAUGAGUCAUCGUAUGAGUUAUAACUGAAUGCAGUCAAUCAUGCAGAGCAAUAUGCCAAGGUAAGACAAACCUGCCAAGCUUGUUGCUUAUCACGCAUCUGCGUACUUGUCCGCCAAAGAAGCUUUUCCAUAACACCCUUACUUGACGCGAAUGAUUCUGGUUGCUCAAAAAGCCCUUCAUCAGUAGCAAUGCUGCCACUACUGUUUGAUAUCGAAAAGGAAAGAUCUUCCUUUGUCCUAGACUUCUGGGAAAGGAACUCUCCAAGAUAUCCCUCAACUCUCCUCAGCAACCCAUGAGGCAAGGUCACCUUUCAAAUUUAAAAACCUUCACUUAAGAACCGUGUAGAAAGAAGUACAAAGAACUCACACAUUAAAAACAUCAUGAGGUGGAGGGAAGCUGUCCUAAACUCCUAGCUAAUCCAUUGUUACAUUUUCAUAUAAGUAAACUAAUCCGUUGGGACAAAUUAAAAUAAGAAACAUGAAGUCAAGAAAUAAGGGUUAUCAACAAAGGGAAUCACCAUUAGCACUGGAACUCAGUAAAUUAAAGGCAGUAUAGAUGGCUGUCAACUUCAAGAGUACAAUAAACAGAAACUUCAACUUUAAGGAAAACAAAACGAUCAGAAUUACCUCUCUCUGAGGGCGCCUAUCAUCCAGAUCAAAUCUGUAGUUUGGCAGUGGGACCUUACUAAAAACAGCAACUUUCGAAUAUAGAUGGCUGUCAAAAAUGCGUACGGUCAGACUUCUAUAAAGUUAUCGAAACACUUACAUGCUGACAAAAACCAAAGAUACCUAUAAAGCCCCAUUCUGCUUGCCAAAGCAGCUAUUUUCUCAAAGUCGCAUCUAUCUUUUUUCUCCCUCGUAACCAAUUCUUGCUUCUCCUUGUCACGUAACAGCGUGGUAAAUUUCCGUUCCCACUCAUUAUCAGAUGAGUAAGGACUCUGUGUCUGCAAUAUUCAGAUAAACAAAUACCAUAAGCAUUUAUAUAUGUUACACCUUUCAACUGGAUAGAAAUCUCCGUAAACAUCAUGCCUUGAUGCCUUAAUAAACAGUCAUAAUGGUACGCCUUGGAUUAACUUAAGAGGUAAGGGCUUGAAAAGGCUAAAUUAGACACAGUAUGCAUUUCGAGCCAUUAGCAGUUGAUAAGAACUUCAUACAGGGUAAAGGAAGACACUCCAUCAUAUACUGUUUCCAUAAUGAGAGGAAAAUGAGGUUGCAAAACUCCUCAUUCCAACCGGCUAAAAUGACUUGCUUAUCGGUAAAUGCGGACUUGAAAUGCCUUUGAGUAUGCAACGGGAAGCAGUAAAAAUGAAAUUGAUAGACUGAAGCAGCUUCGCAUUGAGCUGCUAACCUGAACUCCACAAAAUCUCUCCACUACUUUCCAAUCACCAUCCGCAACCUAAUCGCAUUAAGCUUCUCAUAAACUGCCAGCAAUGCAUAUCGAAAAUCGACAUAGCAUUUCACAUCACACUAAGUAAACGACUCAAUCAACAACCAAAUUAAAAGCUAACAUUGAAACACUCAACUACUACCACUUCAGAACUUCAGAGUCUGAGGCCUAAUUGAAACCAAAUUACCAAUUCACACUCAGUAAACGCGCGGAUUCCCCAAUUAACAACUCUAAGCGCGCACACAAUUCACAUAUAAAAACCUCACCGGAUACGACGGCAACUGAACUUCGCGAUCGGAGCCUUCCUCGGAAACGCCGUCGUCGUAAGCAGAAGAGUGCUGAAGCUUGGGCUUCUGAAAAUGCUGCUGCUGCUGCUGCUGAUUCUGGUAGUACGCCAGAGCACCAAUGGUGCUGCUCCUCUGGUUAAGAGCAGCAGCAGUCUGGUUGUCGCGGAGCUUGGAGCCGACUGAAGUAGGGGAGGUGUAAUUGGGGGUGGUGAUGGCGGAGCGGGGGCGGUGGUGGGGAGGGACGUAGACGGAGCCGUACGAGGAAGGAGGCCGGUCCUUCAUCGCCAGGAGUGAGGUUUUGGAGGAGGAGGCAAUCGGUUUGGGAGGUGAAGGCGACGGCGACGACGCGUAUGGGAAUUGCAGAGACGGAGGAGAUGGGUGGAGGAGGAGGAGGAAAGCAGAGGGAAUGCAAGGUGAGGCAGAAAAGUGGCGUCGUUCGAGAUCAGAGAAAUGUCCGAAUGAGUCUCCCCUCCGGAAGCGAAGAGUUGAGUGUACUUCGAGUUCGCACGUCAGCGCUGCACUUUCGGCUUUAAACUGCAUCUUUUCAAGAUAAACGCUUUCCGUAUUCUGGUAUUUACAGUUUUCUUAUUUUUAUUUAAAAACAAAAAACAAAAUUAAAUUCCCUCUGUGCCCGAAUUUUUUCAAGAAAAUGUACAUGCGUUUUCAGUUUUCCUAAUAAAAAUAAUUUUAGAUGACAAAUUAUGUGCAAGGUAAAGAUGGGUAUGCUGUCUUUAGGUACUCGCGUAGUUUUUAUUUGUGCGUAAGAAAAUUGAUAAAUUUAGAGUAAUUAUGAUAUUCGCGUCGGUUUUAAGAAAAUAAGUUGCUAAUGUCGUCGAAAAAUGUAAUCGUGGGAGAGAAGUGCAUGACGACUUUUUAAGUGUCGAUAAUAAUUCUCUUGAGAGAAAUGUCAAAAAAUAAGUUACGUUCGGCAAAACAUAUCCUUUUAUCACCGGUCUUAUUCAAGCCCUCGAGUCUUCUAACGGGAAAAAAAAGAAAUCAAAAACUUUUACUCAGCAUACAUGAGCUAAUACCGAAAAAGAAACUGCUGUAAAUUACACCCGUCUCGAGUUUCAAACUCCAAGGAGAGGAAUGAGUUGCCUCAGACUCCGGCUUCUGGAGGCUUAGUACGUAUAGCCCUUGACGAACAUUCCUUUCUUGGCUUCCUCGUCCUCGCCUGCAGCAGAGUACUUUCCUAGCUGAGCCAAGGAGUUUGCCUUUGCUCGCACCAGAAGUGCCUUUUGUGCAGCGUCCACGUUCUCAGGAUGUCCUUGCCAUGCCUUAAGGACAGAGUUCUGCAGGGCACGUGCGUACGAGAAGGAUACGUGCCAAGGGUUGGGGCUUUGGUUCAUUGCAUUUAGGUUGAGGGUCGCUUCUGCUUCGGAUUGUCCUCCUGACAAAAACUGUUAAGUGAAAGGAGCAAAUAUGAAUCAGCCUUCAUAGGUCAAUGGUAACAAAUAUCAUGAGUAUUACGUUCUUGAACUAAUAUUUAAGGCCGUGUGAAGCUAAUAGGCACAGGAGGAAUAGCGCAUCAGUUUACAGCUAUUGCAAAAGUGAUCGAGCAAUUUUACCAUGAUUCCGGGUACCGCAGGAGGAACUCUCCUUUUAAGAACUGUGAGGGUAGCCUUUGCAAUGGCUUCUGGAGUAGCCUUUUCCUUGUGUUCAGCCCCUGGGGUAACCAUGCUGGGCUUAAGCAGGAUUCCUUCGAACAUCACAUUGUUUUCAGCCAAGUAAUAGAAGACUUCGGACCAGACCUUCUCUGCCACUUCAAGUGUCCUUUCGAUUGGGUGGUCCCCGUCGAGAAGAAUCUCAGGCUCUACAAUGGGUACAAGACCAUUGUCCUGCAAAUAAUUUUAAAGCAAUGAAUCACACAGGAUCAAAAAUACAUACCAAUUCAUUGUUAACGACUUUUUAAACAAAAAGAAAAAACUAAUUUUUAUGUUUCAGAUAACAAUAGAAAUUUCACUCUUACAACAGAAAAUGUUUUGCAAAAUCCAACUAGCUAUCUAAAAGUGAACAUACCUGAGAAAUGGCAGCAUAACGAGCAAGUCCCCAUGCAGCUUCCUUAACUGCUAGAGCAGAAGGACCACAAGGAAUGCUAACAACUGUACGCCUGCACAUUUCAACCCGAGGACACUUGGAUAAAUUUAUCUGUCAAAUAGAAUUAUACCAACUGGACAGAACAAUAAUAGGACCUCUAUGGAGCAGAUGUCCACAAGAGAUUAAAUGACUUACCAUUUAGCAAAACGAGCACCUUGCUUGUAGUACUCAGCAGAUCGUGAAGCCAAUCCAUCUAAGCCUUGGCACCAAGAUUCAUUGUUUGAUCCCGGCAGGGGAACCAAACCCUGAACCACGGAAAAAGUAUGCAAAUAACAAUUAGGGAUCUAAUUCCAAGUAUUUCAAGAAAUUAAUCAAGCUAUAGAACACAUAUGUCCUAGUGGCCACAUACCUUGUCAACUUUGAUUCCAGGUACAAUUUUCUGGUCACACAACACAUCCACAAAUUUCUUCCCAUCGGUUGUAGACUGGUAAAGUGUUUCCUCAAAAAGAAUGGCACCAGAAAUGUAUUCGCCGAGGCCAGGGGUGGUCAACAAAAGCUGCCUGUAAGCCUGUCGGUUAACCUCGGUAUUGUCCAACCCAAUAGAGUCUAACCUCUUUCCACAAGUUGCAUUUGAUUCAUCAAUGGCAAGUAUACCACGACCAGGGGAUGCAAUGGUUUUCUGUACCAUCCAAAAAGAAGCAAAAACAAGUUAAAGGAUAUAAUAAUAAAGCUGCGACGGAGAAAUCAAUUAAACCCAAAUACAAGAAGUCUUAUAUCAAACUACAUAGGGAAGCAGAAACACAAAUUUCCAAUUUGUGGUAACCAAAAUCUUCCAAAUACAAGCAGUGUUAUAUCAAACUACACAGGGAAGCAGAAACACAAAUUUCCAAUUCGUAGUAACCAAAAUCUUUCAACGGUUACCAAAUACUUUUCUUCUAUUUAGAAAAUCCAUAAGAAACAAGAACAAAUAUAUUAAUCAAUCAAAGAGGAAUAGCACUGGACCACACGACGGGCCAUAAUAAUUAGGUAGGAAAGUCACCAUCUGAGGGAGUCGAACAUGAGACACUUCCAAGUGAAGCGGAAUACGACUAGAACUUACUAGUUACUACUUAGUGAUAGUGACCUAUUAAUAAAUUGAAUUAAGCAAAUCAAUCAUAGUGGAGAAACAGUUCAUUUCAAUCUUGAGUUCGAAUUCACAAAAGUCUAAUUCAACAAAGCAGUGAAAAUUAAAAUCAAUACUGAAACAAACAAAUCAAAUCAAAUCACAGAAAAUAAAUAAAUAGUAAUUCAAAAAAAAAAUUCAGUCUAAUAUAGAUUCAAGCACUCAGCCACCGAUGAAAUCAACAAACAAAAAUUUCAUUUUGUGCAUAAAUAUCAGCAAAUUGAAACUAAGUUAAAGAGAUGCGCACAGCGGUUAGGACGAGUUCGUCGGUGUAGGCCUUGGCUCGGAUCGGGACGGCGACUCGGCGAGUAGCGAGGCUAGUCGAUGAUCCUGGGCGCUGAGUGAAGGACUGCUGUCCGAUCCACUGAGAUGACGACGCAUUAAGCUUCGCGAAGCUGGAACAGGCCAUGGCUUCGAGCAAAGACGAUCGAAAUUACUUUGGAGAUGUCGACUGGUUGUUUGUUUCCCGAGAAAAUGUGGGUUUUCUUGCUGCUUUAAGUCUGACGGGGGUAGGUGGCUGCGAAGAGAAAGAGAGAGUGAUAAAAAAACAAGACGUCGUUAAUCUUUGGAGAGUCCGCGGUUGGCGUUACGGGUUGUAAUGGGACAACAAGCAACGUGCGAGGCUAAGUGCCAGUGAGUGAUUUACCAGAUUACCCUCUCUUAGAGCAACUCCACCCAUGAAGCCCUCCUCCUGGCAAUCUACUAUUCAAUCCACCCUAUUUGAACAGUAACUGCCUUAAAUGAAUAGUAAUUACCAUUAAUGAACAGUAAUUGCCAUUUACAUCUCCACCUUUGGAACCCUCCCCCUGACAAUAAGCAAUAAAAAUAAUAGUUUUUUAUGUUUGUUUAAAUAAUAAAAAAUUACAAAAACUAUCUCUCUCUCUCUCUCUGACACAAAAAAAAUAAAAAAUUACAAAACCCUCGGGCCACAGGCCCGUCGACUCCCCCACCCCCCCUUCGCUCGACCUCCCACCCUCACUCGGGCCCUUCCCCGCUGGAUUUGCUCCCACCGGCCCAAGGGCCCUUUCUCCUCACCUGACGCCCGAGCAACCAGCAAGGCUGGAGUUGCUCUUAUAUGACUACAUUGUCCUUGCACGCUGCCGAGGAAAAGAAACUGGGGGCAUCAAGGUCAUCUUCAACCGAGCCGAUUAAAGGGUUAUAGGGUUAAAAAUAACUCGGAAUAACAUGAAAAUCGUCUUCAACCAAGAGUUAGGUCAAAAGGCUAGUGGGCCCCACCUAGCUAAAACCCCUAAUCAGGCCAGCGAGCUGGCCAUUUCUAGCUAGCGCCAGCUCUCCAGCUCAACCCAUUUGAAUGUCAACGGUUACCUGGUGUUAGCAUGAUGCCAGCUAGCUGAUGUCAUGCUACCGUCAGGUUACCGUUGGAAUUUGAUUUUUUUUUUUUUUGACGAAUUGAAGAAAAAAAAAUCUAAUUUUUUUUCCUAUAAAUACCUUAGGCAUUCAUACAUCAUUUCUCAAAUAAUUUUCAUCAUUUCAUACUAUCUUACCUCAUUUUAUUUUAAUUCUUCACAUUAUAUUCUCUUACCUCUUCUAAUAAUCUUUCCUUUAAUUUUUUCAAUAAUUUUCAAGUAGCCACAUCUGCAAUGAAAGAAAGGGUUUAGACCCGAAAAGAAAAUGAAACUUUUUGCAAGGCUUAUAGAUUGGUCUCAAAAGAUAGUGUCAAGGGUAGUUCUCAAACAAGUGAAGGUGUUUGGACUUGAACGUCCAAAAAGUACUUUGAGUUCUACGAAUGCACCACUCCACCGAAUCCCCAUAACCACGAGAGUUGUUCUUCAAGAUGGAAAACAACACAAUCUCCAUCCUAGUACUACUUAGGGGAGUUAUGCAAACUUAAACAACAUUAAACAAAACAUUUAACAAACAUAAAACUUAAACGCCUACUCCAUUGUUCUUUUGGCCCAAAUAUGUGGAAUAAGAUCCUGUUGUAGGUACUUGUUUGUGACACGCGAACGUAUCAUCCUAUGACGUCUCAUGUACUUAUUUAAAGAGGUAUUACCAAUUAUUAGAUCCAAAGGCAAAUUAGGUCCAUCAUAUAUUUUCGCAUCAGCUGGGGAGACAUAGGCCAUCAUUCGAAGUGCAAUAGUAACAUUUUGAUGAGGUGAGAAACCAGAGCGGCCCGCUCUAUCUAUCUUCUGUCGAAGGUAUGGAUUGACAUUUUAGACAUCAUGAAGUAAACGCUCAAAGACACGAUGCCUCAUCUGGAAGCGACGUCUGAAAUCCUCUUAUGUGUACACCGAGUCACCGAGUUGGAGUUAAACUAGUUGUUCAUCAGAGUAUGCGAUCUCUCUAUUUCGUGGUUUGUAAGAGUGACCACCAACAGAGCCACCCCAUUGAGGUUGUUUUUCAGUUUCCUCACACGUCAUGACCCCAGCCAUUGCUGCCACAUAUAUUGUGUUGCGCCAUGCUUCAUCUUAUUCAUCGGACUCCUCAUCUUCUCGUCUCAUCUGCGCCCAUUUAUCUUUCUAUCUGAAAAUUUAUUAAGAUUACAUAAAGAUAAGAAAUUUGGAGAGUUACUCACUCAAGCGACACAUGUUAUUCAAAAUUAUAUCCGAAAAAUUAUUAAGAUUACAUAAAUAUAAGAAAUCUAGAGAGUUACUCACAUUAGCGACACAUGUGACUUUAAAUCCUGUCCAACAAAUUAUUGAGAUUAUAUAAAGAUAAGAAAUCUAGAAGCUUAUUCAUUUGGAGACAAAUGGCACUUAAAAUAUGUCAAAAAACCUUAUUUUAAUAUGGUGGUUUAAUUUAAGGGGUAAAUGAAUUUUAAUCCUUGUAUUGGAUUAAUUUUUUAUUAAAACCUGGUGUAGGAUUAGAUAUCUGAUCUUAGUCCUCCAUGUCAUCAUAAUUAUUAUAACUCAUAUUUUGUUAUUUUUAAACUCUUUAAUAGCUCUUUUUGUUCCUAUUGUGCCCCUGUAAUUAAUUAUUCGACCUUCUUGGUAUGUUCUAAAUUAUUAGGAACUAAUUUUGACUUUGAUUAAUUUAUGCUUGAUUUCUUCCAUGAUUAUGGUGCCUAAAAAGAUUUUUCAUACCAUCAUGCCUAAAUUACAAGAUGAAAAAAGUUAAGGUAUCACAUGCAUAAUACAUCAAAAAAGUGUAUGCAUCUAAAUAUUAGUACCUAACUAAACACACCCAAUUAUAGUACAUAGUUGAAAACACCUAAUCAUAGUACCUAAUUGAAUGCACCUAAAUCAUAGUACCUAAUUGAACGCUAAAUCAUAGUACCUAAUCGAAUGCAUCUACAUUAUAGUACCUAAUCAAAUGUGUCUAACUUAUCGUACCUAAUUGAGUAUAGAUGCAAUAGAUCAAACCCAACUCCAAACUCAACAAUUCAUACACUGACAAAAUGAUCAAAACCCGAUAAUAAAAUCAACCAACAUAAAAUAACAACAAAAACUAAUAAAAUAAGAAAUAUUACAAGCACAAUGCCACAAAAAAGUUACUGACCCCAUUCUCUUCGUUGCAAAUCAUUGGAAUCCACAUAGAUACACAAGCCAUAUACCAUUCAAAACCAACAGAAAGAAAAUAGAGAGAGACCUACUACAAAUGAUGAGAAAAAGGGGAAAAUCAUAAUUAGAAGAUGUGUGUGAAUAAAUCAGCCAAUACAUGAAUGGUUUGCCUAAUCCCGUUUUCAAUUGCAAAAGCCUAAUCUUUUUUUUCAAAGAAGCCUAAUCUCUAAUUCCUUUGAUGUUGCAUCUUUAAAUGCCGGAUGCUCAUUUUGAAUUAAAAAAAAUAUCAUUCAAUUGUGAACCAUUUAAUAGCAAUAUUUAGGGGUAAUAUAGGAAGACAAAACAUAGUAAAAUUACAUAAAAGAAAUUAAUUAUGACGUGGAAUAUAAAUGAUGAUUUGGACACGAGUCAAAGGACUAAAAUUAGUUUUUAAUCUUACUUAUGGUAUUUAUCUAAAAGUAAUCAUUUUUAAGGACUAAAAUCUAGUUUUCUAUUAAUUGGGUUAAUUCAAUUAAAAUAAUAAAUUAGUCGGAGAUGAUUUUUUGUCAAAGCGUUAUGUUUGCCCUUUGGCCCCCUUUAUUGAAGAUGAUAUAAAAUAUGACAUGAUAAUGUUUAUUAAAAUAUAAUUUCUUUCAGGGCUAUAGGGUUAAAAAAAAAGUCAUUUGACCCCAUUCGAUUCGAGAUGACCUAAAUGGGUCGGGUCAUGUUUACCCUUACCUAACAAUUGACAACUUGCAAAUGCGGCUUGCUUUAGGUUGGCGGAGAAAAAAAAAACAAAAGAGAAAUGUUGCGCAAUCUCUUUACAUUUUGAUUUUUUUAUUUCAAAAAUAAGAAAUUUGCUUUUGUCUAAGAAUUAAAGAUAAGUAAUUCAGUAUUGGGAUCUGGUGGUAUUCCUCUUCACUUAUGAAUGAGAGAUCUUAAGUUUAAAUCUCGUGAAUGAUGAAUUUGAUACUAAAUUAGGCUGCCCAUUAUGUGGCUUAACUGUAGUAUAAAAAAAUAAUAUCAAUGUACUAAAAAAAAAGAAUUAAAGAUAAAAAAUAAAAAAAUUAUACGUAAAAGUUAUUGUUUAUGUGUUAUUUUUAUUUUGCACGUUGCUUUAGCGCGCAAUGGCACUAUGGCAGAAAGCAAUUAUCUGCCCUUUUGCGAGUUUCAUUUAUUUUGGCUCUCCUCUCUUUAAUAAUUAUUGUUUAAACUAUUACCGCUAUCACGCUAAUAAAAAAAAGCUCUAUUUUUAUUUAUUUAUUUGUUAUAGAAAUGUAUGUAUGAUAUUUUUACUUUUAGAAUGACAAUUACAUCUCUAAAUUUGGUUAAAAAAAUGUUGCAAGUAUUGUUAAUUAUGUGUUUGUCCACUUGAGGCGAACAUAUAAUAUCCCAAUACUUUUGCACCUUUUUAUGUAAAUCAUAAGUCUAUAAAUAAGUACUCUAAUGAAAAUGAAAGAUGACCUUGAUUUCUCCUUCACUUUCUCUCUUGUAUGUCCUAUUUUCUCCGACUCUACACUUUAUUUUUAAUACAUUAUCACCACAAUUGCUUAUCGAUUUUUCUUUCUGUAUUAAAAUAGAAUUAAACACCACAAUAACAAUGCAAUGAAGAGGAAAAGAAAGCGAUCUCCCAUCUCUUUCGUGAUUAGGGGUGCAACUUGAGCGAGUUGGGCAGGUUGGAAGGUCAACUCAAUCCUAACUCAACUUUUACAAUUCGACUUGGAUUCGGGUUGGGUUUCAUUCGGGUUCAUUUGUACUCAAGUUUAAUUGGGUUGCCCAACUUUUUCAAGUUUAAUCUUGUAACAACUUAGUUUACAAGAAUUCCUAACAAAAUUAAGCCCAGUAGCAUCAAAGCUAGCUAACUCUAAUUUCAUAAAUCAAUCUACUAUAAAGCUUUGAUUUAUAGAUUACGAAUAUAGGCUAACUAAUCAAAGUCUUUUAUUCCCUAAAAGCUUAAGUAAUUAUAAAGGGUAAUUUAUUAAAAAAAUAUUAGAAAGGGCGUUGGUUUUUGGACUUGGCACACUUGGGUGUAGUAUGAUCAUUAAUUGAUAUGAGUUACAAUAUGGUUAGAUUAGAUUUGGUUAGUCGGGGCUAGGUUGGGUUGGGGAUAGACGGGCUGAUCAACCCAACUCAACCCAAUCAAUGAACGGGUUGAAAUUGGGUUGGGUUCGGGCGGGUUAUAACUAAAAAAUACUCGUUUGUUUGGGUUUAAAGUCAGGUUGGACAUGGACGGGUUCAAAUUGACCUAACCCAAAUUGCACUCCUAUUCGUAAUUCACGAUUCUGAUGCUUGCACGACAAAUUUGACAUAGGCCAAAUGAGGCUUUAUUUUAUUUUUUUGGUAAAGGCCAACGAAAAUCCUUGUUAUGAAAAUAGUGAAUUAAGUAAAACAUGAUAAUUUCCGUAAAAAAAAAAGGUGGCAUUUACUUUUUAUAUGAUGUUUUCAUUCAAUCAGCUAUAUUAGUUCAGUUAAAGUUACUUCAUACUGAUACAUGUGGUCUCAUCUUUAUUAGAGAAGUCAUCCAAAUGUAUAACAAUUUUUGUUAAUUAACCGGGUUCGGAUCAUAAGAUUGCAAGUACAAUUUUCAAAAGAAAACAAAAUGUUUGACGAAUUAUUGUGGAAAAAAAGUGUGGGAAAAAGAAGUAAUGCACUAUUUGAAAAUUUGUGGAUAAGUUUCCAACACUCCACGUCAGAGCGUCCCCACAACUAAAAAAAUAAAACCACCCCACGUCAUCACAGUGGACCCUACUUUUAGAUCCAGCUGGCGCUUUCACUGUUAAGCGGUUAACCAACAAACCACACCACAGGGGAACCCCAAACCCUAACCUGCAGCUCAAACUUCAUGUUGUUCAUUUUUCAAUUAUUCAACAUCUAUCUCUCUGAAAAUCCCCAAAUCUCUCUCACGAAGAGUCGAAGGCCAUGGCUACGGACGGCGCGGCGGACCGACGGAGGCCACCGCCGCAAAUGCUGAGCGCAGGCAACAACGGGAACUGCGUGAUGAGCUUGUCGAACAGGUUGAGGCUGAUGCCGAACAAGGAGCACAAGGCGGAGAGCUACGAGGACCUACAGCAUUUGGAGUUCAGUCCCUUGCUUUUCAGCUCGCUGGAGCGCUACUUGCCUCCCACCAUGCUCAAUGCCUCACGUGACCUCAAGCUCCAGUACAUGAGGGACAUCCUCCUCCGGUACUCGCCCGAGAGCGAACGCACUCGUGUAAGUCAUGAGACUCUAUCUCUUUAGGAGUGGAAUUUGGCAAAUGCGGAAACUGAAAAUGACUUUGAAGUUUGGAAGUUUUGGAUUUCUUGUUAUGUGAAUUUUAAUUUAUGGAUAAAUGUGUGAAAUGUGUUUGCUUCAGUUGCGAUUGCGGAAGAAUGUGUAAUUUCUUUGAAUUCUCCAGAAAUGAUUGAUGUGGAUUUUCAAUUCCUGUGUUAAAUUUUGAUGCAUAGACGAGGGAGAUAAGGUUGAGUAGGAAUAACAUAUAGUCAGAACAGGCAGGGGCAAUGUGCUCUGGUUAAUUAGUCAAUGCGGCGUUAUUGUGCUCCUGAAAAGCUCAUAUGUUUCUCUGUUUGAAUAAACAGGUUCAACGACAUCGAGAAUACAGGCAGAAGAUCAUUGCACACUAUCAGGUGCGUUUAAUGGGUAAUAUGCUGUUGACGUUUAGACACUUGCUGUAAUAUGUAAACAACACAUUUAUGAAUUGCCGUCGAGUGUUGCAGUCAUUAAAGCUAAGUCCCUUCUUUUGGUACUCCUGGAGUUGAGGGCUUGAGUUUUGUGCAUAAGACAUUUAGUCACAAUUGCAUGUCAACAAACUGAAAUAAUUUCCUUCUUAAUCGGUCCUUCCUCUUUGCAGCCUCUACAAAGGGAGUUAUACACGCUGCAAGCUGCAAAGUUCUUUGUCCCCUCAUUUCUCAGAGCAAUCAGUGAGAACACAGAGGCUAGCUUUAGAAAUAUACUGUCUGAACCCUCUCCUGGAGUUUAUACCUUUGAAAUGCUUCAGCCGGAUUUCUGUGAAUUGUUAUUAACUGAGGUAUCAUUUUGGAUAUAAGUUAAUUUUCGCUUAAGCUACUUUUUUCUAUUUUCUUAUCAAAUUCUGAUUUCUUAGGUGGAAAAUUUUGAAGGGUGGGUCCAUGAGACAAAUUUCAGAAUCAUGCGACCAAAUACAAUGAAUAGAUACGGUUGUGUUCUUGAUGACUUUGGUCUUGAAACCAUGCUUGACAAGUUGAUGGAGGACUUUAUACGUCCUUUGUCUAAAUGUAUUUCAUCUCUAAUAUUGUGAAAUUGUAAUUAGAAAAAGUUCUUAUGUGUGAAAGAUUAGAACUAAUGUUAUACUCGUUUUUUUGUUUGUCUGGGUUUAUGUAGUUUUCUUCCCAGAAGUUGGCGGAUCCACACUGGAUACUCAUCACGGUUUUGUUGUUGAAUAUGGAAGCGAUAGGGGAUGUAGAGCUUGGUAGGUGCUCAUCCAUCUGGAAGUUUUGGAUUUAGUUUUUUGAAAAAAAAGUAUUUGUACUGAAACUAAAAAAAAGCAUUUGUACUGAAGCCUCUCUCUCUCGGACAAGGAUUGUCUACCCUCCCACUUCCGGUGCCCUCCCGUGCCCUCCUGUUUUGUGUGGUCACGGUUAAGCCACGUCAACAUUUUAUAUUGUUUUUUUUUAUAGAGAAAUAAGACAAAAAUGAAUAGUAAUAUAAAAUGUUGACGUGGCUUAACCGUGACCAUACAAACAAGAGGGCACGGGAGGGCACCGGAAGUGGGAGGGAAGACAAUCCUUGUCCCUCUCUCUGCGCCAUUUCCACUCUAUAUUUCUGCCGGUUAUAAUUAUUUUCUCAGAACAGUUUUUGAUUGUUGGUCUAGCUGAUAUGAUAUGAUUUCUCCUUAUUUAUGUUUUCAUAAUCGUGUCCAAUUUAUUUAUGUUUUCAUAAUUGUGUCCAAUUUGUUCAAUAAUGUAUGUCUGUCUUCGUCUUAAACAUCUGUGCGCUAGAUUUAUAGCUUGUUAAGCUUUUAUGAAUCCACAACAGCUUUAUAUUGCAGGUUUUCAUGUGGAUGAUUCAGAAGUCACCUUGAAUGUUUGCUUGGGAAAGCAAUUUUCUGGUGGAGAUUUGUUCUUUCGAGGUGUUCGAUGUGAUAAACAUGUUAAUUCAGAGACACAAUCUGAGGUAUGCUGUUCUUUAUGAUCAAUUUUAGGUACAAUUUUUUAUUUAGGGUCACACUUUUCAUCUUUUAGUAAUACAAAUGCUUUGGAGUAUCAUAUUUGAUAUCAUAUUUUUUAUUUAGGGUCACACUUUUCAUCUUUUAGUAAGUUGCAUGUUUACUUUUUUUAGUUAUAUUUUCUUCAUUAUAAUAUAUCUUUUUAUUUUUGUACAGUUUACCAUGUAUGUAUUGAACUUUUUCCUUGGAAUUUUUAUAAUUCUACUUAUAGGAAAUCUUUGAUUAUACUCAUGUUCCGGGACGUGCCAUUCUUCAUCAUGGUCGCCAUCGGCAUGGUGCUAGAGCCACAACAUCGGGGCAUCGAGUCAACUUACUAUUAUGGUGCAGAAGGUACCUUUCUCCACCUUUAGUCCCCCACACAAGAAAUUCAAGAAACCUAAACUAAUGAUUUUAUGGAUAUCACAAUCUCCCUAACUUUUUAGUACCUGCUCUGUGUGGAAUAAGUAUCCAAUGAAUGCAACUUACCAAUUCAUUCAUGGUUUGAUAUCAAUUAAUGUUGGUUGCGUACACAAUAAAGCAUGUGCAAAAUCAACAUUAAGAGUACUGGUCUUUAAGUAGAGUUAAGUGAAAUGUUGGAAUAUGCGGGUUUCACACAGUUGAUUUCUCCUAAACAUUAGUUCUCGAUUGUUUUCUCAAUUGAUUGCGCACAUUGUAAUCACACUGAAUGGCCUUGUAAACAUACAUUACGGAAAAUAUCAUCUAAGAAAUUAAUGGAAUUAUUUAAGGCUAACCUUUGGAUCUUGGUCUCAUUAGGUUCUAGGAGUUUUUUUGCCUGUAUGCUGGUUGAUGUAAUGACAAUUAGUUUUGCAGAAGCUUUUCUAGGUAGGCUUACAGUAAAAUUGUCAAAACAUAGGGUUUUACUGCAAGGAUUAUCUCAAUUAUGCAUUCUUGUUUACCAAUUUACUUGCUUUGUAUCCCCAAUCUUCUUGUAGUUCGGUGUUUAGAGAGCUGAAGAAAUAUCAGAAAGAUUUUUCCAAAUGGUGUGGAGAGUGCAAACGUGAAAAAAAAGAGAGGCAGCGUCAAUCAAUUGCUGCAACCAAACUGGUACGGUACAUUUGAUAUGAGACAGAGAAAAAUCAGCGUAUUCGUAUAUUUAACAUUAGUUAAUCUUUUCACAUCUGAUUGUAUUUUUCAGGAAAUACUCAAGAGAGAUGGACAAACCGCCUCUUGAGCUGCUUGUUUUGUAUGUUUUUACUACCGAUACUUCUUGAUCUGUUCAUCAUGCAACUUUUGCUUGUGAAGUUGUAAAUUUACUCAUCCUUGUCAGCACAUAGAAGUUUUUCGUGUCUGUUUUCAAAUUCGUACUCCAUCCAUUUAUAGAGACUACGGUUGGGCUAUUUGUUAGUAAUAUGAAAGGGGCCGGUGUUGUUGUGUUUUUACGGUGUGCUUCAAUGCUUUUGCGUACACAGCUCGACAAGUAACUGUGAUGUGUUGUAUUGAUUAUAUUUUAAGUCAUGCAUGCAUUGAUAUAUAGGAAAGUUAAGGUAUUUGACAUUGCAUGAUUGAGUUGGAUACCCCCCGACAACGGCAUUUCUGUUGUAAGUUUCUCUCCCACCGUCCACAUACAAAUCUCGAGAAUUUCAAAAUUCAGAAAACCUGCUCUGAUACCAAGAAAGACCAUCUAACCGUCUAUUGGAUCGUCCACAUACAAAUCUCGAGAAUUUCAAAAUUCAGAAAAUCUGCUGUGAUACCAAGAAAGAUCAUCUAACUGUCUAUUGGAUCUUAUUCAACGGCGUCUUUAGUUUGACCAAAGUAGUAAAGUCAAACAUGCUUUCUCUGUUUCUCUAGGUCUUUUUCUCUUAAGGAAUUGGUUUAAGAAAGCAAGCGAGUAAAAGAGUUUUGAAACCAAAUGUGGAUUGGUGCUGAAAUCCACAUCCCAAAGGUCGUUAUGCGUGCAUGAACCUUUCAACAUUCUUCACACAUUACCGCACAAAUGGAACAAUGUCAUCCAUCCGAUCACAAUCUCCCACCUGAAUAUGAGAGGCGGUGAUACUUUUGACUCUUUGAGAAACAUAGUGACUUAGGUAAAGUAGUGUUCAAUUCCUGAAAUGAGUAAAAUGAUACUUUUUAAGUCACACAUUAUAACCGGAGAAAUUUUUUCAAGUGGCCGGUAUUUAAGCGGAUAUUUUACGUGAUAUAAAAUAGGUGAAAGUAUAUGAAAAAAUAUAUCAUUUAUCUCACAUAUAUUAUGAUACGUAAAGUACUACUUAAACACCAACACCUAGAAAAAUCUCUCACAUGAUAGGUCAAGGUCAAAAUAAAAGUAGUUUUAGUGCUAUUGAUAGGGUGAAGUUAUAAGGAUGGAUUAAUUAAUUAAACACAAUUGUUAGACACCUACAAUUAGAGAAACGGAAAGGGAUUCUCUCCGGAUCCCUUCCACCUAAUCCUCCUCAUCAAAUAAUUCAGGCCCUUGAAAUUUGAUCUAACGGUUAAAAUUAUUAUAAUUUUUAAAGUAGACCCAUGUUUUUAGUUGUUAGAUCAAAUUUUAAGAUCCCAGAUUAUUUAAUAAGGAGAAUUAGAUGAAGGGGAUCCGGAGAGGAUCCCUUUCCUAGAGAAACAUAAACAUAUUUUAGUCAUAUGUAUUAAUAAAUUUUCUACUUCAGGUGGCCGCUGUCAAGUCAUACCUAAGUAGGGAAUGAUCUUCCAAGUCAUCUUCUUUUACCUAAUAAAUUUCGUUGGGAUUCUUGUCGACUCUCGAAGGAUCUACAAAGAAUGCAUCCGAAAGGGAUUCCUGCUAAUAAAUAUAUCAUUUUCCUUCUCGACUGUUCCUCCGGGGAUGUGAUCGUACAAUUAUAAUAUGAUUUCAAAGCCCCUUCUUGAAGUAAUUGUGAUUAAUUUACUUUAAUUCAUUGCUACGGUGUCCAAUAUACCGUCCUACUUGUCGUCGUUCUCAUUGUCGCUGUCGAUAUCAUUAUUUCUCGUCAAUCAUAUAUUGUCUCGAUCCUUCUACUAGGAACAUCUUUUGACUAAAUUAUAAUAUGUGUGUGAUUGGCACUUUUUGGUCAAUUAGACGAUAGAUCGGGCACCCCUAUGCACCUUUUGUUUAUGAUAAGGUUUUGAUUUGAUACAAUAGGAGUGUCGAUUAUUUUCGCUUAAAACAAGUACAACUUGUUGGAUUAAUAUUAGAAAAUAGAAUGUUUUAAUGAAAAUUCUAUAAUACUGUUCACUUUAAGGAAAAAUCAUAUUUUUACAUUAAAAAGUUAAACUUGGUACUAUUUAUUUUACUCUUUAUUUUGUCCUUAUCAUUAAAACUCAAAGUUUUCAAACCAUUUUCAUAAGUUUUCUUUAGAAAAUAUGAAAUAUAACAAUAUAAUUCUAAUGAUAAUAAUUACAAAGAAAUUCACAACAUCAAUUAUAUAUGAGAUUAAUAUAAACAACUAGAGAGAAAUUUAGAAAAAUUGACAAACUUGGAGAUUGAGGCUUGCAUAAAUACAAUGUCCUAAAACAGAAUUUCGCCUCUACUUUUGUGCUUGUAAUUCAGUAGGCGUCUGUCUCCCAAUAUUCAAUAAUUUAUAAAUCCGAAGUUUAAACACUUCAAUAUUCGAACUCAGACGAACUUUAUAUAUUUCGUACUCUUAAGAUACGACUCGGAAUUUGACAAACGAAGAAUGAGAGAAAUAAAAUGGAGAAACCUUAUUUCUCAAGAGUAAAAAUUAACUCUAAUUUUGUGUAUUUAAUGAUAAUGGAUUUAUGGGUUUAUAUAGAACCCAUUGUGUUGUUUGGUGUAAAGAUGCAACUUUGCAUCUAUGUAACCUACACCACUCAUCAAACUACACGUCCCAAAUUACAAAUAAUAUGAUGCAAUUCUUUGCAUUAGACGCAACACUUAAAGAAUAAACAAGAUUAAUUUUUUCAUUCAAUAUUUUGAAAUUAAAUACUAUAAUAUCUAAUAAAUAUUAUAAUAUAAAUUUCCAACACAACUUAGAGAGCAAGUUGGUUUAGCUCUUCCUUUGCACACUUGAUGUGAAUAGUAGAGUUCCCUCACUUCAAGAUGAACUUGCCUUUUGCACGUGUUUUCUCGUGUGUGAAAUGUUUUUUUUUUUUUAUUAAAAAAAAUAUAAUUGAGCAACACGCGACUUACAUAUUUUUUAGCAAUUCUAUAUCAAGUUUGCACCAAUUGUUUAUCUAUGUUGUGAAAAACUUAUAUGCAACUGGAAAGUCAAAAUGACAGUAUUCUACACCUAUUAUAUAUUAUAUAUUUUAAUUACUAACAUGAUAUCGCGUAAUUAAUUUGUAAUACAGUUACCUUCACAUGUAAAUUCUCUUUCUAAAUGCUUAAAAAGAAAGUGAUAAAAAGUGAUGGUAGUUCAACAUUGCACCCAAAUACUAAAAAGGCUCUUACUUUUGAAUUAAAUUGCCCACAUUUCUUUUUUAGGUAAAUUACAUAGUAACCCCUUAUGUUUGAGGUCUAUUACAACUCCAUACAACAUUUUUAAAACAUUUUACUUUUAUACCUCACGUACUAUUUUAUUUCAAAAUAAUACCUCCGUUAGAUUUUUCAUCCAUUAACUACCAUAUUUGUGCCACGUGGCUGCCAAAUGUGUGCCACGUGGCCAAAAACUCACUCACCUUCCCCCGUUGCUCUUUCCAACUCUCAUAUGCGAUAUCUAUCUCUCUCUCUCUCUCUCUCUCUCUCUCUCUCUUUUUCUCUCUUCAAUCCUUCUCCUUCUUCCUUUCAUCUUUCUUGCUCAUCUUUCAUUUCCCAAAACGCCUAUCUCUCUCCCCAAAAUUCCCUCAAAGUCUGCCUAGCAGACUUCCCCAUAUCCCUCAACUAUGGUUUCCUCGAAAAGUAUUAGGCUUUCGACCUCGAUUCAUGCCUCCAAACGGACACCGACCACCAAAUCUCUGAUGCGGCUGCUGCUAAAGCUGGACUCGAUGCCCGGGGUGGACCUCGCUGUGAGGCAAACGAGGAGAAAUGUGAGUCGUCGGAUCGUGGGGCUGCAGGAGAUCGUGGACCUUCCCUUGGAGUCGAUCUCGUCGAAUCUUGUCAUUGUUGAGGAUGAGCAUGAUGGGCGGUGAUGAAGAGGUGGGGGAUGAUCUCGACGGAUCCGAAACGAGGAAAGUCAAAUCUGAAUCGGAGAAAUGUGGGGGAGAAUGAGAUUUGGGCGUUUGUUUGGAUGGGAUGAGAGGUGAAAAGAGUGAAGGAGAGGGAGGUGGGCUGGGGUUGGGGGGCUGGCGGGGGAGGUGGGGUUAGGGUGGAAAGGGGUGUUUAGGUUACAAGGAAGGGGGAUGGGGAGGGGAAGAAGAUGGGUGGGGAUGGGUUGUGGGGAAGGUGGGGUGUUGGGUUCUGCGUUUUUCAUUUUUUUUAAUUAAAAAUAAAUAGAAAAUUGCCAUGUGGCACAAAUGCGGCAACCACGUCAGUAUUUAACAGAUUAAUGGAUGGAAAAUCUAACGGAGGUAUUAUUUUGAAAUAAAAUAGUACGUGAGGUAUGAAAGUGAAAUGUUUUUAAAAUAUUGUAUGAGGUUAUAAUAGACCUCAAACCUGAGGGGUUACUAUGUAAUUUACCCUUCUUUUUUAAAGAGAUUAUUAGUAUUAUUCCGUAGUAUUUUGGACCAUCGUUUGGAGUCUGCCAUCAACGUUGAAGGGACAAUGCCUAUUCUGUUGAAAAAAGGAAAUGGUGAUCGGACUUGGAUUGUCUGCUCUCCCCAUUCCAUAUCCUCUCCAUGCCCUCCUAUUUUUGUGGUCACGGUUAAGUCACGUUAAUAUUUCAUAUUCUCAUUACUUUUUGUCUUAUUAUUUCUAUAAAAAAAAUCAAUAUAAAAUGUUGAUAUGGCUUAACCGUGAUCAUAAAAUAUAGGAGGGCAUGUGAAAUACAUGGAAUGAGGAGGGUAGACAAUCCAAGUCCAUGGUGAUCGACCUCGUGGACCUAUGAAUACGUCCAAAGCUAAAAGAAAGUUGACCAAGUAAGCAACAAAAUAAGGUGGACGUACGGGUACGGGGGCAAAAACAAUAAUGAGAAUUGAGACUACAUACAUAGGAGAUCAACGGCUUGCCUACUGUGCCGACGUUUUGAACCGAUAACGCAAUAUUAUGUCGACAACAAAAAAUUUUACAUGACAUUAUGUAUUUAGAGUGAAACGUCACGCUAACAGCGAAUUCAUUUUAUAAAAAUCUUUCCUCCAUUCUUAGGGUUAAAACUUAUAAGAGGGAAGUUGACAAGCCAACAUAAACCCAAAAUUUACACUUGAUCAUUUUUAAUUGCAUAAUAAUUAUUAAGGUUCUAAAAGACGUUAGGAGCUAGUCAGACGGAGGAUUGGGCCUAGCGCCUAGAAGGGUGCCUAGGCAGACUAGAUGAAUUUAAUUAAAUAUAUUAUAUUUCGUGUAAAUAAGUGUUUAUUUAUACUUAAAAUAUAUAUAAUUUCAUCAUAAACUACAAAAUAGAAUGACAUAUAUAUUAUGAGCUAUUGAAACAUAAUGAAAACAUGGGAAACAAGCAUAUAAUGUUUGUUCAUUUAAAUAUUCAACAAGUCUCUUACAAUUUAUUGAAAAAAUAAAUAAACUGCAAAAUGAAAAUUGUCUAUUUUCUGUCUAAAUGAGUCGCAACCUAGGCAGGUGCUUAUGCGGGCUUUGGUGGGUUAGGCCAGUGCCUAAGCGGGUUAGGCGGGCGCUUGCAACCUAGGCAGGUGCCUAGGCGGGCUAGAUGGCUGCCUAGGCUGAUCUUGGCGGGUGCCUAGGUGGUCUAGGUGCCAUUUUUUAAUUUUCAAACACCUAGGCAAUAAUCGGGGCGUGACUAACCGCCUAACGCCUAGACAGAACCUAGACGACGCUAGGCAGAAAUUUUUAAAACAGUGAUAAUUAUUCUCAACAGCAAAACAGCUUCUGCCUUUGGGGUAUCUUGGAAUAUUAAAAAUGGCAAAUUGGCAACUAGGAGCCAACGGUAUGGUCGGCGGAUACGUGGAUCUUCGUGGACCCUAAUUAUAUUAUUUCUCUCUUUCUGAUCAAUUAAUAAACACACACGGGGGUUACUAAUUAUAAUUAUAAUUUAUAUGUAGGUUUAGUCCUCAAUUUUUAAUACAUAUACUUGAUUAAUUAGUCGGCGGAGAUCAGGAAAAAUCUUACUCCAUGUCUUUGAUUAUUUGUCUAAUCCCACCGCCCAACGCUUGUCAUUAGUUGAUCACUAAUUAUCGUUGGAAUCACACACGUCUGUUUAUAUACAAGUUGGAUAUCUUACCGACAAUUAUUUUUCAUUUUCAACCGAUUUUCCUACCACCCAAUGCAGCUGCUGUGCUGGAUAUGUUCUUGUUUCUACUUUUUUUUAUAUAUCAUUUUUAUAAUUUUAUUAUUAUAAAAGGGAUAGAAGAGUUUAAAAUUAUUACAAUAAUUUAGGAGAAGAUGGAUUUUCAAACCUAAAACGCAUAAGUGAAAACCAACACCUUGUUUACUAGGAUAUUUGACCACAUGUUCUUGUUUCUACCAAAUCUAUCAGAAAGAAACAAAUAUUCUUGUGGUUAAGGGUGAGAAAAUUUUAGUUCAUACACAUAAUGUCGUGGAUAUGGAUAGUUAUUAAUGCUUUUAAAUUUUUAUAAAAGCGUAUUUUAUAUUAAUUUAUUUAAAUUAAAGGGAGAAGAUGUUCAAAAGUUAAGUGUGACAAGACAAGUGGAGCAUUCUGUCGCACCUCUAAUCAACUUAAUUAAGUUCAUAACAGUUGGUCACUAUUUCUUAAUGUGGUUAAUUCCAACUAAAAUUAGAAGAAGAUUUGACUUUUGUUAUCAUGCUUAUUUUUAAUUGUUAGUUUUUUCCUUAUCAACUUGCUAUCAUCUCUUUUCAAGGUAUGUAAAUGUGACCUUUACCUGUUGAAUAAUUUUAUAUUGAUUACCACCUAUAACGCAGCAUGGCUUUACCAACAGUACAUAUAAUUAUUUUGAGAUAAAUGCUAGGAAGACACUUUUAAAGUGAAUUUUUUUGUAUAUUUUAUGUCACCUUAUAGUUUAGUGUCAAUUCUGAUGACAACAUUAUAAAAUAUUGUGCCAAAAACAUGAGGUGAAGAAAGUUCAUAGAAAGUUUCACUUUUGAGAGAGUCCCCUUAACAUUCUCUUAUUUUAAACUUAAUUUAACUAAUAAAUUACUCAAACCAUAGUGUUUUGCCAAGGAAUCAAUUUAUUUUUUUAAUGCGAAUAAAAGAAAUUAAAUGGAAAUUAAGUAAAACAAUCCACCGCUUACCAAGAAAUCAAUUUAUUCUACACUAAUCUAUAUAGAAAAGAAAGAGUUUAAACCCCGAAAUUUAGCGAGUUAAAAAAAAAGAUAUUAUAAUUAUCAGGAUAUUUCACCACUUACAUAUAUAUAUAUAUAUAUAUAUAUAGGAGCUUAAGUUAAAUAAACGAUGAAGAGAUAUAUAUAUAUUCCUUUAAUAAUAUCUUAUAAAUAUCAAAUGUACAAUCACACAUUAAUGUUAGGAAAAAUAGGUUUUCUUAACUCAAAAGAAUAAAAUGGUGACUAUGCGAAACUAGCUAGUGGCGAUAUGGGCCAUGCAUGGCCAUAUUCAGACUAAGACAGGCUGAGCUACCGUGUGAUGCGUGCAUCGAAAUUUCAAAAAGAUUAAAGAAACUUUCAUGUUCAUUAGGAUUAUGAUUGGGAUUUGGUUAGAUUUUAGAUAGAGUAUAUUGGAUGGACGGCAACUCGUAAUUUCGUACACAAGCUACAUUCAUUGGUAGUGGCGGAUCCAGGAAUCUUACCCCAAGGGGUCGCAGUGUAAAAGUUCAAAUAAAAAUUUAGGAUGGAAAAACAUAUUGAAAAUGAAAUCAUAGUACUUUCAUUCAUAAUUCAUAAUGGAAACAAUAUUACAAACUAUAAUUGUCCACGACGAGGUUUCAUAUUUUGAAAACAAAGCAUUAUAGCUUCAUUUUCAAUACAAGCAAAAAUAUCUCUCUCAAUAUAAACAAGUGAGCUAUCACUCAACCAUUGAUCUCCCAUUUUGUUCCUAAGUGGACCCUUAACAAUAUUCAUGACAGAAAAUGUUCUCUCCACUGAAGCAGUUGCAACUGGUAAAACUAAAGACAAUGUAAUGAGCAAAUAUACAUAAUUGAAUACUUGAUGCAUCCUUGUCUCCACCAUUUUUUUUGCAAGAUCACCAAUCCCUUCCAAUUGAGAGAAAUCACUACUGGAACACACAUAAUGAAUAUAAAUCUCAAGUUGAUCUUCAAGUGCCAAACGAUCUUCAUCCGAAAAGUCUUGAGGAUAAAAUUGAGCAAGACGAAGUAACUUUGGUUUAUCAAAAGCUACAAAUGAAUCUUUCGGACUCAAACAUGCCAUACAAAUAAGCAACUCGGUAUUUACCUCAUUAAAGCGAUCCUCUAACUCCGUAAUUUGCUCAUCAAUGACAUAAAUAAAGAGCUCCACACGAUAAUGAUGACGAUUUGUCUUUAUUGGAGCAUAACGCCUUGACCUCCCUGGAAGUAUAAAUGCCUCUUCCAUGUUAGGAAUCAUCAAUAUGAUGUGUUUUUCACAAAAAGAAGAUACUUCAUCAACCAAUGCAUCGAACCCAUUAUUCCUCAUCCAAUAUAGCUUUUCCUUGCAUGAUUUCACUAAAGCCAUUGCAUUCACAAUUUCUUGAUCUUUCUUUUGCAAUGCUUGUGACAAAUCAUUUGUGAAGUCCCCAAUAUGACUUUCAAAUCAAAAAAGGUGAAACACAAACUCAAAAAGUAUCACUCUCAUUAACUUAUUUGCUUCACCCGCACUUUCAUUGGGAUUAUCAUCAAUAAACCAUUUGAAGCACAUGAACCACGGAUGAAAACAUAGAAAUGAUGCUAAUCAAGGUACCAUAGUGUGAGUUUUCAUCGUGUGUGUCACCGGCACGUUUGAGACUUGUUGAUUUAUUUAAGCCUCACCCCGUUAUAAGACAAUCAUUUUCAAAAGCUAUCACAAGCUCUUCUUGAAGUUGCCCUCUAAGUGAAUCACGCCGCUUACAAGAUGCUCCAACAUGAUUAACCACACUAUUAGCCGUUGCAAAUGCAAAAAAGAGGCGGCAAUGUCUAUAUUCUUCUUUGCUACGGCAACAAGAGCUAGUUGAAGUUGAUGAGCAAAGCAAUGAACAUAAUAUGCACAAGGUUGUUCUCUCAAUAUCUUUGUUUUAAGGCCAUUCAACUCACCUCUCAUAUUUGCUAGCACCAUCAUAACCUUGUCCUCCUCAUAAAUGCUCAAACCGUUGCAGAAGAAAACAAUGUGUCAAUAGCAAAUUAAUCUUGUCUUUAGUGAACUUUGAAUUACAAUGUAGAACUUGUAGUGGUCGGUAACAUGUUGGAUACCCACAAAUCUUUCAAUUACAUGCCCGUUGUCAUCCACAUAACGCAACACCAUAGCCAUUUGCUCUUUCACAGACACACAUCACGUGCUUCAUCCACCAAUAUUGAAAAGAAUCUAUCUUUUAGACCAUCCAUGAUAGCAUCAAGUGUUUUCAAGGGCACAUGAAUUCACAAUUUCUUUUUUUAAUGGAAGGAGCUAGUAAUUUGAGAUUCCCCGGAGCAUUUUCCAUCACAACUUCUCUAACUUUAUCAUUAUUAUCUGCAAGGAAUUGCAAUAACUCUAAGUAAUUUCCCCUAUUGCUUGAAGUGGCACUUUCAUCAUGGCCACGAAAAGGAAGACCUUGUCGCAAUAAAAAAACUUAGUGCACUUGAUUGAAGCAAUAAAGCAUGUGCGAUAAGCCUUACGAGCUUGGUCAGAGUGUUUGCUCACUGCCGUUCCGUUUCAAUAUGUGUAGCUUGAUUCAUCAAAUUUGUAGCAGCUUCUCUAGCCUUAUUAUGAACACUCCCAACCGGUCCAACAUGCAUCUUAAAUCUUUCUCUCCCUUUCUUCCAAUUCUUAAAUCCAUCUCCAGUGAAAGCUUCACUACCCACUUGUUCAAAAUUGGUUUUUUAAAGAGAUAGCAAUAGAGACAAAAUGCCGCAUCUUUAGAUACACUAUACUCCAACCAAUCAAACUUAUCAAACCAUUGGGGAAUGAAGCGUCGAUUAAUUCCCGACACAUAUUAGUUAUUGGGAAAUUAUGACCUCUAGGUUGACAAGGUCCUUUUUGUAGAUAUAAUCUUUCGGACCUCAUCUCUCAUAUUAGCAUCAUAAUCUAUUAUUCGAGUUCUUAAUCCAGGAUCCGCUUGAAGAUUACCCCAAAACAUCAUCUAACUGACUUUGUCUUGAACUUGGAGUUUUUGAAACUACCAACAGUAUUUGAACUAUCAACAUUAUUCGAACUACCCGAACCCGAUGAUGACUUUCUCUUAAAAAACCGUUCCAUUAAUAAUGCUACAUAUACAAAAUAAAAAAUAACAUUCUACUUUACAAUAUAAAUACAUAUACAAACAUAAAUAAUCAAAUAAAUAUGAAUUGAUUUCAUUAAAUUAAAUAUCUCAUCUUCAUUCAUACAUAAAUAAUAAUAAAAUAAAUACUCACAUAAUAAACAUCAACCAUUCAUAUAUACAAAAAUAAAUAUGAAUUGGAAUUUCAAUUAAAAAAUUUUUCAAUUAAAUACAUAAAUAUCAAUAAAUAAUUCAAAUAUAUAUAACACAAAAUAUUCAAUAAUGAAUAAAUAUAAUUGAACUUCAACCAUUCAAAAUAUUUCACAAUACCAAAAUAAUUAAAAUAAAAAUCUCACAUAUAAACAUAUACAACAAAAUAAAAAAUCACAAUAUAAAAAACCAUCAAUAUCAAAAAAAACAUAUAAAUAAAAACUCAAUAUCAAAUAAUUAAAAUAUCAACAAUAAUAAAAACUCACAAUAUAAACUAACAAUAAAUAAUUAAAUUGGCAUCUUCAAUUCAGUAUAUUCAAUAUAAAACAAGGCUCCAAUAAACAAAAAAAACUCACAAUAUAAAGCAAUAAAAGCAGCAGCAAGGGAGGAGAGGAGUGGGUUUGGGGCAGCAGCAGCAAGGGAGGAGAGGAGUUGAGGGUUUGGGGAUUGAGUUAGGGUUGGAGGAUGAGAAAAACAAAAGAAAUUGGGGCUUUUGAUUGUAUAGGAGUCGGGUAGGAAGGCUGGGACUGGGGGGGGACACGGUGGGAAUUUCCUUUCUUUUUUUGUUUGUUCGGCCUGGCCCAAAACGACGCCGUUUUGGCCAGGUCAUUUAAAAAAAUUUCCUGGGCCAAAACGACGCGGUUUUGCCCGUCUGUUUUGAAAAAAAAGAAGCGCGCGCGAGCGCUGCUUCUUCUUCCUCUUCCUGCCGAGUCUUCGUUCAGGCUUUUUGUCGAACAGUUGGCGUGCGAGUCCGACCCCGACGACCCCAGCUCCAAGAGGUCGCAUAUGGGAGCUUCAAGGUUGUUUCCAUGGUUUCCAAGGGGUCGUGCGACCCCGACGACCCCACUGUGGAUCCGCCACUGUUCAUUGGUUAAUCGUUUCUUUUUGGAGAGCAACUUACAUGAUAUUAAGUUGCUCUCUACAAAAGAAAUCAUUAGAGGGUUAGCCUUCGUGCAAAAGAAAGGGUGCUCUUUUGUGAUUAAAGGAUCACAGGUUCAAAUCGUGGAAACAAGUUAUUUACAGUAAACUAAAGAUAAGACUGUGCACGAUAACGUUCCUCCCCCGAACUUCACAAAAAAAAAAGAAAUGUUGUUGGCUUGAGGUCGCUCUUUAAUAAUAGAUUAGCGCAUGGUGUCACAAUACUCAUUAUAAAAAUCCUUCUCGUAUUGUCAGGAAUCAUUCAAGAAGACCCGGAGUAGAUAUGAUGAGAAACCACAUGGAUGGACAUGCAUGAUUAGGCUUGGCAGUUGGCAAUUUGGCAUGCACACCUGCAGUUUCCCUUUAUUUUUCAUGUGGAGCGCGGAUGAAAUUAACAUCAAUCUAAUUAGCUAGGGUUUCGUGUGGUGGUUUUCAUGUACCCUAGAUAUUUUAUUCACAACUUGGAUUAUACAUAAGUACCAACUAGCUGCCAAUCAAUAGGACGGUAGGGCACAUGGUCAUACCUAAUUACAUGAUAAAACGGCAUUAUUUCUGCAUGCAAACGUCAUAACUCAGACCAUUUAUUAAUGUGGACAUUUGAUAUAUGUCUUUGUUUGAUUUUGAACACUGAGCAAGAAAGAAAUACUAAGAAGAUACCAAACGCUUGCAAGAACUUACCAUUAAAUAGUCUCUCGUAUACGAAUAUUAGUUGGUCGAUCGAUCAGUUUUAUGUGGAGUUAAACUUUAAGUAAAUUAGGGUUCCAAACUCUUGUUUCUUUCUUUUAAAUCCAUUGUAUCUCGUACACAUCUGACAAUGAAAGUAGGACGCGCGUAAUCGGAAGUUUCUUUCUUCUUUAAUUUGAUUAAUUUUCUCGUAAAGUGGUGCAAUGGAGGUCCAGAAAAGGAUUGAUCUAUCAGAACUGAAGUAGCCUGUCAAAGUACAUAAGUUUUAGUUCUUACUCAUACGCACUUCAGCUCGCUUGGUAGCCGAUUGAGAUAUCGAUGUCCAAAUAUCUGGAGGAAAUGUUGAGAACAUGAUCAUAUAGUACUUAUGUAGGGCUGAGGAAUGCCUUGUUUGUAGCACACGAUUAUAUAUAGAUUCCUCCACCAAAAUUGCUCCAAAAGAUAUUUUCUAUACUUGGUGUACCUUUUCAUAUGUAGAGUUAAAUGACGGCUCACGGUGGGAUAAUUAUGCGAUUUUGAUUAUGUGAAACUUUUAAUAGAAAAUUUCAUUUUAAUCUUUGGUAAAUAUGAUUUUUAGAUUAAAACUAUGAGUAAGAUCAAAAUCUAAUUUUGAUCAUAUAUUAAUAACCUCAUUUAUUAAUUAUAUUUUUCUUUUUUAAUUAAUUUUCUUUUUCUUCCUAAUUUUUAAUGUAUUAAUUUUAUUUCAUUUUCAUUUUCAUUUUCGCUUCAUUUAAUGUAAUAUAUGUUGUUGUAAACAUUUGGAUAAACUAAUUUUUGUUAUACAAUAUAUUUCGAUGUACUUUGUUUUCUUCAUUCAGGUACAUUAAAUUCAUUAUAAUACAUUUCGGUGCAUAUAUUUAGGUACACAUAUUUCGGUACAUACAUUUCGAUACAAACAUUUAGGUAUAUUAAUUAAAUAUAAUACAUUUCGGUACUAAUAUUUCAGUGCAUACAUUUCGGUACACACAUUUAAGUACAUUAAUUUAAUAUAAUACAUUCCGGUGCAUAUAUUUCGAUACUAACAUUUAAAUACAUUAGUUCAAUAUAAUACAUUUUGGUACACAUAUUUUGAUACUAACAUUUGGGUACAUUAAUUGAGUCUUUUAAGUUUGAAGAAUGUUAAAUAAAAUUAAUAAAUUAAAAAAAUUCUUUUUUAGUCAACAAAAAAUAAAUUAAAAUUUGUGUAUUAAUAAAUUUAAAUAUUUAAUGAAAACAUUAAUAAAAUGCACAUUAAUUAUUUUGAAUUAAUGACACAUCAAUGGAUUAUAAUCAAUAUGUAAAUUAACAUCAGGUUUAUUUUAAAUUUCAAUCUUUUUGAAUGAUUAAAGUUAAAAAAAAACCCCAAAUUUUAAAUUACUUGUAAUGUUUGGGACUCCAGUAUUUUGAUAUUUUCGUUCCAUGUAGCUCUCCCUUGUUAGAUAAAGUUAUCUAUGAAGCUGCUCUCUCUCAGAAGGAAAAUUUACGAUAAAAGGUUCACGUGCGGAGUUCACUCAAUGUGAAAGGAUUGCUUUAUACAACGAUCAGACAUAAGAAGAAAAUGAUUUAUACACAUAUUUGUUCUCACACUAAUCUUUAAUCUUCUUCUUUUGAGAUGUUAAAAAUGAAAAGGUGAAAAAUCACUAUCGAAAAAUGGUGAUGCGAGGAACAAGGAAGAAAACAAAUAAGAGGUGGGCAGUGGGCACCAACCUAACCCACAUGGUGACGGUGCAAAUAGGAUAAUGCUUGUGUCCUUUUUAUGGAAAAUAAUUAUUCUUUUAGGGAAAAUAAUUAUUUUAUCAAUUGCGAUUACACAAAUAUUUAUCAUCUAAUUAUUAUAAUUUGACUUGUUAAUUUUUUUAUCAUCUAAAAAUUAUAGGGAAGUAUUAUUGGUACUCCAAAAAUCUCAUUCUAUACUCCUCACAAGUGUAUUUUUUUUUCUAAAUAUAGAAAGUUUGGACUGUAGGAUGAGAAUUUUGGAAUGCCAAUAACAAUUCCCAAAUUAUAUAUGUAAAAUAUUAUUUAAUUUGGCUAUUUUUUAGCCAUUAAUAUGCAUAAAAUAAAUAGAUGGUUCAUCAUGAUGAUGUUACUUGAUAUUGCAAUUAUUUGUUAGUUUAACAUGUAUGGAUGACCAAACCAUGUCCAAAUUGAAUGAUUUUUUGUAUAUGAUCUUCAACAUAAUAAAGAAAAUGAAUGAUUCGAAUUAUAAUGUUAGAAUAAUAAAGAUUAGUUUUUUUAUAAGUAAAAGAAAAAUUAAGUUACAGAGGAGACACAAGCAUUAUGUGUGUGUGUAUGUAUAUGCACCCGAUUUUUCCUACUCACAGAACUUGGUUCCUAACCUCCUCCAAUCAUAUCUCCUGUUUCACACUCGGCCUUCUUUCCUUCCUUCCUUCCUCCUUCCUACUCCAAUCACAAAACUCAAACAAAACAAAAGAAAUCGAAGAAACCUUUGAGAAUUUGAGAGGCCUGAAAGUUGCAAUCGUAACAUCACACCUUCACAGACACCUACCUCUUCCUGCUGCCUGCUGUCCUCCCCUUCUUCCCCCCACGUACUACGCAGUACCCUCACUGUGUACUCUCUUUUUUCUCUACUUUUUAGCUUUCCCCCACCUGUCGCCUUUGCCCUUUUGGUUUCCUUCCCAUUUUUCCCUAUUUAUUUACCAAAUUGCCAUCCCCUCCGGCCUCUGCCUAGUAUUUCUCUUAUAUAUAUAUAUAUGUACAUUUAGCUGUAUAUAUUAUCCCACCUUCACAACAUAAUCAACUACUUUUCCUCUCACUCCAAAUAUAUAUAUACACACACACAUCCACCAAAGGAAAAAUGUAUGGCCCUUGAGAGUUAACAUAAUAUUACCACAUUUUUUAUUACAUAUAUGUGUGUAUCUAUAGACUAUAUAUAUUGUUGUUAUAUAUAGAGAUACAAAGAGAGAGAUAACAGAUUCAUACUUCGUUAAUUUAUUAUGGGGUUACAAAGCCAGCUCAACGACGUCUCUUCCGACUCCAUCCCGCUCUUACUCAUCGCACUCAUCGCCAGCUCCAUCAACCACCUCCGCUCCUCCCUCCUCGCCCUCCUCCAUUUUCUGGGCCUCAGCCCCCAUCCCAAUCCUGGCUCAGACUACGACGAAGGCCUUGCUGCCGGCCCGGCCGUGGGCUCGGGACUCGCGGGUCUCGUUAUCUUGUCCGACCAGCUCGCCCUCAACCGUCACUUAUCCUAUCCAUACGACCGCGACGACGCCGUUGCCACCGCACGGGAUUGCAAUUGCGUGGUGUGCUUGUGCACCUUGGGGGAUGGUGAGCAGGUCCGCAUGCUCCAGUGCCGCCAUGUGUUCCACAAGCACUGCUUCGACUCCUGGCUCGACCACCUCAACUUCAAUUGCCCUCUCUGCCGCUCUCCCGUGGUACACCGGGAUGGCGUCGCGCUCACGCGCCGCCGACUCUCCCGCGACCUCCUCCACUGGUUUUCCAUCAGCUGAGAAUCAAUGGAUGUUAACGUCAUAAAUAUGUUCACAUGGUAUCCAGUAUCCACCACUGAUAUCCACUCUAAUCUGCCCAUGGAUUGUGAGUCGUGACGAUUGCCGGUGGUUUCUUACGUUUUUUCCAUUUUUCUUUCUUUUUUUUUUAUAUUUUAGAGGGUUGUUGGCCAUAGACUUUCUUUUUUAUUGUUUGGUCCCUCUAAUUAUUUUUCCUGCGGCUGUAAAUAUUUCGUGUUGCUAAUUAAAUAAGGAAGAGGGAUUUCUUUGUGUUUACCGCCAUUUUUUUAUAUAUUCUGUGAUGAAAAUUAAGAUUAGAAACGUUACUAAAUGGUAAAUAAAAAUUAGGGAAGCUUACUAUAGGAGCAUAAUUCAAGCUUGUUUGAAAAAGUUUUUAAAAUGACUAGAAACUUAUUAUUGGAACAUAAUUCAAGCUCGUUUGGAAGAGCCUUUAAAAAAAAUUAAAAAUUCAUUUAAAGAAAAUGUUUAGUGUUUCAAAACAAUUAAAGAACUUUUUGUACCAAAAACAAUUUCAAUUAUUUUAAAAACACUUCCAAACAAACUCUCAUCUCUUACGGAAGCAAAAAUGAUGAGCGUCUUUUCAGCUAAGAAAAAUGGGUCUAAUGUGCAAUAUGUAAAAACAUAGGAAAAUAUAUCUUUUUGUCCUCUUUGUAUAUAUUCUUUAUUUAUUAUUCUUUUAUUUUUCGUAAAUAAAAGUGUGCACGCACAUAAAAAUGCAUGUUGAAAUCUCUCCCAAAACCUGCACUCUUUUCUAUCCCACUGACGUUUUUAAAGAGGGUAUGAAAUCCCUAGGAGAAGGUUAAAAAUGGAAAAUAAAAGAAAGUCAAAAAGUAUAAACUACGAAAGGAUUGGCCCCUAAGAAAGCGGAAAUUUUAUUUAAACUCAUAUAACCUAUUUCUACACAUAACUUACUUUUUGCACCAAUUUGAUUUUUAAUUACACUAUUAAUAUCUCUUUAAACCCAAAUUUGAUACCUAAUAUGCCCCCAUAAAUCCAAUUCAAUAUAUGGAUUUAUUAUAAUGUUUGGGUUUAUUGAUAAAUUUAAUUAUAAUGUUUAAGCUUUUGUAAAGAGAGCUAUUAGGAUUUAAUUAUAAUAUUUGGGUUUAUUGAUAAAUUUAAUUAUAAUGUUUAAGCUUUUGUAAAGAGAGCUAUUAGGAUUUAAUUAUAAUGUUUGGGGUUUAUUGAUAAAUUUGACUUUUAUUAUUAAUUUCAUUUUGUACUUAAUAGUAAUUAUGCAAUAGGAUAAAAUAGACAAUUAACAUUUAAAAUUUAAAAUUGGGUGUAAAAAGAGGUUGAAUGGGUUUAAAUAAAAUUUCCUUAAAGAAAACAUGUGUUGGGCCAGUCAUUAAAUAAUGCAAAGCCCAAUAUAUAAUGGUAAAUCCAUAAUAUUGCAAAGCCCAAAACAUUGUCAAAAAAACUAUACUCCUACCAACGUCCUAACGAACUACAUGCAAUUAUUAGCGAACUACACAUACCAGUUGAUUAAGUAUUCAGCACAUCAAAGAUAAGCAAACCAAAACUUUCAAACGUACCACAUGUCUUUUUUUUGCCGUUUACUCUUGAACUUCUUCUCUAAAUCCAAAUUCGAAUCCAAUUUAACAAUGUAUACAAAGAUGGUCUACGUCUUGUAAAAGUCAUCUCGUACAUGUAGGAAUGCAUGAUGACAUUUUUGUAGUACUGAUAACAUUUCUUAUCUUUUAUUUGAGACGAUAUAUCUAAUUAGAUGGUUUCGAGAGGCAAAAUGUACGGCCGUACUGUAAUCUUCAAUAGUACUAAAAAUGAAUUUGGAUGUUAGUUUGGUAUAUAUCAUGAGGACUGAGCAGGGUUCAAUCUUAAUUUACCAGUACCUCAACUACUACCAUUCUCUUUUCUGCGCUGAUUUUUCUAGCUUUCAUUCAUCUAACUGAGGACUGAGGAGGACUCGAGCAAGAGAUCUUAAGCCCGUCAAUUGUUCUACUUCGUGCCGAGAGAUCCAAAAUAUCAAAUACCCUUUUCGUCUAAAGGGCGAUCCAUCCGGCUGCGGAGAUCCUGACGAUGAAUUUGCUUGCGUGAACGGAAAAACCAUCUUAGAAAUUUUCCCGGGAAAGUACUACGUGCACAACAUUUCAUAUGAUGAUCAAAUCCUCGUUUGGUGCACGUCAACUUCGCCAACGGAAGCAGCCUUCCGUCAACGGAAGUGAAUGUCAGGGAUUAUCGGUUCCAAGGAUAUGACACCAGCUCUACUAGUUUUAUCGAUUCGUCAAGCAAUACGAUGCAAAGAAUAAUUCCUGCCUAAGCGGCGGUAGGCUAGACCUCAACCAUUGAAGGCUAUUUCAUCCCAUGGCCAUACACUUGCCAUUGAAAUUAUGAGUAUAAUAAGCUUAUUAUCUAACUCUAGAUGUUUGGUUGUAGUUUGUAAUAUAGUUGUUGUGUGUAUUAAAUACGGGUAAAAAAAAUUUGUGCAUGACGUUUGUUCUUUGUUAAAGAAUGGAUUUUAUAUCAAUAAUGUAAUUUACAGCUUAUGAAAACUAAUCGUGUCUACCAAUGUUAUCGACAGCUUAUCAACAGUUGUCUGGUCUAUAACGUCACGUCCAGAAAAUAACUUUUAGUAGGGGCUUAAGAGAGCCUAGGAGGAAAUAGGGCAUAUUGUGGAAGACAAGCAGCAUGUGCAGGUGGACAAGGGCACUGGCAAGUGUAUGCCUAUGGGAUGAAAUAGCUUUCAACAGUAGUCUUAUUGUGCUCGUAAUUUGGUAGUGUCCUAUUAAGGGGUUUCGUAAACGCCAUGUUCGGGCCAAACACGAGCAUGUUUGAAACUGCAUAUGAUAGGGUUUGAAACAUUGUUCGAUAGUUAUAAGCGCUGGUGAUUACAUUUUACAAAAAAUCUUAAAUUGCUUAUAAGAUCUUAAAAAACGUUUUCUAAAGGUACUUUUCUAGAAUAUACCCAAACUUUUAAUAAAAGUUUUAGCAUGUUCAUAUGAAAAAUCAUCCCAAAUGAAUCAUGGCUAAAUCAAGAGUGCCUAUGAUGCUAAACCCAAGUAUGUUGCACAUUGAAAACUGCCAGCUAGAAAUUUUUAACUUGCGGCAUGUCCUAUUCUCACCUUUUACCCUGGACUUCUACAGACUUCUACUCUAAAUCCAAAUAUUUGGAAGAGAAUUCUCUCUCCUCCUAAUAUUUGAAUGCAACUUAGCAAAUCUAUGUAUUUGAGAAGCAAUCAUAUAUAUUUGGAUAGUGAUUUUUGCACUCAUAAUUUCUUUAUCUAUACUGCUCCUUAGUUUGUGACUUGUAAUUUGAUUAUCUUUUUUUUUUUUUGUUCAAUUCACUGGAUUAAAAAGUUAGGAGUAUGAAGGUAGAAAACAGGAGUGCGAGGGUAGAAAAUAGACUGACACCUGUAAGGCUGCACUACUACAAUCUUCAAUAGUAUAAAAAGGGAAUUUUUUUUCUUUAAAAAAUUGAUCAGUUGGCUUCACCAUGAUAGUUUAUUUUUUCGGUGCUCAGAAGACUCACAGAAGCAUUUCAUAAUUUCUUGACUAGCAUCUGUAAUUCACAUAGUGUCAGAACGUGUCGUGUGACAUGGAAUUGGUUUCUAACCAUUGGUGACUCUGUGGUGAGUACAAAAAAGAAUUUUGAUGUUGGUUUUGUUAGACUAAGUCAGACUUCCCAUUUUCAUUCAAACUAUCAAGUCUUCUUCCUUAUCUCAAAGAGAGUGUUAAGUCUAGGAAGAUUAUGAAUGUUUCUUAGUUAAGUUUACUAUGCUGUUAUAAAGUUUGAAUUUCACACUAGCGUGUAAAUAGCUUGUUUUAAACCCACUGACGUAAAUCUCUAUGAUCUUAUAAAUACAAGCAACCCUAGAUUGAAAAGGGUAUGCAAAAACAACUAAAAACCUAGCCUACUAAAGUUUUAUAUGGUAUCAGGUUGUUCCAUGUGUAAAGUCAAACAGUCAUACGUGCUCCACACUACUCUGUUGUGUUGUCCACGUGUUAGACUUAAAAAUUUGUCACACGUGAGGUGGCGUGUUGAGAAUGAGUCUCACAUUGAUGGGAGGAAGAACUUUCAUGAGCUUAUAAAUAAGUUGAAUUGCUUCUUAUAUUACCAAUUAAUUUUAUAGUGGAACCUCAACUUUAUUCAGGUUUGUUGUGCAUCUCUGGACUCGUAAAAAGAUACUUCAUCGCUGACUCUGAAAUUUGGCAUAUUCAUGAAAACUUAUACUCGGUUGUGUAUUGGCAAAGGAAUGAGCCAAUUAAGGGAGCUUAAUUGUCGUCGAUCUUUGAAUUCUAUUAGAAUAAUAUGGACAUUGUUUUAUUUAUUUGAAGAUCAUCCAAAUUGCUUUAUUUUUAUUAACUCGAUCGAUCUCGACUUAAGACUUUUUGAAUCAACAACUUUCACAUAACGCGUUUCUGCACUAACUUCCUUGAUUCUAAAAUCAUUACGUUAUUAUUUCAUAUAAAUAUAAUAUUAUUAAUUAAAAAAAAACUGAAGAAAUAAAAAAACCCUAGCAUGGAUGGAGCUCAAAACGUACUUUGGGUGUUUGACACUUUCAGUGGUUGACUAUCUGGGAAAUAUAAAUGUAUUAGCUGCUUGUUCCGGGAUUACUAUGAUAUUUUCCAAUUUUGAAGUUCAUAGUUAUUCUGCUAAGACAUACGUAUAUAAUAUACCAUGAGGAGGGUUCAAUGUUCAUUUACCACUUCAACUAUUAUAUUCCCUUUUCGUCUAAAGGGCGAUCCAUCUGGCUGCGGGGAUCCUGACUAUGAAUUUUCUUGCGUGUACGGAAAAACCAUCUUAGAAAUUUUCCCAGGAAAAAUACUACGUGCACAACAUUUCAUAUGAUGAUCAAAACCUCCGUUUGGUCGACGUCAACUUUGCCAACGGAUCCUGCAGCCUUCCGCCUGGAUCUGUCAAAACAGCGGACGGGAAAGUCAUGGAUUUUCGGUUCCAAGGAGCUGUGAUCUAUUAUGCUAGUCGUUUUCGAUUCAUCAAGUGCUCCAAAAACAUCAGCAGCCUGCCAACAGCUGCUAAUUAUACAAGGGUUCCAUGUUUGGCCGCAACAAACGGGAGCUAUUUCUAUGCUGUUUAUGUCCCCGAGUACUAUUAUCCCCCUCAACCGUCAUGCUCGCUUGUUGCAGUGGCUCCGGUAGAUUUUCAUCCGGACAUGAAGUUCACUUCUUACGAAGCCGUCAUGAAACUAUUGCAGGCCGGGUUUGAUAUUGGAUGGUCGGUUAAGUGCAGGGACUGCUCUUUGGCUGGUAAGGGAUGCGCAGUAAGUUCAUGGGUUAAGCCACUCACCUACGAAUGCUACACAGGUUAGUAUCCGAUCCCGAACUACUACAACAACACGUGAAAGUACGUGUGACAGUCACGUAAUAGUUCAUCACGGAUCAAUAUACAACUAAUUAUGUGUAUGCCUUAAGUUUAUGACCGCGAUUAGUUUUAUCUCUUGCUUAUGUAAAGUCAUUGUUUGAGGUUGCUUUUGAAUUAGUUAAAAAUGUUCUCUAACAGUCGAAAACGUUUUUUUCACUUGAACUUUUAAAUAUUUUAACGUUUAGUAUUGUGAUUUUUGUAGAUGCAGAGUACAAAGAACCCACAGAACUUCAAAUAAUCUUAAUAUAUGUAGCAAUGGGUGUGGGAGGUAUUCUAUUUAUUCCAUUGUAAUUUUUCUUGCAAUUUUAUUAUGCCAUAGCAGUCUGCAACUGAUAGAAAUCUUCUCUCUGCAUUUUCAGCUCUAAUUGGUCUGUUGUGUAUAAUUCUUAUACUGGUGGUCGUAAUCCGAAGAUGUCGUAGAACUAGAAACGAAGCCAAGAGAAAUCUCCAGAAUCAAAAUCAGCAGUCCUUGACGCCAUAAAUCAACAGUUCUUGAGCUUAACAUUUGUAUGUUGAUGUGUGUAAAUUCAAAUGCUUUUGCGGUGUUUGUUGAUGUGUAUAAUUCGGAUAUUUGGUCUUGUUCAUUAGUUAUUGGCCAUUGAGCCAUGUAUAUAUUUCCAAAUGGGCCUCAUUUCAUUGGGCCACUUGUUAUAAACUGGUUCUUAAAGAGUGAUCUCUUACCGACUUUAAAACCGUUUUUUAUUAUAUUUCGUAGGAAAACUUAAAAACGCUUUGGGAUAUAGAAACAACGAAAAUGCUUUUCCAUGAUACUUUUUAGGUUUUCGUUAAAAUGUGUUUACAAUUAAACAAAUUUAACCAAAAAAAAAAACACUUGUUAGCAUAAAUACUUUCUACAAAAAGCGUUUUUAGGAAGUGCUUUGAGGAACUUAGGUCAUCUCCAACAGAUCCAGCCAAGGGGUUAUAGGGCUAAAAAUAACCCGUUUUACAACUGUCUCCAACCGAGAGCUAGACCAAAUGGCUCGUGGUCCCCACUCGGCCAAAAAUGGGAGAACCGGCCAAAGGGCUAGUCAAGAGCAGCUAGCCUACCAACCCUAUAGCCUAGCCCUCCAUCGCCAAAAUGUUAAGCUUGACAUAUGCCAAUUUAUUAACAUUUGAAGGUGUUUGGAGGUGUGUGAAUUCUACCCCAAUAUCUAGCCAAUUUAUUAACAUUUGAAGCUGAAUAUAAAAAGUGUCACAUAAAUAAGAAUCAUAUAUAAAAUUUUCACAAUUAAUUAUAUAUCGGCACUCGAAAUCUUAUCCAAAAAAUUAUUAAGAUUACAUAAAGAUAAGAAAUCUAGAGAGUUACUCACUUUAGCGACGUGUCACUCAAAAUCUUAUUCGAAAAAUUAUUGAGAUUACUUAAACAUAAGAAAUCUGGAGAGUUGCUUACGUUAGCGACACGUGUCACUCGAACUCCUAUCCAAAAAGUUAUUGAGAUCAUAUAAAAAUAAAAAAUCCGGAGGCUUAUUCAUUUGGCGACAAGUGGCACUCAAAGCAUGUCCGAAAACCUUAUUUUAAUAUGAUAGUUUAAUUUAAGUAAUCAUAUUAAUUCAAUUAAAAUAAUAAAUUAUGUUUGGCCUAUCUCCUUUGGUCCCCUCGGUUGGAAAUGAUUUUUUAUCUAAGGGUUAUGUUUGGCCUAUGGCCUUUUGACCCCCUCGAUUGGAGAUGGUAUAAAAUAUGGUCUAUCACUAUUCAUUAAAAUAUAAUUUCUUACAAAACUGUAAGAUUAAAAUGAAUCUUUUAGCCCUCCUUCAGUUGGAGAUGAACUUAGCUUUUGGCUUUGGUAUUCUUUGGAAGAGGGAAUGACUGAAAUUCAGCUUUGAUUGAUGAGUGGCGUCUUUGGAUACGGACUAUGGAAAAUGAAGAAUUGACUUUGACCUUUGAAAUUCUCAAUCCUAGGGUGGAGGGGAUAGUUGCAUAUUAAAAAAAACCGAGGAUAAGCUAAUAAAUUAAAAAACUGGGCAGACAAAUGACAAAAAGUGUGCUUAUCCAUUCCAAGACACCGAUCUUCAGUCUUCCAACUUCCAAAUGACGCGUUUGUGACAUAAAUAUGAGUUAACGAGCUGCACUCAAGUUUAAAUUUUACGUACUCUUUUAUCGAGGGAUUUUUGACGCUGCACGAGCAUAAAAAGGAUAUCAACGUAAGUCUUUAAAGAAUAAUGUUCUGAAAUUCAUCAGAUUUUGAAAAAUACUAUUUGAAUAAUUCUUAAAUGUUUAUAACAUUAGUUAUAAGACUUAAACAGAGUUAACUCGACUCUUGAGAAGUUUAGAAGAGUCUUAGGGAAUGUAAAAGAAGUAACCGGACAUAAAACAAAACGUCCGAUUUUAUUAGAAACUUUAAAAUUUGGUUUUGGAAGUCUAAACGACGUCGGAUGGCUUUAAUUCAUUGUGCUUCAUAGCAAAGCAGUGUGGUCAAUCUAGGACGUCGUGAGAAAGUAUUAUGCACGUAAAACGGAGUCGGACUCUAAAUCUGUAAGUAUAUAGAUUCCUGCUGCCGGUGCUGCGUCUUUUUGUCUUCCUUUAGUCUAUUUCAGUUUCAAUCCACUUGGUCAUUUGUUUUACCUCAAUUUUGCAAAUAAAAUUAUGUUUGUGGCACACCUUAUAAUGUCUAUUAUGUAACUAUUUUAAUUAUUUGAACGGUUUAUAUGUCAAUUCAUUAUUUAUACAUCAUUCAAACAAAUCCAUAACAACCAAGAUAUUCAACAGUAUUGUAGUGAGCAAAAAUAGAAGAAUGUUGUGUUUUAUACAAACACUAAAAUGACUAUCAUUUAGUUCAACAAUCAUAUUAACUUCGAUUUGAUUGUUUUUUGUGUAAAUAACUUAAAGGAAAAUCUAAAAAAUAAAUGGUUAAAUUAUUAAAAUAUAAUGUGGGUGUGGACUUUACAAAGAUGUCACUCAACAAUUUUAACAGUUAUUGUAGGCAACUAGUUACAGUCAUUAGGAACCGGAUCCUCUCCGAAUCCCAAUAAUAUGAGCCUAAGGAUCAAAUGAUUUAGAUUGUUGAAAUUUGAUCAAACGGUUACAAACAGAAACCCCUCUAAAGUUAUAAUAAUUGUAACCGUUGGAUCAAAUUCAACAGCCUGGAUCAAAUGAUCAUUCGGCUCAGAUUAUUGAGUUCCGGAGAGGAUCCAGUUCCCAGUCAUUACUAUCUUUAGAAAAAAGACAAAAACCCACAACACGGAGCUGGAAGUUUUGACCCUCUCCCUUUCGUUGACUAACAGAGGAACAUCAAUGGAGAUUUCCUUUAAGAAGAAGAUGGGCCAUGGCGUUCCAAACUUUGGAUAAAAAUCAACACGCCUAAACAAUUUUGAGGCGUUCCAGAAGACUAUAUAUAUAAUCUACGCAGAGCGUCAUCCGAAAUUAUUUACCCAAAGUUCUGAGAUUCAUAAUUUUUCUGCAAAAACAUAUAAUAUAAUCAUGAGGACGGUCCAAUAUACAUCUUCUCUUUUCUGUUCUCUGCUGAUUCUGCUAUUUUUCGUUCAAAUUCAAGCACAAACCAACUGUUGGUCUUCCUGCGGAGAAAUAAAAAACAUCAGCUACCCUUUUCGCCUCAAGGGCGAUCCAUCCGGCUGCGGCGACUCCGAUUACGAGCUCUCUUGUGUCGACAACAAACCCAUCCUAGAGAUUUUCCCCGGGAAAUACUACGUGCGCAACAUUUCCUACUAUGAUCACACACUCCGUUUGGUCGACGUCAACUUCGCCAACGGAACCUGCGGCCUUCCGUCUGGUCCUGUCGAAACAACGAACGGGUUUGUCCGGGAUGCUCGAUUCAUGGGAUAUGGGUGGAACCCAGGAAGUCGUUUCCGGUUCGUCAAGUGCUCAACAAACAUCAGCAGCAUGCCGGAAGCUGCUAAUCACACAGUGGUUCCUUGCCUGACAAGAAACGGGACUUACGUCUAUGCUGUUUAUGAUGGCGAUUACUCGUAUUAUGAGCCUCAAAAAUCAUGCUCUGUCAUUUCGUUGGCUCCUGUCGAUCUUCGUAAAGAUGUUACGAAGUUCAAUUCUUAUGAGGCCGUCAUGGAACUAUUGAAAGCUGGCUUUGAAGUUGAAUGGUCAGUUACGUGCAGAGAUUGCUCUUUGGCUAGUAAACAGUGCGUAGUAAAAUCAAUGGAUAAGCCAUUCACCUAUAUCUGCAAAAAAGGUCAGUUCCUAUAUUGCGUUUGAAGUUGUUUAGAUUCAUCUGUUAAAUUUUCUAGAAUAUUUAACCGUUAAAUUACGCAAUUCGCUUCAUGAUUAUGUUUUCGUUUCUCUAAUGUUAUACUUUUUUUUUUGACAUGCAGAGUACAAAGAACUGACAAGAGCUGAAGGAAACUGGAUAAUUGCUGCAAUCGUUGUGGGAGGUAAUAUUACUGUCGCAUUUGUACAAACAUUGACAAACUUGUUAUUUUCUUUCAAUUUUUCGAUCUCUUUCCCGAGUCAGCUGAUAGAAAUCUUGUUUCUACAUUUUCAGGUCUGAUUGCUCUGGGAAUUAUCAUUGGUAUAAUUGUAUUCGUCAUACGAAGAUGUCGGAGAAGACGAAAUGCAGCUGAUAACACGAACAAGAAUCCGCAGAAUCGAAUUAGUGCUUGAGCCAACAACCACCAAUUCUUGGAUACAUGAAUUCCAUGAAAAAAAAAUUUAUUUCGUUCUUUCUUUUUUGUAAGUCAGUUAAAAGAAAUUAACUCCAUUUUUUCCUUCUUUCUUUUUGGAUGUAUAAUUCAGUUAAAAUACUCUGUAUUUAAUACCACGUGAAUUACAUCACUUAUUACGGAUAAAUUGCAAAAACACAAUUAACAUAAUAUUUUGAUUGACAUAUUUGCUAUAGAGCAUAACACGUGAAAUAUCUCAAAUUCCUUUAUAAAAUUAUCACGCAAAACAUCACAACCAACACAAAAUGUAACACGCGAAAUGUUUUACAUGCCCAUGUGUAUAUACCAUAUAAACAACACAAUUGACAACAAAAAGUUUGAACAUGGAAGUCUACACGCUUGAUACAUAACGUCUGUAAUGUCAAUCACGUUGAUUAUGUUUUUUUUUUUUUUUAAAGAAAAUCAGUUGAUGGCUUCGCUACGAUAUAUCAAUCAUGUUGACUGUGUAUUUUUAUGUUUUCUUUUUUAAAAAGAGAUUAGUUAGUGGUUUUGCCACGAUCGUCUACUGUUCCGAGAAUUUGAAGUAUUUCAACCUCUUCUUGAGAACCAUAAUGUGAUUCAUCAUCACCAAAAAUUGAAACAAAACACAUCGUUUAAAAUACGGGUCACUUCGUCUCAAUUACUAAGUUACGUUGAUUGUAUAGUUUAAAGUGAGACAUGAGACCAUUUAAAGCAUUAAACUUGUGGACUGAUUGAUCCAAGUCCUUUUCUAUUGGGCUGACCCUCUUAAUGACAUAAAGACUUUUAGACCGUUUGAUUUUUCAAACGUUUGUGUCUAUGCUGAUUGGCGAAAAAGAAUAAGGAGGGAGAAUUGUCUUAAACACAUUAUUUUAACAUAACGCGUAACCUUUCAAACUCUGGCGUUUUUAUAGACGCCUUAACAGUUCAAAGUUCAUGAUUCAAUUAUUAACAUGUGAAGAAACACACAGAGCUAGCAGGGAAACUCUGACUAAAUCCCAAUAUCUCAUCAGUUAAUUGCAGGGGAACAUGUAUAAAUACAUAUCCUUUCAACACUUACUAACCUCGGCUGUACGAAAAAGUUUAUUUGAUAUAAACAAAAAAUUGAGACAGUCACGAGAACAUAACUUUACCUCUCACAACAGAAGAAAACCAAAAUACAAAAAAAAAAAAAAGAAAAAAAAAAGAACAUAAACCUUAUUCCUGACAGAGCAAAACAAAAUGGAAAUUUCCGAAAGGAUAAUGAGAGGAUUGAGUUAGGAUUUCAAUUAACAUCUUGUUAAUAAGUUUUUCAAUUUUAAAAUCGUCAUAUGCUAACAUGUAAUAAUUUAAUAUUAAAAUAAUGAUACUAAUAUCUGGAUAUUUUAAAAUCAGGCGGCUACAAUAUUUGAUAAAAUAAAAGUUGGUGAUGGUAGAAUGUCAUCUAAUUAAUUAAUUUGUGAAAUGUUGAAAAUUCAGUAGGAUUCAGGUUCAGAGAUACGGACAAAGAGAAGCACAAACGAAAAAUGAAAUCUUUGGGAGGCCUAGAGAUCAUUCUUUCAAGCCUUCUGUGUCUGCUCCUUCUCUUUGCUCUCCUCAAGAUCUUUCACAAUCUAUGGUGGUCUCCCAUUCGACUACAGAAUCUGGUGGCUCUGCAGGGAAUCAAGGGCCCUUCUUACCGAUUCGUCCACGGAAACACCAAAGAGAUCUCCAGCAUGCAAGAGGAAGCCAUGAGCAGGCCCAAAAGCUUAUCACAUGACAUAUUUUCUCGAGUUCAACCUCACAUCCACUUGUGGACCAAGAAAUAUGGUAAACAAACUUUUACCCGUUGAUGGUUUUCAAAUCUUUGUUCUAAACAAAACUUUUACCUGUUUGAGUUAACAGAAGACUCGAUGCAAAAUCGAGUACAGUGGCGUUUUAGAAUUUAUGUAGCUAGUCCUACUUAGUGGGAAUUGUUGCUGUUGUAAUCUAAAUUUAUUUCGUCUUUGGCAACAGGAGCAAAUUUUCUUCAAUGGUAUGGUUCUCAAGCCCAGUUGGUCAUCACAGAGCCAGAACUGUGCAAAGAGAUACUUACUAACAAGAUAGAGCUUAUCCCAAAAGCGAGCCGAAAAGCUAUCUGAGAAGGCUAUUAGGAGAUGGACUUGUGGUAAGUGAUGGUGAAAAAUGGGCUAAGAUGAGAAAGUUAGCCAACUAUGCCUUCCACGGAGAGAUCUUAAAGGUAAUGUUACUUAUAUAUAUGGAUUAAAUUAGUUGGUCGAGGCAGUGUGCCGUUCUCUUUCACUUGAUUCUGAAUUCUUGUCGUACAAUAAACUAAGAGCAAAUAGGGAACAAAUACGUUAAUUGCUUUUGCUAGGGUAUGGCUCCAACAGUGAUAGCUAGUGCUGAGACGAUGCUAGAAACUUGGAAAGAACACGACGGCCAAGAGAUCGAUGUGUUUGAAGAAUUUAGGUUGUACACCUCAGAAGUGAUUUCCAAGACGGCCUUUGGCAGCAGCUACUUAGAAGGGAAGAAAAUUUUCGAUAUUCUGGAGAAGUUAGGCUACUUAUCAUUCAAAAAUGCGUUCAAGCUCAGGUUUCCCGGCAUUAGGUAAUUGCUUCCUUUUAACUAAUUCAUCAUGAAUUGGAACAUUGCAUUACUUAGGUUCUGAUGUUUAAUCUGUCGUUGAUCAAUGCUGCAGUAAGUUUAUUAAAUCCAAUGAUGAGAUCGAAUCAGCAAAGCUCGAGAAAAGUAUACGCGACUCCAUCAUGGAGAUGAUCAAGAACAGAGAAAAUAAGGCAAUGGCUGGAGAAGAAGACAGUUUUGGGAAUGAUUUUCUUGGGGUACUUUUAAAAGCUCAUCACGACACCGACGAGAAAAAGAGGAUUUCGAUUGAUGAAAUUGUUGACGAGUGCAAGACAUUUUACUUUGCUGGACAAGAAACCACUAAUAGUGCACUUGCUUGGACUGUGUUUCUUCUAGCAAUCCAUACCGAUUGGCAAGAGGAAGCAAGAAAGGAGGUGAUCCAAAUAUUUGGGAAACAAAAUCCGAAUCUUGAUGGCAUUGCCAAGCUAAAAACUGUAAGAAUGUCAACAGCUCAAUCAAUUUUUGUCUUUGUUACGGCAUAUAUGUUCUCUCGCACUCAAGCUUAUGUGUUCGAUUAUUCAUUUUCAUGCAGAUGAGCAUGAUCUUCAACGAGUCGCUAAGGUUAUAUCCACCGGUAGUUACCAUUGAGAGGAAAAUUCGAAGGGAAGUUAAGCUGGGAAAACAUGUUCUUCCUGCUAAUGUUGAAGUAACCAUUCCAUGCUUAGCCCUUCAGCACGAGCCUCAAAUUUGGGGAGAAGAUGUGCUACUUUUCAAACCGGAGCGAUUCUCAGAAGGGGUUGCUAAAGCUACAAAGAACAACAUAGCCGCAUUCUUACCAUGGGGAUUGGGACCUCGGAGUUGUGUGGGAUCAAAUUUUGCAGCCAUUGAAACAAAGAUUGUUCUGUCGAUGAUUCUACAACGCUUCUCGUUCACACUUUCCCCAGCCUACAUCCACUCCCCCUAUCGGCUUCUUACAGUUCGGCCGCAACAUGGAGUUCAAGUAAUGCUGCACUCGCUUACAUGAUGAUCAAUGUAUCAGCACUGCGGUUUAGGUUACAAAAAUGCAAGCGCUGCUUUGAGCUUCGGUUAAAAGGGAAAAAUGAGUAAUCUUAUUCAUAUCAUGUUUUUAUACCAUAUUUUUAUACCUUCUUAGGUGGUAUCUAAUGUGGACAGUCACAUCAUUUGAAUUAAUCAGAUUUUUUAAUUUAGUUAAACAUGGUAUGAAAAUGAUUAAUUCUUGGUUUUAUGCCCAAUAAAAAAUUUGCAAAACCAAGGAAAAAAAAAGAUAAAGACUCCUGGCAUACCACAAUCAUCAUUUAAUUAACUAAUUUUCUUAAUUAUUAGUUUAUUAAAUAAUAAACUAAAUUUAAAAAUAUGAUUAAUUCAAAUGAUGUAACUAUUCACAUUAAAUGCCACAUAAGAUGAUAUGAAAAUAUGGUACAAAAACAUGGUACGAAUAGCAUUACUCGAGAAAAAUAAGAGUUGCAAUGGUAAAUAGCCACAAUAUUUUUCUUUUCCUCUUGGUUUUUGGAGAAUGUGGAGAUUAACGAUAAUGACUCUUUUGGAACAACUUCUGUAAAAGUACUUUUGUUUAGAAGUACGAUUUCUAGAAGUGAUUUUACUAAAAUACGUUGAAAUGUUUACUAAAAAUCUAAGUGGUCUAUAAAAAAAAUACUUAAAAGUGAAACAUCUAACGUUUACACGCUUUUAUUUAUGACCCCAUAAUAUCGAUGUGGGUUUUUGUUCUGUUGAUGUCAACCAACAUUUCGUUGACUUUCAGUACAUAUAGAGGGCCUAACGCGUUUAAUCCUUCACUGCUGAAAAAAUGAAGUCAGUUCUAGCCCAAACAUAGUGGGCCUAUAUCAAAGUUUCCCUCCGAACCAGGGAACGUGUGGUCCAGAUCGAGGCACAGAGACAGAUGUUGUAUUUGGUUUUUGAUUCUUUCAAGUUUAUGAAUAUUAUCAAAGAAAAUCCUUUUGACCUUCUUCCUCCUUCCAAUAAUAAUGCGAUGCAAAAGUUUAACUAUAUCUGGGGAAACAGGAACUCUGUAAAUAAUAUAUAAUUACACAAAUAAUAGUAUAUUUUGAUAUACAAUUCACGUUUUGGUAAAUUGGUAAGUUGGUAACGUCAAAAGCAAGUCACCAUUAGACAUAAGAGAUUGCUUCGUGUUUAGACACACUGAAAAUUUUCUUUAAUUACGGAUUUGUUAUUAUAUUAUAAUAAACCAUGAAUACAUGAAUUAUGAAGGUCGGGAACAAUGGUCGAUUUUUUGCCCUUUAUGUAUAAGAUACUUUUUUCUGUUUUUAGGAUGGACAAAAAUUCGCUUCUAGCGAUCUCGUAAUUUUCGCCCAAGAUCUGGAUUAUCAUUAUAUUUGGUAAAAUUACAUAAAGUAAUUAACGAAUAAUUAUCAAAGUAUCAAAGUGCAGAAAAGGGAAAAGGAAAGCAUGGAAUUUCCGUGCUGUCAUGCUUUCACAGAAAUCAGAUUCUACUUUGAAUCAGCAUCUAGCUAGAACAAGAGAGACAACACCAGAAACAAAAAGGAAAAGAAGGUUAAAGAGGGAGAGAGACAAAAGAUCGAGAAGAAAAUUAAAGUUCUUAAUUCUUGAUAACAAACCAAAUUACAUGAUAGGUGUAAGUGAUGCAUGCCCAGCAGCUUUACAAACAAACAAGAACAACUUAAUUAAACAGACUGGCUACCUCGUAUGCAUCUCUUACAUCCCAUGUUUUACAACAUUAAGCAUGCAAAAAAGAGAAAAAUAAAAGGAGAACUAAUCGAGAGCAAAGACUUACAUAUUCAAGCACAAACAGGCCAAAGUUAAGUAAGUAAUAAAAGAAAAAUUAAAGACCUAAGUUGUUAAGGUAAACUCGGACCGCUACCCUCAAUUCCCCGCAAUGCAAUAAUACACGCUCUCCCGACUCUGCCCGACACUUUUGUGGUAGCAGGCUAGAGAUUCAGGACAGCGCGCAAUUGCAAAGCCUGUUUUGUAUGUUGUUCUUUCGUCAUUUUUUAUUUAUAUUUACAACACAACCCUUCUCCUCCACGCUGCUGCCGCUGCCAACCGGCACCAUCUUCACGCACUUCACCCAUGUAGACGAAAUCCCACUGGUGGCAGCUGGCCAUCAUGGUGGAUUUUGCGUCGUAAUUGCCAACGAGGCGAAAUUUUAUGGGUAGAAAGAAAGGAGGACUAGAAAAAGAGGGUGAUGAGUAUAGAGCUGAGGGGACAUGAUAGGUCGUAUAUAAAGACGAGACUGUAAGCUUUUUGUUGAAAUAUGAGUGUCACAGUUUUUUUUUUUUUUUUUUUG
rnacentral:lncRNA from 1 species